GUUUUUUUAGUUGGGCUGAGUUGGCACUCCUGGCGUGGUGUUGCCCAGUAAGGCAGUAAGCAGUCAACACAGUCAAAACCUGUUAGCAUAGUCACCAAGCAAAAUCAGGUGAAGGGUUGAUUCCUGAACCAAGUGACAAGUUAAGGGUCUAGGGCAACCGGUUUUUUAGUUGAGGAUUGAAUCUUAAACCGAGUGAUUACUUUAAUGAAUUUUUCUCUUCCGUGGUAUCACCCUUACAACAAAUAUGCACAAUCUUUUGUUAUAUAAUGGUAUCAAUUUUUGAGAACCAUAAGACUCGUUAAAUAUCAAGGGCAUUUUGAUACGCCGGAUUUUCAAAGUGCAGGAACCAGCAAAACAUAAGAGUUGGAGUGGCGUGUUCUCUUAAAUUUUGUAGGAUUGGAAAAAUCAUAUGAAUUUGGAUGAAGAGUUCUUAACGCUUCAGGAAAAAUAAAGAAAUGUACCAAAAAGUUUGAGUGGAUAGACAUUUUGUUCCAAAAAGAAAGUUCCUCGAAAUAUUUCCGAAGGAUACCAAUCCUAUGAAUCAAAUGGAGAAAGAGGCGGAUUAGAUGGACGCGGCUACGCCAACGACAUCGCAGUCCACGGAGCUCGAGCUGUGGGAGGAGACUGAGCUCUAGCUAGAGGAGGAGCUUGAUGGGCACCUCGCCGUCGAGGCGUCUGUCGACAACCAUGACGCCAAGGCAUCGGGCUCCCACAAGGGGCACAUGACCCCCCUUCGACGAGGAUCGGAGCAGUACUUACUUUAGCUCAAUUAAGUGGCAAUCUAUGUUAAUUUAAGUGUUUUUUAAUUUAAUCUAUCGGUGUUAUGUACAAUUAUGCACUCUGUUAGCUUAAUCUUGUUUGAAAUGAGUAGUUUGGUCAGGUUUGUGAUUUUGGAAGUUAAAUUUGGAGGAAGGACUAGAAAUACAAGGAGUUAAAUUCUCAAAGCUGAUUUGGGAGAGAAUUCCUUAUUUGGCCCUUUCUUAAAUUUUGAUUCCUUAUUUAGCCCAAAAUAAAUAUUCUUCCCUAUUUGACACCUAAAGUUAAUUAUGUUCCUUAUAUGACACUUUCAUCCAUUUUAGGUACUAACAGUGUUAAGUGUGAGGCGAAAAUACCAUUUUGCCCAUAGUGCAUUGUGUAAAAAAGCAAUAAGUUCACCCAUGUUUUAGGGAUGUUCAAUGGUUGUUGUGCAUGCAUAUGUAUGCUCUAAUAUUUGGUUCUUUGGAUAAACUGGUAUGUGCGUGUACGUACAAAACAUCCGUAGAACUUGUACUAGCAUAUCUAUGAUCAGUAUGUAACUAUCUUUGUGAAUAAGUACAGUAACAUAUGUACAUCAUAUUUUGGUUACUUCAUCACGUGGAAAUGCGGCUGUGGAGUGGACGACCCACGGCACUGAGGUGGGCUCGGCCUUGGGUGUCCAUGCGGACAUGGUUCCACGGGCAGGGCGCCGACAUCGCCUGUGGUGCUGCGCCAGCGGUAGUCACAUGGCACAGCGACGUCCGAGCUUGCGAGUGAGGCGACGGACGUACCACAGUAUCAACAUCUACAGCCGCGAUGCGCCUUCAAGGCUGGACGCAUGUUCCAAAGUAUUACACAAACGACACCGUUGGAGAGGGUCUCACGAACGACACCGUACGACCCGGGUCGCAUAAGAUUUUCUUCCCAAACUACUAAUUAUUAGAACUAGUAGUACAAUACGCAUGAUAAAUCCUCGAAAUAAGUAGUACACGACGCAUACCGGCAGCUAUACACCACGCACACGAGACAUGGAUGACGAGAACGCAUACUGCUGGCCACGAGCAACCGAACACCACGCACACGGCCCGAUAGUUGGGAGCGACGGCAGCCAACCACACGCGGCAGGAGAACGGAUGCUCGCUAAAGGCAGGGAGAGAAAGCCGUGCGAUUCUAUCAAGAGACAAUCGAUCUAAUCGAUCCAGUAGAAGCUAGCCAAGGCGUUCACGUGUAUGGGCGUGUGCCACUACUAGAAAACUAAUCAAGCGCGUACAAGAAUCAAUCAAGCUAUCUGUGUGCUUGUUUGAGGCUAGCUUCGCAUGCAGGGGCAAAAUGGUCUUUUCACCUCACACUGAACACCAUUAGUGCCUAAAAUGGAUGAAAAUGUCAAAUAAGGAACAAAAUUUACUUUAGGAAAGAAAUUUUUAUUUUAGGCCAAAUAUGAAAGCAAAUUUUAAGAAAAGGCCAAAUAAGGAAUUCUCUCCUGAUUUGAAGGGUUAAAAUACAAGGGACGGACUAGAAAUGCUGUGGCUAGAACGUGUCAAAGUCCACGCAAAGACUAGGACUGUGCCCACACUUCUCAGCCUAGAAGCUGAUUGAUGAUAGGUGUGGUUUCUGGUUAGUGAUGGUCGUCGACGUGUUAGUCUUUGCUUACCCAAGAAAAACUCGAUGCCGGCUUCGCUCUUGGCAUCAACUUCUUUUCUGGAACACAUCAAAUAAUUUUCAUUGUAAAUCUUGGCACCAAUCAGAUCACUCCUCAAUGUGGCGCCCAUUUGCAUAACGCGUUGCUACAUAAUUUUCUUGGUAACUAACGUGACAAAUGACAAUACAACAUUUCCUUGGAGGCGACGGAAAACAGAGAAUGCUGGAGCGUCUCUGCGCUCUGCAGAAAAAUGCAAACCCUGACAAGCAAUCGUGGUCGUGGAAAAAGAAGACAUGUGCUAAGCUAAUGGGACGGCGGCAUCGGCGGGCACUCCGGCCGUGGCAACCCCGGCAGCGGCGGCUGCGGCCGGAGCCCUCCGCGGCAGAGCGGGCACGUCCGGUGCUUCCGGAGCCACUUGUCGACGCCGCAGCUCGCGUGGUAGAAGUGCCCGCAGGCCGGCACCACUCGCACUAGCUCGCCGGCGUCGCCCUCACCGUAAUCAGACAGGCAGAGGGCGCACCGCUCCUCCUCCUCCUCCUCCUCCUUCUCCUUCGCCUUGUCCUUCGCCUUCUCCUUCUUCCUGGCGGUCGCCAGCUCGUACGUCAUAAGCGUGUCGUCGCCGAGGGCGGCCUCGACGUCGGCGUCGUGCACCGCGGCGCUCCCCGUGGCGCCGGCCGCGUCGUCGCAGGCUCCGCCGGAUGCCAUGACGGCCACGGCGACGAUGAUCACCGCCAUCACGACCACCGCGGCGAUCUCGAGGUGGAGCGCCAGGUCCGGGUCCAUGCUCAGUGCUCCUUGGCCAAUGCCAAAAAUGCCAGGCGAACUACCGCUCCAGUCCAGCCUCCAGCCUUUGUAUAGGAGCUCCGGUCCAGAGCCUUCUCGGCCAAGUCAGGACGUAGUGUGAAGGAAAGACAGGGGUUGAGCUUUCCCAGAAUGUUUCCGCUGAUUUCCUUUCUUCUCCCACUGGACAAUUCCCUUGUGGCUGUCUUGUUUCACUUCACUACUCCGGUUUUGGACUUAAUUCAAUUGUCUUCUUCUUCUUCUCUCUCCUUUUUCCCCUUUUGAAAUGAAUCAAGAUGCGAUUACCGCGUAACUUGUAUCCCUUUGCCACUACUAAUAAAAUGGAAUAAGAAACAACGUCGCUGUCUUCCAUUUAAGACAGCCUCACUGGUUAUGACAACCAGCUAAAACUGUUUGUUCAUCAGUUGAGUUUCAUAAUUUCUUAAAAUUCAACCAUACUCUCUCCGUCCGCAAAUAAUUGUACUUGUACCAUUUGUCUUGAGUCAAAGUUUUAUAAUUUUGACAAACUUUUUAGAAAAAAAAGUACUCCGUAUAUGGUAUAAGAAGAAAAAAGAAAGAAAGAAAAAAGUCGUCCAGGGCUAUAAGAUUAGGGUGUGAAUUGGUAUUGGAUAGAAAUUGAUCAAUCCUCAUGGAGUAGAGAAAAGACGGAAAGGGCUAUAAGAUUACGGUGUGGCUAGGUCUCAGUCGAUUGAGACUUAAUCAAGUCUCAGUUAAGUGAUAUAGUAUAAGAAGAAAAAAGAAAGAAAAACUAAAAAGAAAAUGGGAGUACCUAGAACUCAUUUAGAUGAGAUAUUAUUUGAUCUCAUUCACCUGGAAGACAGAACAGAUGAAAAAGGAGUACCAACCUAUAUCAACACACACGCAUCUUAUAGCAUCACAUCCAAUGGCUAUAAAAGUGAAUGAGACAUAACUAAAACUCAGCUAGAUGAGUUCUAACAAAACUGAAAGAAAAUUUGUGUACGAAUCUCCAUGCAAGAUUAAAGAAAUAUAGCAUCGACUGAAAUAUAACAAAGUCUCAGUCGAUUAAGAGUUAGCAAAACUGGUAAGAUUAUCCCCGGUAUUCGUCAUAAUACCAUAUGAUUAGUUGAUGCGCUCGCUCGCGCGCCGACCACAUAGGAAAAGCAGAAGCACUAAGAUUGCAGUGACGCGCUUUGUUUAACCCGUAUGUAUAUAUACUGCACUUGCUCGGACAGUAACGUUUCGGCUUAGAUAUACUCCACUGUGAAAAUUCGUGGCAGCUGACACUGGCAAAAUCGUGGAACCUUCCAAUUGUACGUGUCGUAGGCCGGCCCCGCUCGAGGAGAACCUUCUCGCUUCUAGUUCUGGAACAUCUAGUUCUUUUGUUGCUUUGCUUGUGAGCUCUUUGACCGGGUGACAUGUCGUUUCACGUUGACAUCUCUCGGUUCGGUUUGGAGUCCUUCCUCUUCCGACCGGAAAGAACCCAUGCGACCCGCGUCCGCCCGCGUCUCCGACGGCUCUCGGCUAGCUAGAACACGUCAAGGUCAACUGAUGAACCCACUGGUCUGGUACCCUCCCCUGUAAGCGUUGGUGGACUGGUGGCGAUGUUACCAACAUUUUCAUAAUGAACGUAACGGUUCUGCUGACUGUUUACAAAACGCGUAGAGAGACGAGUGGGAGGAGCAGCCAAGCCCCGAGGCCGAAGACGGCGGGGACGCCGGCGCCGGUGAGGCCUCGGACAGGAGUGACCCGGAACUUACAAUGACGCGGCGGCGGGCGACACAGGUGGAGGCCUGGAGGGAAGUCGAGGUUGGCGGGUUCGGGUGGAGGGUGCGGACUCGCCGGCGAAGAAGAUGAGCAUGUCAGACGUGAGCAGGAGGAAGGGAUGGCGGCCGUUAGAUUUUAUUUUUUUAAAAUAGCCGUUAGAUUUUGGUAAUUCAACAGCUGGGACAAAAUCGACCGAUGUAAAUAGCUUUUCCAGGCAACUGUGGCAUGGGUGCUUCUCACCCAAUUCGCCAUCGGCUGUUGUUUCUCAUUUGCCUACCUGUGUUAAACGUAUAAGAAGUAUGAAAGGUCAUCACUUGGACACGUUAUCACCCAACCCCGAUUAAUUAAGCCGUUGGCGUGAUGCACCGUCACGAAUGGAAUUCGCACCAGAGCCAGUAAAAUUCUUGGAGCAAAGGCAUAACGUUCCAUUUCACCAGUAGCACUAGCAAGCUGACGUAAGUGAAGGCGUACAAUGCAUCUGAUCUCUACUACGAAGCUCGAAGCAGCUGAAGCUGAUCGGGAAAAAAAAUGAUGGACUACGGUACUACCACUACGACGACGGCGGCGCGGCCCGGCAGGCGCGGCGCGGAAGGCCAGAGCGCGCCCCGGCAGAGCGGGCACGUCCGGCGCGCCCGGAUCCACCGGUCGGCGUCGCACGCGGCGUGGAAGAAGUGCCCGCACGCCGGCACCACGCGCACCACCUCCUCGGGCGCCUUGGCGUACUCCGACUGGCAGAACGCGCAGCAGCGCUGCCGCGCCCUCGCCGCCUCGCCCACCUGCGCGUACGCCACCAGCGUCGCGUCGCCGAGCGCGCGCUCCACGUCCUCGGCCGCCGCCGCGGCGCCGGCGUCGUCCCUGCAGGCGCCCGAGGCGGCGAGGGCGAGGGCGACGAUGAGCACCGCCACGGCGAGCACCGCCGCCACCUCGAGGUCGAGCGCCAUGGCGGGGCUCAUCCCUUCCUUCCUUCCCGGCCUGAUCGAUCGGACGAACGGCAGGGCGCGACACCAACCUUGUAUGCGCAGUGUGUGUCCUCUUCCGGUCUUCCCUUGUUCCUUGGGCUGACCUCUUUUUGUAGUACGUAUCUUCCGUGUUUCAGCUAACCAAAUUAACGAACGGGCCAUCUCAUCUCGGUGGCCUUCUUUUCCGUGUCUCCCCUCUCCCCUCGCUCGGCUCGCCAUCUGCUUUCUGUACGAGCUGGCGGUUACCACGAAUAAAAGUUUUUUUUUCACGAGAAAAUUUCCAAUCUAUUCACCUUCAAUCAUAGCAGUACAACGAACACCAGUAAUAAUAAAAGUACAUCCAGAUCCGUAGACCGCCUAGUGACAAACUUGGUUACGUUAGAAUCUUCAGAUUUGUGCGAGUGUUGUUUUCUUUUUUCUUUUCCCCGUAUGGUUGGUACCGAGACACUAUUUUGAAGGAAAUAAAGAUUUAAAGUUCAUGCCUACAAGCGUUGUUAUCAAAAUCUAAUGUACCACUCCACUCAAAAAGAGAAAAAAUCUAAUGUACCACUUUAGAGUUUGAAUCAUUAGAUUUUUCCCAUCCAGUGAUUUGAUCGAAGCCACAGUAAAAUCGCAGCCACUGAGACAUCUGCGGCCGAUUUAAGGUUGAAGCCAUGACCUAAGGCCAACCGCACGACACAGCUGCAAAAAACAACACAAUAAAGGGGGAUUAAGAUCAACAUGCAAAUGCCAGCACGGGCACAUAAUCUAGAUUACUUUUGUUAAUGUUUGUCAUUAAGAAGAUUUAAAACGUUUUGAAUUUGUUUCCAAUAAUAUUUUUUUGAUUUUACUGUUCACCCAAUCAUUUGAGCUCGAGACUAAAAGAGUACUUUCGUCGAUUUCCUUUCUUCUUCCGGUAGACAAUUAAUUCCCUUGAGCUUGUCGUCUUGUUGCUACUCUGGUUUUGGAGUCAAUUGUCUUCGUCUUUUUCUUCUCUCUUUACUUUGCUCUACGGCAGAUUUGGACUUAAUCAGAAUGUGAUUACCAUGUACUCCCUUCGACCGAAAAUACUUGUCGAAAAAAUGGAUGUAUCAUAUACUAAUUCUUGUGAACAUCUAGUUCGGAGUCCUUCCUCUUCCGACUGGAAAGAAUCCAUGCAACAUGGGUCGCCAGGAGAGCGUAGCCUAGCUAGAACACGCCAAAGUCCACGCGAGGACUACUAUUUGGUACGUGCUCCUAUGCACGUGUUGCUCGAUUCAUACCGAUAUUAUUUGAACAUUAACUUACGGUUUCGCUAAUAAUACUCAGCCAACCAAAACUAAUCUUUGCGUCAACCGAUUUCCAGAACGCGUAGAGAGACGAGGGGAAGGAGCAUCGAAGCCCCGAGAACGAAGACGGCCAUGCACGAGGACGCCGGCGAGGCCUCCGACGGAAGCGAGCCCGAAGCCGGCGACCACGCGGCAACGGAGGACGCAGAUGUUAAACGUUAUCACCACCUAAUGCCGAUUACUUAAUUAGUAUUACGCCGUUGGCGUGAUGCGCCGUGACAGAUUCGCGCCGGACGCCAGCCCACCAAAGUUAGUUCUUGGACAAAGAAAUGGUGUGCCGUUUCACCAGUAGCAAGCUGACGUACGUGCCCAAGUAAGUGAAGGCGUAAUAUGCAUCUUUCUCUACCAGUAGUACGAUGCGGUCGAAGCUGAUAGGGAAAAAAUUGAUCGACUAUGGUGGUGGUACUACUACGGCGGCGUGGCUCGGCGCGGGCGGCCAGAGGGCGCCCCGGCAGGGAUGAGACUUGCCUGCUCCCCGCGCAUGCGCCCAUCCGUGUUCCCGCGUACGUGGCUUAAUUUGAUUGGAACAAAAUAUGCCCAGCUCCAUCCCGUUAAAAUCAGGGAGGGAUGAUUAGAUUAGAAAGAAAAAAGGAAAAAAGACAGCCGUAGGAUAAAGUGAAAGCACGGAUGGGAGCAUUGAGAGGGAGCAGCCAAGCCGGAUUCCCCCAGCAGAGCGGGCACAUCCGGCGCGUCCGGAUCCACCGGUCGGUGUCGCACGCGGCGUGGAAGAAGUGCCCACACGCCGACACCACGCGCACCACCUCUUCCGGCGCCUUGGCAUACCCCGACAGGCAGUAAGCGCUGCCGCACCCUCGCCCGCCUCCGCGUACGCCACCAGCGCCACGUCGCCGAGCGCGCGCUCCACGUCAUCCGGCGCGUCCUCUUCCCUUUGUAAGUUCGUUCGAUGUUCAAAAAAAGCGUUCGAUGUUCAAAAAAAGGGUGGGCCAUUCACCAUGAAGGCUAAAAGCAAGAUAGGCUUUACUGGACAUUUUCGCAGCCGAUUCUCCGAAAUUUAAGACAAUUAUCCUCACUCAUACUUCAAAAAGUCCUCCUUUUUCUGAUUGACGUGGCCUCCUUUUGUAGCAUCUUCAUGGCUACAGCUUAACCAAAUUAACAGGGCAUCUGCCUUCUUCCCCGUGUCUCAUUUCACUCGGCUCGUGCUCUGGUCGGCAAAUUUCCUUCCUGCAGUGGCCAACUCGGCAAAUUUCCUUCCUACGUGCGUCCCCUUUUGCUUUUCCAUGUGGUUCGUAAAGCCAUUAUACUGGUACUUUUGCGACCUUACUUUUACUACCUUUUGAGACUAUCAAAAUCUGCCUUUGUGCGAAACAAGAAACGACUUACGAUCGCAGCCACAGUAAAAUCAUAUACGGAGUAUUGGUUAGGAAUAAGCUGAAAUGACCUACCAACGAAGGUCAUGUCAACCUAAGGCCAACAAGCAUGAAACAGCCGCAAAAAAAACAUUACGAAGGGUGCCAGACGAACGGAUUAAGAUUAAGAUCCAAAUGCCAGCACGGCACAUAAUCGAGAUAACACAAUCUAUAACUCCAGCAAGACAAACAAAACUCAAAGGAACAGGUCAUUGUGCAGAGUGCCGGACUUUAACAAAAACGCACGUUGCAAGACUACACUGGGGUGGACAAGAGCGCUCUUCACUCGUCGUCGUCCUCGUCGUCAUCGGCGGCACCGGCAGAGUUGUUGAGGGCGUUGAGCCUUUCGACGAGGCUGGCCUUCCUCUGCUCAUAGGUCAGCUUCUUGGGGUUGUACCUGCAUCCAAAAGACAAAGUUCACAAUGCAGCUCGCAGCAAGUUGUUAAAGAAACAGUGGUCAAGAGUAAAUGCACACUCAAGCCAGUAUGAUGAAGAGCUUGCCGAGUAUACCUCUUGUGAGUCUUGGGAGGCGCCUUGGUUGAUUUGGCCAUGGUGGGAUCAGCACGGAUGGCAGCAUGAACCUUCUUGUAAACUGCUUCCAUGUCAUCAGCUGAGAUUCCCCUCUUGAUGUACUCACUGAAAUGAGUUUGGAACUUCUCUGGUUCCUCAUCUGCUAGUGACUGGAAUAAGAGAAAGGCAAAGUUCAUUAACAGAUGAACAACGAACUAGGGUCAUUUCAUUGCUCUAGGUACAAGAGCAUGAACAAGGGUAAUACAAAAUCAAGAGAGCAAUGGCUUCCAACUCACCCUCAUGUAGUCAGCAACAUGCCCUCCAAAGAUGUACUUGCGGUGAAUCUCAGCAUCCAGCGACUUCUCGUCCUUUUUGAACCCAGCAAAUCUCUUGUCACUGUGGGGAAUGUCAAGGCCACCAUCCAAAGCUCCCUGCAGGACCAAAAAUAAUUACACCAGCGGCAAAAAAAAGCUCCAACGGAUAAAACCUAUGCAUUCUAAAACAAGUUCUGAAGUUCAGCCGAAUAGGGAGCAACAUAUAUCACUUGAUGCAAAUAAGAGAACGAAAAGCAACAACAAUGCCUUUUCACUAGGUCAAAUAGCAUAAAUAGUUGCUUUAGAAACUUGACACAAUAAAGCAGAGCACCUAAAAGCAAGUUACAGGGCAAACAUGCAAUUAAACUCCCAAGUCUAAGGUAGCUAAAGAAGAACGACCAAUCAUGAUUUGCCAAUAGUUUCAUGUCAAAGGCCUGUGACAUUGGGUGCCUAUCUGCAAUUAUAAAACUGUACAAUAAUAACACCGCUUACCUUAAGGGCACCAAACACACGGUUUCCAGUGGUGGUCCUAAUAAGACCAACAUCCAAAAGCGCACGGAAAGGCCUCCUCUCAUCAGAAGGCUCAACAGAGAAGUCCUCACCAGUGGCCUGAGCAGACAUAUAUUAGUUGUGUUCAUCAGACGCAGCAAAUCAGGAUAUUAAACUAAAAAUAAUGAUGAAAACAAAUUAUACCUCAACAUUGCCUUCAUACUCCUCAUCAAGAUCACGGUUCUUGAGCACACGACGAGCCAAAAGCAGACCAGUGCAGUAGGCUACAUCAUACAUUCAGAAAAUUAGAUUAGAAAAGAGGCAUGCAGAAGAUCACAGCAUGCAUUUGUGCAUUCAUUCAGUAGCUAAAAUCAACCUGCAGCAUAGUUGGUGAGGCCAACUUCAAGACCAUAGCGAGGCAACUCAUGGGAGUAGGCAGCGGCCAUCACAAUAUCACCAGCAAUGGUAGCAUACACAAUUUGUGCAGUGACAUCCUUGUUGGUCUAAAGUACUAUUGUUAAGAGAUACAACAUGCCUCCAAGGUAAUAAUAAGCAGAACAUUGAUGAUUGACAAGUGCAUAAAUUAUAAUGAAGAAACUUUGAAGGAUACAAAUCGCACAACAAAACGGUACUUGGGGGUAUUGUAUUUGUUCUUGUCCUGGUUUGUGAGCCUCAGCCUGGCCCUGUAGUCGGUCUUCCCCUCUGAGAAAACAUGGGGAAAAGGAAAAUCAGCCAAUCAGAAUCGCUGUCAAAUGACAGAAGUGGCAGAUUCAUGGAGAAGCAGGUGUUAGACAUACGGCGCCUUCUCUUGAACUUGACUUGGAAACGCUUGGAGUACGCCCUUGUCUUCUGGUUCUUGAUGUACACCUAGAAGACAUAUCCAAGAGAAGCACAUGAGUACAACUAGGUUUGGAACCCAGGAAACACUAGUAAUCAAUCAGGCGGCACAAACAAAACAUACAAGACAAGAUUUUAAGUAGCUCAUAGUUCCAUUCAAUGACGAGAAACCUCAUGGAACCUCCCAAGCUUAGGAUAAUCACAACAAGUAAUUGCUAAAUAAACCCCAGUUUACUAUCGCGACAAGAAACAAAACCGCACCAUACAGCAAUCCCUCGUCAAUCCACUACAGUGAUGAAUCUGGUCUAAGAAAUGGGAACUUCUUCUCAGUUCUAAAAUUAGAGCAGGCAGAGAGCUACUACAGCAUGAUUUGCGAGCAAUAAAAUCUUAUCAAGCGGCACAAAUCCAGAUCUAACAGAUUCUACGAGCGGCGAGUACUAUUCCUCCACGACACAGAGCAAAACCCCCGCAGAUCUGACCAGUCCAGUGCUGAAACCUUAAGCCCUGAGUUGGGUAGUGCAAGCUAUGAAACAAGAAUCGAAAACCUAGGCGACGAUUCCUGCAGCGAAGGCGCACGGAAGGCAGACGCUGCGGGCAGCAACGCGCGCGGACCGAAGCAGCAGCCAUGGAGGAAGAGGAGGAGGGGAGACCGGACGUACCAUCGCGCCUGCGAGGAGGGAGCUCCUGCGGAAGGAGGAGGCGGCGGCGGCGCGGGCGGAAGGGCUAGGGAUGGGAGGCAGCGUGGUGGCGCUUAUAUAUACGAGGGGGCGGGCCUGGCUGCUUGCUGGGCCGCGGUGCGAGUCGCCCCCGAAUGGGUGGGCUUCUUUCGGUCUGCUUCUAAGGCCCAUGAACUGCGUUUCGUUUUUUUUUUUCGGCUCACUGGAGAGCGAGAGCAUAACGGCCGCUGUUGCAUGUUGCAGUUGUAGAGGGGAGAUUAAGUUGACUAUCACUUCUUUUAUUUCAUGUAACGUAGUUCAUGAAUUUAAGAGCUCCAAUAAGGAGGCUCACAAUCUAGCGAAGCAUGCAUUAAUGUUAGGGUCUGGGCGUCAUGUUUGGUUAGGCCAGCCGGAAGGUCUUUCCUUCGUCCCUCUAAACAUUGUGACGGGUUGAAUAAAAGCUUCGUGAGAUUGCCUAAAAGUUGUAGAGGGGAGAGAGCAGUUGCUCGUUCCUUCGCUCGUCUUACGCUGGUACAAUACAAUACAAUACAAUAUAAAGAUAACAACAAACUUAUGUUUUUAUUAAAAUUAUCACAAAUGGACAUAAUUAAGUAGAUCAAUAAGGAUAUCGAGGGACUAGUCGAAGUCGCCAAACACGUUGUUUGCGGUGUACUCAAUCAACAUGUUCUCUGUUUCAGCAGGAUCCUCAUGCGGAUAAGGAAUCAUGGAGUUGCUCGGUCCAGGGGGGACAUCGUGCGAACCACCAGUUCCUUUUGCGUUAUGUGGAUGAAGGUUGAAGUUGGCUUCAAACGUCCCUUGAGGUGCUUUGCGUCCCUGGGAUUGUUGAUACAUCAUAACCAGAUGCUUGGGCAUUGUGCAUUUUUCAGUAGAAUGCGUGUAGCAUCCACACUUGUUGCAAAGCUUAGAUUUAUAAAACCUGGGCUUUGAAGUGCCUUUUCCCUUGCCUGGGUUUCUGGAUCUCAUGUUCCCACUGCGCUUUCGCUUAUGCUCGAAAUUGGAUUGUUUACCUCGAAAGGUACCAUUAAAAUUUUGUCUAUUCGCGACAUUCAGAUGAACUUCAGGUAAAGGUUGUGCCCCAACUGGGCGCUGAGAGUCAUUCUUAUCGAGUAGCUCAUCAUGCUUUUCAGCCUAAAGUAACAUGUGAAUAAGCUCAUAAUAGACAGUGUAGUUACGAGCACGGUAUUGCUGUUGGAGAAUCCUAUCUGAAGGGAGCAUAGUAGACAAAGUUUUCUCUAUCUUCUCCCCCUCAGUAGGUUCCUUCUCACAAAACGCGGUUUAGUACAUAUCUUAUGAACAGCAUGAUUGUACUCACCAAUGGACUUGAAAUCCUGAAGACGAAGAUGAGUCCAAUCAUGGAGUGCUUCGGGCAGGACUAUUGCCUUCUGUUGUUCAUACCUCGUUUUGAGGACCAGAAACAAAGUACUAGGGAGAUUACUCAUGUAAAUACUCACACUUGAGAUCUGAAUGAAUAUGGUGCCUUAUGAUGAAUAAAGCAGCGUAAUUCUGCUGUUCUGUCAGCGGCGUGGCUCCAGACGGGAGAGGAGUCCCAGGGGGUUGGAUUGCACGCGCUAUCCCACGAGACGCAAGACUGAUCUUGAUGUCCAUAGCCCAUGUAGGGUAGUUGUGGCCAUUGAGGGCAAGCUCCUCAAACUCUUUGGCGGUCAUCUUUGCCCACACGAGGAACCAGAGAUAAUUAAUUUACGGGUGGUAAAUUAAAAACCAUCGUGGUUCUGUAAUAAGAAUGCAAAAAAUUAAUGCUCAAGUGAAAAACUUGAAAAAUUCUCAACCUCAAUUGUGUGAACAUACACAUGGAAGAUCACUUAGAUCUCACAAUAAUAGGCUACAUUGUCAUUACCUUGUGUAUGCUACAAUUCAGAUAUAAGGAAUACACGUUGGAGGUAAUCGCUUGUCGAGAUUGACAAAAGCGUAGACCUCACAUUAAGUGGGGAUAAUUUGCAAAUGAGCAGUAGAUCCCAACUCAUUACCUUGUGAUUCCAAAUAUAAUGAGGGAGAAAUAUUCAAAAAUUUGCAAGUUUGGUAUGCGAGAGGAGAUGAUCUCAAUCGCAAAAACAUGUUUAAGAGAACUUGAUAUGUGGUAAACACAUGGAACAUGUCAUUCUUCCCAGAUGAAAUCCAGUACUUUAUUUAUAUUAUCAAUCCUUUGCAUAAUAUAAACACACUAAUAAUUACACAAGUCCUAACCUAGAUUAAAUCUAGAACUGGACUAGAAUGUAAGUAGCAGUCAAACUAGGUGCUAAACAGUAUAAACAUAGUAUAAAACUGCACUAAUACAAUAAUUAGUACUAAUGUUUAACUAAAACAGAGAAAAAAAUGAAAAACGAAUCCUGAAGGGGCAGGCCAGGCACCUAGGCCUGGGCCGCCACGGCCUUUGGCUGGUCCACCCGCGGCUCCACCGCAUAACAGAGAGAGGGGACGACGGAUAAGGGUCGGAUAAUCCGACACCCACACUACCCUAUUGAUCCCCACUCUACAUGGCGCCGCCGACGGAUUGGAGAGGCCGCCGCCGCCCCUCACGACUCCAGUGGUCACCGGCACAGCACGGACGAGCCCUCCUCGUCCGAAGAAGAGUUGACGACGACAGGGUCUAGGCGAGCACCCUGUGGCGUAGCGCUGGUGAGGCCGAGGCUCGCCGGAGCCCACGAACCGGGGUGACGGUCGAUGGCAGCGAGGACGCGCCCAAAGAGGCGUCCGAAGCGUCAUUCUACGCGGCUGCUCGAGCCCGCGGUUGCCUCUAGCAUCGGCGGGGCGUUGGCGUCCGCGCCCUCCAUCCCUGCUCCGAGGCGGAUGACGCCAUACGGUGGGCGCUGAUGUCUACUAUGCAACUUUAUUCUUGUAGACUCGUGUUGCGCCUCCAAGUGCAGAGUUCUGUAGGACAGUAGCAAUUUUCCCUCAAGUGGAUGACCUAAGGUUUAUCAAUUCGUGGGAGGUAUAGGAUGAAGAUGGUCUCUCUUAAACGACCCUGCAACCAAAUACAAGAAAUAUCUUGUGUCCCCAACACACCCAAUACAAUGGCAAAUUGUAUAGGUGCACUAGUUCGGCAAAGAGAUGGUGAUAAAAGUGUAAUAUUGAUGGUAGAAAUAUAUUUUUAUAAUCUGAAUAAAUAAAAAUAGCAAGGUAGCAAAUAGUAAACGGGCACAAAAACGGUAUUGCAAUGCUUAAAAAGGAGGCCGAGGGUCCGUACUUUCGCUAGUGCAAUCUCUCAACAGUGCUAACAUAGUUGGAUCAUAUGAUUAUCCCUCAAAGUACAGCAAAGAAUCACUCCCGAGUUCCUAUUAGCGGAGAACAAAAGAUAGGAAUUUGUUUGUAGGGUACGAAACCAUCUCAAAGCUAUUCUUUCUGUUCGAUCUAUCCUAGAGUUCAUACUAGAAUAACGCAAGCUAUUCUUUCCGAUCGAUCUAAUAAAGAGUUCGUACUAAGAUAACACCAAACAAAAUUCAUAUUCAUAAUACUCAAUCCAGACAAAGAACUAUAAAGAGACCCCGAAGUUUCUACCGGAGAAAAACGUGCAUCAACCCCUAUGCAUAGAUUACUCCAAUAUCACCGCGGGAAUCCGCGAGUUGAAUGCCAUAACAUAUAUCAAGUGAAUCAAUAGGAUACCCUAAUUGUCACAUCAAUUAUUCAUACCGCAAAACAUAUAUCAUGUGUUCUCAUCUCUGAAUAUUCAAUCCGAUAUGACAAAACUUCAAAGGGGAAAGAUUCAAUUCAUCACAACGAGAGUAUAGAGGGGAGAAACAUCAUAUGAUCCGACUAUAUUAACAAAGCCCAUGAUAUAGAUGUUGGGGAACGUAAUAAUUUCAAAAUUUUCCUACGCACACGCAAGAUCAUGGUGAUGCAUAGCAAUGAGCGGGAGAGUGUUGUCUACGUACCCUUGUAGACCGUAAGCAGAAGCAUUUUGUCAACGCGGUUGAUGUAGUCGUACGUCUUCACGAUCCAACCGAUCCAAGUACCGAACGCACGGCACCUCCGAGUUCAGCACAUGUUCAGCUCGAUGACGUCCCACGAACUCACGAUCCAGCAGAGUGUCGAGGGAGAGUUUCGUCAGCACGACGGCGUGGUGAUGGUGAUGAUGAAGCUACCGACGCAGGGCUUCACCUAAGCACUACGACGAUAUGACCGAGGUGGAUUAUGGUGGAGGGGGGCACCGCACACGGCUGGAAACAAUCAACUUGCGUGUUCUAGGGUGCCCCCUGCCCCCGUAUCUAAAGGAGCAAGGGGGGAGGCCGGCCGGCCCUUGUGGCGCGCCAGGAGAGGAGGAGUCCUCCUCCUAGUAGGAGUAGGACUCCCCUUUCCUACUCCUACUAGGAGGGGGAAAGGAAGGAGGAGAGGGAGAAGGAAAAGGGGGGCACCGCCCCCCUCCUUGUCCAAUUCGGACUCCCAAGGGGGGGGGCGGCCUGCCCUGGCCGGCCCUCUCUCUCUCCACUAAGGCCCAUGAGGCCUAUUAGUUCUCCCGGGGGGGUCCGGUUGAAGGAAAUAUUCCCUAGAGGCAAUAAUAAAGUUGUUAUUUAUAUUUCCUUAUAUCAUGAUAAAUGUUUAUUAUUCAUGCUAGAAUUGUAUUAACCGGAAACUUAGUACAUGUGUGAAUACAUAGACAAACAUAGUGUCACAAGUAUGCCUCUACUUGACUAGCUCGUUGAAUCAAAGAUGGUUAAGUUUCCUAGCCAUAGACAUGAGUUGUCAUUUGAUUAACGGGAUCACAUCAUUAAAGAAUGAUGUGAUUGACUUGACCCAUUCCGUUAGCUUAGAUUUUGAUCGUUUAGUAUAUUGUUAUUGCUUUCUUCAUGACUUAUACAUGUUCCUAUGACUAUGAGAUUAUGCAACUCCCGAAUACCGGAGGAACACUUUGUGUGCUACCAAACGUCACAACGUAACUGGGUGAUUAUAAAGGUGCUCUACAGGUGUCUCCGAUGGUACUUGUUGAGUUGGCAUAGAUCAAGAUUAGGAUUUGUCACUCCGAUUAUCGGAGAGGUAUCUCUGGGCCCUCUCGGUAAUGCACAUCACUAUAAGCCGUGCAAGCAAUGCAACUAAUGAGUUAGUUGCGGGAUGAUGUAUUACGGAACGGGUAACGAGAUUGAACUAGGUAUUGGGAUACCGACGAUCGAAUCUCGGGCUAGUAACAUACCGAUGACAAAGGGAACAACAUAUGUUGUUAUGCGGUUUGACCGAUAAAGAUCUUCGUAGAAUAUGUAGGAACCAAUAUGAGCAUCCAGGUUCCGCUAUUGGUUAUUGACCGGAGACGUGUCUCGGUCAUGUCUACAUAGUUCUCGAACCCGUAGGGUCCACACGCUUAACGUUUGGUGACGAUCGGUAAUAUGAGUUUAUGUGUUUUGAUGAAGCGAAGGUAGUUCAGAGUCCCUGAUAUGAUCACGGACAUGACGAGGAGUCUCGAAAUGGUCGAGACAUAAAGAUCGAUAUAUUGGAUGACUAUGUUUGGACUUCGGAAGGGUUCCGGGUAAGUUCGGACAAAUACCGGAGUAUCGGGGGGUUACCCGGAACCCCCCGGGGGGUGUAAUGGGCCUAUUGGGCCUUAGUGGAGAAGUGGAGGGGCGACCAGGGCAGGCCGCGCGCCCCCUCCCCCUCUAGUCCGAAUUGGACAAGGAAGGGGGGGCCCCCUUUUUCCUUCCCCCUCUCUCCUCCUUCCUUCCCUCCUACUCCUACUCUUGGAAGGGUUGGAGUCCUACUCCCGGUGGGAGUAGGACUCCCCUUGGGGCGCACCUAGGAGGCCGGCCCCCUCCCCCUCCUCCACUCCUUUAUAUACGGGGGAGGGGGCACCCCAUAGUGACAGAAGUUGAUCUUUUAGCCGUGUGCGGUGCCCCCCUCCACCAUAAUCCACCUCGGUCAUAUCGUAGUGGUGCUUAGGCGAAGUCCUGCAUCGGUAGCAUCAUCAUCACUGCCAUCACGCCGUCGUGCUGACGGAACUCUCCCUCGAAGCUCUGCUGGAUCAUGAGUUCGUGGGACGUCACCGAGCUGAACGUGUGCUGAACUCGGAGGUGCCAUGUGUUCGGUACUUGGAUCAGUCGGAUCAUGAAGACGUACGACUACAUCAACCGCGUUGUCAUAACGCUUCCGCUUACGGUCUACGAGGGUACGUAGACAACACUCUUCCCCUCAUUGCUAUGCAUCACCAUGAUCUUGCGUGUGCGUUGGAAUUUUUUUGAAAUUACUACGUUCCCUAACAGUGGCAUCCGAGCCAGGUUUAUGCGUAGAUGUUAUAUGCACGAGUAGAACACAAGUGAGUUGUGGGCGAUACAAGUCAUACUGCUUACCAGCAUGUCAUACUUUGAUUCGGCGGCAUUGUUGGAUGAAGUGGCCCGGACCGACAUUACGCGAACGCUUACGUGAGACUGGUUCUACCAACGUGCUUCGCACAAAGGUGGCUGGCGGGUGUCAGUUUCUCCAACUUUAGUUUAAUCGAGUGUGGCUAUGCCCGGUCCUUGUGAAGGUUAAAAUAACACAUACUUGACGAAAUAUCGUUGUGGUUUUGAUGCGUAGGUAAGAACGGUUCUUGUUCAGCCCAUAGCAGCCACGUAAAACUUGCAACAACAAAGUAGAGGACGUCUAACUUGUUUUUGCAGGGCAUGUUGUGAUGUGAUAUGGUCAAGACAUGAUGCUAAAUUUUAUUGGAUGAGAUGAUCAUGUUUUGUAACAGAGUUAUCGGCAACUGGCCGGAGCCAUAUGGUUGUCGCUUUAUUGUAUGAAAUGCAAUCGCCAUGUAAUUGCUUUACUUUAUCACUAAGCGGUAGCGAUAGUCGUAGAAGCAAUAGUUGGCGAGACGACAACGAUGCUACGAUGGAGAUCAAAGGUGUCGCGCCGGUGAUGAUGGUGAUCAUGACGGUGCUUUGGAGAUGGAGAUCAAAGGCACAAGAUGAUGAUGGCCAUAUCAUAUCACUUAUAUUGAUUGCAUGUGAUGUUUAUCCUUUAUGCAUCUUAUUUUGCUUAGAUCGACGGUAUCAUUAAGAUGAUCUCUCACUAAAUUUCAAGGUAUAAGUGUUCUCCCUGAGUAUGCACCGUUGCGAAAGUUCAUCGUGCCGAGACACCACGUGAUGAUCGGGUGUGAUAAGUGCAGGAGCAACGCCAGAUGUUAUGAACGUCUGGCAGAGCAAAGCUGAUGACUACUCGUUAGUUCAGUGUGCCAUACUUUACGGCUUAGAACCGGGACUUCAACGACGUUUUGAACGUCAUGGAGCAUAUGAGAUGUUCCAGGAGUUGAAGUUAAUAUUUGAAGCAAAUGCCCGAAUUGAGAGAUAUGAAGUCUCCAAUAAGUUCUACAGCUGCGAGAUGGAGGAGAAUAGUUCUGUCAGUGAGCAUAUACCCAAAAUGUCUGGGUAUAACAAUCACUUGAUUCAACUGGGAGUUAAUUUUCUGGAUGAUAGUGUCAUUGACAGAAUUCUUCAAUCACUGCCACCAAGCUACAAGAGCUUCGUGAUAAACUAUAAUAUGCAAGGGAUGGACAAGACAAUUCCCGAGCUCUUCGCAAUGCUAAAGGCUGCGGAGGUAGAAAUCAAGAAGGAGCAUCAAGUGUUGAUGGUCAACAAGACCGCCAGUUUCAAGAAAAAGGGUAAAGGGAAUAAGGGGAACUUCAAGAAGAACGGCAAGCAAGUUGCUGCUCAAGUGAAGAAGCCCAAGUCUGGACCUAAGCCUGAGACUGAGUGCUUCUACUGCAAAGGGACUGGACACUGGAAGCGGAACUGACCCAAGUAUUUGGCGGAUAAGAAGGAUGGCAAGGUGAACAAAGGUAUAUGUGACAUACAUGUUAUUGAUGUGUACCUUACUAAUGCUCGCAGUAGUGCCUGGGUAUUUGAUACUGGUUCUGUUGCUAAUAUUUGCAACUCGAAACAGGGACUACGGAUUAAGCGAAGAUUGGCUAAGGACGAGGUGACGAUGCGCGUGGGAAAUGGUUCCAAAGUCGAUGUGAUCGCGGUCGGCACGCUACCUCUACAUCUACCUUCGGGAUUAGUUUUAGACCUGAAUAAUUGUUAUUUGGUGCAUGCGUUAAGCAUGAACAUUAUAUCUGGAUCUUGUUUGAUGCGAGACGGUUAUUCAUUUAAAUCAGAGAAUAAUGGUUGUUCAAUUUAUAUGAGUAAUAUCUUUUAUGGUCAUGCACCCUCGAAGAGUGGUCUAUUCUUUUUGAAACUCGAUAGUAGUGAUACACAUAUUCACAAUAUUGAAGCCAAAAGAUGCAGAGUUGAUAAUGAUAGUGCAACUUAUUUGUGGCACUGCCGUUUAGGUCAUAUUGGUGUAAAGCGCAUGAAGAAACUCCAUUCUGAUGGACUUUUGGAAUCACUUGAUUAUGAAUCACUUGGUACUUGCGAACCAUGCCUCAUGGGCAAGAUGACUAAAACGCCGUUCUCCGGAACAAUGUAGCGAGCAACAGAUUUAUUGGAAAUCAUACAUGCUGAUGUAUGUGGUCCAAUGAAUGUUGAGGCUCGCGGCGGGUAUCGUUAUUUUCUCAGCUUCACAGAUGAUUUAAGCAGAUAUGGGUAUAUCUACUUAAUGAAACAUAAGUCUGAAACAUUUGAAAAGUUCAAAGAAUUUCAGAGUGAAGUGGAAAAUCAUCGUAACAAGAAAAUAAAGUUUCUAUGAUCUAAUCGUGCAGGAGAAUAUUUGAGUUACAAGUUUGGUCUUCAUUUGAAAAAUUGCGGAAUAGUUUCGCAGCUCACGCAACCCGGAACACCACAGCGUAAUGGUGUGUCCGAACGUCGUAAUCGUACUUUACUAGAUAUGGUGUGAUCUAUGAUGUCUCUUACUGAUUUACCACUAUCGUUUUGGGGUUAUGCUUUAGAGACGGUUGCAUUCACGUUAAAUAGGGCACCAUCUAAAUCCGUUGAGACGACGCCUUAUGAACUAUGGUUUGGCAAGAAACCAAAGUUGUCGUUUCUUAAAGUUUGGGGCUGCGUUGCUUAUGUGAAAAGGCUUGAACCUGAUAAGCUCGAUCCCAAAUCGGAGAAAUGUGUCUUCAUAGGAUACCCAAAGGAAAUUGUUGGGUACACCUUCUAUCACAGAUCCGAAGGCAAGACUUUUGUUGCUAAGAAUGGAUCGUUUCUAGAGAAGGAGUUUCUCUCGAAAGAAGUGAGUGGGAGGAAAGUAUAACUUGAUGAGGUAAUUGUACUUACUCCCUUAUUAGAAAGUAGUUCAUCACAGAAAACUAUACCAAUUAGCGAGGAAGCUAAUGAUGAUGAUCAUGUAACUUCAGAUCAAGUUACUGCCGAACCUCGUAGGUCAACCAGAGUAAGAUCCGCACCAGAGUGGUACGGUAAUCCUGUUCUAGAGGUCAUGUUACUUGACCAUGACGAACCUACGAACUAUGAGGAAGCGAUGAUGAGCCCAGAUUCCGCAAAAUGGCUUGAGGCCAUGAAAUCUGAGAUGGGAUCCAUGUAUGAGAACAAAGUGUGGACUUUGGUUGACUUGCCCGAUGAUCGGCAAGCCAUAGAGAAUAAAUGGAUCUUCAAGAAGAAGACUGACGCUGACGGUAAUGUUACUGUCUACAAAGCUCGACUUGUUGCGAAAGGUUUUCGACAAGUUCAAGGAGUUGACUAUGAUGAGACUUUCUCACGCAUAGCGAUGCUUAAGUCCGUCCGAAUCAUGUUAGCAAUUGCCGCAUUUUAUGAUUAUGAAAUUUGGCAAAUGGAUGUAAAAACUGCAUUCCUGAAUGGAUUUAUGGAAGAAGAGUUGUAUAUGAUGCAACCUGAAGAUUUUAUCGAUCCAAAGGGUGCUAACAAAGUGUGCAAGCUCCAGCGAUCCAUCUAUGGACUGGUGCAAGCAUCUCGGAGUUGGAAUAAACAUUUUGAUAGUGUGAUCAAAGCAUAUGGUUUUAUACAGACUUUUGGAGAAGCCUGUAUUUACAAGAAAGUGAGUGGGAGCUCUGUUGCAUUUCUAAUAUUAUAUGUGGAUGACAUAUUGUUGAUUGGAAAUGAUAUAUAAUUUCUGGAUAGCAUAAAAGGAUACUUGAAUAAGAGUUUUUCAAUGAAAGACCUCGGUGAAGCUGCGUAUAUAUUGGGCAUCAAGAUCUAUAGAGAUAGAUCAAGAUGCUUAAUUGGACUUUCACAAAGCACAUACCUUGAUAAAGUUUUGAAAAAGUUCAAAAUGGAUCAAGCAAAGAAAGGGUUCUUGCCUGUGUUACAAGGUGUGAAGUUGAGUCAGACUCAAUGCCCGACCACUGCAGAAUAUAGAGAGAAAAUGAAAGAUGUUCCCUAUGCUUCAGCCAUAGGCUCUAUCAUGUAUGCAAUGUUGUGUACGAGACCUGAUGUGUGCCUUGCUAUUAGCUUAGCAGGGAGGUACUGUUGGGGAUAUAACUAUUGAGUAUAAACCGCCCAGGAGGGGCCGGGUUAUGCUCAUAGUGAUUUACCCAUAUUUGAAGCGCAUGAAGACAUGGAAGAUGGCGCUUUACGAGGGAGGCUUAAUAGUAAGGCCCAAAGCCCAAAGGCGGAUUAGGGUCCAAAGAUGUAAACCGCCAUAAGAUGUAUGACUUGUAUUGUAAGAUAGGAAAGAGUAGAAACCGAGCCGAACGCGUUUAUGAGCCGGCCGGGAUUCUGCAAACCGCUGGGUGUCAACCUGUGUAUAUAAAAGGACAACCCGACGGCGGUUUAAGGGCAAGAAACAACAACUCAAGAGCCAGGCAAAGCGUAUUCGCUCCCUGGUCAUCGAAACCCUAGCAAUACCACCUCAAACUGGAUUAGGCCUUUACCUUCACCGCAAGGGGCCGAACCAGUAUAAACUCCCCGUGUCCUUUGUCCUGUUUAACCCCGUUAAGCUAACCUCGUCACAAUGGCUCCACAACCAAGUCCUUCCAUGAGGACAUCCGUCGUGACAUUUCCACGACAGUUGGCGCCCACCGUGGGGCCAGCGCACGGUGGUUUCGAGUUCUUAAAGGGCAGCUUUGAAGGGAUCAAGGGGUACGCUGUGGGCCGGAUGACCAAGAGUCGUCGCGGUAAGCUCUACAUCAAUGACGCAGGCUGGGGCCCCGACGCCGGCUCAAUUGAGUACGGGUACUGGGUCCCCUUUGGAGGAAUUCACGUCUUCAUCGGCAAGAUCAGCGAACCGGGCCCUGAGCCAGACAUCUGCACCGACAUCAUCGAAACGGCUCAACGUGCGAGACCCUCCCGGGUUCAGCCUGCCAUGAAGCAUGCCUUCGUGGGAUUCAUCCACAGGGCGGAAUCUGAGGAUAGAUCGGUAUCUGGUGGUGAGAUCAUCAUUUAUUCAGAUGGCGAGUCAUCUACUGGAGAAACCGAGUCGUUGUACCAACUGCAAGACGGCUGUCUUGGGGGCUAUUCCGAUGGUGACAGUAUUCCGGAUCCCUACGAGCCGCCGAACCGAGUCACAAUCUUCAUGGCCGGUACACAGCCAGGGCAGAAUUCCUCAACUGCGGCGGCGUUGAUUUCCGGACCAGCAGCGGCAACAGCGGCCGGGGCAGGUGGCCCUGUGCACCCGCCGGCUCAAGUCUUGUCUGGUUUACUUGACACUUUAGCAACACUGAUGACGGCCGAGGUUAGUGGGGCAAAUCGAGACGAGCAUAAUGCGGAAGUUGCAAAGGUGAGAGACCAGAUAGCUCAAGCCAAGGAAGACCUGACAGCCGAGGACGUGAGGAUGGCCACGAUGCGGGCCGAGUUGGAUGUUCAGGCGUAGCGGAUUCAAUUGGAGUCCUUCCGGCUUUGCUAGAUCAGAACGCGUCAAAUGAUGUGAUGAGGAGAAGGCUUCCUUUGGUUUACGAGGCGAGAAACCUCUUUAACACGCCCGGAGCAGGGACCAGUAACCAGCCAGUGGUAAACCGGACUGAAACACCGGGAACGGGGGCGCCGGUUCAACCGCGCACGAUGUACCCGCCUCGUCAAGACAAUAACCCGCCGCAACACGUGCCGACGCCGCAGCAUGUGCCGACACCGCCGGGUCAUUACUCUAACCCCUUGGAUAACAUGGUUGCGGCCGCUUCGCGAUUGGCGGCUCUCCCAGUCGACGGUGAGUCCCCAAUAGCGGUUGAGACGCGGCGGGCUAGAGAGCUCCUUCAGACAUCCUUGGCUGAGCAGCAAGCUUAUUCGUACAGCCGUGAGAGGAUUCAUUCCACCCCCCGCCCAAGCCGGAGUUACAGCAGACAUAUUGACGAGCCGGCCGUGUCAAGUAGUGCGCGAAAUCGUAAUCCGCCUCGCGGCCAUAACCCGGCAAGCGGUGGUGCUGAUGCUUAGAACAUGGUGGACCAAGGUAGAGCACGUCGAGAGGCCGAGCUGGCGGCGCAGUACGCGGCCGGUCAACCUUAUCCGGUUCGUCUGACGACUUCGGUCGAGACAGGUGUGACUUUCAGGACUUUGGGUGUACCGUGUUUCGCCCCGGCUCUGCGUAACGUAUGGUUGCCCAAGGAUUUAAAGGUCCCCGUAAGGUGCCCAACUACACUGUCGAUUUACCUCCUGAAGCAUGGAUUGAGAGUUAUGAGAUGGCGAUGGAACUGUUGGAUGUUGAUGAGGCUGCAUGCGCUAAAUACUUCACCAUGAUGUUGGAACGGACGACUCGUACUUGGUUGAAGGGGUUACCGGCUAACUCUGUUGGAUCAUGGGCCGAGUUAAAAGCCCGGUUUAUCCAGAAUUUCAAGGACACGUGCAAGCAGCCCAUGUCAAUUGUGGAUUUGGCCUCCUGUGUCCAAGAAGAAGGUGAGUCGACAACCCAUUGGGUGCACCGGGUUUCAACAAUCCUGCACUCAUUAGACCGGAUCAAUGCUGAUUCAACAGUCUUGACGUUGGAGAAAAAUUGCCGUUUUACGCCCCUCAAGCAAAAAUUAGGGCGGCUAAAACGCCACUGCAAUGACAUGGGGACGCUCAUGCCGCCUCUGGUAAAAUACGCUGACUCUGAUGGUACCAAGGACCCCGAGUCUGACGAUGAAAAGACGGGAAAGGUAAAGAAGAGCAGCAGCACCAGAGAGCAGCAGCAUAACCCGGCGGUGAAUCAAGGAGGUAAUGGUAAGCGCAAGGCUGAUAAUAGUUUGGACUUUGUGGCAAAUACCAAUGCACAUAAUAAUGGCCAGGGUCAUAAGGGUAGACCGCCCCCACAGACCGGAGGAUCAGGCAUUAAUCUUGAGCAUCUGUUGAAUCAGCCCUGCCCAAGGCAUGGUACGCGACAAAGACCGUCUACUCAUCUCUGGAAGGAUUGUUUUAUCGUGAAGGAAUUCAAAAAUUCAAAUCUUUUUCAAGGCAACCAUGGACCGGGUGGUGGUUCAGGAUCUGGCUCUCAGGGUCCGGGUUAUGGUGGUGGCGGUUCAAGCUCUAGAUUCCAAGGCAAUCAAGGUAAUUGAGGCAAUCAGGGCAAUCAGGGGGGUUACCAUCAACAGUCAGGUCAGGGGAAUCAGCAGCAACAGUCUGGGUAUCAGAGUAACCCGAAGCAGUUGAAUAGUGGGCAAUACCACAUCUUCACCACGAGUUUAUGCAAACGAGAUCAGAAGCUUCAUAAAAGGGCAGUAAACUCCGUUGAACCGGCAGUGCCCCGUUACUUGCGCUGGUCUGAGCGGCCCAUUAUCUGGAGUCGAGAGGAUCAUCCGCCCCGGGUUGAUAAUCCGGGUCAUCUGGCAUUGGUGGUUGCGCCUCAGGUUGGAGGGUAUAAGUUCACCAAGGUGCUCAUGGACGGAGGGAGCAGCAUCAAUAUCCUUUAUUAUGAAACCUUCCGUCGCAUGGGGUUGACAGAUAAAAAUCUUAAACCGUUGAACACUGUUUUCCAUGGUGUGGUGCCCGGUAAAUCGGUGUAUCCAGUUGGUAAGAUAGCUCUGGAGGUUGCUUUUGGAGACGAUCAUGACUCUAGAUCAGAGACAUUAACCUUUGAGGUGGUGAAAAUCAAGAGCCCUUAUCAUGCCCUGUUUGGACGGCCAGCUUAUGCUAAGUUCAUGGCAAGGCCCUGUUAUGUUUAUCUGCAGCUCAAGAUGCCGGGUCAUAAGGGGACCGUCACGGUACAUGGGAGCCGGAAGAUAGCUUUGGAAUGUGAAGAGGGUGAUGCGGCUUAUGCUGAGUCGGUUUGUGCAACCGAGGAGUUGAAGUUUUAUAAGGACAAUGUUGAUCCGGCGGAUAUGACUUCUUUGAAAAAGUCAACUACAAAGCAUGAUCCGGCCUUGAAGUUUAAAUCGGCUGAUGAAACUAAACUGGUUGAUUUUGUUCCUAGCGAUUCAUCCAAGCAGUUCAGCAUCAGCGCUAAUCUGGAUCCGAAAUAGGAAAGCACGCUCAUCGAGUUCAUCCGUGAGAACCGGGACAUCUUUGCAUGGAAACCUUCUGACAUGCCAGGUGUACCGAGGGAACUCGCUGAGCACACCCUUAACAUUGAUCCUAAGUUUAAACCGGUCAAGCAGUUUCUCCGCCGGUUCAAUGAGGAGAGGCGUAAGGCCAUUGGUGAAGAGGUCGCCCGGCUCUUGGCGGCUGGUUUUAUUGUUGAAGUUUUUCAUCCUGAGUGGUUGGCUAACCCGGUGCUGGUACUCAAGAAGAAUGGCACUUGGCGCAUGUGUGUGGACUACACAGAUUUAAACUAGGCUUGUCCAGCUGAUCCUUUUGCUCUCCCUCGUAUUGAUCAGAUUAUUGAUGCUACGGCGGGUUGUGAGCGUUUGAGUUUUUUGGAUGCUUAUUCUGGAUAUCAUCAAAUCAAGAUGGCAGUUAAGGACCAGGAGAAGACAUCUUUUAUAACUCCCUUUGGAGCCUUCUGCUAUGUGUCUAUGCCUUUUGGGCUCAAGAGCGCCCAGGCAACGUAUCAGCCAUGUGUGCAGAAUUGCCUUCAUAAUCAGAUUGGGUGCAAUGUUCAUGCUUAUGUGGAUGAUAUUGUGGUAAAAUCCAGGAAGAAUGAGACGUUGAUAGAUGAUCUGAAGGAAACCUUUGAUAAUCUCCGGGUUUAUAAAAUGAUGCUUAAUCUGACCAAGUGUGUUUUUGGUGUUCCGGCAGGCAAGCUCUUGGGCUUUCUGGUGUCUAACAGGGGCAUUGAAGCUAAUCCGGAGAAGAUCAAGGCCAUCACUUCUCUGACUAAACCGGCAUGUGUUAAUGAUGUGCAACGUCUGGCAGGUCGUAUUGCGGCCUUAAGCCGGUUUAUAAGCCGGUUGGGAGAGAAGGCUAUCCCUCUAUAUCAAAUGAUGAAAAAGACAGAUAAUUUUGUCUGGAGUGAUGCCGCUAAUGCGGCCUUUGAGGAUUUGAAGAAGUAGUUAGCUGAGCCACCUGUUCUUGCUGCCCCUGUUGAUAAGGAGCCAUUGCUGUUAUAUGUGGCUGCUAAUGCCCGGGUUGUCAGCGUGGCUAUUGUGGUGGAGCGAAAGGAGGCAGGCAAGGAAUAUCCGGUUCAACGGCCAGUUUAUUAUAUCAGUGAGGUGCUUAUUGAGUCUAAGCAGAGAUACCCACAUUGGCAGAAGCUUGUGUAUGGAGUUUUCAUGGCAAGCCAGAAGUUUAAGCAAUAUUUUCAGGGUCAUCCCAUCACUGUGGUCAGUUCUGCUCCUUUGGGAGAUAUCAUCCAAAACAGAGAAGCAACUGACCGGGUUGCUAAGUGGGCUAUUGAGCUUGGACCUCACGGGUUAAAAUAUAUGCCUCGUACGGCUAUCAAAUCUCAAGCACUUGUGGAUUUCAUCAAUGAUUGGACAGAGUUGCAGGCAUCAGAGGAAAAUCCAGAUAACACAUAUUGGACUAUUCAUUUUGAUGGCUCCAGGCAAUUGGAGGGCUCGGGGGCUGGAGUUGUGCUCACUUCCCCUCGAGGUGACAAGUUUCGUUAUGUUCUUCAUUUGAUGUUCCCUUGUACUAACAAUGCAGCUGAGUAUGAGGCCUUGCUCCAUGGUCUUCGAAUGGCUAAGGAGAUGAACUUAAGCCAGGUAAGGUGCUUUGGUGACUCAGACUUGGUAGCUCAACAAGUCUCUGGUACUUGGGAUUCCAAGGAUCCACUCAUGGUGGCUUAUCGACGGGAGGUGGAUGUUAUUGCGGGUCACUUCAAGGGUUAUCAGGUUGAGCAUGUUGAUCGGUGCAAAAAUGAAGCGGCGGACGCUUUAAGCCGGUUGGGUUCUCAACGUAAACUGGUGCCGCCCAAUGUUUUUCUUGACGUUUUGCAUAACCCGUCGGUCAAGUUACCUACAGAGGAGGAUUUGGCUAUUCCUGACCCGGAGGCACAGUUGGUGGCGGCUCUUCAUGUUAUCCCUGAUUGGACGGUCCCAUAUUUGGCAUAUAUGACCCGGGGCGAGUUACCUGAGGACGAAACUUUGGCCAGGCAGAUAACCCGGCGGUCCAAGUCAAUGACUAUUGUCAAUGGGGAGUUGCAUCAUUGCAGUGUCACAGGGGCGUUUCAGCGUUGCUUCUCUCCUGAAAAAGGCUAUGAGAUUUUGCGUGAGAUCCACGAAGGAGAUUGUGGUCAUCAUGCCGGUUCAAAAUCUCUAGUAGCCAAGGUUUUUCGUCACGGUUUCUAUUGGCUGACGGCUCAUGCUGAUGCUGAGGACUUGGUCAAGAAAUGUGACGGUUGUCAAAAGUUUUCACGUCGAGCUCAUGUUCCGGCUCAGGAGUUGAGGAUGAUUCCGAUCACUUGGCCGUUUGCAACUUGGGGGCUUGAUAUGGUUGGACCUUUUAAGAGGUCCAAGGAUAAGAAAACCCACCUUCUGGUGGCGGUUGGUAAGUUCACUAAGUGGGUAGAGGCAGAGCCAGUCAGUAAGUGUGAUGCAGCACCGGCGGUUCAAUUCAUGAAGAAGGUGAUCUUCCGUUUUGGCUUCCCACACAACAUUAUAACAGACAAUGGCACUAAUCUCUCCAAAGGUGCUACGAAAGAAUUUUGCCAACGUGAGCACAUCCGGCUUGAUGUGUCAUCAGUGGCUCACCCCCAGUCUAAUGGUCAAGCGGAGAGAGCCAACCAAGAGAUCCUGAGAGGCAUCAAGCCCCGGCUUAUGGUUCCCUUGCAAAGGACGCUGGGUUGCUGGGUGAAGGAGUUACCUUCCGUGUUGUGGAGCAUUAAUACCACCCCCAACAGGUCUACGGGUUACAUGCCUUUCUUCAUGGUUUACGGAGCAGAAGCAGUUCUCCCUAGUGACAUCCGUCAUGACUCGCCUCGCGUGGCGGCUUAUGUUGAAGCGGACAAUGAAAAAACACGUCAAGAAGCACUGGACCUGUUAGAUGAGAAGCGGGACAUAGCGGCGGCUCGAUCGACGAUUUACCAGCAAGAUCUGCAUCGUUAUCACAGCCGUCGGGUUAAAACCAGAACUUUUCAAGAAGGGGAUCUGGUGCUCCGGCUUAUCCAGGAUCAGGCUGAUAUGCACAAGUUAUCCCCACAUUGGGAGGGACCCUUUGUGGUCAGCGAGAAUCUGAACAACGGGUCAUACUACCUUAUCGAUGUUCGAGAGCACAAAGACACGUAAAUCGGAGGAGGAGACCCACCGGCCGUGGAAUAUUGCUCAUCUUCGGCCUUACUACACCUGAGCCACAGGCUCUCCUUAUGUACAUAUUUCUGACAAUGUAUAUAUUAUGAUCAAUAUAAUAAACCGGCAUCCCCGCUAAAGCGGGGCCUCUGUCGUUCUUUCUUAAAAAAAUUGGUCACAUGGGGGCUUCCGGCUUAUGCAUGAAGUUAUGAUUGCCCUUUGAACCGGCUGAUAAGCCAAAAAAAACACUUGGGGGCUUGCUACCCAGGUUAAAGGGACCAAAGAGAGUCUGUUGUAAAAGCACAGCUCAAACAUAGGUGCCCCUUGGGCACAACCCACAAUAUCAUUUGGGGGCUUGGUCGUAUUCGAACCAUAGCUUAUACCCUCUUGAUUGGCGUAAGGCCACCAGGAUAAUCACUUGGGGGCUUGGUCGUAUUCGAACCAUAGCUUAUACCCACUUGAUUGGUGUAAGGCCACCAGGAUAAUCACUUGGGGGCUUGGUCGUAUUCGAACCAUAGCUUAUACCCUCUUGAUUGGCGUAAGGCCACCAGGAUGAUCACUUGGGGGCUUUGGUCGUAUUCGAACCAAAGCUUAUACCCUCUUGAUCGGCGUAAGGCCACCGGGAUGAUCACUUGGGGGCUUUGGUCGUAUUCGAACCAAAGCUUAUACCCUCUUGAUCGGCGUAAGGCCACCAGGAUGAUCACUUGGGGGCUUUGGUCGUAUCCGAACCAUAGCUUAAACCCUCUUGAUCGGCGCAAUGCCACAAUUAUGACUAUCUAAAUCUUCUUGAUUUUUUAGGUUUAUUUGAUAAGGCUUAUAAUGCUUUAUGAUUAUAAUUCAACUGUGUUUAUUAACCCAGCCUGGCCUUUGACUAUAAGUCACCAGUAAGAGGUAAACUAAUAUCCGGUGUUUAUUGACACGGCCUGGUUUUAUUCAUAAACCGGCAAACAUAUGAUAAUUACCAGUAUUCAAGUUUUGGGUUAUCACCCUUACUCACUAGUUUGGUAAACCAACAGUGUGAUCAAAUAUCACAGGUAUGAUCUAUUUUAGGUUAUAUAUGGUUAUUCUUAAAGUCCAGCCCUGGUUAUAAACUAUCUUAGUUUCCAUGGUUUUAUAUUGGGCAUUAUAACCCGCCUAGCGGUAAACCGCCAAGACACUUUCAAACUGUCAAAUGCAGGAACAGAUUCAAGAACUGAUAAUCUCAUGAAGCAGAUGCGACAUAUCUUAACAUGACGGAUUAACAGUGUUAUGCAAAGUAAUAUGCACGAUGGCAUAGCAGAUCAAGAGUUUAAACUAGCCUAUUACAAGGUGGUUGAUGCCCAAAAGAAUAAUUGUUUUCAAUAAGUCUUGCACAAGGCAGAAGUUAAACCGACCCUCGGUUUAUGAAUCUUGGCCAGGCUGGCUUGAAGCUUGCGAAUCAUCCUGCGCCGGUUCAUCCUCCUUUUCUCUACCCAGUUGCUGGAAGUCAAUGGUUGACCAAUCGAUCCGAGUUAAGGCUUUGAAUACAGCUUCAUCACUUAUAAGGGUGGAGGGGUCAACAUCAGGGGCAUAGGUAUGCUUACGGAUUGGCGGGAUAAAAUUUUGCGCAUCAUAGGUUGGCGCAUUAACCCGUUUGUUGUCGGCAUCAUAAAUCGACUGAUAAUGUGAAAGAUCAGUCUCUUCAGCCAAUUUGCUAGCCAAUGGACGCAUUUCCCUCGUUAUGGCUCUGAGGUCGUCAUUAUCAAAAUCUGACCCGUCCUCCUUUAUGCUUGGAUAGUCGUUUCCAAUAUCGGCCGAAUCAAGGUCAGAUAUCCAUGCUUUGGCCCGAGUUAAUGCAGUAAGAGCACCUGCCCUGGCAGCCGAUUUCUUCGGUUCUUCAAACCGGUCAGGCAUCAUUGACAGCCUUUCCAAUGUUUCCUUGAUUAAGGUUGGGGCGGUUUAUUAUGGGAGGUUGUGCAGAUGACCCGCUGUACGCCGGUACAUAACUGCUCUAUAAGUGUAUAGGCAGCUUUCAGCUUUAGACGCAUAUCUGAGCCAAGAUGCGCAAUGCGGCUUCCUGCAUUAUCAAAAAACAUUAGUAAACCGGUAAUUUCAUAGAUACUACAUAUCUUAAGCUUAUGAAGAGGUUCUUUGCCAAAAACAACAGAGGUCAUGGCAUUUAUUUGCCGCUUCAAGCCAUUCAGCUCCUCUGUUGCCGGAUUAAGGGCCACUUCAGCAUCCUCAGCCCUCUUUAGCAGAGUUGCUUUCUCUAUGUCCCAGCCUGCCCGCUCGUUUUUGAAGUCCUCCUUCAAUUUCUCCAUGGUUGCUAAAGAGCUGGUCAACUCCUCUUUGGCCUUGGAAGUUUCUGCUUGCUGAGAUUUAAUGUUAUCUUGAAGGUCGGCGAUUUGGGAUUCUUUCUUGCUAAGAUCAGCCUAUAAGAAACAUUCAAUUUAUGAGUUGGCAGUACAUAUUUGAAGUCCCAAGCACAUAACAAGUUAUACACUUGGCACUUGGGGGCCAAUGCCUAUUGCUUCUUAUCAAAAUUGUGAUAAGUCCCAAGCUCAAUACAAGUAUUAUUCUUGGCACUUGGGUGCUAAUGCAUAUUUGUUCAAGUUAAGGCUAUGGAUUUUUCUUCCAUCAAUCAGUUUGGUCUAGCGGUUUACAAAGGUAUUUCAACAAGAAUUUUUGGACUAACAACAUGAAGUCCCGGUUCAUCCUUGAAAGGGUAAACCGGCCCUUGGGGGCUACUGGAGUUGAUAGUCUAAACCGGUCAUAAGGAAAGAAUACUUAUGCAGAGUUGGUGACAUUUACCUCAUACCGCUCCUUCAUCAUGUUCACUAAACCGGCUUCAUAAUCACGGCUUGUGUACAAACGGUUUAAAAACCCAGAAUGGAUAUCUUGGGCGUUGAGGUGGGCAUAGCUUGCCAAAUCCGUUUUCCACUUGCCCUUGUCCAUAGCAGCAAAUUCUUCCUUGGCACUAUGUUUUGACAAAGCAAUAGGGUUGCCAGGGGUGGUGUAGCCAAAGCCAGUAACUACAACAUCAUCUGUUUUGUCAUCAGCAGUUUUGACUGGGCUUGUCGGUUUAUCAGCAUGGCCCGUCGGAUCAAUUUCCAUUUGUUCAACAAUAAAGUCAUGAUCUUGCGGUGGCGGAUCAUCAAGAAUAGCGUCAACGUUUGGUUCCAAUGGUUCUGGGGUUUUCUCCGGUUCAGUGGCCGUGUUGUCGUCAGCCGGUUUAUUCAACUUAGGCUUUUUGCUGGGUCUGGCUUUAGCUCUGAAAGGGACGAACAUAAAGGUUAGUAUAGUGAGUAAACGUAAGGUAUAAAGGGUUAAUUUGAUAUGCUCACCCAGGAACAGUUUUGAGGGGUGGAAGUUGUGUCCCUGUGGACUCGCCUGAGGAAGAAUGAGAAGUUCCCUGAUAGUUUGAAUCAGACGGAUUAAGAGGUUGUCGGAAAUAACCCGCCUUGGGAUAAGAUGUGUUAGAAAUAUAAGAGACCUUUGGGUGGCGUUUACGAAACGGCGUGUUCGGUAAACCGGAUGAAGUAACCACCUGGCCACUAUGCCGGGUUGUGCGGCGAGCUUCGUGUUGCUGUUUCUUCAAAAGAAAGUUUGGAUCCAAAUAAGCUAGAGGGUGUGAAAAUCUUACUUUCCGGUUUGCUUGAUGGGUUUUCUGUGUUGGCAGAGGAUCUGAACCGGAGCAAAGAAUAAUUACCUCUACUUCACCAGCAUGGCUAGCCUCAGCGUCAUCCUGAUAAUGGUCAUGGUCAAUGAGGUGUAUGAAAAAGGAGCCAAGAGAAUCAAGUUCUACCUCUGAUUCCGGGUUAUCAAGAUCAUCAUCGAUGUUCAACUCGGUGGACUCGGCGGUUUUCUUCUUGGCAGGCUUCUUGGUGACCUUGGUCUUGGGGCGAGGUGUCUUUGCCGGUUUAUCCUGUGGUUUCUUCUUCCAGAAUGGAUCAUCACCCUGUUAAAAAUUGACAAAGGUUAUAAAGGAGUAUUAAAAAGAUCGGAUUAAAACAGGAGUUAGGCAAUUCUUACAGCUGGUGGUUUAUUUGAAACGCAGAAGGGACUAAGCCCCGUUUUACUGCAGACGGCUACCGGCUCAUCCAGUAUUUUCUUGACAGAUUCAGUAAUUUCAGCAUCAGUUAGCUGAAUAUCAAUGUGCCGUUGAGGGUCUUUCACAUCCCCUGUGUUGGGGAUAUGACUAUCAGGCAUGACCCGCUAGGAGGGGCCGGGUCAUCCUGAUAACGAUUCAUCUCCAUGAAGCCCAAGAUCGUAACGAUGGUUCAUAGAUAGGCUGAGUAAAGGGCCCAAGCCCAAAGGCGGCUUAAGGCCCAUAGUUAUAAACCGCCAUAUGUCUAUGACUUGUAUUGUAAGGUAUAUGUAAUUGGUCUCCGAGCCGGACACGUAUAUGAGCCGGCCGGGACUCUGUAGACCGCAGGGCGUCAACCCGUGUAUAUAAGGGGACGACUCGGUGGCGGCUUAGGGCAAGAAACAACAACUCGAGAGACAGGCAAAGCGUAUUCGCUCCCUGGUCAUCGAAACCCUAGCAAUAUCACCUCAAACUGGAUUAGGCUUUUACCUUCACCGCAAGGGGCCGAACCAGUAUAAAACUCCCCGUGUCCCUUGUCCUGUUUAACCCCUUUAAGCUAAUCUCGUUGCGAUGGCUCCACGACUAAGUCCUCACACUAGGACAUCUGCCGUGACAAUUCCACGACAGUUGGCGCCCACCGUGGGGCUAUCGCACGACGGUUUCAAGUUCUUGGAGGGAAACUUCGAAGGGCUCAAGGGAUACGCCGUGGGCCGGAUGACCAAGAGUCGUUGCGGCAAGCUCUACAUCGACGAUGCAGGUUGGGGCCCCGAGGCCGGCUCAAUUGAGUAUGGGUACCGGGUCCCCUUCGGCGGAAUUCACGUCUUCAUUGGCAAAAUCGGCGAGCCGGGCCCUGAGCCGGACAUCUGCACAGACAUCAUUGAGACGGCUCAGCGUGCGAGACCCGCCCGUGUUCAGCCCGCCAUAAAAUGUGCCUUCGUGGGAUUCAUCCAUGGAGCGGAAUCUGAGGAUAGAUCGGUAUCUGGCGGUGAGAAGGUCAUUUACUCUAAUGGUGAGUCGUCCACUGGCGAGACCGAGAUAUUGUACCAACUGCAAGACGGCCGGCUUGGGGGCUGUUCUGAUGGCGACAGUAUUCCGGACCCCUGUGAGCCGCCGAACCGGGUUGCGAUCUUCAUGGCCGGUACACAGCCGGUGCAGCACUCGUCGACUGCAGCAGCAAUGGUUUCUAGGUCAGCAACGGCAACAGCUGCCGGGGCAGGAGGCCUUGUGCGCCCGCCGGCUCAGGUCAUAACUGACUUGCUGGAUAAGCUGACAGCAUUGUUAACAAUAGUGGUUAACCCGGUAGAUCAGGACCAGCACAACGUGGCAGUUGCAAAGUUGGGUGAUGAGAUAGCGCAGGCUAAGGAGGAGCUAACACUACAAAAAAAUACAAUUCCGUGAUGAUACGUGUUUGUCAUAGUAGGUCGCGUUUUUUGUCAUGCAUGUACAUCCAUGACAAUUUUAUGACAGAAUCAAGAUAGUCAUACCUGUGCUGUCGUAGAAGUGUUCCAUGACAUUACCAAAAUUAUCAUCAUGGAAGUGUCCACUUCCAUGACGAUAAAUCGCGCGUCACAGAAGUGCUUUCGUCAAGGGUGACCGACACGUGGCAUCCACCGUAACGGAAUGCCGUUAAGCUAUCGGGUUCGGUUUUGGAUCCGAUAACCCGCCAACAGCCCCGACCAAUGGGGAUUUUCCACAUGUAAAAUCAUCAUUGGCUGGAGGAAACACGUGUCGGCUCACCGUUGGGACAGAUGUCAUCCACUCAUUGGACCUGUCGUGGUUUUGUCACGGCAGAUGUCCUAGAGAAAGGACUUAGUCAUGGAGCCAUCGCUACGGUUUAGCUUAAAGGGGUUAAAGCGGACAAGGGACGCAAGAGAGUUUUAUACUAGUUCGGCCCCUUAUGAUGAAGGUAAAAGCCUACGUCUAGUUGUGAUGGAAUUGAUGGGGUUUCGAUGACCAGGGAGCGAAUAUGCUUUGCCUGAGUCUCGAGUUGUUGUCUGUUGUCCCUGAACGGCCGCCGGGUCGUCCCCUUAUAUAUAUGGGUUGACGCCCGCCGGCUUACAGAAUCCCGAGGCCGGCUCAUAAUCGUGUCCGGCUCGGUCUCUGCUACUUCUAUCUUACAACACAAGUUUACAUGUCAAUGUCGGUUUAUGUCUACAGGCCUUAAACCGGCUUUGGGCCCUGGGCCUUCAUGAAGCGUCACCGUCUGUCUUCAUGGACUUCAGAUACAGAUGAACUACUUAUGGGGUUAACCCGACCUCUCCUGGCCGGUUUACGCCCAGUGGUAAUAUCCCCAACAUUAGGCCCCAGAUUGAUUUGAACUGGUUCAUGUUAAUCCUCAAUACUUAAGAAAAUUUCUUCUUCAACAUCUUCACACAAUCUUGUAAACCGCCGUGACAUCAUCUUCUAGGAUCAUGGUAAACCGCUGUGACGUCACCUGUCAUUAACGAGCCUUCGUCAAUCGAGGCGACAGCUCCGCCUCAUAUCCAAAAUUUAGGCUCCUUGAUUUGCGCGCCUGACGCUUAUCUUUCUGCCCAUAUAAAUAGGGCCAGGGGGUCUUUCCAUUCCCCCCCCAUAUCUCUUCACCUCGUCCUCUUCCUUGCGCUGCCCGACCUUUGGAGCUCCACCGCCACCGUCGACCUUCGCUUCUGCCUCAACUCCGGCCGCUGCAUCACCCUGAAUGCACCAGAGAAUCGCGGCGCCUCUCCGCUCUUCCAUCAGCAUCGGUAAGCCUUCUUUCCUUCCGCCAUAGAUCUGUCAUUAGGGUUUCAGUGUUCAUCGGUGUUCGUCGGUGUUCGUCGUUGUGCAAUAGCUCUUUGAUUCAAACCUUGAUAUUUAUCCUGUACGACGAUAGCCGUAGCCCUUCUUUUCCAUCCAUGCAUCUCGUUUAAGUAGAAAAUCCCAUCUGAACCUUCAUCAACUGCUUCGGUACCAAUAUUUAGGUCUGAAUAUAUUUUCAUUUUCUGACAUGCGGUAGAUCCAAAAUUAUAAUGCCAACUUGUGAAACCUAUUUUCCCCUUCACUUAUACAUCUUUAAUACCAGAUUGGGCGGUUUAACUUCAUAUACAAAAUGAUGACCCAGUAGAUACCAUUAGUCCCCUGUUGAACCGCCAAUGCUUUCAUCAUUGUACUGUUUCCAUUGUCAGACUCCGGUUUACAAAUAACCAACUCCGGUUUAUCAAUAUGCUUGUAUCCUUAUACUGCUGUGUAGUUGUCCACUGUAAAUCUUAAACCGGCAAUAAUCAUGUUUCAGAUUUCCAUUGCCAUGGCCAAGCAAGUCUAUGAAUGCAAUUGGGCUCCCUCUCGAGUAACCGAAGAGUAGUUAAACAAUCUUGUUAAAACGGGAUCUUUAGCUAAAAAAGAUGUCAUCCACUGGAGGGUCCCUGGCCCGGAAAAUCCUCCUACACCCAAGGAUGGAGAGGUAGUCGUGUUCGCUGAUCAUCUCGGACGAGGUUUUAACCCUCCCAGUUCAAAAAAAUUCCAGGAUGUACUGGCUAGUUUCCAACUGCGCCCUCGAGACAUCGGUCCCAAUUCUGUAACCAACAUCUACCACUUCCAAGUCUUUUGUGAGGUUUAUCUGCAAGAGGAACCUUCAGUCGAACUGUUUAGGGAUUUCUUUCACUUAAACCGUCGCACAAAGUUCUCGGAUGGACCCAAUACCGAACUGGGCGGAAUGGCGGUUCAGAAAAGGAAGGAGUCACCUUCCCCCAUCCCAAACUCCACAGUCACCCCAAAGAGUGGAACCAGACUUGGUUUUACUGCAUGGAUACAUCUCCAUCUGAUGAAAACCCCCUGCCGGGUUACCGCCCUGAACGCCUUAGCAACACACAUCCUUUUCCUCAGAGGUUGACGGCAAGAGAAAGGGCCAACUAUGCUCCCCAAUUAUCAAAGCUUAGAGCCUUCAUGGCGAACGGUUUGACAGGAGUUGAUCUUGCUCGUUGCUGGAUAAGCUGGAGUAUUCUGCCCCUAAGCCGGCGCUCCGGUUUGAUGUGUGAGUAUACGGGGAGUUUGAAGGAUGCUCAGCGGCACAUUGACAUUCAGCUUACAGAUGCAGAAGUCACUGAGGCUGUAAAAAAGAUACUGAACGAACCGGAGGCUGUCUGUGCCCAAACCGGACUACUCCCUUUCUGCACCUUCAACAAACUACCAGCUGUAAGAAUCAUAUAAUCUUUUUAUAUGAAGUUGCUUCUGUCCAAAUAUUCUCUGAAAGUGUGAUUAUUUUCUGACAGGGUGAUGAUCCGUUUUGGAACAAGAAACCAUCCCAAGACAGACCGGCGAAGCCGCAAGAUAAACCGGUCAAGCCAGUUCGUCCAAAGACCAAGGUUGUUAAAAAACCUGCCAAGAGAAGGACCACUGCAUCCUCCGAUCCACCAGCUGAUGACGAUGUGGGUAACCCGGAACCAGAGGUAGAACUUGACUCUCUUGGUUCAUUUUUCGUACAUCUCAUUGACAAAGAUUAUUAUCAGGACGACGCUGAAGGCAGUCAUGCUGAGGACGUAGAGGUAACCAUUAUUUCCUCCGAAUCAGAUCCUCUGCCAACAUCAAAAAUCUGUCAAGAAAACCGGAAAGUAAAAUUUUCUCACCCUCUUGCUUACUUGGACCCAAACUUUCUUUUGAAGACGCAGCAGCACGAAGCUCGCCGUACAACCCGGCACAGUGGCCAGGUAGUUACCUCCGCUGGUUUACCGAACAGUCCGGUUUGGAAACGCCGAUCAGAGGUCUCUUAUCCCAUUGAUACUUCAUGCCCAAAAGCAGGUUGUUUCCGCCAGCCUCUUAACCCGUCUGAUUCAAAUUAUCAGGGUACUUCUCACUCAUCCUCUGGGGAGUCAUCGGCCACGCAGCUUCCACCCCUCAAAACAGUUCCUGGGUGAGUUAUGCACGUGUCUUUAUUCUUGAUGUGUUAUCUUUACAUACUGUACUGAUCCUUAUGUCUAUCUUUUCUCAGCGCCAAGCCAAGACCCAGCAAGAAGGCUCGGUUAAGCAAACCGGCUGAUGACAAUGUAGCUGCUGAACCAGAAACAACUCCAGAUCCGGAAGAAACCAACACUGACGACAUGCUUAACGAUCCGCCUCCUCAAGACCACGACUUCCUUGCCGAACAAGUGCAAGUUGACAUUACAAGCCAUGCAGACCGUCCAACCAGCCCUGUCCAAACUGAUGACAAACCGGCCAGUCCGGUUAAGGAUACUGACAAAUCGCCAACUCCAGCGAAGGCUGCUGAUGAUCAAGAUGAUGACAUUAUGAUUACUGGCACUGGCCACACCACUCCUGGCAACCCUGUCGCUUUGUCAAAGCAUACUGCCAAGGACGAGCUCUCUGCUAUCGGCAAAGGCAAAUGGAAUGCCGAUUUAUCAAGCUACGCCCAUCUCAAUGCUCAAGACAUUCACUCUGGCUUCUUGAACCAUCUGUAUACCAGCCGUGACUAUGAAGCUAGUUUGGUAAACUUGAUGAAGGAGCGAUAUGAGGUAACUACUAUUUUUCUCUUUUGUCCAAUUGCAGUUUAUCAACUCCUAGUAGCCCCCAAGUGACGGUUUAUGAUACCAAUCUAAACCGGGACUUUGUCAUAACUUAACUUUGCAUAUUUAGCCUCCAGGGACCAGAUUACUUCUUUAUGAUGAACCGGUUCCUUAAAAUUUGCCAUACUGCUCUUUCACCGGUAUGGCCCCCAAGGGCCGGUUUAACUUUAUAAAGAUGAACCGGGACUGUAUAAGAGUUCCCAUACCAACAAUUUUUGAGCAAACACACAUUAGCCCCCAAGUGCCAAGACUAAUACUUGUAUUGUGCUUGGGACUUGUAGAAAUUUCUGAUAAGGAGCAAAUAUGCAUUAGCCCCCAAGUAUCAAGGGCAUAACUUGUUGUGUGCUUGGUACUUCAAAUAUGUAUUGUCAACUCAUUAUGUAUCUGUCUCUUUAUAGGCUAAACUGAGUAAGAAGGAAAGCCAAACCGCUGAUUUGCAAGAGAACAUCAAGUCCCAAUAGGCCGAAACUUCCAAAGCAAAAGAUGAGCUGACGAGCGCCUUAGCCGCUAUGGAAAAGCUAAAGGAGAGCUUCGCCAAGGAGCGGGCGGUUUGGAACACAGAGAAAUCCGCUUUGCGGAAAAGAGCUGAAGACGCUGAAGCAGCUCUCAAACCGGUGGUAGACGAGCUGACUGGUGUAAAGCGACAGAUACAUGCCAUGACUGCUGCUGUGUUCGGUAAGCAUCCUUACUUUAUACUUUCAACAUAUCUUCCUAUGCGUUGCCGGUUUGCUGAUGUUUGCAAUGAUGCAGGAACUCGCAUUAGUCAUCUGGGCUCUGAUGUUCAGAAGAAGCUGAAGGCUGCCUACACGCUGAUAGAACAACUGUAUACCGGCGCACAACGAAUUAUCUGCACCGCUUCUCACAAUAAGCCGCCCCCGACGUUAAUCAAGGAUACCUUAGACAGGCUAUCUAUGCUGCCUGCCCGGUAGAAGAGCUAAAGAGGUCUGCUGCAAGGGCUGGCGCUCUGACCGCACUAACCCGGGCAAAAGCAUGGGUGCCUGAUCUUGAUCCGACGAAUGUGGCUAAAGGCUACCCAAGCUUAAAAGAAGACGGAUCAGAAUUUUGUACUGAAGAUCUCCGUGCCAUAAACCGGGAAGUACGUCCACUGGCUUGUCAACUUGCUGAAGAGGCUGAUCUUUCAUUUUACCAUGCGAGUUAUGAUACUAAUAACAAGUGGGUUGCUGCACCAACUCCUGAGGCUCAAAACCUGAUCCCUCCAAUCCGUAAGCACACUUAUGCCCCUGACAUUGAACCGUCCACCCUUAUAAGUGACGAAUCUGUGUUCCAAGCUUUAACUAGGAUCGACUGGACAACUGUUGACUUCUAGCCGCUGGGUAGGGACGAAGAUGAAUCGGUGCAAGAUGAUCCGCAACCGUCAGGUCAAGCUGAUAAGCAAUCAUAAUCCGGGGCCGGUUUAGUCUUCCACUUGCUGCAAUGCUUAUUGAGAAACAAUUAUCCCUUUGGGCACUGAAACACCUUGUAAUAGGCUAGUUAAAACACUUGGUCUAUUAUGCCUUCGUGCAUAUCUAUCUGCAACUAAUGCGUGUUAAUCCGCCAUGCUUAAGAUAUGAUGUUCAUAAUCCAUAGCUAUUUAUUCAAGUUAUUCCUGCAGAUAAGAAGCUUAAAGUGCCCUGGCGGUUUACCACCGGGCGGGUCAUGAUACCCAAAUAUAUAUAUGACCAAGGUUUAUAACCAAGGUAAAAGAUAACCAAAUAUGGAAAUAUAUGGUACCUGUGACCUUUAGGCACAGUGUUGGCUAACCAACUUUGUAAUGAGGGUAAUAACCCUAAUCCGGAGUAGAAGUAACUCCUGUUAUAUGAUGCCGGUUUAUCAGAAAACCGUUCCGGGCUGUGAUAAACACCAGUUUAUUCCAUACUGGUGACUUUGAGUCAAAACCAGACCCGGCUGAUGGUCUCCGGAUUAUAAUUUGAUUGUAUACUGUCAACUUGUAGUUGAUAGCCUAACCGGGCUGAUAAACACCGGUUUAAAAACGUCACAAAUCUUAUUAAAACAAAGAAAACUCAGCAAAAGGCAAAUAAAAACCGUUGUAGUCGAGGCUUUUCACGGGCUGCCAGGCCCCAAAUUUGAUCAAGAGGUGUAGCUAUGGUUCGGGUUCGACCAAGCCCCCAAGUGAUGCUGUGGCAUUACGCCGAUCAAGAGGUGUAGCUAUGGUUCGGGUUCGACCAAGCCCCCAAGUGAUGCUGUGGCAUUGCGCCGAUCAAGAGGUGUAGCUAUGGUUCGGGUUCGACCAAGCCCCCAAGUGAUGCUGUGGCAUUGCGCCGAUCAAGAGGUAUAGCUAUGGUUCGGAUACGACCAAGCCCCCAAGUGAUCUAAUAUCAAGCUUUGAGAAGCUAAAACAAGGGGUAAACCGGAUGCCGCUUUGUAAGCUCCAUGUAACCACACAUGAUGUAAGAAAACAACAGAUACCCCGCUUUAGCUGAGGUUCCAGUUUAUUAUAUUGAUCAUAAUAUAUACAAUGUCAUAAUAUGUACAUAAGCAGGGCCUGUAGCUCAAGUAUAGUAGGGCCGAAGAUGAGCAAUAUUCCAUGACCGGUUGGUCUCCUCCUCCGAUUUACGCGAGUCUUUGCGCUCUCGAACAUCGAUUAGGUAGUAUGACCCGUUGUGCAGAUUCUUGCUGACCACAAAAGGUCCUUCCCAAGGGGGGGAUAGCUUGUGCAUAUCCGUCUGAUCCUGGAUGAGUCGAAGCACCAAAUCUCCUUCCUGAAAGGUUCUGGUUCUAACCCGACGGCUAUGAUAACGUCGCAGAUCUUGCUGAUAAAUCGCCGAACGGGCUGACGCCAUGUCACGCUCCUCAUCUAACAGGUCAAGAGCUUCCUGCCGUGCUUUCUUGUUGUUAGCUUCAACGUAUGCUGCUACACGAGGUGAGUCAUGACGGAUGCCACUAGGAAGAACCGCUUCCGCUCCAUAAACCAUGAAGAACGGUGUGUAUCUUGUCGAUCUGUUGGGUGUGGUAUUGAUGCUCCAUAACACUGAAGGUAGCUCCUCAACCCAACAACCCGGCAUCCGCUGCAAAGGAACCAUAAGCCGGGGUUUGAUGCCUCUCAAGAUCUCUUGAUUGGCCCUCUCCGCUUGACCAUUGGACUGGGGGUGAGCCAUUGAUGACACGUCAAGCCGGAUGUGCUCACGUUGACAGAACUCCUUCAUGGCACCCUUUGACAGAUUGGUACCAUUGUCUGUUAUAAUGCUGUGUGGAAAGCCAAACCGGAAGAUCACCUUUUUGAUGAAUUGAACCGCCGUGGCUGCGUCACACUUACUAACUGGCUCUGCCUCCACCCACUUCGUGAACUUAUCAACCGCCACCAAAAGGUGGGUCUUCUUGUCCUUGGACCUCUUGAAAGGCCCAACCAUAUCCAGCCCCCAAGUUGCAAACGGCCAGGUGAUUGGAAUCAUCCUCAAUUCUUGAGCUCAUACAUGAGCGCGCCUUGAGAAUUUCUGACAGCCAUCACAUCUUUUGACCAAGUCCUCGGCAUUAGCAUGAGCUAUCAACCAAUAGAAACCGUGACGAAAUGCCUUGGCCACCAAAGAUUUUGAACCGGCGUGGUGACCACAAUCUCCUUCGUGGAUCUCACGCAAAAUUUCACGGCCCUCCUCAGGAGACACACAACGUUGAAACGCCCCUGUCACACUGCAAUGAUGUAACUCUCCAUUGAUAAUAGUCAUUGACUUGGACCGCCGGGUUAUCUGCCUGGCCAAAAUUUCAUCCUCUGGUAACUGGCCCUGGUUUAUAUACGCCAGAUAUGGAACCGUCCAAUCCGGGAUAACAUGAAGAGCCGCCACCAACUGAGCCUCCGGAUCAGGAACAACCAAAUCCUCUUCACCAGGGAGCUUGACGGACGGAUUAUGCAAAACAUCCAGGAAGACAUUAGGUGGAAUCGGUUUACGUUGGGAACCCAGGCGGCUUAAAGCGUCCGCCGCUUCAUUCUUCUGCCGGUCCACGUGAUUCACCUGAUAACCUUUAAAGUGACCUGCAACAAUAUCCACCUCACGACGAUAUGCUGCCAUUAGUGGGUCCUUGGAAUCCCAAGUGCCGGACACUUGUUGAGCCACCAGAUCCGAGUCACCAAAGCACUUAACUCGGCUUAGGUUCAUCUCCUUAGCCAUCCGAAGACCAUGGAGUAAAGCCUCAUAUUCAGCUGCAUUGUUAGUGCAAGGGAACAUUAAACGGAGAACAUAACAAAACUUAUCACCUCGUGGGGAAGUUAAUACGACUCCGGCCCCCGAGCCCUCCAAUUGCGUGGACCCAUCAAAAUGAAUAGUCCAAUAAGUGUGAUCCGGCUUCUCCUCUGGCGCUUGUAAUUCUGUCCAAUCAUUGAUGAAAUCCACAAGUGCCUGAGAUUUGAUCGCCGUUCGGGGGUAUGUAUUUCAACUCGUGAGGCCCGAGCUCGAUAGCCCACUUAGCAAUCCGACCAGUUGCUUCCCUGUUCUGGAUUAUAUCCCCCAAAGGAGCGGAGCUGACCACCAUGAUGGGAUGACCUUGGAAAUACUGCUUAAGCUUCCGGCUUGCCAUGAAAACCCCAUACACCAAUUUUUGCCAAUGCGGGUACCUCUGCUUGGACUCAAUAAGUACCUCACUGAUAUAGUAAACCGACCGCUGAACCGGAUAUUCCUUUCCUGCCUCCUUGCGCUCCACCACAAUGGCCACACUAACAGCCUGAGCAUUAGCUGCCACAUAUAGCAACAAUGGUUCUUUGUCCACUGGAGCAGCGAGAAUCGGCGGAUUAGCCAGCUGCCGCUUUAAGUCCUCAAAUGCUUCAUUAGCGGCGUCACUCCAGACGAAGUUAUCCGUUUUCUUCAGCAUCUGAUAUAAAGGGAUGGCCUUCUCGCCAAGGCGACUGACAAACCGGCUGAACGCGGCAAUCCGGCCUGCCAGGCGUUGAACAUCAUUGAUACACUUCGGUUUAGCCAAGGAGGUGAUGGAUUUGAUCUUUUCCGGAUUAGCUUCAAUGCCUCUAUUAGACACCAAAAAGCCCAAGAGCUUGCGUGCAGGUACACCAAAGACACACUUGGCCGGAUUAAGCAUCAUUUUAUAAACCUGCAGGUUAUCAAAGGUUUCCUUCAAGUCAUCAAUCAAUGUCUCUUUCUUCCUUGAUUUUACCACAAUGUCAUCCACAUAAGCGUGAACAUUGCGGCCGAUCUGUUUAUGUAGACAAUUCUGCACACACCGUUGAUAAGUCGCCUGGGCACUCUUGAGCCCAAAGGGCAUGGACACAUAGCAGAAGGCUCCAAAGGCAGUUAUGAAGGCUGUCUUCUCCUGGUCCUUAACUGCCAUUUUGAUCUGAUGAUAACCAGAAUAUGCAUCCAAAAAGCUUAAACGCUCGCAACCCACCGUAGCAUCAAUAAUUUGAUCAAUACGGGGAAGGGCAAAAGGAUCUGCUGGACAAGCUUUGUUGAGGUCUGUGUAAUCCACACACAUACGCCAAGUGCCAUUCUUCUUGAGGACCAGCACCGGAUUAGCCAACCACUCAGGAUGGAAUACUUCAACGAUAAAUCGAGCCGCCAAGAGCCUGGCUACUUCUUCUCCAAUAGCUUUGCGCCUUUCUUCAUUAAACCGGCGGAGAAACUGCUUGACUGGUUUAUACUUGGGAUCAACAUUGAGAGUGUGCUCAGUGAGUUCUCUCGGUACACCUGGCAUGUCAGAAGGCUUCCAUGCAAAGAUGUCCCGAUUCUCACGGAUGAACUCGAUGAGCGCGCUUUCCUAUUUUGGGUCCAAGUUAGCGCUGAUGCUAAACUGCUUGGACGACUCGCCUGGCACAAAGUCAACAAGCUUAGUCUCAUCAGCCGAUUUAAACUUCAGGGCCGGAUCAUGCUCGGUAGUUGGUUUCUUCAACGAAGUCAUAUCUGCCGGAUCAACAUUGUCCUUGUAAAACUUCAACUCUUCUGUUGCACAAACCGACUCAGCAUAAGCCGCAUCACCUUCUUCACACUCCAGAGCAAUCUUGCGGCUCCCAUGCACGGUUAUAGUUCCCUUGUGACCCGGCAUCUUGAGCUGCAGAUAGACAUAACAUGGCCGUGCCAUAAACUUAGCAUAAGCUGGCCGUCCAAAUAGGGCAUGAUACGGGCUGCUGAUUUUCACCACUUCAAAGGUCAUGGUUUCUGAUCUCGAGUCAUGCUCAUCUCCAAAAGCCACCUCCAGAGCUAUCUUACCAACAGGAUAUGCCGACUUACCAGGCACCACACCAUGGAACACCGUAUUGGACGGUUUAAGAUUUUUAUCUGUUAACCCCAUGCGACGGAAAGUUUCAUAAUAAAGGAUAUUGAUACUCCUCCCUCCAUCCAUGAGUACUUUAGUGAACUUAUAACCUCCCACCCGAGGUGCCACCCCAGAGCCAGAUGACCCGGAUUGUCAACCCGGGGUGGAUGAUCUUCUCUACUCCACAUAAUCAGCUGCUCAGACCAACGCAAAUAACGGGGCAUCGCCGGUUCAACGGCAUUCACCGCCCUUUUAUGAAGCUUCUGAUCGCGCUUGUCCAAGCUAGUGGUGAAGACAUGAUACUCUCCGCUAUUCAACUGCUUCGGGUUGCUUUAGUAACCCGACUGCUGCUGCUGCUGAUUGCCCUGAUGAUUAUAGCCACCUUGGUUACCCUGAUUACUUCGAUUGUUAUAUCCACCCUGAUUACCGUGGAAGCCUGAAUCGGAAUUUCCUCCACCAUAACCCGACCCAUGAGACCCGGGGCCUGAACCGCCUCCUGGUCCAUGAUCAUACCGGAAAGAAUCAGAAUUUUUGAACUCUUGCAUGAUGUAACAAUCUUUCCAGAGGUGCGUGGACGGUUCCUCCUUCGUCCCAUGCUUUGGACAGGGCUGGUUCAACAUAUAAGACAAACGGUCCGGAUUAGGAUUUGGCCUUCCACCGCGCUGGGGCGGUUUACCCUUACGCCGCUGGCCACAAAGUCUAAACCAUGGUCCUCCUUACGCUUGCCGCCGUUUCCAUGACCCGCCGGGUUGUGGUGCUGCCCCUUGGUGUUGGCGCUCUUCUUUCCCUUCCCUGUCUUAUCAUCGUCAGACUCGGGAUCCUUGGUACUAUCAGAGUCGGCAUACUUCACCAGUGCAGCCAUGAGGGUUCCCAUGUCAUUACAAUGAUGUUUGAGCCGUCCCAACUUCAACUUCAGGGGUUCAAACCGGCAAUUGCCUUCGAAUGUUAAAACUGCGGUGUCAGCAUUGAUGCGAUCUGAUGAAUGCAAAAUCUCCGAAACCCGGCGCACCCAAUGGGUUGUUGACUCUCCUUCGUCCUGGACACAGGCAGCUAAGUCCACAAUUGACAUGGGCUGCUUGCAUGUAUCCUUGAAAUUCUGAAUAAACCGGGCUCUCAACUCGGCCCAUGACCUGAUAGAACUAGCCGGUAAGCUCUUUAACCAAGUGCGGGCUGUCCCUUCUAGCAUCACUGUGAAGUAUUUCGCACAUGCCGCAUCGUCCACAUCCAACAUCUCCAUGGCCAUCUCAUAGCUUUCGACCCAUGUUUCAGGGGAUAAAUCGGCGGUGUAAUUCGGCACCUUGCGCGGGCCCUUGAAAUCCUUGGGCAGGCGCACAUUGCGCAAUGCUGGGACAAGACAUGGCACUCCCAAAGAACUAGAGGUAACUCCUGGUUCCACCGAUGUGGUUGGACGAACCGGAGUAAGCUGACGGGCUUCAUGUUGUGCCGCUAACUCGGCUUCUCUGCGUGCCCGAGCCCGGUCCACCACCUCCUGAGCAUUACCAGCACCACCCGCCGGGUUAUUGCCACGGGGCGGAUCAUGGUUCCGCGCAUUGCUUGACACUGUCGGUUCAUCCAUACGCCUGCUGUAACUCCGGCUUGGACGGGGAGUGGAAUGAAUCCGAUCGCGACUAUAUGAAUAAGCCUCCUGUUGAACCAAGGCUGUUUGAAGAUGCUCCUUAACCCGACGCGUCUCGACCGCCGCUGGAGAAUCGCCUUCGAUCGGGAUGGCCGCCAGCCAUGAAGCGGCAGCGACAAUGUUGUCCAUCGGGUUAGAAUAAUGACCCGGUGGCGUGGGGACAUGUGGUGCCACAAUGUUGUUCUGACGAGGCGGAUCCACCAAACGUGGCUGAACCGGCGCCCCUGCCCCCGGUGCCUCCGCCCGGUUUACCACCGGCGGAUUACUAGUCCCCGCUCCUGGGGUGUUAAAGAGAUUUCUAGCGUCAUAAACCGGCGGCAAGCGAGAUCGGUGCCUCCUCUUCAGGACUUCGUUCGACGCACUCUGAUCUAGCAUAAUCCGGUAAGCUUGUGCAUCCAAAGCGGCCCGCUCCACGGCUAUCCUGGUAUCCUCAGCUGCUAAGUCGGCUUUGGCCUGGGUGAUCUGAUCUUUCACUUUCGCGAUUUCCGCAUUGUGUGCAUCCUGAUCCGCCGGGUUAACCUCCGCCAUCAGCGUUGCCAACGCGUCAAACAAAUCAGAUAGAACCUGAGCUGGCAGUCGCACAGGGCCUCCUGCCUCAGCCGCUGCUGCCGAUCCGGAAAUCAUCGCCGCUGCGGUCGAUGAGUGGAGCGCCGGUUGCGUGCCGGCCAUGAAGAUCGCAACCCGGUUUGGCAGAUCAAAGGGGUCCGGAAUACUGUCGUCAUCGGAACAGCCCCCAAUCCAGCCAUCUUGUAACUGAUAUGAUGACUCGUCGCCGGAAUAAACGACAGUCUCACCACCAGAUUCCGAUCUAUCCUCAGAUUCCCCUCCAUGGAUAACUCCCACGAAGGCACGCUUCAUGACAGGCUUGACCCGGGCAGAUCUUGCACGCUGAGCCGUUUCGACGAGGUCGGUGCAGAUGUCCGGCUCAGGGCCUGGUUCGCCGAUCUUGCCAAUGAAAACGUGUAUGCCACCAAAGGGGACCCGGUACCCGUACUCGAUUGAGCCGGCCUCGGGGCCCCAGCCUGCAUCGUCGAUGUAGAGCUUGCCGCGAUGACUCUUGGUCAUCCGGCCCACAGCGUAACCCUUGAGUCCUUCGAAGUUGCCCUCCAAGAACUUGAAACCAUCGUGCGAUAGCCCCACGGUGGGCGCCAACUGUCAUGGUUUUGUCAAGGCAGAUGUCCUAGAGAAAGGACUUAGUCGUGGAGCCAUCGCUACGGGUUAGCUUAAAGAGGUUAAAGCGGACAAGGGACGCAAGAGAGUUUUAUACUAGUUCGGCCCCUUACGAUGAAGGUAAAAGCCUACGUCUAGUUGUGAUGGAAUUGAUGGGGUUUCGAUGACCAGGGAGCGAAUACGCUUUGCCUGAGUCUCAAGUUGUUGUCUGUUGUCCCUGAGCCGCCGCGGGUCGUCCCCUUAUAUACAUGGGUUGACGCCCGCCGGUUUACAGAAUCCCGAGGCCGGCUCAUAAUCGUGUCUGGCUCGGUCUCUGCUACUUCUAUCUUACAACACAAGUUUACAUGUCAAUGCCGAUUUAUGUCUACAUGCCUUAAACCGGCUUUGGGCCCUGGGCCUUCAUGAAGCCUCACCGCCUGUCUUCAUGGACUUCAGAUGCAGAUGAACUACUUAUGGGGUUAACCCGGCCUCUCCUGGCCAGUUUACGCCCAGUGGUAAUAUCCCCAACAGGACCGAAGGCGCCUAUGAUACGUCGACACGUGGCACGGUCGAACAGAGGCCCAUUCCUGUGAAAAGGCCGGCCCGUUUGACUUGGUCAAAAGGUGGCGGGCCGGCCCAUGGAAAGCAUGUUAACGGCCUGUUCACAUAUAGCCCAUUUACAAUCCGGUAACCCAGGGCCCGUUACGGCCUAUCCGAAUUAGGUCCAGUCGCGUCAUCUGGGCCGUCCAAUAUGAUUCCAGCCCAUUUUAAGUUCCGGCCCAUGUAUGGCCUGAUGUCUACUACACAACCUUCUUCUUGUAGACGUUGUUGGGCCUCCAAGUGCAGAGGUUUGUAGGACAGUAGCAAAUUUCCCUCAAGUGGAUGACCUAAGGUUUAUCAAUCCGUGGGAGGCGUAGGAUGAAGAUGGUCUCUCUCAAACAACCCUGCAACCAAAUAACAAAGAGUCUCUUGUGUCCCCAACACACCCAAUACAAUGGUAAAUUGUAUAGGUGCACUAGUUCGGCGAAGAGAUGGUGAUACAAGUGCAAUAUGGAUGGUAGAUAUAGGAUUUUGUAAUCUGAAAAUAUAAAAACAGCAAGGUAACUAAUGAUAAAAGUGAGCGUAAAUGGUAUUGCAAUGCUAGGAAACAAGGCCUAGGGUUCAUACUUUCACUAGUGCAAGUUCUCUCAACAGUAAUAACAUAAUUGGAUCAUAUAACUAUCCCUCAACAUGCAACAAAGAGUCACUCCAAAGUCACAAAUAGCGGAGAACAAACGAAGAGAUUAUGGUAGGGUACGAAACCACCUCAAAGUUAUUCUUUUGGAUCAAUCUAUUCAAGAGUUCGUACUAGAAUAACACCUUAAGACACAAAUCAACCAAAACCCUAAUGUCACCUAGAUACUCCAAUGUCACCUCAAGUAUCCGUGGGUAUGAUUAUACAAUAUGCAUCACACAAUCUCAGAUUCAUCUAUUCAAACCAACACAAAGUACUUCAAAGAGUGCCCCAAAGUUUCUACCGGAGAGUCAAGACGAAAACGUGUGCGAACCCCUAUGCAUAGGUUCAUGGGCGGAACCCGCAAGUUGAUCACCAAAACAUACAUCAAGUGAAUCAAUAGAAUACCCCAUUGUCACCAUGGGUAUCCCACGCAAGACAUACAGCAAGUGUUCUCGAAUCAUUAAAGACUCAAUCCGAUAAGAUAACUUCAAAGGGAAAACUCAAUCCAUUACAAAUAGUAGAGGGGGAGAAACAUCAUAAGAUCCAACUAUAAUAGCAAAGCUCGCGAUACAUCAAGAUCGUGCCAAAUCAAGAACACGAGAGAGAGAUCAAACACAUAGCUACUGGUACAUACCCUCAGCCCCGAGGGUGAACUACUCCCUCCUUGUCAUGGAGAGCGCCGGGAUGAUGAAGAUGGUCACCGGUGAGGGUUCCCCCCUCCGGCAGGGUGCCGGAACAGGGUCCCGAUUGGUUUUUGGUGGCUACAGAGGCUUGCGGCGGCGGAACUCCCGAUCUAUUCUGUUCCCCGAUCGUUUUAGGGUAUAUGGAUAUAUAUAAGCGGAAGAAAUACGUCAGGCGAGCCACGAGGGUGGAGGGCGCGCCCAGGGGGGGUGGGCGCCCCCCUGCCUCGUGCCUCCCGGGUUGCUUUCCUGACAUGCACUCCAAGUCUCCCGGGUUGCUUUCCUUCCAAAAAUAACUUCUCCAGAAGGUUUCAUUCCGUUUCGACUCCGUUUGAUAUUCCUUUUCUUCGAAACACUAAAACAAGGGAAAAACAGGAACUGGCACUGGGAUCUGGGUUAAUAGGUUAGUCCCAAAAGUAAUAUAAAAGUGUUUAAUGAAGCCCAUAAACAUCCAAAACAGAUAAUAUAAUAGCAUGAAUACUUCAUAAAUUAUAGAUACGUUGGAGACGUAUCAGCAUCCCCAAGCUUAAUUCCUGCUCGUCCUCGAGUAGGUAAAUGAUAAAAGAAAUAAUUUAUGAAGUGUGAAUGCUAGCAGGUGCAUAAGUUUGAUCAAUGAUAAUUUCAAUCACCUUUUCUAGCAUCAUUAUAUGUCAUAAUAGUAGCUCAACUCAUAAAACUUUUCAUGAUCAAGUAACAAGCUAUUCACAUGUUAAAGCAUAGAUCAUAAACUUUCUUGAAAACUAACAAACAAUGUUCUCAGUCAUCAAACAAUUGCACUUCAUCGUAUUUUCAGGAAGGGUCUAUGUAAGAGCUUUGAUUUAACAAAUCCCACAUACUCAACUAUCAUCUAGUCUUCCAUGAUUGCUACCACUCAAAGCAUAUUUUUAGAACAAUUAGCAUCCAUCGAACACAGAGAAAGAUAGGGGCUUAAUGUUUCGCCUCCCAACUUAUUUAUCAUAUAGAUAAUUGUUAACAAUAAUAAUUCAUGAUCAAAUAUAUUUGAAUGGCCAUAUAUGCUUAGAUCUUUCCAUCACAUGAUGCUUGCCAACUAAAGAGUAGGUUGGAAUGAGAAGGAAUACUACUGACUCUUGCAUAAAAGUAAAAGAUAGGCCCUUCGCAGAGGGAAGCAGGGAUUUGCAGAGGUGCCAGAGCUCGAAGCUAAAACAGAGAUGAAAAUAAUUUUGAGAGGUAUGCUUUCAUUGUCAACAUAACGACCAAGAGUUCCCAAUAUCUUCCAUACUACAUACAUUAUAGGCGGUUCCCAAACAGAAAGGUAAAGAUUUUUACUCCCCCUCCACCAACAAUCAUCAAUCCAUGGCUUGCCCGAAACAACGGGUGCCUCCAACUAACAUCAAACCUGGGGGAGUUUUGUUUGCAAUUAUUUUUGAUUUGAAUUCGAUCUUUUGAUCAUGGGACUGGGCAUCCCAGUUACCAGCCAUUUUCUCGUGAAUGAUGAGCGGAGUCCACUCAUCGUGAGAAUAACCCACCUAGCAUGGAAGACACUGCUAGCCCCUAGUCGCUACAUGAGCGAUUCGGGCAUACAAAACAGAUUAUUAUUUGAAGGUUUAGAGUUUGGCACAUGCAAAUUUACUUGGAACGGCAGGUAAAUACCGCAUAUAGGUAGAUAUGGUGGACACUCAUGGAAGAAACUUGUUUCAAGGAAUUUAGAUGCACAAGCAGUAUUCCCGCUUAGUACAGAUAUUUUGGCUAGCAAAGGAUUCUAAAUAGCAAGCACCACAUGUUAGAGGAUCCAUAACAAUAUAACUUCUAUACAAAUAUACCCAAGCAUAACUCAUUAUGUUGUCUUCCUUGUCCAACUUCAACUAAUUUGCUCAGGUUUGAAAAUAAUUAAUGGGGCUCACAAUCAUAGAAGAUGUCCAAGAUAGUAUAUUUAUAUGUGAAAUCUCUCUUCCUUCAAUAUUCUUUCAUGAAUUGUUCAAGUGACCAAAACAACGUUUGCUAACCUACAAAAAAUUUACCACCUCUACUUCUUAUAUGUGAAGGUAUUACUCCCCAUGGGAAAGGCAUAUGAAACAUAUAUAAUUUCAGAUUUAUGACAUUCAAAUCAUUCAACCAUUUACUCAUAGGAUAUAAGUGAAGCACAUGAGCAAACAACAAACUACUCCGAAAGAUAUAAGUAAAGAUCAAUGAGUAGUCGAAUAAUUAUGUAACUAUGUGAAGAAUCUCUAACAUUUAAGACUUUAAGAUCGUGGUAUUUUAUUAAAACAGCAAGCAAAGCUAAAUAAAAUAAAAUGACGCUCCAAGCAAAACACAUAUCAUGUGGUGAAUAAAAAUAUAGCUCCAAGUAAGUUACCGAUGGAAGUAGACGAAAGAGGGGAUGCCUUCCGGGGCAUCCCCAAGCUUUGGAUUUUUGGUGUCCUUAGAUUAUCUUGGGGUGCCUUGGGCAUCCCCAAGCUUAGGCUCUUGCCACUCCUUGUUCCAUAAUCCAUCAAAUCUUUUACCCAAAACUUGAAAACUUCACAACACAAAACUUCACAAAAUAUCUCGUGAGCUCCGUUAGCGAAAGAAAACAAAACACCACUUCAAGGUACUGUAAUGAACUCAUUCUUUAUUUAUAAUGGUGUUAAACCUACUGUAUCCCAACUUCUCUAUGGUUUAUAAACUAUUUUACUAGCCAUAGAUUCAUCAAAAUAAGCAAGCAAAACAAUGAAAACAGAAUCUGUCAAAAACAGAACAGUCUGUAGUAAUCUGUAUCAAACGUAUACUUCUGGAACUCCAAAAAUUCUAAAAUAAAUUGGUGGACCUGAGGAAUUUGUCUAGUAAUCAUCUUCAAAAAGAAUCAACUAAAUAGCACUCUCCAGUAAAAAGUUGAAGCUAAUCUCGUGAGCGCUAAAGUUUCUGUUUUUUACAGCAUGAUCAUAAGGACUUCACCCAAGUCUUCCCAAAGGUUCUACUUGGCACAAACACUAAUUAAAACAUAAAACCACAUCUAACCAGAGGCUAGAUGGAUUAUUUAUUACUAAACAGAACCAAAAAGCAAGAAACUAAAAUAAAAUUGGGUUGCCUCCCAACAAGCGCUAUUGUUUAACGCCCCUAGCUAGGCAUGAUGAUUUCAAUGAUGCUCACAUAAAAGAUAAGAAUUGAAACAUAAAGAGAGCAUCAUGAAGAAUAUGACUAGCACAUUUAAGUCUAACCCACUUCCUAUUCAUAGGGAUUUUGUGAUCAAACAAUUUAUGGGAACUAUAAUCAACUAGCAUAGGAAAGCAAAACAAGCAUAACUUCAAAACUUUAAGCACAUAGAGAGGAAACUUGAUAUUAUUGCAAUUCCUACAAGCGUAUAUUCCUCCCUCGUAAUAAUUUUCAGUAGCAUCAUGAAUGAAUUCAAAAAUAUAACCAGCACCUAAAGCAUUCUUUUCAUGAUCUACAAGCAUAGAAAAUUUACUACUCUCCACACAAGCAAAAUUCUUCUCAUUCGGAAUAGUGGGAGUAUCAUACGAGACUUGAAUACUAUAAAUUGUUUCCACAUUAAAAGAGUAAUGUUCAGAAAAAGGGUAAUCAUAAUAAUGACAAGUUUUAUAAAUAUAAUCAUCACUACUUCUUAUAGCAUAAGUUUCAUCACAAUAAUCAUCAUAAGUAGCAACUUUGUUCUCAUCAUAAUCGAUUGAAACCUCUUCCGAAAUAGUGGAUACAUCACUAAAUAAAGUCAUGACCUCUCCAAAUCCACUUUCAUAAAUAUUAUAAGAUUCAACAUCCUCCAAAAUAGUGGGAUCAUUACUUCCUAAAGUUGACACUCUUCCAAACCCACUUUCAUCAAUAUAAUCAUCAUAAGUAGGAGGCAUGCUAUCAUCAUUAUAAAUUUGCAUAUCAAAACUUGGGAUACUAAAAAUAUCAUCUUCAUUAAACGUAGCAUUCCCAAGCUUGGGACAGACAUUAAUUGCAGCAAAUAUAUUCUCAAAAACAUCAUCUUCAUCAAACAUAGCAUCCCCAAUCUUGGGCCUUUUCAUAUCAUAAGCAUAAUCACUCUCAUCAUUAAUAGUAUGGAUAGCACCGAUAGUAUAGCAAUUAUCAUAUUCUUCCAAGCAAGUGCCAAAAAGAUUUUCAAGAUCAUAAGAAGUAUCAUUAUCUUCCCAAUCAUAAUCAUCACAACAAGCAAUAGGCAUAACGAGAUCAUCAACAAGUGCAUCAUCUUCCACAAUUAUUUUUGAUUCAUUUUCAUGAGGCACAACAAUAAUAGGAGCAACAUUAUUUGGGAGAGAUAUCUUUUUACCUCUCUUCCUUUUCCUUUUCUUCUUCUUCACCACAUCAUGUGUGGGUUCAAUCCUUUUUUUGAAGCUCCUUAUUAAUGAAAUUGGUUGAAUAGAAGGCUCCUCCUCGUUACCUGAUUCAUAAGAAAUAAUAGGAGGAUAUUGGGCAGUCUCUUCCCCUUCAUUAGUAUUAUCUUCAUCUUCUAUUUGUUUUCUUUUCUUUAUGUAAUUGGAAAUAUAAGGAUUUUCAACACAAUUCACCGCACAAUACUUAUAAAUUUCCUCUAGAUCAAAACCAAGAAGUUUGUCACGGGCAAAUACUGGAAGAUAGUUAGUUAUACGUUUCAUUUCUUCAUAACCCAUAAGCAAACUAAGUUCAUUAUGAUGUGCAAGGGAAAUCAAGUCAUCACAAUUUUUGGAAACAAUUAGAUCAUGAAACAAUUUGCAUCGGAUAGUUAAAUGACCACGUUCAUUGCAAAGUUCACAAGUAUGGCCAAGAAAAUUUAAAUUUUCAGCACAAACAUCUAGCCUUUCUUGCAACAAUUUAGUUUCUAAAUGCUUAUGCCUCUUGCAAUAUCUAUCUUCCCUAUUUGGUGUGUAUUUGCAAACCCAAUGCACUCCACAAAAAUUGACAUGUUUAUAGGAGACAUUUUCAUCAUGACUAGUGCAAUCAUCAUUAGUACCAUGGAUAUUCAUAGAGUUCAUACUAAAAACAUUGCAAUCAUGCUCAUCAUUCAAAGAUUUAGUGCCAAACAUUUUAAUGCAUUCUUCUUCUAACACUUUGGCACAAUUUUCCUUUCCAUCAUACUCACGAAAGAUAUUAAAAGGAUGAAGCAUAUGAGGUAUCCUCAAUUCCUUUUUUUUGUAGUUUUCUUUUAUAAACUAAACUAGUGAUAAAACAAGAAACUAAAAGAUUCGAUUGCAAGAUCUAAAGAUAUACCUUCAAGCACUCACCUCCCCGGCAAUGGCGCCAGAACAGAGCUUGAUGUCUACUACACAACUUUCUUCUUGUAGACGUUGUUGGGCCUCCAAGUGCAGAGGUUUGUAGGACAGUAGCAAAUUUCCCUCAAGUGGAUGACUUAAGGUUUAUCAAUCUGUGGGAGGCGUAGGAUGAAGAUGGUAUCUCUCAAACAACCCUGCAACCAAAUAACAAAGAGUCUCUUGUGUCCCCAACACACCCAAUACAAUGGUAAAUUGUAUAGGUGCACUAGUUCGGCGAAGAGAUGGUGAUACAAGUGCAAUAUGGAUGGUAGAUAUAGGUUUUUGUAAUCUGAAAAUAUAAAAACAGCAAGGUAACUAAUGAUAAAAGUGAGCGUAAAUGGUAUUGCAAUGCUAGGAAACAAGGCCUAGGGUUCAUACUUUCACUAGUGCAAGUUCUCUCAACAAUAAUAACAUAAUUGGAUCAUAUAACUAUCCCUCAACAUGCAACAAAGAGUCACUCCAAAGUCACUAAUAGCGGAGAACAAACGAAGAGAUUAUGGUAGGGUACGAAACCACCUCAAAGUUAUUAUUUCGGAUCAAUCUAUUCAAGAGUUCGUACUAGAAUAACACCUUAAGACACAAAUCAACCAAAACCCUAAUGUCACCUAGAUACUCCAAUGUCACCUCAAGUAUCCGUGGGUAUGAUUAUACGAUAUGCAUCACACAAUCUCAGAUUCAUCUAUUCAAACCAACACAAAGUACUUCAAAGAGUGCCCCAAAGUUUCUACCGGAGAGUCAAGACGAAAACGUGUGCCAAUCCUAUGCAUAGGUUCAUGGGCGGAACCCGCAAGUUGAUCACCAAAACAUACAUCAAGUGAAUCAAUAGAAUACUCCAUUGUGACCACGGGUAUCCCAUGCAAGACAUACAUCAAGUGUUCUCAAAUAAUUAAAGACGCAAUCCGAGAAGAUAACUUCAAAGGGAAAACUCAAUCCAUUACAAGAGAGUAGAGGGGGAGAAACAUCAUAAGAUCCAACUAUAAUAGCAAAGCUCGCGAUACAUCAAGAUCGUGCCAAAUCAAGAACACGAGAGAGAGAUCAAACACAUAGCUACUGGUACAUACCCUCAGCCCCGAGGGUGAACUACUCCCUCCUCGUCAUGGAGAGCGCCGGGAUGAUGAAGAUGGCCACCGGUGAGGGUCCCCCCCUCCGGCAGGGUGCCGGAACAGGGUCCCGAUUGGUUUUUGGUGGCUACAGAGGCUUGCGGCGGCGGAACUCCCGAUCUAUUCUAUUCCCCGAUCGUUUUAGGGUAUAUGGAUAUAUAUAGGCGGAAGAAAUACAUCAGGGGAGCCACGAGGGGCCCACGAGGGUGGNNNNNNNNNNNNNNNNNNNNNNNNNNNNNNNNNNNNNNNNNNNNNNNNNNNNNNNNNNNNNNNNNNNNNNNNNNNNNNNNNNNNNNNNNNNNNNNNNNNNNNNNNNNNNNNNNNNNNNNNNNNNNNNNNNNNNNNNNNNNNNNNNNNNNNNNNNNNNNNNNNNNNNNNNNNNNNNNNNNNNNNNNNNNNNNNNNNNNNNNNNNNNNNNNNNNNNNNNNNNNNNNNNNNNNNNNNNNNNNNNNNNNNNNNNNNNNNNNNNNNNNNNNNNNNNNNNGUUGCUUUCCUAACAUGCACUCCAAGUCUCCCGGGUUGCUUUCCUUCCAAAAAUAACUUCCCCAGAAGGUUUCAUUCCAUUUCGACUCCGUUUGAUAUUCCUUUUCUUCAAAACACUGAAACAAGGGAAAAAACAGGAACUGGCACUGGGCUCUGGGUUAAUAGGUUAGUCCCAAAAGUAAUAUAAAAGUGUUUAAUAAAGCCCAUAAACAUCCAAAACAGAUAAUAUAAUAGCAUGAAUACUUCAUAAAUUAUAGAUACGUUGGAGACAUAUCAUGGCCCAUGAUGUCUUUCGGCCCAUAUGAGGCCCUUUGUAACUCUUGGCCCAUUAACGACCCAUGGUGAAACUGGCCCGUAAUGAACAGUGUAUCACUUUAUACCCAUUAACGGCCCAUUAAUCCAUUGGGCCGUUUACAGCCCAUGUUAUCUUUCGGCCUUCUCAGGGCCCAUUUAUUCUUGGGCUCAUUUCCAGCAUUCGGUUACUUACGGUCCGUUACUGCCAUUUUCUGCUUGUGGGCCAAAUUCAGCCCGUGGUUAUAGUCGGCCCGUUUGUGGCCCGUUAAUAUGUUGGGCCGUUUUCAUAGUGUCAUCAAAUACGGCCUAUUAACGACGACCCAUUAUGGUUGGCCCAUGAACGGACAACUCCAACUCUAGCACGUUUACGGCCAUAAUGCGGUCUGUUUUUGGCCCAUGUUUGGCCAAUCGAUCAUACAGCCCGUCUAAGGCCCAUUGAUGAUACGGCCCGUAGAAGGCCCAUUGUUUCUACGGCCCAUAGAAGGCCCAUUGUUUCUACGGACCGUAGAAGGCCCAUUGUUUCUACGGCUCGUAGGAAGCCCAGUGUCACUACAGUAAAUAUGUAGCCCAUGACCUGUUAAAGGCGGGAAACUACUAUAGGUUUAGAGCUGCUAAUGGCCCAAGAUGAUUAUAGGCCCACGUUUUGGCCCAUAUGAGUAACGGGCCGGCCUGAAGACCGACAACACUUAGAUCCACUGAACCUUCCGGCCUAAAUUACAGCAUGCCGACCAAAGAAUAAACCUAGACUAUACAAUAAAGAAAUUACGGCAUAUUACAUCCACUGGGAAUCAAAGUUCGCUACCGGUGAUAAUAAAGCGCAACAUGACCGCGGAUUACAUACACUGGGCAUCAAAGGUCGCCACCAGUGCAUAUAAACGCGCCGACAAAAGAAUAUACAAAACUGAGAGCACUUCAGAAGGCACUAGACCUGGCAAGCUCAGGCCCCGCAAGCAGCCGAACAAGCUGAUGAGACCUAAGUUGUGUCAAUGAUAGAUGCUUCAUCCCUAGCUGUAUGGCACCAUAGUGCGCAAGGCAGUCCCCUGACAUCCUCAUUACAUCUUUGACUUCAAGUCGGAGUUGAGCCGAAGCAAGCCUUUCCGCUUUAAGUUGGGACUGAAGAAGUCGAACUGAUUGAGGCAGCGACUGCACAGAGGUUGUCUCACACCUGCUGGUGAGUAGCUUCAACUCACUGUCUUCAUCAAGACAGGACCUUGGGGUCAUCUCGCUGUCCUCAAGAUGGUUUGGCUCACUAUCUUUCCUAAAGUUCUGCCUAGCAUAAGAGAUACGACUCUGAAAGAGAAACAAGGAGACACGUAACAGGUUCCACAAUUAUAUAAGCAAAUAAAUGGAUCUGUUCUGCAUAAGGAACAUGUUUUUACAACUACAAUUUAAAACUGGUAGUUGUUGCAAACAUCCAAUCAGAUGUAAACAGCAGUGGAGGAAAUGAUGCCUAUCCAAAUCUAUACAAGAACAAAGUUUGAAGGCUUGAGAAGGAUGAACUUACAUUACAUGUUAACAUGGGCUGGACAAAGCCCUUCUCCAUGUUGAUGGAAAGAUAAUUAAAUAAAUUCCCCAAAGAAAAUUCUUUAUAAGCGUUGCCAUUAUUCUAUAUUUUGCAAAGAGUAAAUAUAGAUCAAAUAAUAUUGGAAGAAAUAGAGGAUAAUGAAGCUCAUGUGCAGAAUGAUGAUACAUAAUCAAAUAGCAAUUAAUUUAAGUAUAGCGUUACAAGGCAAAAGGUACUGACAAGAGGAAUGCAGACAUCAACGUGUGCAGUGGCAUUGGCUUUAUUCAACAUUUUGGUAAGAGUAAAUGUAGAUAUGAUAAUUUGGAGAAAGUGGAGGGCAGGGAAGAUAAGAUGCAGAGUAAUGCUAGACAAUCAACUAUCUCGCGAUGCAUGUACAGUAAUACCACCACCGUCCGUUAUUAGUUGUCGCUCAAAUGGAUGUAUCUAGCACUAUUAAGUUCUAAAUACAUCCAAUUGAUCAACAAUUAAUUCGAUACAGAGGGAGUACAUGACAACAUGUACUUACAUGAGCAAUCCAAAACUUCAUAACCAUUGUGUUAAUUUAUCUAAGAGUAAAUAUAGAUCUUAUAAUUUCAAGCAAAGGGAGGAUAAAGAAGUGAACAUUUACAGUGAUGCUACAUAAUCAAACAGCAAUGAGUGUAAGUAUGCUGACAAAGGGCAAGAGGUACUGACAAGAGCAAUGCAGAGCCCAGUAUUGUCGUGAGAUCCUAUGAUCCUUUGAGCAAGGAGAUUCAUAUGAAAUUAGUUUUCAUACAAGAGAGAAGGUAAGGCACAUGCAGAAAUUUAGGAGUUCAAAUUUUGAAUUGAUAUCAUAGACAGUACCUGACGCUGGGCUGUCAGCAGUUCUAAUAGGGGUUUGGCCACUGGAGUAGGGGUAAAGUCUGUUACAGUUGGGCCUGUGUUUUCUGUGGCUGCUGAUCUAUCUGAUUUAACAGGUAUCACUACCUUUUCCAAAUACCUAGUUUGUCCUCCUUGAGGAUCUGCAAUCACCCUCUUCCUUUUGGACAUCUAUUACGAAAGAACAACAUUUGACUGGAAAAACAUAGUAUGACGACACAUGGAAUAGGUACAGAAAAUGGAUAGGUAUGUCAUAUACUCAUAUAUGAUGCUUAAACUAAGCAGAUGGUGUAACGAAGUAGAAGUAAUGCAAGAGGUCAGAUGCAAAAUAUGUGCGACCAAUACAACCUUGCCAAGUUAGAGCAUGCACCUUGAUGGGUGAAUAAGAUAGGCCAUCCUCCACCAUGCCAAGUUUGUUAGCCAGUGGAUUGUUCCGCAAUAUUCCUCUCGUGCGCCCAUUCUCAUAUUCAUUUUGAUAAUGUUCAAUACCUGACAUGCAUGAAAACAUAAAAACAAGUGAGAUUAUCUUUGUAAUGCAGAAGUGAUUCUAAUCUAAUACUUCCUCCCUGUAAACCCCUUUGUGCUAUCUCUGCAAUUCUUCUAAGAGGUGCCAUGCAUGCUGUAAUUUGAUGUGUGCAUUAAUAUAAUGUGGCCUACUACUCAAAAUAUGAGAGCUGCAGAAGUGAUGAUACUUCGCAGAUGACAGCUUCAACAUAUAGUAAAGAAGAACAAGUCGACCUGACCUGACAGAUUCAAAAUAUACUAAGGGAGAAUAACUCGACCUGGCCAGUCGACCGCAAGAGAAGAGGAUCAUCUAAAGAAGAGCAGAAGAGCAAGCAGAUUGAAGAUAUUACAAGUUUUUCUAUACAAUGUCGGUUGGCCACCCAUGAUGAACCAGAGCGCACAGAGAAAUACUAUUCCUUCCGGUCUCUCCAUAUGUGGCUCACAUGCAUUUCGAAACGGAAGUAGGAACAUUUAGCUGACCAAUUAAACAUCUCUCAGUUUUACUAAUAUCAACAUAAUAUCAGAUUUGAAUUUGUACAACUAAGCUUGUUUAGCUCGAUGGGUGGAGCAGUGCUAUUACGACACGAACCACGUAGGCUGAUCGUGGUCAUCAUAAAAUGGGGAAACCGUAAGCAUGAUGAGUAUAGUGUUGACCGUGGCAGUGGGAUGGCAGAUCUGAAGCUGCAAACCGCGCAAAGGGUAGUUAGCAACCGAUAUUUGCUUUGAAAUAACAACUAAGAUUUGGUAUGGACAAGAAAUUACAGUCAACAAGUGACAAAGAAAUGCAAUUCUAAUGUCUCUCUAUAUGUCGCGACAUGCAUUUGGAAACUCAAGUGGGACCUUUAGCUAACCAAUUAAAUGUGUGUGUUAACUAAUAUCAGUAUCAUAUCACAAUCAUAUUUGAACAACUAAGCUUUGGAAUUUUGAGUGUUGUGUUGUUUAGCUUGAAGGGUGGAGUAAUGCUAGUAUGACAGAAAGCACCUACGCAGAUCAUAGUAGAGUAGAUAAAAGGGGAAAACCCUAAGCAUCAAGAGUAAAAUCACGGAAGUGGAACUAGCUGGACCAGUGGGUGGCGCACAUGCUUUUCGAAAUGAAUAUAGGAACAUUAGGUGACCAAUUAAACAUUCUCUGUUUUAGUAAUAUGAGCAUCAUAUCAGAUUCGUAUUUCAACACGUAAGCUUUGGAAUUAUGAGUGGCAUGUUGUUUCGCUUGAUGGGUUGAGGUCUUGAUGAGCAGUGCUAGCACGACACAAAGCAGUGAAGCACCUACGAUGAUGGUAGUGAAUAUAAAGGGGGAAACCAUAAGCUUUACGAGUAUAGUGACAGUGACAUGGCGGAUCUGAAGGUGCAAACCGGACAAAGCUACUUGCAACCAAUGUUUGCAUUCAACUAGCCACUAUGAUUUGGUACGGACAAGAAAAGUACAGUAAACAAUUUAAGAUCUAUUUUUCGGGUGAGAUCGAUAACUUAAGCACAUAUGGAAGAGUACAACCUAUCUUGCGACGCCGUGUAGGCCCCUGCUGAUACGUUGAGGGUGCUGCGGGUGCGAUGGCUGUCGGCGGCAGGGAAGAAGACUUUAGAUGGCAGACUGCCGGGUCGGGGGAUAAAUCCUGUUGCCGUGGAUGAGGUGAUCGUAGGAGCGACAACGGCAAAGUGGACGAAGGCGCCAAUGAAGCGAGAGGACACGAUGAAAGGAUCCUGGUCCGGCGCCGUGGAUGAGAGACGUCCAUCUCUUGCAGUCGACGACGGGGUAGGGGUAGCGGCUCCAGCAAGGUGGAGGAUGGGGUGGCGGAUGGAGGAGGCUGGCCGCAGUGGGGAGGUUGUCGUGGCGCCGACGGGGUAUGAAUGGGGAAAUGGAGGGGGAGGGGGGGAUCUCAAACUUUGGGACGCGCUUGUCUGAAAUGUGGGAAAGUUACGAACUUAUCCCCCGUUUAAAAUUUUGGACAUCACGUCGGUUGGGGAUAGGACGGUAAUCUCGCAUCUCCCAAAUAUUUGCCGGUAACGAUUUCGGGCGAGGAGAGGGUGUUUUGCCGCCCACGGUUGGCGCCCACAGAUAAUUUUAUGUUUUGUUAUUUAUUUCUUCAAAACCACAACAAAGAUUUAUUCCACCUUUAUAUAUGAUUAUGAUUUAGAAAUGCCGUGAUCUUCGAAUUCAGUAGGUUGGAUACACUUUGAGUCAAACAGUUAUUUCAUCCAAUACAAUAUGCUCACAGAAAAACAGUUCACCUUAUGUCAAUCAUACAAGUACUGAGGAUUACCUCGCCUAAAAAAUCCGGAUCAUUACAACACAUGGACAACAUAGGGGGUCUUACAACAUAAUCCAUUCAGAGACAUGACACAACAUGCAAGUACAAUAAUCUAAUGACAAUUUCAACUGCUAUCUAAAGAAGAACUGGGGUUAUCCUGGGCUUCAGAUAGCAGAAGCAGCAAGACCUCCUCCGUCUUCAAAUGCAACAUUCUUACUUCCUCCAAUUCUUGGGUUGCUUGCAUAAUGCGUGCAACUAAUUGCAUAAUUUCCAGCUUCAAGAUCAAGAUUACCUCAUUCAUGGCAGCCACACCAUCUCUUUCUGCCUCUAGUAGAGCCUCAAGAACUAUAAUAUCUAUGCUCAGACUGCUCUCCGGCGGUGUUGCCUCUAAACUGCUGCCAUCUAGUAACAUGGAUGGCGCACUGCUUCCACAAAUAGAUUCUGGGGUUGUACAUUGUGUCCUAGUCUGAACGACAUCCUCAAAGGUUUCCACUGGACAUAAGUAAGAGAUAGUUAUCGCAUGAUCCAGGCAGUAAGCUUACAUGGUAAACGACAUAUGAAUUAUUGCCAAGCAUGGCAAGCUAUAUUUAAAUGGUUCGAAGCAACAUCAGCCGAAAAGAAAUUAAAAUGGUAAGAUGAAACUAGGGAUGUAAGUGGCAAAUAAACGACAUCCGCUAGUCCCAUCUAGUUAGUUUUUGCUAGCUCCCUGGUUCAUUUUCCUCAAAAAACAAAAACUCUUUUGAACUAUCAUACCACUAGUGGACUUUAAUCGGGAUUAAAGGGGACCCAGUUGACAUCCCUAGUUGAAAGGGAGUGUACCACCGCUAUAUUUAAGUUGCCAAGGCAUCUAAGCAGUUGAAAUAAUCUGAGAAAGCACUUAACAGUGUGGCCUCACAUAAACUACGAAGACAGUCUUGUGAUGAAGUUCAGAGGAAAAGUUAAGGACUCAAAUGAACUAGGCAUGCAUUUCUUUAUGAUAGUACAGCAGGCACUGCGGACAUAUUGGCCAACUCAGGUAUAGCGUAACAAGUAACAAACAAGCAUUCGAAUCAAGCAAUACAGCAAAGCAGACAACUGAACUAUUUGUUAUUCUAUAGGAUUACAGGUUGAGGGCACAAGCCAAGAAAGCAGCCCACACGCAUUACAUUUCACAUGUACUAAAACACACUGGCUUACCAUAUGUUGCUGUGAAGCCUCACUGCUGUUGCAAUGUUCUUUGAAGAUAUCGUCAGCAUCCCGUGGUUGCAAAUCUACUUGUAGUUUAUUCUGCACCCUCUAUUUAGGUAAAAUUAAUUUUAAUCGCAUGCACUGGUUCGAAUUGAUCAUCAAUGGUUCAUCUAAACUAAUGAAAGAAGGGUGUGUGCAUACACGACAAUAUAUCUGCUUCCCUCUAUUUUUAUGCUUGUUCGAGGUGCCAGCCCCAAAACAACAAAUAUUUUGCUUGAUGGGGUUGGCAGCUACAUAAUUAAUAGAAGCAUCAAAUUAGUCAUGUAACUUGGGAAGAUCAAGAACACACAAAAAAGUAAUGAACAGAGGCUCGUAGCAGUGAUGUAAUAGCCAACAUAAAAAAAUGUAGGGUAAAAUGAACAAAAACCAGCAGAACCACAUGCUAGUUUGCUGAUGUGUAAUUAAGCAUACAGAACAUGAAGCAGUCUGAUGGAACCAACAGGUGGCAUCAGAACAACACCAUUAUCAUAAAUAUAGCAUGCAAGAAGUAAAAUAGUAGGCAGUGAUAUCUAGGAAGUACAAUAAUAAUUAGGACAAAACUAAAGCAUAUUAACUAUAUGUGCACUGGUAUGUAAUUUAGCACAUGUAACAUGUUCACCGCCAGAAGUAUGGCCCUACAGGUGCAAGCAGAAUAACGUGUCUCAUGAAAAACUGAAUGAUGCCCUGAAGAAAUUCAAAGGUGCGGUGCUUAUGCUAAGAAAGUGAACGUAGGCGCCGGCCGUUGGAUAAUAGUACCCGAUUCUCGGCGGCGUAUGGGUAUCGUUGGCAUACUUGAUAGCUAAGGAUCGUCGAUGGUGCUUGUGUUGCGGUCGAGUUUGGGCCGACUGUCGUCGUCGCUGAAGCGGCUCCGGUGCUACGGUUGCGGCGCCUGUCGACAUACAAGAAAGCUCAUCUGUGGUAAGUGAACAGUUGCACGAUAAAGAUAAAAACUGAAGGAGUACAGAUCGAAAUAACCUGAUGAGGCUGCGGUGUCGGUAAAGCAGGGCCGGUGGAGUUGAAUAUGGCGUCCGUGGAGCGGGUCCGGUGCAGUGGACGAAGGCUUCGGCGGGCGCGUUGUAUAGUGCUUUCGGUGAGGCGGAUCUGUUGCGGCGGACGAGGGCUUGUAUGAAGGGCCAGCGAAGGGACAGACGAGGGAGUCAGUGAAGGGUCUACACUGUGGUGGACGAGGGCGCCGGUUAAGCAGAUCCGGUGCGGUGGACCAUGAUGGCGGUCAAGGAGAUCUGGAGCGGUGUACAAGCCAGUCGCUGAAGCGGCUCCGGUGAAGUGGUGAAUUGGCAGUUGGGGGUUCCAAGGUGCGGAAGGUAGAUCCGUCGGGGUGUGAGGUCCACCGCUGCGGUGGAGGACUAGAUUCAGCGGCUUGCCGUGGUUGGGGGGGGGUCGGGGAGGGGAAGGGGAGGGGCUCUGGGGAAGAAUGUUGGGGGCAAAGAGGGGAAAACAAUGGAGUUACCAAAGCAGCCCUUUUCCGUUCAUGUGGCAGGGGUAAAACAGGAAUAUCGCAGGGCUAAACUUUCGGGCGCGAGAUAUUUCGAUGUGAGCGGGAAGUUUGAAAGCUUUUGGCGCCUGAAAUUAUAUUCUGCUCUUGUAUGGCCGACUAUGAUAUCAUGGGCGAGAAUUUGUUUGUUUUGCACACACAAAAAAAGUGCAAGUUUUGAAAAUCAAUGUCUCCAACUCGGAACUUAGAUUGUCCAUUCAGUUCAAAUAUGGAUCAUUGAGCUACUACAAGCAAAUACCAUCAUAUGGUCCAAUUCAAAUGAAAUUCCAAAUGUGUUUAUCCUAAAUAUGAUGACAAAAGCAAAAAUGUGUAUGUGUAUGAAUAAAGUGGAUGAUUAUAAAGUUUGAACAUGCCCGUAUGUGUAUAUCUCAAGGUUUGAUAUAUGAAUUUGAAAUCACGAAAUCCCGGCUUAAAAAUGUACCUCCGUUUAAAUGAAUUACAAAAGCUAAUGAUGGAGUCGAAUUCCAAAAUUCCAAUCUUAGGUUUGUAAUUCUGGUACAUCAAAGUAUAUCACGCAUGUUCAAAAGUAUCGUUAUCUCAUAGUCCAAACUGUGAAACAAAUUGAUCAACCUUGAGUGCACACACUAUUGACCAUGUAUAUCUCAAUUACGCUAAAGUCCCUCAAAUAUAGACACCUCACUNNNNNNNNNNNNNNNNNNNNNNNNNNNNNNNNNNNNNNNNNNNNNNNNNNNNNNNNNNNNNNNNNNNNNNNNNNNNNNNNNNNNNNNNNNNNNNNNNNNNNNNNNNNNNNNNNNNNNNNNNNNNNNNNNNNNNNNNNNNNNNNNNNNNNNNNNNNNNNNNNNNNNNNNNNNNNNNNNNNNNNNNNNNNNNNNNNNNNNNNNNNNNNNNNNNNNNNNNNNNNNNNNNNNNNNNNNNNNNNNNNNNNNNNNNNNNNNNNNNNNNNNNNNNNNNNNNNNNNNNNNNNNNNNNNNNNNNNNNNUCUCUCUCUCUCUCUCUCUCUCUCUCUCGCUCUCACACCCCUCUCCCACACACAAUCGAUGUCUCUUCCAAAUAGUCUGCUCCCCCCGCCCACACCCAUGCUAUCCCGCUACUACACAUGUCACACCAUUCCCCCUUCCCUUAUACUAGGUUUACGUCAUUAGUGGUCUCUCUACUCCACAUACACACACUCCCUCUCACACACAAAUGCGCGCACAAACACACACAGACAUGCACAAACACCCAUUAAUCUGGAUCCUCAUCUCUACCCAUGUCCGCAUGUGUAUCUCGCGCACUCACUCUCUAAUUAUGUAUAUGUGUCUCCACGUUACACAACACAAAGCCCCAUGUACAUGUCUAUCUCUAUCCUCCACACACAUAGACACAAAGAAUAUGUUAUCAUUGCCUCAGUCUCUAGACAUAUCACACACGCACACUGUCUCUCUCUCUCUCUCUCUCUCUCGCAAACACGCUCAACAAGGGUUUCCCCGUGAAUAACUUACCGUCUAUUCAUCAACAGUCGUGGCAGUACGGCGAACACGAGACGUGAAGAAGAAUAAAUCUACACGUGCUUAGACCACCUAGUAUGACUACUAGGACUAGAGCAAGCCAAAAAGCGCGCCGCCGUCACCCCCUCCUUAUCGGCGACGGGAAAACCUUUGUUUUACACAGUCGAGAAGUCAUUGUGCUAAGGCCUCACAUGCUGAGGCAUUGAAUAGAAUGUAGAUGCUAGUUUACGGAAACAAGUAUCGAUAAUACGUUUGUAUCUCCAUACUUAUAUUUCUUCUCUUAUAAACAACCGAGUUGGUGAUGAUGGUACGCGUGCCAUCUUGCAAUAUAGACCGUCCGAUGUAUAUCUGACUGAUGGAAAUUAAACUAAAAGAUACCUGCACCCCUCUCCACAUUUGCAGACAAGGCCUUCCCUCGUUCAUCCUUAUCUCCAACAACCUCAUUGUUGAGCAAUUAAGAAAGGAAGCCUCUGGAACAAACUGGCCUGGUGGCCGCUGCCGGCGCCGUCAAUCCCCAUGCCUCCGCUCAGUCCGACCACCAAUCACCAGCAUGCCCCACUCCUCUUCUCUUUAUCUCCUAUUUCUCGAGAUAUCAUUAGUUUUUACACAUGGGAUUACUCCCGCAUGGGUCAAUCACAACGAGUGUUUUUAUAAAAAAAUGCAUCUUGAUGUUCCGUGCAAUGCACGGAUCUUGCUAGUACUCCUACAGAAGACUAAGUUGGUGAUGAUGGUGUGUCUGCCAUCCGUCGUUUGUGACCAUUAGAUCUACAUCUAACGACUAUGUGGUAAGUUGUUGCCUUUUCUCACAAACAUCCCACUCGUCUACCAAUUUGCAGAAAAAACCCAUAAUUAGUAUCUUAAAACCAACCACAUCCCUCCCUGACCUCACCAAAACAGCCCAAGGAAUAUAUUCUAAUUGAAACAUAAUAUAUCUCUAGUGAUAUAUGUAUAUCAAAAUUAGAGUGUUUUGUAUCAAGUUUGUGAAUAAGUAUUAUUCUAAUUAUGAUUCAUUGCAACGCACAUGAACAUUGCUAGUAUUUCCAACCAUGCAAUUUUUUCCCUAGUAUUCCAUAGUUUCGAGUUUUCCAUCAAGAUAUUAGUCACUCAUGGUUGAUAUUUACUUUCAAUCAUGUACAGAUAUGCACUAUGUAACUAGCCUUGCUUAUUGGGUUCCAAAGCUUAACUUUCACUCCUACUUACAAUAUGUAGAGUAUUUAACAAAAAACUACCACUUUCAACCAGCCAUAGGAAGAAUCUAUUGUACAAAAAAUAGCAAAAACAUACCCAAAAUUUCUUAAUCCACGCCAAAAACUACUACAUACCGAUUAGGUUAGUUUAAAACCAUUUAUGACAGGGUUGGCCCACACGUCCGUGCUGACGAGGCAGCUUAAACCAACACAUUUUGUUUGACCGUUGACACGAGGGACCCACAUCUGACCUUCUAUCCUGUUAUUCCCCCUCAAAUCAUUAUUUUUCCUAAACAUUACUUCAAAUAGUACUGAUGCGUGUUCGUCGGUGGCGCCGGUGAUGAACGAGUUGGCCGCCGCUCCGCCGGACGGGCCGGACGCCGCGCUGGCCUCCGCACGGGUUGGCAGGCUGGCCCGAGCGUGACUCACGAGCGAGCAAGCCGCCGCGCUGGCCUUCACUCGAGCCAGAUGGCUGGCCUUAGCGCAGCGCGCACGAGCAAGCCGCCGCGCCGCCGUGCCAAUCUAGCUAGCAAACCUUGCAGACAAGCAGCUGGACGGAGCUAUCUUGGCUAGCUAGCGGCCGCGAGCGCUGGACGGAGCUGGCAUCCGGGCUGCCGCAAGAUGGGCUCCGCACUGCCGGCGGUUUUGACCUCGCCUUCUACCGGCAGUGGUAGCUGCGUCCCAUGGCCGAGGAUGACUAGGUGGACGGGCCGGAGGUAGGAGGUCACUCGGGGAUUUUUGUGCAGACUGACAUGUAGGUCCCACAAGUCAUAACGCCCGGUCGAAUAGAAGGCAUUGACUUAAUGGGCGACAUGGGCCCUGUUUGGAUACUCUAAGUCAGAGGUUAGAUUCUAACCCUAAACUAACUCUAACCAAAGUGGUGUUUGGAUGGCAGGGUUAGAUUGACAACAAAUGUAUCCAAACAGGGCCAUGGGUUGAAACGUGCCUAUAACGACACUUUGUAGAGUAGUUUUUUCUUGGUAGGGCUGGUUGGUAAGAGCAUGUACAAUGGUUGAUAAGGUAGUCUUAUCUUAAGUCUGCCAUGUAUGCAAGUGGUAGUAGUUUCUUGGCAUUAUUAGUGGUUUCUUGCAUCAUUAGGGGUUUCUUGUAAGGAACAAUGUACUACUAGCGACAAAAGGCGAUUCUAGGUUGCAUUGUACUCCAACGAGUACUACUAGUGGUCGCUGGAGUGUAUACCUCGUUUUGUGGGUUCGAUCCCGGCCGAACGCACGGCGACCUUUUUUUUAAAUAGUAACUUCGCUGCGAGCCAAUAUUUUACACGGGUAGUUUGAGUUUUGAAGUCAAACGGACGUGCGGCACCACAAUCUGGGUGCACUGGAUAGCCUAGCCACGUGAACGGGUUUUCCUUCCUAGCAUCUCGUGGCUCGCGUGCUCGCCCUAGCCGCACCUCGCUUGCAGCUUCCUCAUCAGCUAGUAGCAUAUUUAAACUAGCGCCUCCCAAUUAAGCCCGAGGAGCCGGAAAAGCUUGGCGGGGCAUUGGGAACUGUGCAAUAUGGCUCUGUACGUAAAGUGCUCUACUACUACUCUAUAGCUCGUGGCGUUGCACGCAUGGACUUCACUCCAUUAUCGGCUCUACUAUAAAAGAAAUUCCUCUUAACGUGUUUUUUUUAAACGAAGGCAAAAGCUUUGCUUCAUCUCAUUCAUAAAGAAGGAACUACUAACAAAGUUCGACGAGAUCCAUUACACCUCCACAAAUGGAAGCGAAAAGCCUAGUCUCGUUGUAUGCUGAUAAACAGGCUGCUAGUGUGUGCGUGAGAGGAGCGACUGAGUAGGCCAGCUACGUGAGAGGAGCGGCUGAAUAGAGCACCGAGAGUACCCACUAGGACACUACGUAGGUGUACUUUCCCUGCAUUGAUAGUACAGCGAUGGUUCUAGAGAAUAGUAGUACCCUCCACUUCCAACUGUAGCUCCUUGGCCCUGAGAUUCAAGAGUUCAAAACUGGUGCACUAUACUAGAAGUAUAGUACAUCGCACUACUAGUUGAGAAAGUAGUACUAGUACUGCUACAGUACGAGUACGUACUCCUCCGUCACAUAAUGUAAGACGUUUUUUGACACUAGUUGGCAUGUACAAAAAAUAGCAAAAACAUACCCAAAAUUUCUUAAUCCAUGCCAAAAACUACUAGCUAGUGCCAAAAAUUUCUUACUAGUGCUAUUAUUUACAGUAGAAUGCAAUCCCAUAACAUCCCAUAAUGCUAGUACUAGUAGUAAAUAAUAGCCUCACCCCUUCGCUAAGGAACGAUCUACAUUUGGAAGGGACGAGGUCCUGCGGUUACUACGCUCUUAUAUCCUCCUCGCCAGUUCCCCUCCCCCCGAAGAGAAGGUAGUUCAUCGCUGCUCCCAUGGAUUUGCCAGGCGGUUCUCCUCCUCGUCGGGGCUAGGAGACCUUGGACGACGAUCCUCUGGAAGAAAUUACACGCCGCUCCGACGUCCUCACCGCCGCAAGACUCGGUGCUUCCUGCACCAACUUUUUCAAGAUGGUGCUUAAAAUGGCUUGGGAAAAGGCCAUGCUUGUUGGUCUUCCAUGCGUCCUCGAGGAGAAGGUUCUUCUAUGGGACAAUCCUUCGAAUAGUCCACCGCUCCCUGUUCAUGGUUGCACGUUGACUCCGCUAGAGUUGCCGACGUUGAGAGGUAGUUGGAUUUUGUCCGAUGAGCAGGUCAGUAAUGGAUUUUGAUCUGUAGUACUUAGUUAUUCCAUUUCCAUCCCGUAAUUUCUCCACUGCCCACCGUCUUAUAUAUAGGUCUGGGUUGGUGACAACGAAGAUUGGCUUGCAUACCUCCGGCCGGAUACCACCAUCAUUUUGCACAACAUCCACAGCAGUGCGGCCAUUCCGGUAGACCCCUUCUCCACCAUUGGGAUCGGCCUUCCGGACUGGCUGGGCUUGAAUACGUAUGAUGAUGCCUACAUGAGAUUGAAGAAGAUAGCAAUUGCGGACCCGCCGACAAAGCGACGUGGCUACGAUGAUUACUAUCUCAUCGCGGUGUUCGACAUAAGGAUUGCCAUCAAUGCAAGAGGCAGUAACGGCAGAGGCUGGCGCAUGUUGGCGGCGGCAGAUUUGUACCCCUACACGUUCGAAGACGCCGUGCGCCAUCUAGGCCGCAUCUUCGUGGUGACAAGCCAGGGGACUUGUUUCAUCUGGUUGCCAUCCUACGGUAUGGGAGAUUACAAACGGAAUGCACAAACCAUCAUUUGCAUCCCUAAUGGUACUCCAUUAUUUUGCAGGGACCAGUCAUCCCGCGAUCAAAAUAAGAUCGCCGAUCUUGGAUGUGCAUUUGCAUCUGUGAUUCGGUCUAACCUGGAACCUUGUAGCUGACUUUGGCAUAUUGGGAUCAACUAUCUUAGCAGUCGUUACCCAUGGUACCACUGAUGUGCAACAUGGUCACACAAUCUACCACGAUCAGACAGUCACCAUCUACCCAGGUAUUCCAUUUUUUAACCCUCUCGCCUUCUCUUUCAUUGUUGUACUAGUACUCUACUUACGUACUAGUAGGAGUACUUUUUACCUUGGAGGACGCGUAUAGCUAGCUAGGUCCUUGAAGACUUGAGUCCACUAGCUACCACCAUUUUUGUUUUUCCAUGUCUUACUAUCUCAUCCAUGUAGCCAAGAGUGGCUAUAUAUAAUAAGCCGGUUAUUUUACUUCCUCUAUACCGGAGUAGUACUAUUUGCUGCACAGUAUUACUGACCGCCAUAUUUGAGCACAACAUUAUUAUGCAUGGACCUUGACUAUGUACGUCACCAUGUGUCCAGAUCUGAGAUGCUGCGUGCACCAGAUGAACGACGCCAAGUUCGACCCCCGUGAUGCUACGUGGGUGCCGAGGAACACUCUUGAGAGUACUCGCUUUUCAUUGGGGACAGCUACCCCAUUGUGAAGCGGAUGCCACCUUCCGUUUAAGACACGGAAGGCCUACCGUUCAUGAAGCAUGGUUGUGUCUUCAGUGCGCACCGCCGGAUGAACGACAUGCUGGGACACGCUAUCCCUGAUUUAUGCCGCUUCAGCUUGGAUGAGUCUCCAUCGUGUGGAACCGGACUAGAAAGCUGCGACAAUGAUUCCCGUUGCCCACCGCUAUGGAUCGUGCCAUCCAUGAAGAACACCUGGGACUGGAACCUAGAGGAGGACAUGUAGCCCAUCUAUAACGUGUUAGUGGAGUACGGUAAAUUGUGAACGGUAGCGCUGUGAAUAUAUGUAGACUAGUCGUGCACAAAUUUAUCACAUGAAUUGGAGAUGAACUUGUGUGGCAUACUAGCAUUUGUCCUUUAGAAUUUAUUACUAGUAAAUGUGUUAUGUGUACGUGCAACUUGUGUGGUUGUUGCACGGGCUCCAACACGCUCUUUGAGAAAAAAAAAGGUGGCACAGCUUUGGAUAUACGUGACGUGGCGGCAUCAUACAGUAGCAUCGUCCGCUAUAGUUGUAGUACGCUCCUACUAGGAUGACAACUCCUAUAAAACCUUGCGCUUGGCUCUUUGCCUCUUCGGGAGGUUCAACAGUUCGUACUCGUGUGAACCUUGCACUUGGCGCUUCGCCUCUUCGGAAGGUCCAACAAUGAUGAUACUACAGUACACAUUAUGCUUCUGGCAAUCUGACACCGAUUGAAUUGCUGCACGUCCACCGCGAGGGCGAGGGCGAGGGAGAGGGAGAGGGAGAGGGCGCUGUAGUCAAAACUCUCUCCUCGUCCUGUGAACCACCGCGCGCGUGGGCGAGGGAGAGGCGUAGUAAGCAAGUUUCUCCUCGUUCGGUGAGUUGACGGAACACAUCAAAGCAGUACUAGUACUAGUACAUACUGCGUCCUUUCCGGUUAAUAUGGCUUAAUUUGAAACGAGAAAAAUACACUGGCGGUCAACGUAUGUAACAAUACGCUCUUUAUGGUCACUAUAUAUAGUUUUGCGGUGAUUAUACGAUCACUAGCUCAUCGUAGAGCACCAUAUUGCACCCUACUGACCGGCCACAUAGUCGACGUGGCACUUUGUUGACUGGUUAAAUUGUCACCUGGUUUCUGGAUCCCACCUAUCAGUUGGCAGAGCAAAGAAAUCAGCUAAAAAACAAAGAGUGUAGUACAUCUACACUUCCAAUGCAUUUAGCCUUUAAUCUAAAUCGAUAUUGAUUGACUAAUGCACCAACUUGUGCUCUAGGUAUAGGCUACAUGUCUAUCCUUAAUUACAGCAUGCAACGACCUUCAUUUAAUCUUCUUCUCUCAAUGGUCGCAUGCACACAUAAGUCUGCUACUUUUGGGCGUUAAUUAUGCCCUGGUCAAUGUGUAAAUCUCUAAAUGUACAGUCUUUCACGGACAUAGGGAGUAGGUUGAGGACUUGAGCGUGAGCGUGUGUGUUGCGUCGUGUGUUGUGUGCCGCAUGGGUGCGUGAGUGUUGCGUGCGUCCAUGUGUACGUGUGAGUGUUGCAUGUUGCAUGCAUGCAUGCAUGCAUGGGGCUUACUCCCUCCCAUUGACAUGUUCAUAUUUCAAGCUUCCUCUGUUCCCUCCAUAUGGUGAUACUCCCUCUGUUCCCAAAUAUGGAGUAAAAUCCUCCCUCUGUUCCCAAAUACGGAGUAAAAUCCUCCCUCUGUUCCCAAAUACGGAGUAUUUGUCUUUCUAGAGAUUUCAACAAGUGACUACGUACGGAGCAAAAUGAGUGAAGUGAGCGUAGAGGCAUAGGGAGAAUGUAGAAAGGAAGUCUUCGCGAUCCAUUAUUCCCCAUCUCGGUCAGAGAGAACUAUUCAACUAGUCUUCGCAGUGAAGUGACAAUACACGCUGCAGCAGAUGGGACACUUAAUUAAUAAGCUGAACCAGCGUGUUGGUGUUACUAAAUCAGCCUUACCCAGUACUGCCAUCAUGUUUGCCAGUAGAGCACGCUUCUGUCCUCCAUUAACUGACAUAUGGGCCCUCUUGUGGUAGACCCACAUGUCAUCGAUGUAACUAUUUACACUCCGAAGGACGGUAUAUCCUGGUAGUAGGAGUAGAAUUGAGAUUUAAUGCACUUUCUUCCCCGUCUUCCACUCUUCUUCCUCCUCUCUUCUUCUUCCUCCUCUCUUCUUCUUCCUCCUCUCUUCCCCAUCGUCGGCCGCACACCAUUUCCCCCCGCUCACUGCUCGCCCGCCCGCGCUAUCUUCCUUGGUAGCUCGCGCGUACCAUAUCCCCCCGCUCACUGCUCGGCCACACGAGGAGAAGCUUCUUCGCUCGCCCGCCCGAAUCCACUUCCCCGCUGGCUCGCAGGCACAGAAAACCCCAAUGGCAGAACCGACUGACACGCAGAGCCGCGAUUGGAAUUCCCUCCCCGAUGUUCUCUUGGAGCAGAUUUGUAAUCGUAUGGACCUACUCAGCACCGUCCGUCUGGCCGCAUGCUCGGUGUCUUUGUACCGUCUACUCGUCUGCAACCGUCCGGCUCUUUUCAAGACACCGUGCUUGCUGAUGCCCAAUCCUCGCAUGUGGCCCAGACACCGACUUGAUGAUCCUACGGAGGUUGCCAUGGUGCCCCUCGACAUGCUACCACUACCCGUCCACCUGUCCUUCAUGCGCGGCCACUACUGGGCGGGCAUGAAGGCCAACUAGAUCGUCCUCAUCCACCAAUCCGGUAGUCCGUGGCGUCUCGUGGAUAUCUACACCCAGCGAGAGAUCACCCUUCCAUCUUUGGAUACCACCGCCAUCGAGCCUCGCGGCCUGCCGGACACUCCUGCCUACUACGCACGAGACGCGUCGAGCUUUUGGCUCGACCUCUGUUUGCUGAAGGUUGUAAUCUGCGAAGUGCCCACACCAUUAGAAGACUACAUGGAUUACAAGCUCAUUGUCGUGUUCAACAUGGGAUUAGUCUAUCUGGAAUCCGGUCGCCAUACAUGGUUAUGGCUCAUCGUCGAUCCUCUUUACCCAACACUUCUGUCUGAUGCUAUAGUGCACGAUGGCAUCGUUUAGGCAGUCAACACACAGAUUGGCUGCCUAUACUGGUGGAAUCUAUCGUUGUGUAAUUGUUCUAUCUCAUCUCAUCUUUACCUUAAGAAUACGACUGCCUGUUCAUUGUUACAAAUUUAGAAUAUAUAGUAUGUCUAUAACCACAUCAUUGCUAUAUGUUCCUCUCAUUUCCUAGAUUUUUAUGACCACACAUGUUAUUGUUAGAGUUGAUAUGAGAACAAUUGGUAUCUAAUGAUUGUUAGAAUAGAUAUUAUGAGUAUAACCUCAUGAUUGCUAUAUGUUACUCUCAUUUCCAGGAUUUUUAUAACAACGCAUGUUAUUGCUUAGAGUUGAUAUGAUAACUGUAGUAAGUGCUAUGGUAGAAUACGAGUAGGCCCUGUCAUAUCUGUUUUCCUCUCAUUGUUACAUGAUGUUUGAACCAUGAUAUAUUGCUAGAAUAUGAAAUCCAUUGGCUUAUUUUUUUUAACUUGGGGUAUGAUUAUGACCACGACAUUGCAAUUCUCUAUCUAUGAUAUGUGUCACUGUUAUAAUAAUCUUAAUUCCACACAUACUCUGAACAUGAUUGUUUAUUUUUGUCCUUUUGGUCUCCAAUUUGAAUUGUUGCAGCAGACGCAAAUGCGCUGGCCUUCAUGAUUCCAGGACUUGGAAUCAUACCAGCCGAUGGGUGGUGGUUUAUCGCUCGUUGAGCUGACGGUGGUCAUUUGAUGCUCAUUUGCACGUACCAAAUUGACCAAACCAUUUCAUCAAACCACAUGCAGUACAAUGCCUGCGGCGUUCGUGACAUUGAUGGCUAUGGCUGCUUCGUGUUCGAGAAAGAUCCCAACUCCGUUGGGCCAGGCGUAUUCAACUAGAGGCGGGUUUACAGCCUCAGCAACCACUCCAUGUUCCUCGGGCUCAAUUAUCCGAUCGUCCAACCAAUCAUCGAUCAUAUCACCGGUGAUGAUUACCGUGCUAUGCAACCUCCAUUCGCCAGGGGGACUGUGUUUACACAUCAUACCAUGGGUUUCAUGAAUCACCAUAUCCAGAGAUUCGUCGACACAGCUUGUUGCUAGAUUAUCUUUAGUGUGUGAAAGGCAUCAAGCUUCCAUGCGAUGGAUGGCUUUUGCAAACCCGACAUGCGGCGAUGUGGUUCAUGCCAACAACAAGUAUGCACAACUUGAUUCGUACUGAUAUGUAGACCGAGCCAUGUAUUCUGCUGCUGUAGCACGACCCUCUUUUGUUGGAUAUUAUGUACUGUUGUUAGUUUGAAGCACUCCUCUGGUUUGAAGGAUAGAUACCUUUCUGGGAUCAAGUGCAUCCUAACUCACCUGCAUGAUGUACUGAUAAUGAUGAUGGAGAUGCUGUGCAGUAUAUAUAUAUAUCACUUAGGCUUCAAGUGCGUACUUGUUAGUUAAACCUAUGGUUAAAAUGUGACACUAAAUACGACUAGUAAGUAGAACAGUAGCAGUACUAGUAUACGUCGGUCAAAUUAUUCAUCAUGUCCACACAUUGAAUUGACGUGACAACACGCUGCGCGUGAGGUGACACAAGAAUCCCAGCGGCGUGUUCGGGUAUUCUGGACUUCAGAUUUGGAGUACCACUUAUCUGUCGAAAUAUUUCAUCAUUCACUUAAAACAGUCGAUUGAUCAUACAUUGAGUACCAUAUAACUGGAAUUAACCCAUGCAAGUCGAAGAAGGAUUGGCCGGUGCUGCCGGCUGGCGUCAAGUUCGAUCCCACGGAUCAGGAGCUGAUCGAGCACCUUGAGGCCAAAGUGAGUGCUGACAGCGCGAGAUCUCACCCUCUCAUCGAUUUGUUCAUACCAACCAUCGACAGCGAGCACAGCAUAUGCUACACCCAUCCUGAGAAACUUCCAGGUAAGACACCGAUCUGCCGUCUACUCGCACAAACAUAUUCCUUUGUUUAUAGCUCUAUUUUUAUUUUUAGACGCAGACCUGGUGAAGCAAUUACAAUUUGACAGUUAAUAAAAAUUGAAACAAGUGACUGCAACAUGCCAAAGAUGUUAUGAAAAUGCCCACUACGUACACUAAAACCUGUAUUCGACAAUACUGCAGGUAUCACACUGAGUGGCCUAAGCAAGCAUUUCUUCCAGCGCAAUUCUAGGGCGUUCAAAAAGGGCACGUGGAUGCGUCGCAAGAUACAGUCGGAGUGCGACAUGCAUGCGAUGUGGCACAACACCGGCAAUACCUUGCCGGUGAUGGUCAACGGCCGGCAGACGGGCAGCAAAAAGGUUCUGGUGCUGCACACCAACAAGAACUUCGACCAGCAGACGACCAACUGGGUGAUGCACCAGUACCACCUCGGGAACCUGGAGCAAGAGAAAGAGCGGGAGCUCGUGUUGGGUACGUAGUAAUUUCAAAAAAUUUCCUACGCACACGCAAGAUCAUGGUGAUGCAUAGCAACGAGAGGGGAGAGUGUUGUCCACGUACCCUCGUAGACCGACAGCGGAAGCGUUAUCACAACGCGGUUGAUGUAGUCGUACGUCUUCACGAUCCGACCGAUCAAGUACCGAACGUACGGCACCUCCAAGUUCUGCACACGUUCAGCUCGAUGAGGUCCCUUGAACUCCGAUCCAGCCGAGUGUUGAGGGAGAGUUUCGUCAGCACGACGACGUGGUGACGAUGAUGAUGUUCCACCGACGCAGGGCUUCGCCUAAGCUCCGCAACGGUAUUAUCGAGCUGUAAUAUGGUGGAGGGGGGCACCGCACACGGCUAAAAUAUCGUAUAUCAAGUGUGUCCAUGGGGUGCCCCCCUGCCCCCGUAUAUAAAGGAGCAAGGGGGAGGCCGCCGGCCUAGGGAGGAGAGGCGCGCCAGAAGGGGGAGUCCUACUCCCACCGGGAGUAGGACUCCUCCUUUCCUUGUUGGAAUAGGAGAAGGGAAGGGAGAAGGAGAAAGAAGGAAGGGGGCACCCCCCUUCCCUAGUCCAAUUCAGACCAGAUCAUGGGGAGGGGCGCGGCCACCUUUUGAGGCCUUUCUCUCCUUUCCCGUAUGGGCCAUUAAGGCCCAAUACGAAUUCCCGUAACUCUCCGGUACUCCGAAAAAUACCCGAAUCACUCGGCACCUUUCCGAAGUCCGAAUAUAGUCGUCCAAUAUAUCGAUCUUUAUGUCUCGGCCAUUUCAAGACUCCUCGUCAUGUCCCCAAUCUCAUCCGGGACUCCGAACUCCUUCGGUACAUCAAAACUCAAUAAAACUAUCAUCGUAACGUUAAGCGUGCGGACCCUUUGGGUUCAAGAACUAUGUAGACAUGACCGAGACACCUCUCCGGUCAAUAACCAAUAGCGGGACCUGGAUGCCCAUAUUGGCUCCCACAUAUUCUACGAAGAUCUUUAUCGGUCAGACCGCAUAACAACAUACGUUGUUCCCUUUGUCAUGGGUAUGUUACUUGCCCGAGAUUCGAUCGUCGGUAUCUCGAUACAUAGUUCAAUCUCGUUACUGGCAAGUCUCUUUACUCAUUCCGUAAUACAUCAUCCCACAACUAACUCAUUAGUCACAAUGCUUGCAAGGCUUAUAGUGAUGUGCAUUACCGAGUGGGCCUAGAGAUACCUCUCCGACAAUCGGAGUGACAAAUCCUAAUCUCGAAAUACGCCAACCCAACAAGUACCUUUGGAGACACCUGUAGAGCACCUUUAUAAUCACCCAGUUACGCUGUGACGUUUGGUAGCACACAAAGUGUUCCUCCGGUAAACGGGAGUUGCAUAAUCUCAUAGUCAUAGGAACACGUAUAAGUCAUGAAGAAAGCAAUAGCAACAUACUAAACGAUCGAGUGCUAAGCUAACGGAAUGGGUCAAGUCAAUCACGUCAUUCUCCUAAUGAGGUGAUCCCGUUAAUCAAAUGACAACUCAUGUCUAUGGCUAGGAAACAUAACCAUCUUUGAUUAACGAGCUAGUCAAGUAGAGGCAUACUAGUGACACUCUGUUUGUCUAUGUAUUCACACAUGUAUUAUGUUUCCGGUUAAUACAAUUCUAGCAUGAAUAAUAAACAUUUAUCAUGAUAUAAGGAAAUAAAUAAUACUUUAUUAUUGCCUCUAGGGCAUAUUUCCUUCAGUCUCCCACUUGCACUAGAGUCAAUAAUCUAGUUCACAUCGCCAUGUGAUUUAACAUCAAUAAUUCACAUCACCAUGUGAUUAACACCCAUAGUUCACAUCUCUAUGUGACCAACACUCAAAGGGUUUACUAGAGUCAAUAAUCUAGUUCACAUCGCUAUGUGAUUAACACCCAAAGAGUACUAAGGUGUGAUCAUGUUUUGAUUGUGAGAUAAUUUUAGUCAACGGGUCUGUCACAUUCAGAUCCGUAUGUAUUUUGCAAAUUUCUAUGUCUACAAUGCUCUGCUCGGAGCUACUCUAGCUAAUUGCUCCCACUUUCAAUAUGUAUCUAGACCGAGACUUAGAGUCAUCUAGAUUUAGUGUCAAAACUUGCAUCGACGAAACCCUUUACGACGAACCUUUUGUCACUUCCAUAAUCGAGAAACAUAUCCUUAUUCCACUAAGGAUAAUUUUGACCGCUGUCCAGUGAUCUACUCCUAGAUCACUAUUGUACUCCCUUGCUAAAAUCAGUGUAGGGUAUACAAUAGAUCUGGUACACAGCAUGGCAUACUUUAUAGAACCUAUGGCCGAGGCAUAGGGAAUGACUUUCAUUCUCUUUCUAUCUUCUGCCGUGGUCGGGCUUUGAGUCUUAUUCAAUUUCACACCUUGUAACACAGGCAAGAACUCUUUCUUUGACUGUUCUAUUUUGAACUACUUCAAAAUCUUGUUAAGGUAUGUACUCAUUGAAAAACUUAUCAAGCGUCUUCAUCUAUCUCUAUAGAUCUUGAUGCUCAAUAUGUAAGCAGCUUCACCGAGGUCUUUCUUUGAAAACCUCCUUUCAAACACUCCUUUAUGCUUUGCAGAAUAAUUCUACAUUAUUUCCGAUCAACAAUAUGUCAUUCACAUAUACUUACCAGAAAUGCUGUAGUGCUCCCACUCACUUUCUUGUAAAUACAGGCUUCACCGCAAGUCUGUAUAAAACUAUAUCCUUUGAUCAACUUAUCAAAGUGUAUAUUCCAAUUCCGAGAUGCUUGCACCAGUCCAUAGAUGGAUCGCUGGAGCUUGCAUAUUUUGUUAGCACCUUUAGGAUUGACAAAACCUCCUAGUUGCAUCAUAUACAACUCUUCUUUAAUAAAUCCAUUAAGGAAUGUAGUUUUGUUUAUCCAUUUGCCAUAUUUCAUAAAAUGCGGCAAUUGCUAACAUGAUUUAGACAGACUUAAGCAUAGAUACGAGUGAGAAACUCUCAUCGUAGUCAACAUCUUGAACUUGUCGAAAACCUUUUUGCGACAAUUCUAGCUUUGUAGAUAGUGACACUACUAUCAGCGUCCGUCUUCCUCUUGAAGAUCCAUUUAUUCUCAAUUGCUUGCCGAUCAUCGGGCAAGUCAACCAAAGUCCACACUUUGUUCUCAUACAUGGAUCUCAUCUCAGAUUUCAUGGCUUCAAGCCAUUUUGCGGAAUCUGGGCUCACCAUCGCUUCUUCAUAGUUCGUAGGUUCGUCAUGGUCUAGUAACAUAACCUCCAGAACAGGAUUACCGUACCACUCUGGUGCGGAUCUUACUCUGGUUUACCUACGAGGUUUGGUAGUAACUUGAUCUGAAGUUACAUGAUCAUCAUCAUUAACUUCCUCACUAAUUGGUGUAGAAGUCACAGGAACAGAUUUCUAUGAUGAACUACUUUCCAAUAAGGGAGCAGGUACAGUUACCUCAUCAAGUUCUACUUUCCUCCCACUCACUUCUUUCGAGAGAAACUCCUUCUCUAGAAAGGAUCCAUUCUUAGCAACGAAUGUCUUGCCUUCGGAUCUGUGAUAGAAGGUGUACCCAACUGUCUCCUUUGGGUAUCCUAUGAAGACACAUUUCUCCGAUUUGGGUUUGAGCUUAUCAGGAUGAAACUUUUUCAGAUGAGCAUCGCAACCCCAAACUUUAAGAAACGACAACUUUGGUUUCUUGCCAAACCACAGUUCAUAAGGCGUCGUCUCAACGGAUUUUGAUGGUGCCCUAUUUAACGUGAAUGUAGCUGUCUCUAAUGCAUAACCCCAAAACGAUAGUGGUAAAUUGGUAAGAGACAUCAUAGAUUGCACUAUAUCCAAUAAAGUACGGUUAUGGCGUUCGGACACACCAUUAUGCUGUCGUGUUCCAGGUGGCAUAAAUUUGUGAAACUAUUCCACAUUGUUUUAAUUGAAGACCAAACUCAUAACUCAAAUAUUUGUCUCCGCGAUCAGAUCAUAGAAACUUUAUUUUCUUAUCACGAUGAUUUUCAACUUCACUCUGAAAUUCUUUGAACUUUUCAAAUGUUUCAGACUUAUGUUUCAUCAAGUAGAUAUACCCAUAUCUGCUCAAAUCAUCUGUGAAGGUCAGAAAAUAACGAUAUCCGCCACGAGCCUCAAUAUUCAUUGGACCACAUACAUCUGUAUGUAUGACUUCCAACAAAUCUGUUGCUCUCUCCAUAGUUCCGGAGAACGGCGUUUUAGUCAUCUUGCCCAUGAGGCACGGUUCGCAAGUAUCAAGUGAUUCAUAAUCAAGUGAUUCCAAAAUCCCAUCAGUAUGGAGUUUCUUCAUGCGCUUUACACCAAUAUGACCUAAACGGCAGUGCCACAAAUAAGUUGCACUAUCAUUAUUAACUUUGCAUCUUUUGGCUUCAAUAUUAUGAUUAUGUGUAUCACUACGAUCGAGAUCCAACAAACCAUUUUCGUUGGUGUGUAUGACCAUAGAAGGUUUUUAUUCAUGUAAAUAGAACAACAAUUGUUCUCUAACUUAAAUGAAUAACCGUAUUGCAAUAAACAUGAUCAAAUCAUAUUCAUGCUCAACGCAAACACCAAAUAACACUUAUUUAGUUUCAACACUAAUCCCGAAAGUAUAGGGAGUGUGCGAUGAUGAUCAUAUCAAUCUUGGAACUACUUCCAACACACAUCGUCACCUCGCCUUUUACUAGUCUCUGUUUAUUCUGCAACUCCCAUUUUCGAGUUACUACGCUUUAGCAACUGAACCAGUAUCAAAUACUGAGGGGUUGCUAUAAACACUAGUAAAGUACACAUCAAUAACAUGUAUAUCCAAUAUACCUUUGUUCACUUUUCCAUCCUUCUUAUCCACCAAAUAGUUGGGGUAGUUCCGCUUCCAGUGACCAGUCCCUUUGCAGUAGAAGCACUUAGUCUCAGACUUAAGUACAGACUUGGGCUUCUUCACUUGAGUAGCAACUUGCUUGCCGUUCUUUUUGAAGUUCCCCUUCUUCCCUUUGCCCUUUUCUUGAAACUAGUGGUCUCAUCAACCAUCAACACUUGAUGUUUUUCUUGAUUUCUACCUUUGUCGAUUUCAGCAUCACGAAGAGCUCGGGAAUUACUUUCGUCAUCCCUUGCAUACUAUAGUUCAUCACGAAGUUCUACUAACUUGGUGAUGGUGACUAGAGAAUUCUGUCAAUCACUAUUUUAUCUGGAAGAUAAACUCCCACUUGAUUCAAGCGAUUGUAGUACCCAGACAAUCUGAGCACAUGCUCACUAGUUGAGCGAUUCUCCUCCAUCUUUUAGCUAUAGAACUUGUUGGAGACUUCAUAUCUCUCAACUCGGGUAUUUGCUUGAAAUAUUAACUUCAACUCCUGGAACAUCUCAUAUGGUCCAUGACGUUCAAAACGUCUUUGAAGUCCCGAUUCUAAGCCGUUAAGCAUGGUGCACUAAACUAUCAAGUAGUCAUCAUAUUGAGCUAGCCAAACGUUCAUAACGUCUGCAUCUGCUCCUGCAAUAGGUCUGUCACCUAGCGGUGCAUCAAGGACAUAAUUUUUCUGUGCAACAAUGAGGAUAAUCCUCAGAUCACGGAUCCAAUCCGCAUCUUUGCUACUAACAUCUUUCAACAUAAUUUUCUCUAGGAACAUAUCAAAAAUAAAUACAUGGAAGCAACAACGCGAGCUAUUGAUCAACAACAUAAUUUGCAAAAUACUAUCAGGACUAAGUUCAUGAUAAAUUCAAGUUCAAUUAAUCAUAUUACUUAAGAACUCCCACUUAGAUAGACAUCCCUCUAAUAAUCUAAGUGAUUACGUGAUCCAAAUCAACUAAACCAUGUCCGAUUAACACGUGAGAUGGAGUAGUUUCAAUGGUGAACAUCACUAUGUUGAUCAUAUGUACUAUAUGAUUCACGCUCGACCUUUCAGUCUCUGUGUUCCGAGGCCAUAUCUGUAUAUGCUAGGUUCGUCAAGUUUAACCUGAGUAUUCCGCGUGUGCAACUGUUUUGCACCCGUUGUAUUUGAACGUAGAGCCUAUCACACCCGAUUAACACGUGGUGUCUCAGCACGAAGAACUUUCGCAACGGUGCAUACUCAGGGAGAACACUUUAUCUUGGAAUUUUAGUGAGAGAUCAUCUUAUAAUGCUACCGUCAAUCAAAGCAAGAUAAGAUGCAUAAAGGAUUAAGAUCACAUGCAAUCAAUAUAAGUGAUAUGAUAUGGCCAUCAUCAUCUUGUGCUUGUGAUCUCCAUCUCCGAAGCACCGUGCUUGUGAUCUCCAUCUCCGAAGCACCGUCAUGAUCACCAUCGUCAUUGGCGCGACACCUUGAUCUCCAUCGUAGUAUCGUUGUCGUCUCGCCAACUAAUUUCUUUUACAACUAUCGCUACUGCUUAGUGAUAAAGUAAAACUAUUACAUGGCGAUUGCAUCUCAUACAAUAAAGCGACAACCAUAUGGCUCCUGCCAGUUGCCGAUAACUCGGUUACAGAACAUGAUCAUCUCAUACAAUAAAAUAUAGCAUCAUGUCUUGACCAUAUCACAUCACAACAUGCCCUGCAAAAACAAGUUAGACGUCCUCUACUUUGUUGUUGCAAGUUUUACGUGGCUGCUACGGGCUUAGCAAGAACCGUUCUUACCUAUGCAUCAAAACCACAACGAUAGUUUGUCAAGUUGGUGCUGUUUUAACCUUCGCAAGGACCGGGCGUAGCCACACUCGGUUCAACUAAAGUGAGAGAGACAGACACCCGCCAGUCACCUUUAAGCAACGAGUGCUCCGAACGGUGAAACCAGUCUCGCGUAAGCGUACGCGUAAUGUCGUUCCGGGCCGCUUCAUCUCACAAUACCGCUGAACCAAAGUAUGACAUGCUGGUAAGCAAUAUGACUUAUAUCGCCCACAACUCACUUGUGUUCUACUCGUGCAUAGCAUCAACGCAUAAAACCAGGCUCGGAUGCCACUGUUGGAGAAUGUAGUAAUUUCAAAAAAAUUCCUACGCACACGCAAGAUCAUGGUGAUGCAUAGCAACAAGAGGGGAGAGUGUUGUCCACGUACCCUCGUAGACCGACAACGGAAGCGUUAUCACAACGCGGUUGAUGUAGUCGUACGUCUUCACGAUCCGACCGAUCAAGUACCGAACGUACGGCCCUCCGAGUUCUACACACGUUCAGCUCGAUGACGUCCCUCGAACUCCGAUCCAGCCGAGUGUUGAGGGAGAGUUUCGUCAGCACGACGGCGUGGUGACGAUGAUGAUGUUCCACCGACGCAGGGCUUCGCCUAAGCUCCGCAACGGUAUUAUCGAGGUGUAAUAUGGUGGAGGGGGGCACCGCACACGGCUAAAAUAUCGUAUAUCAAGUGUGUCCAUGGGGUGCCCCCCUGCCCCCGUAUAUAAAGGAGCAAGGGGGAGGCCGCCGGCCUAGGGAGGAGAGGCGCGCCAGAAGGGGGAGUCCUACUCCCACCGGGAGUAGGACUCCUCCUUUCCUUGUUGGAAUAGGAGAAGGGAAGGGAGAAGGAGAAAGAAGGAAGGGGGCGCCCCCCUUCCCUAGUCCAAUUCGGACCAGAUCAUGGGGAGGGGCGCGGCCACCUUUUGAGGCCUUUCUCUCCUUUCCCGUAUGGCCCAUUAAGGCCCAAUACGAAUUCCCGUAACUCUCCGGUACUCCGAAAAAUACCCGAAUCACUCGGAACCUUUCCGAAGUCCGAAUAUAGUCGUCCAAUAUAUCGAUCUUUACGUCUCGGCCAUUUCGAGACUCCUCGUCAUGUCCCCAAUCUAAUCCGGGACUCCGAACUCCUUCGGUACAUCAAAACUCAAUAAAACUGUCAUCGUAACGUUAAGCGUGCGGACCCUUCGGGUUCGAGAACUAUGUAGACAUGACCGAGACACCUCUCCGGUCAAUAACCAAUAGCGGGACCUGGAUGCCCAUAUUGGCUCCCACAUAUUCUACGAAGAUCUUUAUCGGUCAGACCGCAUAACAACAUACGUUGUUCCCUUUGUCAUCGGUAUGUUACUUGCCCGAGAUUCGAUCGUCGGUAUCUCGAUACCUAGUUCAAUCUCGUUACCGGCAAGUCUCUUUACUCGUUCCGUAAUACAUCAUCCCGCAACUAACUCAUUAGUCACAAUGCUUGCAAGGCUUAUAGUGAUGUGCAUUACCGAGUGGGCCCAGAGAUACCUCUCCGACAAUCGGAGUGACAAAUCCUAAUCUCGAAAUACGCCAACCCAACAAGUACCUUUGGAGACACCUGUAGAGCACCUUUAUAAUCACCCAGUUACGUUGUGACGUUUGGUAGCACACAAAGUGUUCCUCCGGUAAACGGGAGUUGCAUAAUCUCAUAGUCAUAGGAACAUGUAUAAGUCAUGAAGAAACCAAUAGCAACAUACUAAACGAUCGAGUGCUAAGCUAACGGAAUGGGUCAAGUCAAUCACGUCAUUCUCCUAAUGAGGUGAUCCCGUUAAUCAAAUGACAACUCAUGUCUAUGGCUAGGAAACAUAACCAUCUUUGAUUAAAGAGCUAGUCAAGUAGAGGCAUACUAGUGACACUCUGUUUGUCUAUGUAUUCACAAAUGUAUUAUGUUUCCGGUUAAUACAAUUCUAGCAUGAAUAAUAAACAUUUAUCAUGAUAUAAGGAAAUAAAUAAUACUUUAUUAUUGCCUCUAGGGCAUAUUUCCUUCAGCUGGUCCUCUGCAAGAUUUUCUACCAGACAAACACUAGGGACAGGAGUAAAAAGAUUAUAAGUUAGUUUGGUAUUAGUACUUGUACUACCUUGUCGUCCGCAAGUUGGUAUUGUUGUUAACGAUCUUUUGGUAUGAACUUGGCAUUUGCUUCCAACCAUCAUGCCGAGGGUCGACGUGGAUAUAAAGCUUGCCAUCCGCUGGUUCUGCCGCCGUCAUUGCCUCCUCGUCGACCUCCCUCUGUGCCACCAGUGCGGCGCUGACCACUUGAUUCGUCGCUGCUAGAUAUAGCAGCAACGGCUCUCGUGGUUUAGGCGCAACCAGUAUUGGCGUGGAGGAAAGGUAUUUCUUCAGAUCCUGCAAUGCUGCCUCGGCUUGUGGGGUCCACUCCAUUGGGCCUGCCUUCUUCAAGAUUUUGAAGAAAGGAAGGGCGCGCUCGGCAGACUUGGAGAUGAAUCGGCUCAUGGCGGCGAUGCAGCCAGUGAGCCGACACACAUCUUUGAUCCGCUUGGGCGCCUCAAUCUGCUCAAUAGCCUUGAUUUUGUCUGGGUUUGCCUCGAUCCCGCGCUGUGACACAAAGAACCCGAGAAGCUUGCCGGACGGAACGCCGAAGACACACUUCUCAGUGUUCAGCUUGAGGUUGAUCUUGCGCAGGUUGGCAAAUGUCUCUUCCAGAUCUUUCACAAGAGUCGGCCCGUCCUUGGUUUUGACCACUAUGUCGUCCAUGUAUGCCUCCAUAUUUCUAUGGAGCUGAGGUUCAAAACCAAUUUGGACCACUCUUGCAAACGUCGAGCUAACACUCUUCAACCCGAAAGGCAUCCGUGAAAAGCAAUACGUACCACAUGGGGUGAUGAAUGCUGUCUUUUCUUCAUCCUCUCUUGUCAUGAAGAUUUGGUGGUAGCCCGAGUAGGCGUCGAGGAAUGAUAACAGAUCACACCCGGCCGUGGAGUCAACAAUCUGGUCGAUGCGCGGCAACGGGAAGGGGUCCUUAGGACAAGCCUUAUUGAUAUCUGUGUAAUCAAUACACAGCCUCCACUUCCCAUUCGCCUUGCACAUGAGGGCAGACAACUAGGUGGUGCUCAAUCACCUCCCUGGGAACACCGGGGAUGUCGGAUGCUUGCCACGCAAACACGUCAACAUUCGCCCGCAGGAAGGUGACGAGCACGCCUUCCUAUUUGCUGUCGAGGGUGGAGCCUAUGGUGAAGGCCCCUCCCGUGCCAUCCUCCCUGGCGGACACCUUCUUGGUCUGCGAUGGCUCGGCUCUGGAUUUCUUGCUCUUGCCGGUAACCUCUCUGGCACGUCCUCGACGGUAGCGUAUCACUCCCAAGAGGCGUGCUUGCCGGAGUGGGUGUGAGAGGUCUUGCCGGGCUUUCUCUUCCCUUCCGGGCCUUCAGCGGCAGGAGCAGGUGCCUUGACGGCAGCUGCUGCAACUGCUUCCCGGUAGAGUUGGUCGGCGCAGAUCAGCGCGUCCUUCUUGUCGGAGGGGACGGAGAUGAUGGUCAACGAACCGGGCAUCUUUAGCAUGUUGUAGGCAUAGUAUGAUGUUGCCAUGAACUUGGCUAGUGCUGGGCGGCCGAGGAUCCCGUUGUAGGGCAAGGGGAUCUCGGCCACGUCGAAGGUGAUCCUCUCCGUCCUGUAGUUCAACUCUCCUCCAAACAUCACGGGCAGUGUGACCUUCCCCUUCGGCUGGCUCCUCCCCGGAUUGACCCCUUGAAACGUGCCUAUUUUCUCGAGGUCUCCAUCAGGAAUUUGCAGCCUUUUGAUCACGACAGGCGAGAUCAAGUUCAGGCCGGCCCCAUCGUCAACCAACAUCUUGUUCACCUUGAGGUUGCAUAUCGUUGGCAAGACCAACAAUGGCAAACACCCGACCGCGGCUGUGCGGUCAGGGUGGUCCUCGGCAUCAAAGAUGAGGGGCGUGCUGGACCAUUUCAACGGCUUCUGAGCGUCGAACGAUGGUUCCGCUGCUGUAAUCUCACGCGCCCACUGCUUGGGCUGGCGGUGAGAAGUAUGCAGCGAGGCGCCACCAUCGACGCACAUGGCCUCCGCAGCCUUCUGGAACUCUUGCUCACCGGACUCGUCGUCCUCGUCGCGAUCAUCGUCUUCUUGUUUCUUGUCACGGCCCCGGGCCGGCCUCUCCUGCUGGUUGUCCUUGCCGCGGCAGUCUCCUUGGCCGCCAAGCUUCUUGCCGGAUCCCUCGGCACCAUCCUGGUCCUUCUCCUUGUCCCGCCUCUCGUACUCAGCUUUUUGCUUCUCAGCAAGCAGCUCGACUUGUCGGCAUUUCUGGAGGUCGUGGCCCUUGGUGCGGUGGAUCUUGCAGUAUUGCUUGCCAGAGCUUCCUGGCUUGUCGGUAGCCGCCAAGGCCCGGCAGGCGGCGCACCCGGCAAUCUCCUUGCCGGGGGCGUCUGCCUUGACCUUCUUGGCAUCGCCGGUGUCGUCAGAUCCUUCAACGGCAAGCACGGCCUUGCCUUUGCGUUUCCUGUUGCGACGCCGGCCCUUCUUCGUCGGGGUGGCGGCGUCUUCGUCGGUAGAGUCGGUUUCCGCACCGGCAUCUUCGCCGGGUACUUCCUUCCCUCUUCAGCCCGGGCGCACCUAUCGGCCAGAACGUAGAGCUUGGCCACAUCCUUAACCUUGGUCAUCGCCAGCUCUUCGUGCAUCUUGCGGUUGCGCAUGUUCUGAUGGAACGCGCUGAUCACAGCGGCGGGAUGAACGUCGGGGAUGUUGUACUGCACCCGGCUGAAUCUCUGGAUGUACUUGCGCAGGGUUUCCCCUUCCUUCUGGGAAUGAUAUGCAGAUCACUGGCCUGGCCAUGAGCUUGGUGGCCUCCUGUGAAGGCGCCAACGAACUCAUGGCACAGAUCCGACCAAGAAGAAAUGGAAUCCGCCGGCAAGUGCAUCAACCAAGACAUAACAUUGGGCUUCAGUGCCAGCAGGAAAUAGUUGGCAAGCACCUUGUCGUCGCGAGCUCCAGCAGCCUGCAUCGCGAUGGUGUAGAUGCUGAGGAACUCGGACGGAUGGGUCUUGCCAGUGUACUUUUCGCUGACGUCGGGCUUGAACGUGCGGUGGGACGGCCACUGGAACUGCCGCAGCUCACGGGUGAAGGCCGGGCAGCCCACCUCAUAAGGUAGGCCGCCGGAGCCCCCCGAUGCUGGGUGGUCCAUAGCGGGUCCCACCCGCUUGUCCGACUGGUGGCGUGUAUCACGCCGGCACACGAUGGUGGUCCGAGCAUCUUCGUGAGCUCGUUCUCGAAGAACUUGGCGCUGGUCGCGGUGGGCCGUGGGUCGAACGACGCUAUAGAGAUGUUAUCACAAGCGUCGUCAUGACAGGCAGACGCCUGCGGCGGCUGGCGAGGAGGAGGAGAGUGCACCGUGGCCACAGCUCCCCCGGUCCUCUCAGCGCCAGCACGUGGUGGCUCGGUGGAGCGCCGACCCGAGGGCCCUGCCGGUCGCGGAUCGUCUUUGUUGGUGACGGUGACGAGGCUUCGGAUGGUGGCCCUCCACUCGUCGAGCUUCUCCGCAGCAAGAGGGAAGUCGAGGAGCAGCUGCGCGUGCGCCAAAGCUUCUGCUGGCGUGGGUGGCGGCGAUAGCUGCGUGGAUCGCGGCGCGCUUUGACUUCUAACUACGUUAGAAGGAGCUCCGUUACGACCCAGCGGCUGCGCGCCAUUUUCGCCAGCACUUCGGCGGGCAUGCUGAACCCCUUCAUCCCGCGGACGACGCACAGGGCUCUUCCCACGGCGGUGCCCAGGGUCACCAGCGUGGUGACGCUGCUCGGCGCGCACACCAUGGGAAGAGCGCACAGUGGUCGCCGGUGCGGGCGUCUUGGAGGUCGCUGCGCCGCCCGGAGGUAGCACAAUGACACCCCUGGAGGGCCCCGCGCCGCCUGCGGGGGCCCCAGCUCCGUCUUUGGAUCUGGCGACGUGCGGCCGUCAUCUGGCGCGCGAACGACGCCGCUCGCCAGGCUCUGACUGCCAGGGCGAUGCUGGUGCUCACGGACCGCGGCCCGGGUCUGAUACGUCUCCAACGUAUCUAUAAUUUAUGAAGUAUUCAUGCUGUUAUAUCAUCUAUCUUGGAUGUUUAAUGGGCUUUAUUAUACACUUUUAUAUGAUUUUUGGGACUAACCUAUUAACCUAGAGCCCAGUGCCAGUUUCUGUUUUCUCCUUGUUUUAGAGUAUCGUAGAAAAGGAAAAGUAAACGGAGUCCAAUUGACGUGCCACUUGACGGAGAUCAUUUUUGGACCAGAAGAUGCCCACGGAGUACCAGAAGCAGGCCAGAAGAGUGCCGGGCUGCCCACGAGGGUGGGAGGCGCGCCCAGCCCCCUAGGGCGCGCCCCCUGCCUUGUGGACAGUCCAGAGACCCCCCUGACGUGAAAUCAACGCAAAACUCUUCUAUAUAUACCCAAACUUCCAGAAAGAAACCUUGAUCGGAAGUUCCGCCGCCGCAAGCCUCUGUAGCCACGAGAAGUCAAUCUAGGCCCUCUCCGGCACCCUACCGGAGGGGGCCAUCAUCACCGGUGGCCUUGAAGGAGUAUCCCGGAGGGGGCCAUCAUCACCGGUGGCCUUGGAGGAGUAUCCCGGAGGGGCCAUCAUCACCAUGAAGGCCAAGGACCAGAAGGUGGAGAAUCUCUCCCCCUCUCUUUCGGUGGCGCCGGAGUGCCAUCGGCAGGGGAAUCAUCGCCACGGUGAUCGUCUUCAUCAACAUCACCAUCAUCAUCAUUAUCCUCAUCUCUUUUACGCGGUCCACUCUCCUGCACCCUGCUGUAAUCCCUACUUGAACAUGGUGCUUUAUGCCACAUAUUAUGAUCCAAUGAUGUGUUGCCAUCUUAUGAUGUUUUGAGUAGAUAUCUUUUGUCUUUGGGUUGAUGGAUGAUCUAGAUUGGUAUGAGUUGUAUGUUUUAUUUUGGUGCUGUCCUAUGGUGCCCUCCGUGUCACGCAAGCGUGAGGGAUUCCCGUUGUAGGGUGUUGCAAUACGUUCAUGAUUCGCUUAUAGUGGGUUGGUGAGUGACUGAAACACAAACUCGAGUAAGAGGGAUUGUUGCGUAUGGGAAUAAAGAGGACUUGAUGCUUUAAUGCUAUGGUUGGGUUUUUACCUUAAUGAUCUUUAGUAGUUACGGAUGCUUGCUAGAGUUCCAAUCAUAAGUGCAUAUGAUCCAAGUAGAGAAAGUAUGUUAGCUUAUGCCUCUCCCUCAUAUUAAACUGCAAUAGUGAUCACCGGUCUUGUCAACGGUUGCCUAGGACAAUUCCGCACACCGAUCCACCAUUAUUCCACACUCGCUAUUUAUAAUAUUUAGUAAUAUAUUCUAAAUUUAUGAUAACAGCACCUACUUUUAUUUUCUAGCUCUCCGUUACCAUGCAAAGUUAUCCUCUUCAUACCCACAACGUAGUUUUAUUUCUCGGUCCUAGUUGGAAGCAAACGUUCGGUGCACGUAGAGUCGUAUCAGUGGCAGAUAGGGCUUGAGAGAAUAUUGAUCUUACCUUUAGCUCCUUGUGGGUUCGACACUCCAUACUUAUCACUUCCACCAUUGGAAAUUGCUACGAUGAUUCCCUGCACUUGGGGAUUAUCAAGCUCUUUUCUGGCGCCGUUGCCGGGGAGCAAUAGCGUGGGGUUGAUAUUCUCGUGUGUGCUUGUUUGCUUUCUUCACUAAGUAGAUUUUGUUUUUCCUUUUUGUUUCUGUUUAGUUGUGGGUGAAACAUACAAAAAAAUAAAAUAAUGAAAAUACAAAAAAAAUUCACUUGCCUUUCAUGCCUAAAAAGUUUUUCGAAAAGAGAAGUGAUUGGAAAGUUAUGCAUUGAAGAAGUGAGGGUCGACCUUGUGCACUUGUGUUCAUGCUCACGGAAACAAUGUAGAAUUUUUCAUGGAAGUUUCUCUGUAAAUAAUUAUCCCCUUGUAUAUAUUCAUUGUAUUAUAAAAAAAUGUGCCAAGCUUUGGUUUUAGGAUGAUUAGAUUGCUGGUUUACUAUGUGCAGAACAAAAACAGAAACUUUGGCUGUAGUGCGUGAAUUUAAUUUUUUUUACUGGAAAGUCAAAUGGGUCUGAAACUUUUUGCACAUUACUUAUGUAUAAAAUUUUCAAAUUGUAAUUUUUUUUUCAUAAUUUUAGGAGUUACAGAAGUUUACCAAACUUCCAGAUUACUACAGACUGUCCUGUUUAAGACAGAUUCUGUUUUUGAUGCAUUGCUUGCUUAUUUUGAUGAAACUAUCGAUUUCUAUCAGUGGAUUAAGCCAUGAAAAAGUUAUAUUACAGUAUCUGUAAUGCAAAAACAAAAUAUGAAUUGGUUUUCAACAGCACUUAUAGUAGUGAUUUGCUUUGUUAUACUAACGGAUCUCACAAAGUUUUUGUUAAGUUCUUGUGGAUGAAGUGUUCGAAGAACGAGGAGUUACCGAUGUGAGAAGAAUAAAGAGAAGCAAGAGUUCAAGCUUGGGGAUGCCCAAGGCACCCCAAGUAAAUAUUUCAAAGGAUACUCAAGCAUCUAAGCUUGGGGAUGCCCCGGUUGGCAUCCCAUCUUUCUUCCUCAACAAUUAUCGGUAUACCUCGGUUUUUGUUUUGUUCACAUGAUUUUUGUCCUUUGUGUUUUUCUUUUUCUUUAAGAACCAUGCUAGUAUGAGAUAGACUUUCAUCAAUUUAUAGAAUACUUCAUGUGCUUCACUUAUAUCUUUUAAGUACGAUCUUAUAGACUUGCUCUUUGUGCUUCACUUAAAUCUUUUGAGUAUGGUUUUAUAGAAUGCUUCAUGUGCUUCACUUAUAUAUAUUGAGCUUGGAUAUUGGUUAGUCUAUAUCAAUUGUAGAAUGCUCCAUGAACUUCACUUAUAUCUUUUGGAGCAUGAAUAAUACUAUCAUUUAAAGUGGGUAUGGAAGAGUGUCAACUUUAGGAAUUAGUGAUCCCACUAUCUUGGAGGGUGUUGAAUCUUAGUGUGAUAUUUAUGAAAAUGGAUUUGGAAGAGUGUCAACUUUAGCUAGUAAUGAUUCCACUAUUUCGGAAGAGGUUCCAAUUGAGUAUGAGAACAAAGUUUCUAUCCAUGAUGCUACUGAAAAUUAUUAUGAGGGAGGAAUACAUGCUUGUAGGAGUUGCAAUAAUAUCAAGUUUCCUCUCUAUGUGCUUAAAGUUUUGAAGUUAUACUUGUUUUGCCUUCCUAUGCUAGUUGAUUCUUGUUCCCAUAAGUUGUGUGCUCACAAAAUCCCUAGGAAUAGGAAGUGGGAUAGAUUUAAAUGUGCUAGUCAUAUUCUUCAAGAUGCUCUCUUUGUGUUUCAAUUCUUGUCUAUUAUGUGAGCAUCAUUGAAAUCAUCAUGCCUAGCUAAAAGGCAUUAAAGAAAAGCGCUUGUUGGGAGACAACCCAAUAUUUACCCUUACUGUUUUUGUGUGUUUACAUGAUUAAGCUACUGUAUUAAUAAUAUUUUAUAGUUUUUGUUUCAAUAAAGUGCCAAGUAAGACCUUUGGGAAGUCUUGGGAGAAAGUCAAUGUGAUCUUGCUGUAAAAAACAGAAACUUUGCGCUCACGAGAUUAGCUGUCAAUUUUUACAGAAGUGUGAUUUUGAGUUGAUUCUUUUUGCAGAAGAUUAUUAGACAAAUUCCUCACGUCCACCAAUUUAUUUCAUAAUUUUUGGAGUAGCAUAAGUAUGGUUUAUGUUCAGAUCAUUACAGACUGUUCUGUUUCUGACAGAUUCUGUUUUGAUUGCAUAGUUUGCUUGUUUUCUAAUUUCUAUGACUUAUAUUUCUCAAUAUAAAUUGUAGAAAUGAUAUGGUACAGUAGGAAUUGUGUGAGAACAAUUAUGAACCUUGUCUUUGACAGUACCAAAGUGAAUGGUUUGCUCUUUAUCAUACUAACCUAUCUCACGAAGUUUGGUUAAGUUUUGUGUGAUUGAAGUUUUCAAGUUUUGGGUGAGAUAUCGAUAUGAGGAGAAUAAGGAGUGGAAAGACCCUAAGCUUGGGGAUGCCCAAGGCACCCCAAGGCAAUAUUCAAGGAAUACUCAAGUACCUAAGCUUGGGGAUGCCCCGGAAGGCAUCCCCUCUUUCGUCUUCAAAACUAUCGGUAUACCUUACUCGGAGCUAUAUUUUUAUUCGUCACAUGAUAUGUGUUUUGCUUGGAGCGUAUUUUCAAUUUUACUUGCUGUUUGAAUAAAAUCAUUGGAUCUGAAAUAUUGAAUGAAAAAGAAUCCUCCCAUGGCUAGUUAAUUAUUUGACUACUUAGUGUUCUUCACUCAUAUCUUUUGGAGUAGUUUGUCAUUUACUCAUGUGCUUCACGUUUAUCCUAUGAGUAAAUGGUUGAAUAAAUUGAAUGUCAUAAAUCUGAAUCUAUAUAUGUUUCAUAUCCUUAUAAUAUGGGGAGUAAUGACUUCACACAUAAUAAUUAUAGGUAGUAAACUUGUUGAAAGUUAGCAAACGUAGAAUUGGUGACUUGAACAAUUCAUGAAAGAAUAUUGAAGGGAGAGGGAUUUCACAUAUACAUAUACUAUCUUGGACAUCUUUUGUAAUUGUGAGCACUCAUUAAAAUAUGACAUGCUAAAAGGUUGAUGUUGGACAAGGAAGACAACGUAAUGGGUUAUGUUUUCUUAUAUCUGAAAUAAAGUAUAUUGUCAUGGAUCGCCCAACAUGUUGAGCUUACCUUCCCCCUCAUGCUAGCCAAAUUCUUUGCACUAAGUAGAGAUACUACUUGUGCUUCCAAAUAUCCUUAAACCAAGUUUUGCCAUGAGAGUCCACCAUACCUACCUAUGGAUUGAGUAAGAUCCUUCAAGUAAGUUGUCAUCGGUGCAAGCAAUAAAAAUUGCCCUCUAAAUAUGUAUGAUUGACUAGUGUGGAGGUAAUAAGCUUUAUACGAUCUUGUGAUGUGGAAGAAAUAAAAGCGACGGACUGCAUAAUAAAGGUCCAUAUCACAAGUGGCAAUAUAAAGUGAUGUUCUUUCGCAUUAAGAUUUUGUGCAUCCAACCCUGAAAGCGCAUGGCAACCUCUGCUUCCCUCUGCGAAGGGCCUAUCUUUUACUUUUAUCUCUUACCCUUAUGGAAGAGUCAUGGUGAUUUUCACCUUUCCUUUUUACAUUUUAUCCUUUGGAAAGCACCUUGUGUUGGAAAGAUUCUGAUAUAUAUAUAUCCAAUUGGAUGUAAGACAUCAUGAACUAUUAUUGUUGACAUUACCCUUGAGGUAAAAGGUCGGGAGGCAAAUCUAUAAGCCCCUAUCUUUCUCUGUGUCUGAUUAAAACUUUGAACCCAUAAAUAUCGCGUGAGUGUUAGCAAUUAUGAAAGACUAAAUGAUAGUUGAGUAUGUGGAGUUUGCUAAAUCAAAGCUCUGACAUAGACUCUUCCUGAAAAUAAGAUGGAUUGCAAUUGUUUGAUGACUGAGAAUAUUGUUUGUUAGUUUUCAAGAAAGUUUACGAUCUAUACUUUAUCAUGUGGAUAGCUUGUUACUUUAUCAUGAGAAGUUUUAUGAGAUGAGCUACUGUUAUGACAUGUAAUGAUGCUAGAAAAAGUGAUUGGAAUUAUCAUUGAUCAAACUUAAGCACUUGCUAGAAUUCACACUUCAUAAAUUAUUUCUUUUAUCAUUUACCUACUCGAGGACGAGCAGGAAUUAAGCUUGGGGAUGCUGAUACGUCUCCAACGUAUCUAUAAUUUAUGAAGUAUUCAUGCUGUAAUAUCAUCUAUACUGGAUGUUUAAUGGGCUUUAUUAUACACUUUUAUAUGAUUUUUGGGACUAACCUAUUAACCUAGAGCCCAGUGCCAGUUUCUGUUUUCUCCUUGUUUUAGAGUAUCGCAGAAAAGGAAAACUAAAUGGAGUCCAAUUGACGUGCCACUUGACGGAGAUCAUUUGUGGACCAGAAGAAGCCCACGGAGUACCAGAAGCAGGCCAGAAGAGUCCCGGGCUGCCCACGAGGGUGGGGGGCGCGCCCCCCUGCCUCGUGGAUAGCCCGGAGACCCCCCUGACGUGAAAUCAACACAAAACUCUUCUAUAUAUACCCAAACUUCCAGAAAGAAACCUAGAUCAGAAGUUCCACCACCGCAAGCCUCUGUAGCCACGAGAAGUCAAUCUAGGCCCUCUCCGGCACCCUGCCGGAGGGGGCCAUCAUCACCGGUGGCCUUGGAGGAGUAUCCCGGAGGGGGCCAUCAUCACCGGUGGCCUUGGAGGAGUAUCCCGUGAAGGAAAUAUGCCCUAGAGGCAAUAAUAAAGUUAUUAUUUAUUUCCUUAUAUCAUGAUAAAUGUUUAUUAUUCAUGCUAGAAUUGUAUUAACUGGAAACUUGAUACAUGUGUGAAUACAUAGACAAACAGAGUGUCACUAGUAUGCCUCUACUUGACUAGCUCGUUGAUCAAAGAUGGUUAUGUUUCCUAGCCAUUGACAUGAGUUGUCAUUUGAUUAAUGGGAUCACAUCAUUAGGAGAAUGAUGUGAUUGACUUGACCCAUUCCGUUAGCUUAGCACUCGAUCGUUUAGUAUGUUGCUAUUGCUUUCUUCAUGACUUAUACAUGUUCCUAUGACUACGAGAUUAUGCAACUCCCGUUUACCGGAGGAACACUUUGUGUGCUACCAAACGUCACAACGUAACUGGGUGAUUAUAAAGGUGCUCUACAGGUGUCUCCGAAGGUACUUGUUGGGUUGGCAUAUUUUGAGAUUAGGAUUUGUCACUCCGAUUGUUGGAGAGGUAUCUCUGGGCCCUCUCGGUAAUGCACAUCACUUAAGCCUUGCAAGCAUUGCAACAAAUGAGUUUGUUACAAGAUGAUGUAUUACGGAAUGAGUAAAGAGACUUGCCGGAAACGAGAUUGAACUAGGUAUCGAGAUACCGACGAUCGAAUCUCGGGCAAGUAACAUACCGAUGACAAAGGGAACAACGUAUGUUCUUAUGCGGUCUGACCGAUAAAGAUCUUCGUAGAAUAUGUGGGAGCCAAUAUGAGCAUCCAGGUUCCGCUAUUGGUUAUUGACCAGAGAGGUGUCUCGGUCAUGUCUACAUAGUUCUCGGACCCGUAGGGUCCGCACGCUUAAAGUUAGAUGACGGUUAUAUUAUGAGUUUAUGUGUUUUGAUGUACCGAAGGAGUUCGGAGUCCCGGAUGAGAUCAGGGACUUGACGAGGAGUCUCGAAAUGGUCAAGACGCAAAGAUCGAUAUAUUGGACGACUAUAUUCGGACAUCGGAAAGGUUCCGAGUGAUUCAGGUAUUUUUCGGAGUACCAGAGAGUUACGGGAAUUCGUAUUGGGCCUUAAUGGGCCAUACGGGAAAGGAGAGAAAGGCCCCAAAGGGUGGCCGGACCCCUCCCCAUGGACUAGUCCGAAUUGGACUAGGGAGGGGGGCGCCCCCUUCCUUCUUUCUCCUUCUCCCUUCCCUUCUCCUAUUCCAACAAGGAAAGGAGGAGUCCUACUCCCGGUGGGAGUAGGACUCGCCCCUUGGCGCGCCCUCCUCCUAGGCCGGCCGCCUCCCCCCUUGCUCCUUUAUAUACGGGGGCAGGGGGGCACCUCUAAAGGCAACAAUUGAUCAUUGAUCUCUUAGCCGUGUGCGGUGCCCCCUCCACCAUAUUACACCUCGAUAAUAUCGUAGCGGUGCUUAGGCGAACCCUGCGUUGGUAGAACAUCAUCAUUGUCACCACGCCGUCGUGCUGACGAAACUCUCCCUCAACACUCGGCUGGAUCGGAGUUCGAGGGAUGUCAUCGAGCUGAACGUGUGCUGAACUCGGAGGUGCCGUGCGUUCGGUACUUGAUCGGUCGGAUCGUGAAGACGUACGACUACAUCAACCGCGUUGUGUUAACGCUUCCGCUUUCGGUCUACGAGGGUACGUGGACAACACUCUCCCCUCUCGUUGCUAUGCAUCACCAUGAUCUUGCGUGUGCGUAGAUUUUUUUUGAAAUUACUACGUUCCCCAACAGUGGCAUCCGAGCCUGGUUUUAUGCGUAGAUGUCAUAUGCACGAGUAGAACACAAGUGAGUUGUGGGCAAUAUAAGUCAUACUGCUUACCAGCAUGUCAUACUUUGGUUCGGCGGUAUUGUUGGAUGAAGCGGCCCGGACCGACAUUACGCGUACGCUUACGCGAGACUGGUUCUACCGACGUGCUUUGCACACAGGUGGCUGGCGGGUGUCAGUUUCUCCAACUUUAGUUGAACCGAGUGUGGCUACGCCCGGUCCUUGCGAAGGUUAAAACAACACCAACUUGACAAACUAUCAUUGUGGUUUUGAUGCGUAGGUAAGAACGGUUCUUGCUCAGCCCGUAGCAGCCACGUAAAACUUGCAACAACAAAGUAGAGGACGUCUAACUUGUUUUUGCAGGGCAUGUUGUGAUGUGAUAUGGUCAAGACAUGAUGCUGAAUUUUAUUGUAUGAGAUGAUCAUGUUUUGUAACCAAGUUAUCGGCAACUGGCAGGAGCCAUAUGGUUGUCGCUUUAUUGUAUGCAAUGCAAUCGCCAUGUAAUUGUUUUACUUUAUCACUAAGCGGUAGCGAUAGUCGUAGAAGCAAUAGUUGGCGAGACGAUAACGAUGCUACGAUGGAGAUCAAGGUGUCGCGCCGGUGACGAUGGUGAUCAUGACGGUGCUUCGGAGAUGGAGAUCACAAGCACAAGAUGAUGAUGGCCAUAUCAUAUCACUUAUAUUGAUUGCAUGUGAUGUUUAUCUUUUAUGCAUCUUAUCUUGCUUUGAUUGACGGUAGCAUUAUAAGAUGAUCUCUCACUAAAUUUCAAGAUAAAAGUGUUCUCCCUGAGUAUGCACCGUUGCCAAAGUUCGUCGUGCCCAGACACCACGUGAUGAUCGGGUGUGAUAAGCUCUAUGUCCAUCUACAACGGGUGCAAGCCAGUUUUGCACACGCAGAAUACUCAGGUUAAACUUGACGAGCCUAGCAUAUGCAGAUAUGGCCUCGGAACACUGAGACCGAAAGGUCGAGCGUGAAUCAUAUAGUAGAUAUGAUCAACAUAGUGAUGUUCACCAUUGAAAGCUACUCCAUUUCACGUGAUGAUCGGUUAUGGUUUAGUUGAUAUGGAUCACGUGAUCACUUAGAGGAUUAGAUGGAUGUCUAUCUAAGUGGGAGUUCUUAAGUAAUAUGAUUAAUUGAACUUAAAUUUAUCAUGAACUUAGUCCUGAUAGUAUUUUGCAAAUUAUGUUGUAGAUCAAUAGCUCGCGUUGUUGCUUCCCUGUGUUUAUUUUUGAUAUGUUCCUAGAGAAAAUUAUGUUGAAAGAUGUUAGUAGCAAAGAUGCGGAUUGGAUCCGUGAUCUGAGGAUUAUCCUCAUUGCUGCAGAGAAGAAUUAUGUCCUUGAUGCACCGCUAGGUGACAGACCUAUUACAGGAGCAGAUGCAGACGUUAUGAACGUCUGGCUAGCUCAGUAUGAUGACUACUUGAUAGUUUAGUGCACCAUGCUUAACGGCUCAGAAUCGGGACUUCAAAGACGUUUUGAACGUCAUGGACCAUAUGAGAUGUUCCAGGAGUUGAAGUUAAUAUUUCAAGAAAAUACCCGAGUUGAGAGAUAUGAAGUCCCCAACAAGUUCUAUAGCUAAAAGAUGGAGGAGAAUAGCUCAAGCAGUGAGCAUGUGCUCAGAUUGUCUGGGUACUACAAUCGCUUGAAUCAAGUGGGAGUUAAUCUUCCAGAUAAAAUAUUGAUUGACAGAAUUCUAUAGUCACCAUCACCAAGUUAGUAGAACUUCGUGAUGAACUAUAGUAUGCAAGGGAUGACGAAAGUAAUUCCCGAGCUCUUCAUGAUGCUGAAAUCGACGAAGUUAGAAAUCAAGAAAAACAUCAAGUGUUGAUGGUUGACGAGACCACUAGUUUCAAGAAAAGGGCAAAGGGAAGAAGGGGAACUUCAAGAAGAAUGACAAGCAAGUUGCUGCUCAAGUGAAGAAGCCUAAGUCUGGUCCUAAGCCUGAGACUAAGUGCUUCUACUGCAAAGGGACUGGUCACUGGAAGCGGAACUACCCCAACUAUUUGGUGGAUAAGAAGGAUGGCAAAGUGAACAAAGGUAUAUUGGAUAUACAUGUUAUUGAUGUGUACUUUACUAGUGUUUAUAGAAACCCCUCGGUAUUUGAUACUGGUUCAGUUGCUAAGAGUAGUAACUCGAAACGGGAGUUGCAGAAUAAACAGAGACUAGUAAAAGGCGAGGUGACGAUGUGUGUUCGAAGUAGUUCCAAGAUUGAUAUGAUCAUCAUCGCACACUCCCUAUACUUUCGGGAUUAGUGUUGAAACUAAAUAAGUGUUAUUUGGUGUUUGUGUUGAGCAUGAAUAUGAUUUGAUCAUGUUUGUUGCAAUACGGUUAUUCAUUUAAAUUAGAGAAUAAUUGUUGUUCUGUUUACAUGAAUAAAACCUUCUAUGGUCAUACACCCAAUAAAAUGGUUUGUUGGAUCUCGAUCGUAGUGAUACACAUAUUCAUAAUAAUGAAGCCAAAAGAUGCAAAGUUAAUAAUGAUAGUGCAACUUAUUUGUGGCACUGCAGUUUAGGUCAUAUUGGUGUAAAGCGCAUGAAGAAACUCCAUACUGAUGGGAUUUUGGAAUCACUUGAUUAUGAAUCACUUGAUGCUUGCGAACAGUGCCUCAUGGGCAAGAUGACUAAAACGCCGUUCUCCAGACUAUGGAGAGAGCAACAGAUUUGUUGGAAAUCAUACAUACAGAUGUAUGUGGUCCGAUGAAUAUUGAGGCUCGUAGCAGGUAUCAUUAUUUUCUGACCUUCACAGAUGAUUUGAGCAGAUAUGGGUAUAUCUAUGUAAUGAAAUAGAAGUCUGAAACAUUUGAAAAGUUCAUAUAAUUUCAGAGUGAAGCGGAAAAAAUCAUCGUAACAAGAAAAUAAAGUUUCUACGAUCUGAUCGUGGAGAAGAAUAUUUGAGUUACGAGUUUGGCCUUCAGUUAAAACAAUGUGAAAUAGUUUCACUACUCACGCCACCUGGAACAACACGGUGUAAUGGUGUGUCCGAACAUCGUAACCGUACUUUAUUAGAUAUGGUGCGAUAUAUGAUGUCUCUUACCGAUCUACCACUAUCGUUUUGGGGUUAUGCAUUAGAGACAGCUGCAUUCACGUUAAAUAGGGUACCAUCUAAAUCCGUUGAGACGACAUCUUAUGAACUGUGGUUUGGCAAGAAACCAAAGUUGUCGUUUCUUAAAGUUUGGGGUUGCGAUGCCUAUGUGAAAAGGUUUCAUCCUGAUAAGCUCAAACCCAAAUCGGAGAAAUGUGUCUUCAUAGGAUACCCAAAGGAGAUAGUUGGGUACACCUUCUAUCACAGAUCCGAAGGCAAGACAUUCGUUGCUAAGAAUGGAUCCUUUCUAGAGAAGGAGUUUCUCUCGAAAGAAGUGAGUGGGAGGAAAGUAGAGCUUGAUGAGGUAAUUGUACCUGCUCCCUUAUUGGAAAGUAGUUCAUCACUGAAAUCAGUUCCAGUGAUGCUUACACCAAUUAGUGAGGAAGUUAAUGAUGAUGAUCAUGAAGCUUCGGAUCAAUUUAGUACCGAACCUCGUAGGUCAACCAGAGUGAGAUCCGCACCAGAGUGGUACGGUAAUUCAGUUCUGGAGGUCAUGUUACUUGACCAUGACGAACCUACGAACUAUGAGGAAGCGAUGAUGAGCCCAGAUUCCGCAAAAUGGCUUGAGGCCAUGAAAUCUGAGAUGGGAUCCAUGUAUGAGAACAAAGGGUGGACUUUGGUUGACUUGCCCGAUGAUCGGCAAGCCAUAGAAAAUAAAUGGAUCUUCAAGAGGAAGACGGACACUGAUAGUAGUGUUACUAUCUACAAAGCUAGACUUGUCGGAAAAAGGUUUUGACAAAGUUCAAAGUGUUGAAUACGAUGAGAUUUUCUCACUCGCAGCGAUGCUUAAGUCUGUCCGAAUCAUGUUAGCAAUUGCCGCAUUUGAUGAAAUCUUGCAAAUGGAUAAACAAAACUGCAUUCCUUAAUGGAUUCAUUAAAGAAGAGUUGUAUAUGAUGCAACCAGAAGGUAUUGUCAAUCCUAAAGGUGCUAACAAAAUAUGCAAACUCCAGCGAUCCAUCUAUGGACUGGUGCAAGCAUCUCGGAGUUGGAAUAUACACUUUGAUAAGUUGAUCAAAGCAUAUAGUUUUAUACAGACUUGCGGUGAAACCUAUAUUUACAAGAAAGUGAGUGGGACCACUACAACAUUUCUGAUAAGUAUAUGUGAAUGACAUAUUGUUGAUCGGAAAUAAUGUAGAAUUAUUCUGCAAAGCAUAAAGGAGUGUUUGAAAGGAGUUUUUUAAAGAAAGACCUCGGUGAAGCUGCUUACAUAUUGAGCAUCAAGAUCUAUAGAGAUAGAUGAAGACGCUUGAUAAGUUUUUCAAUGAGUACAUACCUUAACAAGAUUUUGAAGUAGUUCAAAAUGGAACAGUCAAAGAAAGAGUUUCUUGCCUGUGUUACAAGGUGUGAAAUUGAGUAAGACUCAAAGCCCGACCACGGCAGAAGAUAGAAAAAGAAUGAAAGUCAUUCCCUAUGCCUCGGCCAUAAGUUCUAUAAAGUAUGCCAUGCUGUGUACCAGAUCUAUUGUAUACCCUACACUGAUUUUGGCAAGGGAGUACAAUAGUGAUCUAGGAGUAGAUCACUGGACAACGGUCAAAAUUAUCCUUACUGGAAUAAGGAUAUGUUUCUCGAUUAUGGAAGUGACAAAAGGUUCGUCGUAAAGGGUUACGUCGAUGCAAGUUUUGACACUAAUCUAGAUGACUCUAAGUCUUGGUCUAGAUACAUAUUGAAAGAGGGAGCAAUUAGCUAGAGUAGCUCCGAGCAGAGCAUUAUAGACAUAGAACUUUGCAAAAUACUUACGGAUCUGAAUGUGACAGACCCGUUGACUAAAAUUAUCUCACAAGCAAAACAUGAUCACACCUUAGUACUCUUUGGGUGUUAAUCACAUAAGCGAUGUGAACUAGAUUACUGACUCUAGUAAACCCUUUGGGUGUUGGUCACAUGACGAUGUGAACUAUGGGUGUUAAUCACAUGGUGAUGUGAACUAUUGAUGUUAAAUCACAUGGCGAUGUGAACUAGAUUAUUGACUCUAGUGCAAGUGGGAGACUGAAGGAAAUAUGCCCUAGAGGCAAUAAUAAAGUUAUUAUUUAUUUCCUUAUAUCAUGAUAAAUGUUUAUUAUUCAUGCUAGAAUUGUAUUAACCGGAAACUUGAUACAUGUGUGAAUACAUAGACAAACAGAGUGUCACUAGUAUGCCUCUACUUGACUAGCUCGUUGAUCAAAGAUGGUUAUGUUUCCUAGCCAUCUACAUGAGUUGUCAUUUGAUUAAUGGGAUCACAUCAUUAGGAGAAUGAUGUGAUUGACUUGACCCAUUCCGUUAGCUUAGCACUCGAUCGUUUAGUAUGUUGCUAUUGCUUUCUUCAUGACUUAUACAUGUUCCUAUGACCAUGAGAUUAUGCAACUCCCGUUUACCGGAGGAACACUUUGUGUGCUACCAAACAUCACAACAUAACUGGGUGAUUAUAAAGGUGCUCUACAGGUGUCUCCGAAGGUACUUGUUGGGUUGGCGUAUUUCGAGAUUAGGAUUUGUCACUCCGAUUGUCGGAGAGGUAUCUCUGGGCCCUCUCGGUAAUGCACAUCACUUAAGCCUUGCAAGCAUUGCAACAAAUGAGUUUGUUACGAGAUGAUGUAUUACGGAACGAGUAAAGAGACUUGCCGGAAACGAGAUUGAGCUAGGUAUCGAGAUACCGACGAUCGAAUCUCGGGCAAGUAACAUACCGAUGACAAAGGGAACAACGUAUGUUCUUAUGCGGUCUGACCGAUAAAGAUCUUCGUAGAAUAUGUGGGAGCCAAUAUGAGCAUCCAGGUUCCGCUAUUGGUUAUUGACCGGAGAGGUGUCUCGGUCAUGUCUACAUAGUUCUCGAACCCGUAGGGUCCGCACGCUUAAAGUUAGAUGACGGUUAUAUUAUGAGUUUAUGUGUUUUGAUGUACCGAAGGAGUUCGGAGUCCCGGAUGAGAUCAGGGACUUGAUGAGGAGUCUCGAAAUGGUCGAGACGUAAAGAUCGAUAUAUUGGACGACUAUAUUCGGACAUCGGAAAGGUUCCGAGUGAUUCGGGUUUUUUCGGAGUACCAGAGAGUUACGGGAAUUCGUAUUGGGCCUUAAUGGGUCAUACGGGAAAGGAGAGAAAGGCCCCAAAGGGUGGCCGGACCCCUCCCCAUGGACUAGUCCAAAUUGGACUAGGGAGGGGGGCGCCCCCUUCCUUCUUUCUCCUUCUCCCUUCCCUUCUCCUAUUCCAACAAGGAAAGGAGGAGUCCUACUCCCGGUGGGAGUAGGACUCGCCCCUUGGCGCGCCCUCCUCCUAGGCCGGCCGCCUCCCCCCUUGCUCCUUUAUAUACGGGGGCAGGGGGGCACCUCUAAAGACAACAAUUGAUCAUUGAUCUCUUAGCCGUGUGCGGUGCCCCCUCCACCAUAUUACACCUCGAUAAUAUCGUAGCGGUGCUUAGGCGAAGCCCUGCAUCGGUAGAACAUCAUCAUUGUCACCACGCCGUCGUGCUGACGAAACUCUCCCUCAACACUCGGCUGGAUCGGAGUUCGAGGGACGUCAUCGAGCUGAACGUGUGCUGAACUCGGAGGUGCCGUGCGUUCGGUACUUGAUCGGUCGGAUUGUGAAGACGUACGACUACAUCAACCGCGUUGUGUUAACGCUUCCGCUUUCGGUCUACGAGGGUACGUGGACAACACUCUCCCCUCUCGUUGCUAUGCAUCACCAUGAUCUUGCGUGUGCGUAGAAUUUUUUUGAAAUUACUACGUUCCCCAACAUCCCAAAGGGGCCAUCAUCACCAUGAAGGCCAAGUACUAGAAGGUGGAGGCCAUGGAGGAGGAAGCACAAGGGGGAGAAUCUCUCCUCCUCUCUUCCGAUGGCGCCGGAGUGCCAUCGGGACGGGAAUCAUCGCCACGGUGAUCGUCUUCAUCAACAUCACCAUCAUCAUCACCAUCCUCAUCUCUUUUACGCGGUCUACUCUCCGGCACCCCGUUGUAAUCCCUACUUGAACAUGGUGCUUUAUGCCACAUAUUAUGAUCCAAUGAUGUGUUGCCAUCUUAUGAUGUUUUGAGUAGAUAUCUUUUGUCUUUGGGUUGAUUGAUGAUCUAGAUUGGUAUGAGUUGUAUGUUUUAUUUUGGUGUUGUCCUAUGGUGCCCUCCGUGUUGCGCAAGCGUGAGGGUUUCCCGCUGUAGGGUGUUGCAAUACGUUCAUGAUUCACUUAUAGUGGGUUGGUGAGUGACUGAAACACAAACCCGAGUAAGAGGGAUUGUUGCGUAUGGGAGUAAAGAGGACUUGAUGCUUUAAUGCUAUUUUUGGGUUUUAUCUUAAUGAUCUUUAGUAGUUGCGGAUGCGUGCUAGAGUUCCAAUCAUAAGUGCAUAUGACCCAAGUAGAGAAAGUAUGUUAGCUUAUGCCUCUCCCUCAUAUUAAACUGCAAUAGUCAUCACCGGUCUUGUCAACGGUUGCCUAGGACAAUUCCGUACAUCGAUCCACCAUUAUUCCACACUCGCUAUUUAUAAUAUUUAGUAAUAUAUUCUAACUUUAUGAUAACAACACCUACUUUUAUUUUCUAGCUCCCCAUUACCAUGCAAAGUUAUCCUCUUCAUACCCACAACGUAGUUUUAUUUCUCGUUUCUAGUUGGAAGCAAACGUUCGGUGCACGUAGAGUCGUAUCAAUGGCAGAUAGGGCUUGAGAGAAUAUUGAUCUUACCUUUAGCUCCUUGUGGGUUCGACACUCCAUACUUAUCACUUCUACCUUUGGAAAUUGCUACGAUGAUUCCCUGCACUUGGGGAUUAUCAGGGUCCUGUCCGCGACCGGUCCACUGCUCGUCCGCACCGGCACGGGCCGUUCGGCUCCCAACGAGCCAAUCGCCGUGGCCGUCUUCUUCUUAGUAUCCAUGGAGACGAAGAACUGCUAGGCUGACUACUAGACCAGAUUCUCACAAUCGCGCCCCCUACCUGGCACGCCAAAGAUGUCGGUGUGGAACGACACCGAUGGGAUCACAAGAAUCCCUACUAUGGUUGCCGGGGCGCGGGGUUGCAAGAAGAGCAGGAUCAGUAGUCAGCACAAGGAUCGUUUACCCAGGUUCAGGCCGCGAGGAUGCAUAAAACCCUAGUCCUGCUUUGGUGGGUGUAUUUCAGAGAGUUCUUGAGCUCUCGAACUAGCUGUGGUGAGUGUGUGGUUCGAAAGAGCCGAAUCCUUCUCCAGUAUGCCAUGGGCCUCCUUUUAUAGGCGAAAGGGGCUACCACAGUGGCAUACAGGAGGUGGAAAGGCGCACAGUGCUAUGAGCUUAUCGCUCGUAUUACAGGACAAGACGCAUUUAAUGCCCUACUAAGGUGUCCCCUUGCUUUAUCGGGGACGGGGGCGAGGCCCGUCCCGUCCGUCGCCGCUCCUCCUUGCUUCGACACACGCCCUGGCCAGCGAUGCGUGCAACGCCAUGUAGGCAGGCAGGCAGCUGAGGUGGCGCGGUGGUAGGGUCUUCACGAAGAUCUACAUGCGGCCACGCAGGCGCUUGAUGAGUUGGCCUGGAAGCUGCACGUUGCCACGCAGGUGCCUGCCCAGCUGGUCGGGCUGGCAGCUGCAUGUGAACGGCGGUGGAGACUUGGUUGGUGCAGGCCUGGCAGUGGCCCUGCUGGCGUCUUUGGCAAGGGCCUUGCCGGGUGGCCCGGCAAGGGUCUUGCCGUGGCGCGUUGUCGUCCCCGGCAAGGAUCUUGCCCGGGGUCUCGUGGCUUUCCUCGGCAAGGUGCCGAGGAUCGUCGUCUUCUAAUACUCAUCUAAUCUUGGGUAUGUCUUCACAAAGAUCUGCAUGCCACCACAGAGGUGCCUCCCAAGCCCUGGCCCGACGUGGAUGAUGGUGUUGGGGACCGUGGGCUCAAGGGUGGUUCGCUCUAUUGGUGUGGGGUGAGCUGCCCCGACAAGGGUCUUGCCGGGGCUGCCCCGGCAAGGGUCUUGCCGGGGGAACCUGCUUCAUCCCUCUGCUCCUUGUGGUCUUGGCCUUGGCGUUGCUCUGGUUAUCUUGGGCUUUGGUUUUACCUUGGUUCACCUCCCCUGUUCUGCUUGGUGUGACUGUGGGCGCGGCUCCGACUACCCGUGCACAGGUAAAGGGGUACAAAGGUGCGCCCCUUCUUUUGUACACCGACAGGAGCCCCCGGGCCUGGGCCACACAUAAGCGCGACACGUUGUUGGGCCAGGCCCAAAAUGGUGCGCGGGCAGGUGGGGCGGUUUUUACCGUGGUAAAACUUUUCACGCGCUACGCUUCCCACCCCCCGCGCAGCAUGGCGUGGAGGGGUGCGCGUGACGUGGGCGGCAUGCGUGGGGCGGUUCCUGCAUGCAUGCGUCACAUCGCAGUAAAGAGGCGGCUCGCGCCUUCCCCGUAAAAAGAGGGAGGCGUGGAGGCGCGGCUCAAUUACUGAAUGGGGCCGGGUCACGGUCUUCAAGGCGUCCACACCCCACGAUCACGGGGUGGGGAGAGGUCGCUUCACCCGUCCCCUCGGUUCUGCACGUCCGCCACGCGUCCUUCAUGCGCUUGUGGUGGCAAGCGGUGGAGGCGGGAAACCGGGCCGUCGCUGGUUGGGGCAGUGGGUCGGUCCCGAUUCCCUGCGCCUCUGGUGGCUGGAUUGGCCGAGCGGGGCGCCCGAGCCCCGACCCCGCCCCUUUAUAAGGAGGGGGAAGGGGGGAUGGCGUCCCGCACUCUUCUGUCAUCUAUCUCCUCUCGCUUCUGCUUCUUCCUUUCACUCGCCAUGGAGAAAGGGAAUCCUGGUCCCUCGACGGUGGCGGCGAGGGUCGCCGCUCGAUAGCGCGUCCCUCCUCCUCCUGAGCCCGCGGUGGUAGAGCCGGCCGCAAGGGGAAGGGGGAGGGGGCAAGGCCGUGGGCGAGGCCGGGGCAGAGGUCGUAGUGCUCGGGGAAGAGGAGGACGGGGCGGCGCGCCGGCUUCGCCCCCGCCAAUGAUGCCAUUUCCGAUGGAAGGCCAUGUUGGAGACCAACCCUGUGAAUUCUUCAUUAGGCUGCGCCGGCCUCCGUGUCGCCGUCUUUGUCUUCCCGCCCCGUUUGCUCAGGAGAUGGAGCGUGACCCGCCCCAAUCCCUCAGAUUGCAGAUGAGGGGCUGUGGGAAUGGGGGCACGCGGGUCGACGUCGACUUCCCAACUCCUCGGGUGAUGUACCUCCGUCGCGGAUGGAAGACGUUCGCUCGCAUCCACAGCCUGACGGCGGGGCUCGUCCUCUACUUCAAAUUAAUGGAGGACGGCCUGCUCUCCGUCAAGGUCUUCGGAGACUUCGGGACUCGCCUAAAGUGCUGCCUGGAGAGCUCCUCCGACGGAGAUUCCGAUGAUGGAAGCUCUUCCUCGAGCGAAAGUGAUGAGGAGGACAGCGGGGCAUAUGACGGGGACGAGUCCGACUAGGUGUCGGACGCCCCGCGCCUGGGCGGGUGCGGCAGCAGCGGGAUCUGCACCUGGCUGCUCCUCCGGCAGAGUUUUGCCAGGGGCGGGGCCAGCUCCUUGAACUUCUCGGGGCCGUCUCCUUGGGCGGCUGGCGUCGGGAGGCUGCGGAAGAGGAAGAGGGCGGGCGGCAAGGCCAUCAACUCGGAGUACGCGGGCACCGACGCCUUCAUCGCGUAUUGCCAGUCCUGCCGCCUCGUCUUCCAGCUCCUUUCCCGGCACCGUCAUCACUGGCCCACCUGUGGGCGGCCACCGAGGUGUUCUCUUGGUGCUUUCUGCUGCUCGUAGCUCGCCUAGGUGCCCCUUUUGCCCUCUCGCCUCCUUGACCUACCUCCUAAGGAGAGGGACAAGAAAGGGAUUACGGGCAUCUUAUCUCUUUUUUAGUUUGUAAGCCUGCGGGCCUUCGUUAAAUUUAGAACUUGUAAUCCCCUUGCUCAUGUUUUUCAUUCUGUAUGAACUGUACCUGUAUGGGAUGUUUUUAAUGAAAAAGGGAUGCUUGCCGGGUUUUUCGUUCGUGGGUAGACCCCGCGACAAGGAGCAAAUCCUUGUUAUUAUUUAAGAUAAACCUUUUUCGCCCGGCAACAGGCCUUGCCGCCCCCCUCACUUCACUCGACCAUUCUCGCGCUCUUGGCGGAGGCAGGGAUGAAGUGGGCUUAGGCUCCUCGUUCUAUCUCCUUGCCGCCGCGGCUACAACCAAAUCCAGACCUAGAAGAUAAUCCUUAGGUAUAGGAAAAAGGGGAGCACGGUAGCCUGGAGAUAAAACGAGGUUUCACAUGCCCCAGUUCCAUUCCGAAAUGCAUGACAGAGGAUGAAAGACUUAUCUGGAUCUGCAGCCCCUGGCAACCUCAUCUUGCUGCGAUUGGAUCCUUGUGCUUGCAGCCCCCGGCAACUCUGGUUUGCCGGGGUCGGGACGUCGGUCCGUUUCCUUUCUUCCAAGUAGCUUACCAGAAGUGCUCAUGUGCCCUGCGAACCAAAGGAGGACAGAAAAGAAACAGAUAGACGCGCACUCGAUCUCUAGGCUAGGGGUUAGUCGCCGCUAAGCACUAUCAACCCUAACCAAGGAAGAGACUCGACCUAGCAUGCAUGCUAUAACUUAGGGCGCCAGUGCUUCAUUUAUUUAUGCUCAGGGUCUGUGCCUGGCUUUGUACAAAGGGUCACAUGCCUUGCCGGCAAAGCUUGUACAAAAGGUGGCUUGCCGAGAGGCCCGACAUGCCGCGCCUUAUGGGUAAAACUUGCGAAGAUGCCCGAUGUUCCAGGAGUUUCUCACUGGGACAUCAUCUUCAGUCUCCAGGCGGACUGCGCCGGGCCUGGUGACUCGCAUUACCCGAUAAGGGCCUUCCCACUUUGGCGUCAACUUGUUGGAAUUCUUGGCCGACUGAACGCGCCGAAGAACAAGGUCGCCUUCCUCAAAGCUUCGGGCAUGAACCUUGCGGCUAUGGUAGCGGCGCAAGGCUUGCUGGUAGCGUGCUGCUCUCACAGUCGCCCGAAGACGAUCUUCCUCAAGGAGCGUCGCGUCAUCUUGGCGCAACUGCUCUUGCUCAAGCUCAUCAUAAGCGAGCACUCGAGGUGACCCGUAUAUGAGUUCCGUGGGGAGAACUGCUUCUGCCCCGUAUACCAGGGCAAGAGGUGUCUGGCUGGUGGCUCGAUUUGGCGUCGUCCUGAUCAACCAAAGAACUGUCGGCAAUUCAUCAAUCCAACGCCUUCCACUCUUGUGCAGCUUGUCAAAGGUCUUCGUUCUCAGGCCUCGCAACACUUCAGCAUUUGCCCUCUCCGCUUGGCCGUUGCUGCUUGGGUGUGCCACGGAAGCAAAACAGACCUUGCUACCGAGGUCUUGAAUGUAUUGCAUGAAGGUGUGGCUUGUGAACUGCGUGCCGUUGUCGGUGAUGACUCUGUUUGGCACACCAAAACGGCAGACCAGUCCCUUGAAGAACUUGACGGCUGACUGAGCAGUCACCUUUCUCACUGCUUCCACUUCCGGCCACUUUGUGAACUUGUCGAUUGCAACGUACAAGUACUCAAAGCCCCUGACAGCGCGGGGGAAAGGGCCCAGUAUAUCGAGCCCCCAGACCGAGAAUGGCCAGGAGAGAGGGAUUGUUUGAAGGUCUUGAGCUGGUUGAUGAAGCUUCUUUGAAUGGAACUGACACGCUUCACACUUGGUUACUAGUGUCGUUGCAUCCUGGAGGGCGGUGGGCCAGAAGAAACCUUGUCGGAACGCCUUUCCGGCAAGGGCCCUCAACCCUAUGUGGGAGCCACAUAUGCCUCCAUGUAUCUCUGCCAACAGCUCCAGUCCAUCCUCCCGGGGGAUGCACUUCAGUUUCACACCGUUCGGCCUUCUCCUGUACAGGAGGUCAUCGACGAACUGGUACAGGGCGGACCGACGGGCUACUUUUUCCGCUUCUUCCUGCUCCUCAGGAAGUUCCCCUAUUUGGAGGAAUUGGACGGUAGGUUGCGCCCAUGCCGGAGCCCGGGGCUGAACGGCAAGGACCAAAGGCAUCUCUUCCGCCAUGGGAGCGGCUGUCUCUACGGCCAGGGCUUGACGCCCUGCCGGAGCCAGUUGCUCUUGGGCAGGCCCAGUGUCCGCGGCAGCACCCUUGCCGGCAGCCCCAGGGGGCUCGAUAGGAAAGUACUUGCCGGGACCUGACUUCCUCCGCUUGUUCUGCCCCGUUGAUGGCUCGACGGAUGGUUGAGUUAACCGGAGCAAAAAGGUACCUGGUUCCACAUGUAGCUUGAAUGCAGCACGCUUUGACAGGUAAUCGGCGAUGUCGUUCUCCAUUCGGGGGACAUGCUCCGCUUGGAUACCGUCAAAGCGUUCCUCCAGCUUCCUCACCUCAUCUACGUAGGUCUCCAUCAAUGGGCUCUGGUAAUCCUUGUUGACCUGCCUAACAACAAGCUGCGAGUCACCCCUGACGAUGAGCUUCUUAACCCCGAGGUCUGCCGCGAUCCUGAGACCGGCGAGCAAUCCCUCGUACUCAGCAGUGUUGUUGGUGGACAUCUCCCUGGGGAAGUGCAUCUGGAUCACGUACUUGAGGUGCUCUCUGGUGGGCGCGACGAGCAGCACACCGGCACCGGCGCCUUGCAGUGAGAAAGCCCCAUCAAAGUACAUGAUCCAGUCGCGGUCUGCUUCCUUGCCGGGGAGAGUGGUCUCCUGGAUUUCUUCGCCAGGCGUUGAGGUCCAUUCUGCGAUGAACUCCGCCAAGACUCUACUCUGGAUUUUCGAGGUACUUUCAAACUUCAAACCGAAACUUGAUAACUCUAAGGCCCAUUCCACAAUCCUUCGUGUUGCAUCUGGGUUAUGCAGUAUCCGUUGCAACGGGAGGCGGGUGACGACAGUGAUCUCGUGGGCUUGGAAGUAAUGAUGUAGAUUCCUCGAGGCCAUAAGGAGGCCGAAGAGCAAUUUUUGCACACCGGAAUACCUCGACCUAGCCCCUGCAAGAGGGAGCUGACAAAGUAAACCGGGUGUUGCAUCAUCUUCUUCUUCUGCACCACCUCACCCGACUGCGCGGGCACUGCCUUGGUGGCAUCAAACUCUGCCGGGGGCCGCGCCUUGCCGGCACCAGGCCCUGCAGGGGGAAUCUUUGGCUUGCCAUCCGCUGGUUCUGCCGCCGUCACUGCCUCCUCGUCGACCUCCCUCUGUGCCACCAGUGCGGCACUAACCACUUGAUUCGUCGCUGCUAGAUAUAGCAGCAACGGCUCUCGUGGUUUAGGCGCAACCAGUAUUGGCGUGGAGGAAAGGUAUUUCUUCAGAUCCUGCAAUGCUGCCUCGGCUUCUGGGGUCCACUCCAUUGGGCCUGCCUUCUUCAAGAUUUUGAAGAAAGGAAGGGUGCGCUCGGCGGACUUGGAGAUGAAUCGGCUCAUGGCGGCGACGCAGCCGGUGAGCCGACGCACAUCUUUGAUCCGCUUGGGCGCCUCAAUCUGCUCAAUAGCCUUGAUUUUGUCUGGGUUUGCCUCGAUCCCACGCUGUGACACAAAGAACCCGAGAAGCUUGCCGGACGGAACACCGAAGACACACUUCUCAGGGUUCAGCUUGAGGUUGAUCUUGCGCAGGUUGGCAAAUGUCUCUUCCAGAUCUUUCACAAGAGUGGGCCCGUCCUUGGUUUUGACCACUAUGUCGUCCAUGUAUGCCUCCAUAUUUCUAUGGAGCUGAGGUUCAAAACCAAUUUGGACCACUCUUGCAAACGUCGAGCUAACACUCUUCAACCCGAAAGGCAUCCGUGAAAAGCAAUACGUACCACAUGGGGUGAUGAAUGCUGUCUUUUCUUCAUCCUCUCUUUUCAUGAAGAUUUGGUGGUAGCCCGAGUAGGCGUCGAGGAAUGAUAACAGAUCACACCCGACCAUGGAGUCAACAAUCUGGUCGAUGCGCGGCAACGGGAAGGGGUCCUUAGGACAAGCCUUAUUGAUAUCUGUGUAAUCAAUACACAGCCUCCACUUCCCAUUCGCCUUGCGCACCACUACCGGAUUGACCAACCACGUCGGGUGGAGCACUCUUCUCACCAAACCUGCCGCUUCCAACUUCCUAAUCUCCUCUGCGAUGAACUCCUGACUCUCCAGAGCCUGCUUUCUGACCUUCUGCUUGACGGGCCGCGCAUGAGGGCACACAGCUAGGUGGUGCUCAAUCACCUCCCUGGGAACACCGGGGAUGUCAGAUGCUUGCCACGCAAACACGUCGACAUUCGCCCGCAGGAACGUGACGAGCACGCCUCCCUAUUUGCUGUCGAGGGUGGAGCCUAUGGUGAAGGCCCCUCCCGUGCCAUCCUCCCUGGCGGACACCUUCUUGGUCUGCGGUGGCUUGGCUCUGGAUUUCUUGCUCUUGCCGGUAACCUCUCUGGCACGUCCUCGACGGUAGCGUAGCACUCCCAAGAGGCGUGCUUGUCGGAGUGGGUGUGAGAGGUCUUGCCGGGCUUUCUCUUCCCUUCCGGGCCUUCAGCGGCAGGAGCAGGUGCCUUGGCGGCAGCUGCUGCAACUGCUUCCUGGUAGAGUUGGUCGGCGCAGAUCAGCGCGUCCUUCUUGUCGGAGGGGACGAAGAUGAUGGUCAACGGCCCGGGCAUCUUUAGCAUGUUGUAGGCGUAGUGUGAUGCUGCCAUGAACUUGGCUAGUGCCGGGCGACCGAGGAUCCCGUUGUAGGGCAAGGGGAUCUCGGCCACGUCGAAGGUGAUCCUCUCCAUCCUGUAGUUCAACUCUCCUCCAAACUUCACGGGUAGUGUGAGCUUCCCCUUCGGCUGGCUCCUCCCCGGAUUGACCCCUUGAAACGUGCCUAUUUCCUCGAGGUCUCCAUCAGGAAUUUGCAGCCUUUUGAUCACGACAGGCGAGAUCAAGUUCAGGUCGGCCCCGCCGUCAACCAACAUCUUAUUCACCUUGAUGUUGCAUAUUGUUGGUGAGACCAACAAUGGCAAACACCCGACCGCGGUUGUGCGGUCAGGGUGGUCCUCGGCAUCAAAGAUGAGGGGCGUGCUGGACCAUUUCAGCGGCUUCUGAGCGUCGAACGAUGGUUCCGCUGCUGUAAUCUCACGCGCCCACUGCUUUAGCUGGCGGUGAGAAGAAUGCAGCGAGGCGCCACCAUCGACGCACAUGGCCUCCGUAGCCUUCUGGAACUCUUGCUCACCGGACUCGUCGUCCUCGUCGCGAUCAUCGUCUUCUUGUUUCUUGUCACGGCCUCGGGCUGGCCUCUCUUGGUGGUUGUCUGUCAGGACCCCGAUUCCAACUCACAUCGAUCUAGCCGGUAACACCUCAUAUCACUUUGCGGCCUCACGCACGGUAUUCCCACGGGUGUCGCCUUACCAUGGCCCGGGACCGUUUGCGCCUUUUGGCUCACGUAUAUGACAGUGUCGCUAGCAUCCAUAUGACAGAGAACCCGGGCCGACAUGACUAGUCGUGAACCCAAAGUGGCACUAACUUACGGGGACAGACAUACAUGAAUCAACAUCGAGCAUGUCGGUCAGCAGCGUGCGAAUCCGGGCUGUAGCACUGGGCUAACAGGACUCCGGUGAACGGGGCAGUAGCAGGCUAGGCAGGACUCCGGAUGUCACCGCGUGACAUUUCCCCGAAGGGACAGACACAGGAAUGAACUGAAUCACAUGCCAGUCAGUCAAGUGUUCUGGAGCAGUAGUGCUGGGCUAGCAGGACUCCGGUGAACCGGGCUGUAGCGGACUACUAUGGCUCAUGGAGGCACAAGACUACAUUUCGCCAUAAGAGAGGCUACCAAGGAUAAACAACUAGGUUGUCGGAUCCCACACAUACCAAGCAUUUCAAUCAUACACACAAUAUGCUCGAUAUGUGUAAAUACAACAUGGCAUCACAACAAAACUCUACAACUGUAUUUAUUCAAUAGGCUCCGAGGAGCGAGAUAUUACAAACAUGGGUCUCAUGACCCAACAUUCAGAGCAUACAAGUCAAAGCACAUGCGGAAGCUUAACAUGUCUGAGUACAGACAUCUACAAAUGAAAAAGGCUGAGAAGCCUAACUAUCUACAAGACCCUCCCAAGGGUACAAGAUCGUAGCUGAGGUAACAAGCAAAACGUCGAAGUCCACGCGGAACUACUAGCGAGACUGAAGUCUCUCUGCAAAACAUAAAAUAAGCAAACGUGAGUACAAAUGUACCCAGCAAGACUUACAUCAGAACUAUCUACAUAUGCAUCGGUAUCAACAAAGGGGUGGUGGAGUUUAACUGCAGCAAGCCAGCUUUGACUCGGUGGCUAACCUGAACUAGAACUGCAAGUAACUCUGUUGAGGUGGCGCACACGAGUCCACAUAUUCACCAUAUCAAUACACCACUAUGGAUCCGCUCCCGUCUCCCUACGAGAACACCAUCCAUAGCACUCACGCUUAUCUUGCGCAUUUUAGAGUAUCCACUUUCACUUGUCUAUGAACUGUACAGGCAACCCAGAAUUCCUUUUCCGCGGACACGGCUAUUCGAAUAGAUGAUGUUAACCCUGCAGGGGUGUACUUCUUGACACACGCUCUCGCCACUUAUCUCCAUGUACACGUCGUGUAUCUCGGCAACCUUCAAGCGGAAGCCUGGCAAGGGAGUCGGCCACGACCUGACUAACCACGCAAGUCUCUAGUCCAAGUUUAUAGCCUAUUCGGUUUCCAUCCGCAAGGAGAUCCGGCCAGGGUGUCGCUCACGGCCCCAAACGAUGUGAGCAGGGUUCCCAAGCCCAUCAUCCGGGUGCCACUUGGUACACCGUGCCACUUUGCCUAGUCUGUCCCAAGCCCACCUGUACCGGGUGCCACUUGGUAGACUACUAACACUACCUACAAACACCAGAAACUAGUUGCAACUCCUGGACAGAGAUCAGGUUGAUUAAUAAGUCGAGAGGGGCACUUAAGCAUUCCAAUGCGUGGUAGUAACUGUUCAUGGAUCACAAACACAUAACUCAGUUCCUGAGGACGGCUGCAAUGAGACAACCCACCAUGUACUCCUACAUGGCCUCUCACCGCUACCUUUACCAAAUCGUGUUCACACACCUAGCUCUCAGCAGUAGGACAUGUUCACCACAUUCCAAUUCAAUCGGACCUGACUCAACUCUAAGCAGUAGCAGGCAUGACAAACAAGCGCGAAUGAGUAGGCACAUCAGGGCUCAAACAACUUCUACUCAUGCUAGUGGGUUUCAUCUAUUUACUGUGGCAAUGACAGGUCAUGCAGAGGAAAGGGGUUCAACUACCGCAGCAUGUAACAGCUGAAUCGCUGUUGUCCUAAUGCAGUAAAAGAGAGCAGGAGCGAGAGAGUGGGAUUAUAUCGGAAUGAACAAGGGGGUUUUGCUUGCCUGGCACUUCUGAAGAUAGCAUUGAGUCUUCAUUAGUGUCAACGAUCACAACGUCGGAACAACGUCUACAGAGGGGGAACAACACCGACAAACAAGAAGGAACACAAUCAAUGCGAUGCAACAACAUGAUGCAUGAUCAUGACAUGUAAAUAUGCUAUUGAUUGAGCUAAUGCAACUAGCAACCAGAUUAAAUGAAGUUGGUUUGAACCAAAGGUUCAAAUUCAAACUCCAUAUAAGACAUUUCAAAUGCCAUUUAUUCAAAUUGUCAUAUACAGUGGCCGUAAGUUGUUCAAACAUGCAUGAGGAUGCCAUAAACAGAUUCUUUGGAUUUUUCUGAUAAUUUUUCAUAUAUAAAUUAUUUCAUUCUGAGCUACGGUUCAAUUUCUAUGAUUUUUAGAAGUUUGGGGUAUUUUCUGAAAUUUAUAAAUCAUUUCUGAUUUAUUUUAAUUCCAGAAAACUUUACUACGUCAGCAUUAAGUCAUGCUGGCGUCAGCUGGUCAACAGGACCAUCCAGGUCAAACCUGACAGGUGUGGCCCACCUAUCAUUGACUCAGUGCUAACCAGGGUUUAGUUAAAUCCUAACUAAAGUAAUUAGAAGGGCUGGGGCCCACAGUCAGCGAGUCAGUGGGUUAGCUAAAAUUUAAUUAGCAUCUAAACUAAAUUAGCAGGGCCUCGGGCCCACAUGUUAAUGACCCAGGGGGGUCAAACCCUGGUCAACUCGGUCAAACCUGCCGGCGACUCGACGCCGGCGAGGCCAGACGCGGCGGGGCACCUCGGGUUUCGCCUACAGGGCAUGGCUUGCGACACGGUUGGGUUCCACGACGAGCUGGGGCUCAUGCGCAUCCAGCGGUGGUAGUGAGAGGGCGCGAGGUGGUCUGUUGCGGCGGCAGUGGCGAGUUGGGCGGCGGCCAGAGCUCUGGCGUCGACGGAAUCGACGACACGGCGUGCGGGAGGACCAACGUUUUGUACCUACGUGAUCUACGAGAGCUCACGAACCCAACGGAGGCACGCACGGGACCAAAUGGCCACCGGAGCCUCAUCGGCGACGAGCUCGUGCGGCGGCGUGGUUCGGGCAUCAAUGAAAAAUGCGGCUACAAUGAGCGCUAGGCCGCGGGGUUAGGAGAAACGACGGCGAAGCUCACAGUGAUCACGAAGAGGGGCUCGGCUUGAUCGGGGACGGCUUGGCGACGGCGAAUUGACGUCGGCAGUGACCGACUCCCGAGGUUGAAGACGGUGGCGAUGAUGACGCUAUGGAGCGUCCCGGCUGGCUUGGCUCGGUGGAGAUGAUGAGGAAGAUGACGCGGAGCUCGUGGGCACAACAGAGGGGCGAGGGGGUAGCUGUGGCCGUGGUGGUUCUCGUCGGCGGUCUCGGGUGCGUACGGUCGGUCAUGGGAGAGAGAGUCAGAGAGGGGAUGGGGACGAGCAAGCGGUCGAGGGACGCGCGGGAGAGUGCGUGGCGUCCGUAGCCAGCGCUAGGCGUUCAGCGGCAAGCAGGAGGUGGCCAGGCGCGUGCCAGCGCGCCGCGGCCACGCGCUCCUGUCCUCCUGGCGCGACGAGGGAGAUGACUGGCAGUGCUAGGUGGGCUGGGCCGGUAAGCUACAGGUGAGCGCCAGGUAAGUUUCUCUCUUUUCCUAUUUUUCUUUCUGUUUUCUAUUUAUUUUGCUCUGUUUUGAUUUAGUAAUAAUACUAAACCAUUUUUGUUGCUUCUGAAAUUAUUUGUGGAUGCAAUAUGGACUAGCCCAAAGCCCCACAAUAUUUUUCAAAAUGAUUGGAGUUAUAAAAGUAUUUAUAGGAAUUUAUAACCCCAAGUCAAAUACAAUAUGAGUUAAUUCAAAAAUCCAAAAAUGUCCUAGAAAUAUAUUCAUCAUUUUUGGCAGAGGUUUCUACCUUAACCAAAAAUCAUGAACUUUUCUUGAGGCAGUUUGGGUUCAUUGAAAAUGUUUUCAAGUUGAACCUAGUUGAGUUCUUUUGGUGCUAGGGAUUGAUCACCCCUAUUUCAAAUUUAGAUAAAAUUUAAACAUGAUGCAACACCAGAUGCUGGCACUAGGCAUUACCAGAACUAGGGAUGUGACAACUCACCCCCACUAAACAAGAAUCUCGCCCCGAGAUUCAAGAUGUGAGGUAAGAAGACAGGGAGGCACAAAGCUAACACAAACUUCACGAUCCAGGUUGCACUUCAUAAGAACGUUGAUUCGAUCAUCAUCCUUGUCUUGACAUCUUGUUCUGAGAACUCCAUCCAGCAUGACAACGAGAAGAAAGGGAAAACUCUAGAAGAAUCAAUCUUCAUGAAGAUCGAGCAACUGACGAUCAACUCACGGAAUGAGACGUAGGAACACCUCUUGAGUUUGAGAGUCAAAACACACCUCGGAGGGAUUUGUAAGGAGCUGAUGACGAAGGUUCAAUUUGUUAGGCAACAAUUCCACGCUUGAACAAGAUGGUUGAUAGGUUUCAAAGUAGCGAGGAGAUACUGUCAUGAUUCCAUAAUGGGGCACCUUAGGGAAGGUGACUCGUAGAGCUAUCCCCUUAAGUGGCAAAAGAAUUACUUUCGAUACAGAGAUCAUUGAAACUCUCUACACCAGCCUAAGGCAAAUCUCAUCCGAUUGGUUGAAAGAGUUUGAAGGGAUGGCACACUCAUACUAGAAUGGACGAUGUGGACUACCUUGUUGAAGACAACGCAACGAAUGAUUUUUGCUUAUCACCGAAAAUGGAUGGGACCCAUGGUAGGACCACUUCUGAAGAUGAUCCUGAACAGCAAUUACUGAGAGGGGCAGCCCAUGGGAGAUUGGCACAAUGGCGGUGCAAGCUGGGAACAAGAUGCAAAUGUUGGGAAUGUUCCAACCAUCAUAUCUGCCUGAGAUUCAGAUCUGGUUGGUAACAGAAUAUUUCAGACAACAUGCCUGAAAAGGAAAGGUUGCAACACAAAUUGACGAGACAACGUUGCAAGAUUCUCGGAAAACAAACUACGAUAGUAAGCUCCAAAACAUGAGCUGGUUCUGCUACACACAUGUGAAUACGCUGUCCCAGACAAGCUUGACCACAUAGUAGUCUUAUAAUAAAACACUACCGAGUUCUGAUUGGGAACCAUCAUUGAGGGUAACGAAGUCUUGUGCAUGACCUAGGAUUAGCAGUUAACUUCUUUUCCUAGAACAAAUCAAUCAGUGGCUUGGUGUGCUAGGGAAUACAUAUGGAGUGGAGGUAAUUAAUCUACCAAACCAUAGAAUACUUCGCACGUAUGCAUGACUGGUUUGGGAUGAUUCCAAAGGAAACAAAACAAACCUUUCUCAAAUUCAUGGCGGCAACUUACAACUAAUGCAAGUGAACUUGGAGAAAGUCAUUUCUUUCACCAAAACAUAUACCUCAUGAGCGAAACACGAAGGCAAUGCUUACAAAGUUUCCAACACUAGCUCAAUGUUCAACAUGAAUCAUGGAGGAGACAAGAUGCUGCUGAUGGGCUCAACAGCAACUCAUCGGAAUUUCCAUAUCACUGGAAUUCCACCAUUAUGUGAACAAUGUGAUAGUAUUUCUCAGACCCAAAAGAUAUAAUGGUGUAUGCUCGAGGAAACAACCAUGAGUAAGACAACAUUACGAUUAUCGUUGGUUCUGAUUUGAUUUGAUGAUAGCCCAUGGGCAAAUCAGAGAUUGGAUAAGACAAUGGCACCGACAAUUGAUCACGAAGAUCAAUCGAUGAAGAUAUCAUCUUUCUUCAACGAACACUCAAACACAAAGAUAUCCCUUUGGAGAUGAACUAAGCGGGACAAGCUUUCAUCUUCCAACUCUCCAAGUUGUUGUCUAGCUCAACCAACUAGCUCAGGGAUAUCCGACACAGAUUCUUGGAGAAAGAGUGGUUUAUUGGAAAACCAACUUGAUCACGAACUCAACAUAUCGGUCAGGGGACAACCUGGUGAUACCUCCAUGAAGAUAUCCGGAAAAUCACGAACCACCGAUAUGUCUCUAAGCUCGAGAACAAUCUUGCUUUUCAAGGCAAGACAACAUGAUAGAAGAGCAAGGGAUUGAAUAAUCCUAACUCAUUGAUCGAAGAGUGCACCAGAAAUAAGGACUAGGUAGCACAAUCUAUCUUAGAAUGAUGAUUCAAUAACCAACACGCUAAGAAUGAGAAUAUUGUCCAUUAACUACCAAGCAACGAGGUUGCUAGGGGUAUUGAUUUCACACAUCACAAUUCACUUGUCGGUAUUCCGGUUACAAUAACACGGAGACCGAAGAAUGACCGAUGAUGGCGAGAAGUAUCACUGCACCAAGAAUUCAUAGGAUGGUGUGCAAUUCCUAUGACCUUCUUGACAUAAAGAGGGUAAUACUCCAGGGUAGAACAGGACAAAAGCUGGAUUGGCAUUUUGAUCUGCGGAAUACAACUGCUUUGACCCAAUCCUAGAAAUGGACAAGGUACUGGAGUUUGUUUCUCCUAGUCAUUCCGGAAUAGAAUGGCUUGACGGACCACAAGAAUAAUAGGCAUCGAUAACAUGAAUGCACAACUAUUCUUGACCAACAAUUGAUAGACGAAGGUCAGAAAUCAACUAAAGAGAACAACUCAGAGGAACAUAUGAUUUUCUGAGUUGUGGAUGCAUAGAUUAGUAUGUCGAGCGAAGCUCAACAUUUCUUCCGGAUAACCCAUGCGGAACGGGUAGAACUGGCAGAUUCACAAUAUAGAAUGGAGAACUCAUCAAGAGCACUCUGAUUGUGAUAUUUUUGGUUCAAAAGAACUCCUGCCAAGAAUGGUUCAUGGUAAUUGGAAGAGGGAUGUGCCACGAACCUCGAGGACUAUCGCAAAGGUUACUAAUAUCUUAAAGGAACUAGCAACACUAUCAACAUGAAGUAAGUAGGGUGAAUCUCGAGUUCAAGAACCCAGAAAUGGAAUGCCUACUAACUAAAUGGCAUCACAGGAUGCUUUCGAGAAUAAUGGCCAGAAUCAUCACACUUGGGAUACAAAGCAUUGCUAGAUUACUGGGUGGUCCUCUAUGACACCUAGGGUCAUAAUAAUAGCUCCAACAUAUAUGUCGAGGUAACAGAGUACCUCAACUCACCGAUUAGUGUGGUUAAGCUGGCCCAAAGAAACAUCGGGAACAGAAAGAAGGGAUUUGCAAAUGCAUCAGACUAUUUAGAAACCUGGGAUGACUCGGACAGCAUAACGGCUGUAAAUGCUCAAAAAGAUUUGAGACAUCCUGCAAAAUGGUGGCAUAACCACUCAAUAUCACAAUAUCAAGGUUCCGAGACCAACUGUUAACACACAGAAGUACUAGAAACCGAACUGAGACUUGAAUCCAACAAUCCUAUAAGUCUACGGAUUAGUAACAUGUGAUCCUGAUAGAAAGAUGAGAAACCUAGUUCUUAAUCCUCGUAGAAAAGAAGAGGUUGACUCAGAUCAGAAGGCAUAGGGUAAAGGAGUAAAAAGAGCCUUACGUUCCCUUCCACAAUCAAUUCCCUUAUAUAACUAAAGCAUUUCUAGACUCAACUUCGACCAGUUUGGCUUGGUAAUCCUACAGGCAGUCAAGCUCUGAUACCAAAACUGUCAGGACCCCGAUUCCAAGUCACAUCGAUCUAGCCGGUAACACCUCAUAUCACUUUGCGGCCUCACGCACGGUAUUCCCACGGGUGUCGCCUUACCAUGGCCCAGGACCGUUUGCGCCUUUUGGCUCACGUAUAUGACAGUGUCGCUAGCAUCCAUAUGAUAGAGAACCCGGGCCGACAUGACUAGUCGUGAACCCAAAGUGGCACUAACUUACGGGGACAGGCAUACAUGAAUCAACAUCGAGCAUGUCGGUCAGCAGCGUGCGAAUCCGGGCUGUAGCACUGGGCUAACAGGACUCCGGUGAACUGGGCUGUAGCAGGCUAGGCAGGACUCCGGAUGUCACCGCGUGACAUUUCCCCGAAGGGACAGACACAGGAAUGAACUGAAUCACAUGCCAGUCAGUCAAGUGUUCUGGAGCAGUAGUGCUGGGCUAGCAGGACUCCGGUGAACCGGGCUGUAGCGGACUACUAUGGCUCAUGGAGGCACAAGACUACAUUUCGCCAUAAGAGAGGCUACCAAGGAUAAACAACUAGGUUGUCGGAUCCCACACAUACCAAGCAUUUCAAUCAUACACACAAUAUGCUCGAUAUGUGUAAAUACAACAUGGCAUCACAACAAAACUCUACAACUGUAUUUAUUCAAUAGGCUCCGAGGAGCGAGAUAUUACAAACAUGGGUCUCAUGACCCAACAUUCAGAGCAUACAAGUCAAAGCACAUGCGGAAGCUUAACAUGUCUGAGUACAGACAUCUACAAAUGAAAAAGGCUGAGAAGCCUAACUAUCUACAAGACCCUCCCAAGGGUACAAGAUCGUAGCUGAGGUAACAAGCAAAACGUCGAAGUCCACGCGGAACUACUAGCGAGACUGAAGUCUCUCUGCAAAACAUAAAAUAAGCAAACGUGAGUACAAAUGUACCCAGCAAGACUUACAUCAGAACUAUCUACAUAUGCAUCGGUAUCAACAAAGGGGUGGUGGAGUUUAACUGCAGCAAGCCAGCUUUGACUCGGUGGCUAACCUGAACUAGAACUGCAAGUAACUCUGUUGAGGUGGCGCACACGAGUCCACAUAUUCACCAUAUCAAUACACCACUAUGGAUCCGCUCCCGUCUCCCUACGAGAACACCAUCCAUAGCACUCACGCUUAUCUUGCGCAUUUUAGAGUAUCCACUUUCACUUGUCUAUGAACUGUACAGGCAACCCAGAAUUCCUUUUCCGCGGACACGGCUAUUCGAAUAGAUGAUGUUAACCCUGCAGGGGUGUACUUCUUGACACACGCUCUCGCCACUUAUCUCCAUGUACACGUCGUGUAUCUCGGCAACCUUCAAGCGGAAGCCUGGCAAGGGAGUCGGCCACGACCUGACUAACCACGCAAGUCUCUAGUCCAAGUUUAUAGCCUAUUCGGGUUCCAUCCGCAAGGAGAUCCGGCCGGGGUGUCGCUCACGGCCCCAAACGAUGUGAGCAGGGUUCCCAAGCCCAUCAUCCGGGUGCCACUUGGUACACUGUGCCACUGUGCCUAGUCUGUCCCAAGCCCACCUGUACCGGGUGCCACUUGGUAGACUACUAACACUACCUACAAACACCAGAAACUAGUUGCAACUCCUGGACAGAGAUCAGGUUGAUUAAUAAGUCGAGAGGGGCACUUAAGCAUUCCAAUGCGUGGUAGUAACUGUUCAUGGAUCACAAACACAGAACUCAGUUCUUGAGGACGGCUGCAAUGAGACAACCCACAAUGUACUCCUACAUGGCUUCUCACCGCUACCUUUACCAAAUCGUGUUCACACACCUAGCUCUCAGCAGUAGGACAUGUUCACCACAUUCCAAUUCAAUCGGACCUGACUCAACUCUAAGCAGUAGCAGGCAUGACAAACAAGCACGAAUGAGUAGGCACAUCAGGGCUCAAACAACUCCUACUCAUGCUAGUGGGUUUCAUCUAUGUAGUGUGGCAAUGACAGGUCAUGCAGAGGAAAGGGGUUCAACUACCGCAGCAUGUAACAGCUGAAUCGCUGUUGUCCUAAUGCAGUAAAAGAGAGCAGGAGCGAGAGAGUGGGAUUAUAUCGGAAUGAACAAGGGGGUUUUGCUUGCGUGACACUUCUGAAGAUAGCAUUGAGUCUUCAUUAGUGUCAACGAUCACAACGUCGGAACAACGUCUACCGAGGGGGAACAACACCGGCAAACAAGAGGGAACACAAUCAAUGCGAUGCAACAACAUGAUGCAUGAUCAUGACAUGGCAAUAUGCUAUUGAUUGAGCUAAUGCAACUAGCAACUAGAUUAAAUGAAGUUGGUUUGAACCAAAGGUUCAAAUUCAAACUCCAUAUAAGACAUUUCAAAUGCCAUUUAUUCAAAUGGUCAUAUAUAGUGGCUGUAAGUUGUUCAAACAUGCAUGAGGAUGCCAUAAACAGAUUCUUUGGAUAUUUUAUUAAUUUUUCAUAUAUAAAUUAUUUCAUUCUGAGCUACGGUUGAAUUUCUAUGAAUUUUAGAAGUUUGGGGUAUUUUUUGAAAUUUAUAAAUCAUUUAUGAUUUAUUUUAAUUCCAGAAAACUUUACUCCUUCAGCAUUAAGUCAUGCUGGCGUCAGCUGGUCAACAGGACCGUCCGGUCAAACCUGACAGGUGUGGCCCACCUGUCAUUGACUCAGUGCUAACCAGGGUUUAGUUAAAUCCUAACUAAAGUAAUUAGAAGGGCUGGGGCCCACAGUCAGCGAGUCAGUGGGUUAGCUAAAAUUUAAUUAGCAUCUAAACUAAAUUAGCAGGGCCUCGGGCCCACAUGUUAAUGACCCAGGGGGUCAAACCCUGGUCAACUCGGUCAAACCUGCCGGCGACUCGACGCAGGCGAGGCCAGACGCGGCGGGGCACCUCGGGUUUCACCUACAGGGCACGGCGUGCGACACAGUUGGGUUCUACGGCGAGCUGGGGCUCGUGCGCAUCCAGCGGUGGCAGUGAGAGGGCGCGAGGUGGUCUGUACCGGUGGCAGCGGCGAGUUGGGCGGCGGCCGAAGCUCUGGCGUCGACGAAAUCGACGACACGGCCCGCGGGAGGACCAGUGUUUGUACCUACGUGAUCUACGAGAGCUCACAAACCCAACGGAGGCACGCACGGGACCAAAUGGCCACCGGAGCCUCGUCGGCGUGCUUCGGGCAUCAAUGAAAAAUGCGGCUACAACGAGCGCUAGGCCGCGGGGUUAGGGGGAAACGACGGCAAAGCUCACAGUGAUCACGAAGAGGGGCUCGGCUUGCUCGGGACGACUUGGCGACGGCGAAUCGACGUCGGCGGUGACCGGCUCCCGUGGUUGAAGACGGUGGCGAUGACGACGCUACGGAGCGUCCCGGCUGGCUUGGCUCGGUGGAGAUGACGAGGAAGACGACGCGGAGCUCGUGGGCACAACAGAGGGGCGAGGGGGUAGCUGUGGCCGUGGUGGUUCUCGUCGGCGGUCUCGGGUGCGUACGGUCGGUCACGGGAGAGAGAGUCAAAAAGGGGAUGGGGAUGAGCAAGCGGUCGAGGGACGCGCGGGAGAGUGCGUGGCGUCCGUAGCCAGCGCUAGGCGUUCGGUGGCAAGCAGGAGGUGGCCAGGCGCGUGCCAGCGCGCCGCGGCCACGCGCUCCUGUCCUCCUGGCGCGACGAGGGAGAUGACUGGCAGUGCCAGGUGGGCUGGGCCGGUAAGCUACAGGUGAGCGCCAGGUAAGUUUCUCUCUUUUCCUAUUUUUCUUUCUGUUUUCUAUUUAUUUUGCUCUGUUUUGAUUUAGUAAUAAUACUAAACCAUUUUUGUUGCUUCUGAAAUUAUUUGUGGAUGCAAUAUGGACUAGCCCAAAGCCCCACAAUAUUUUUCGGAAUGAUUGGAGUUAUAAAAGUAUUUAUAGGAAUUUAUAACCCCAAGUCAAAUACAAUAUGAGUUAAUUCAAAAAAUCCAAAAAUGUCCUAAAAAUAUAUUCAUCAUUUUUGGCAGAGGUUUCUACCUUAACCAAAAAUCAUGAACUUUUCUUGAGGCACUUUGGGUUCAUUGAAAAUGUUUUUAAGUUGAACCUAGUUGAGUUCUUUUGGUGCUAGGGAUUGAUCACCCCUAUUUCAAAUUUAGAUAAAAUUUAAACAUGAUGCAACACCAGAUGCUAGCACUAGGCAUUACCAGAACUAGGGAUGUGACAUUGUCCUUGCCGCGGCGGUCUCCUUGGCCGCCAUGCUUCUUGCCGGAUCCCUCGGCACCAUCCUGGUCCUUCUCCUUGUCCUGCCUCUCGUACUCAGCUUUUUGCUUCUCAGCAAGCAGCUCGACUUGUCGGCAGUUCUGGAGGUCGUGGCCCUUGGUGCGGUGGAUCUUGCAGUAUUCCUUGCCGGAGCUUCCUGGCUUGUUGGUAGCCGCCAAGGCCCGGCAGGCGGCGCACCCGGCAAUCUCCUUGCCGGGGGCGUCUUCCUUGACCUUCUUGGCAGCGCCGGUGUCGUCAGAUCCUUCAACGGCAAGCACGGCCUUGCCUUUGCGUUUCCUGUUGCGACGCUGGCCCUUCUUCGUCGGGGUGGCGGUGUCUUCGUCGGUAGAGUCGGUUUCCGCACCGGUGUCUUCGGCGGGGUACUUCCUUCCCUCUUCAGCCCGAGCGCACCUAUCGGCCAGAAUGUAGAGCUCGGCCACAUCCUUAACCUUGGUCAUCGCGAGCUCUUCGCGCAUCUUGCGGUUGCGCACGUUCUGAUGGAACGCGCUGAUCACAGCGGCGGGAUGAACGUCGGGGAUGUUGUACUGCACCCGGCUGAAUCUCUGGAUGUACUUGCGCAGGGUCUCCCCUUCCUUCUGGGGAAUGAUAUGCAGAUCACUGGCCUGGCCAUGAGCUUGGUGGCCUCCUGUGAAGGCGCCAAUGAACUCAUGGCACAUAUCCGACCAAGAAGAAAUGGAAUCCGCCGGCAAGUGCAUCAACCAAGACAUAACAUUGGGCUUCAGUGCCAGCGGGAAAUAGUUGGCAAGCACCUUGUCAUCACGAGCUCCAGCAGCCUGCAUCGCGAUGGUGUAGAUGCUUAGGAACUCGGACGGAUGGGUCUUGCCAGUGUACUUCUCGCUGACGUCGGGCUUGAAUGUGCGGUGGGACGACCACUGGAACUGCCGCAGCUCAUGGGUGAAGGCCCGACAGCCCACCUCAUAAGGUAGGCUGCCGGAGGCCCCUGGUGCUGGGUGGUCCAUAGCGGGUCCCGCCCGCUUCUCCGACUGGUGGCGUGUAUCGCACCGGCGCAUGAUGGUGGUCCGAGCAUCUUCGUGAGCUCGUUCUCGAAGAACUUGGCGCUGGUCGCAUGUAACACCCCGGAUGUAACUUUCCAUAUUUGUAACUCCAACUAUUGCCAUUUUCGGCUAUGUGUUAUGAUAUUCCCUUCGUGGUCGGGUUUUGUCGUUCGUUUUGCAUUUUGUUCAUGUCAUGCAUUUCAUAUCAUGUCAUCAUGCGCAUCUCAUUUGCAUACGUGUUCGUCUCAUGCAUCCGAGCAUUUUCCCCAUUGUUCGUUUUGCAACCCGACACUCCCACGUGCACCGGCGCACCCCUCUUGUCUCUUUUCGUGAGCGGGUGUUAAACGUUCUCAGAAUGGACCGAGUCUUGCCAAGUGGCCUUGGUAUACCACCGGUAGACCACCUGUCAAGUUUCGUUCCAUUUGGAGGUCUUUUGAUGCUCCAACGGUUAACCGGGUAACCGGAAAGUCCUUUUGUGUGUUGCAGCAAAACCCUCCUCCAAACAGCGCAAAAUCCCUCUAAGUCACCUCCAUGCUCUCGGUCGUUCGAUCAUGAUCGUGUGGGCGAAAACGACACUCCGUUUGGUCUCCUAGCUCCCUCUACCUAUAAAAUCACCUCCCCCUCCGAAAUCUGGGUCGAAACCCUAGCAAAAUCGCCCCCGCCGCCACCGGACACGUCCACCGCCGCCGCCCGCUGCCAAUCUCCGUGCGACACGUGGCGCCCGUACGCCGCGNNNNNNNNNNNNNNNNNNNNNNNNNNNNNNNNNNNNNNNNNNNNNNNNNNNNNNNNNNNNNNNNNNNNNNNNNNNNNNNNNNNNNNNNNNNNNNNNNNNNNNNNNNNNNNNNNNNNNNNNNNNNNNNNNNNNNNNNNNNNNNNNNNNNNNNNNNNNNNNNNNNNNNNNNNNNNNNNNNNNNNNNNNNNNNNNNNNNNNNNNNNNNNNNNNNNNNNNNNNNNNNNNNNNNNNNNNNNNNNNNNNNNNNNNNNNNNNNNNNNNNNNNNNNNNNNNNNNNNNNNNNNNNNNNNNNNNNNNNNNNNNNNNNNNNNNNNNNNNNNNNNNNNNNNNNNNNNNNNNNNNNNNNNNNNNNNNNNNNNNNNNNNNNNNNNNNNNNNNNNNNNNNNNNNNNNNNNNNNNNNNNNNNNNNNNNNNNNNNNNNNNNNNNNNNNNNNNNNNNNNNNNNNNNNNNNNNNNNNNNNNNNNNNNNNNNNNNNNNNNNNNNNNNNNNNNNNNNNNNNNNNNNNNNNNNNNNNNNNNNNNNNNNNNNNNNNNNNNNNNNNNNNNNNNNNNNNNNGCCGCUCCGGCGACCUCGGCGCCCCGUCGCCCGCGCCCCGGCGGCCUCCCCCCUCUCCGCGCGCACGACGCCUCCCGCGCCGCCGACCGCCUUCUCCCUCCUCUCCACGCUGGCGCCCUCCUCCCGUCGCAGCUCCGGCGAGCGGCCCGAUCCAGAUCCACCGGAGGUUGACUUUCUUCCCCUCCCCGUUUUUCUCUAAGUCCCGAUAUAAUUGCUAUAUGUUGCUCACUUCAUUGCAUCAUAACUCUCUGCAUAUAGCUCCGUUUCGUGCGUGAAAUAUAUCAAAAUGUUCGUUCGAGAUGCUCUUCAUUUUGUUCCAUUAUGCCAUGUUCAUUUGAGUCCAUCUUGAUGCCCAAGUCUCUUGUGCAAGAGUGCUAUAUGCUGUUAACUGCUGUUACUUAUCAGAACUUGAGGAUUUGUUAUUUUUGUUGCAUUUGAUGUGUGCAUCUUAUGGGCAUGAGCUCUACAUGUGUUUUGAUCUAAGCCAUGCCAUCUUUAGAGAGGUGUAAGCCAUGUAUUUUCAUGAUCUCUGUGGUGACUAGCACAAGCAUGCAAACUAGGCUUCGUGAUGUUUCUGUUUUCAGAGACUUGGUAAUUUUACCAAGUCUGUGACUGCUGUUAUUUUGUUGCCAUGUAUCCAUGUGGCUACAGUGAGAUCCAUGCUCCUUUGGUGAUGUUCAGUAAGGAUGUUUUGUAGAUAUAGUAGUGAUCUAUCCAUCCAUGUCCUUGUUCGCAAUUAUGAAGUGUCAUAGCAUGUCUUAAUCUUGCUCUACUUUUGCUAUAAAAUAUUCCUGGCAGAUUGUUAACAUGAUAUUCAAUUUUGCCAAGCUUGUUGUAGUUGAUCCAUACAUGCUAUGACUUUGAUCUUGCCAUGGAUAGCUUCAUAAACAUGUCAUCUUACUUUAGGUAUGCUUUUUUGUCAUGCAUUGCUUUGUGGUGAGUGAAUCAAGCUCACAAAGAUACCUUCAUAAUACUGUUACUGCCAUGCUCUGUUUUCUGCCAAGUCUGAAACCUGUUAACGAUACUUGCUAUGUUUACAUGGGUGCCAUCAUAUCUUCUGCUCCUUUCUGUCUCAUGGUCAUUAAGGGACUUUUGUCAUAUGCAUUUAGUAGAUUCAUGCCAUGCCUUGUAUUGCUAUGUUAAGUUCCUGUAGCAUGUUGAUUGCUUGCUCUGAACAUUGCUACCUGAUGCUGUUUAUGCCAUGUCCAGUAAUUUCACUAAGUCUGUGAACCUGAUAUCUUUUGCAUUUUUGCCAUGCUUGUUUUAACUUGGUAUGGUGUGAUCUAGCCGUAGCUCACUGUUCAUCUUUUGUCAAGCAUCUCCUUUAGAUCACUGCCAUAUAUUUUGUUGCUAUGUUGGAGUGCUGUAGCAUAGUUACUUGAUGUAUUCUAAGUGCUAUCAUGCUGUUAAUCGCAGAUUCGUGUCAUUCUUGUUUUGCUUGCCAUUUGCAAACCGUGCAUCCGUUUCCGGUGAUCUUUAUAUCGAUUUCGACCGAAAUCAUCUAAUCUUUCCAGUGGCAUGCUUGGUUUGCCAAGUUACUACCUUGUUCAUCAUUUUUCUUCCGGAGCACGCAUACGCAUCGCAUACCACAUCUCGCAUAUCAUACAUGUUUUGCAUCAUGUUGUUUGUGCAUUUCCCGUGAUUGAUUGUGGUUCCUUUGCUUGUGUUCUUGCUGUGGGUAGAGCCGGGAGACGAGUUCGUGAACGAGGAACCUGUUGAGUACGCUUACGAGGAUCAAGCUUUCGACAACUCUGAGAACCUUGCAGGCAAGAUGACCAUACCCUUGAAAUCACUUCUAUCUUUGCUUUGCUAGUUGUUCGUUCUAUUGCCAUGCUGCGCUACCUACCACUUGCUAUAUCAUGCCUCCCAUAUUGCCAUGUCAAGCCUCUAACCAUCCUUUCCUAGCAAACCGUUGUUUGGCUAAGUUACCGCUUUUGCUCAGCCCUUCUUAUAGCGUUGUUAGUUGCAGCUGAAGUUGAAGUUGGUUCCAUGUUGGAACAUGGAUAUUUUGGAAUAUCACAAUAUCUCUUAUUAAAUUAAUGCAUCUAUAUAUUUGGUAAAGGGUGGAAGGCUCGGCCUUAUGCCUGGUGUUUUGUUCCACUCUUGCCACCCUAGUUUCCGUCAUACCGGUAUUAUGUUCCUUGAGUUUGCGUUCCUUACGCGGUUGGGUGAUUUAUGGGACCCCCUUGACAGUUCGCCUUGAAUAAAACUCCUCCAGCAAGGCCCAACUUUGGUUUUACCAUUUGCCACCUAAGCCUUUUCCCUUGGGUUUUCGCGAGCCCGAGGGUCAUCUUUAUUUAAACCCCCGGGCCAGUGCUCCUCUGAGUAUUGGUCCAACCUGUCAGUCGCCGGUGGCCACCAGGGGCAACUCUAGGCUUACCUAUCGGAAGCUUGGACAAUCCGGUGUGCCCUGAGAACGAGAUAUGUGCAGCUCCUAUCGGGAUUUGUCAGCACAUUCGGGUGGCUUUGCUGGUCUUGUUUUACCAUUGUCGAAAUGUCUUGUAAACCGGGAUUCCGAGGCUGAUCGGGUCUUCCUGGGAGAAGGUUUAUCCUUCGUUAACCGUGAGAGCUUAUAUUGGGCUAAGUUGGGACACCCCUGCAGGGUAUUAUCUUUCGAAAGCCGUGCCCGCGGUUAUGAGGCAGAUGGGAAUUUGUUAAUGUCCGGUUGUAGAGAACUUGUCACUUGACCCAAUUAAAAUACAUCAACUGUGUGUGUAGCCGUGAUGGUCUCUUCUCGGCGGAGUCCGGGGAGUGAACAUGGUUUGAGUUAUGCAUGAACGUAAGUAGUUUCAGGAUCACUUCUUGAUCAUUUCUAGCUUCGCGACUGUUGCGUUGCUUCUCUUCUCGCUCUCACUUGCGUAUGUUAGCCACCAUAUAUGCUUAGUGCUUGCUGCAGCUCCACCUCAUUACACCAUCCUUUCCUAUAAGCUUAAAUAGUCUUGAUCUCGCGGGUGUGAGAUUGCUGAGUCCUCGUGACUCACAGAUUCUAUCAAAACAGUUGCAGGUGCCGACGAUGCCAGUGCAGAUGACGCAACCGAGCUCAAGUGGGAGUUCGACGAGGAACGUGGUUGUUACUAUGUUUCUUUUCCUGAUGAUCAGUAGUGAAGCCCAGUUGGGACGAUCGGGGAUCUAGCAUUUGGGGUUAUCUUAUUUUCAUUUGGAUUUUGGCCGUAGUCGGUCUAUGUGUGGAUUUUGGAUGAUGUAUGAAUUAUAUUAUGUAUUGUGUGAAGUGGCGAUUGUAAGCCAACUCUCGUUAUCCCAUUCUUGUUCAUUACAUGGGAUUGUGUGAAGAUGACCCUUCUUGCGACAAAACCACAAUGCGGUUAUGCCUCUAAGUCGUGCCUCGACACGUGGGAGAUAUAGCCGCAUCGUGGGCGUUACAUCGCGGUGGGUCCAUGGGUCGGACGACGCUAUAGAGAUGUUAUCACAAGCGUCGUCACGACGGGCAGACGCCCGCGACGGCUGACGAGGAGGAGGAGAGUGCACCGUGGCCGCAACUCCCCCGGUCCUCUCAGCGCCAGCACAUGGUGGCUCGGUGGAGCGCCGACCCGAGGGCCCCGCCGGUCGCGGAUCGUCUUUGUUGGCGAUGGCGACGAGGCUCCGGAUGGUGGCCCUCCACUCGUCGAGCUUCUUCGCAGCAGGAGGGAAGUCGAGGAGCAGCUGCGCGUGCGCCAAAGCUUCUGCUGGCGUGGACGGCGGCGACAGGUGCGUGGAUCGCGGCGCGCUUCGACUUCUAACUACGUUAGAAGGAGCUCCGUUAUGACCCAGCGGCUGCGCGCCAUUUUCACCAGCACUUCGGCGUGCAUGCUGAACCCCUUCAUCCCGCGGACGACGCACAUGGCUCUUCCCACGGCGGUGCCCAGGGUCACCAGCAUGGUGACGCUGCUCGGCGCGCACACCAUGGGAAGAGCGCACAGUGGUCGCCGGUGUGGGCGUCUUGGAGGUCGCUGCGCCGCCCGGAGGUGGCACAACGACACCCCUGGAGGGCCCCGCGCCGGCUGCGGGGGGCCCAGCUCCGUCUUUGGAUCUGGCAACGUGCGGCCGGUCAUCUGGCACGCGAACGACGCCGCUCGCCAGGCUCUAACUGCCAGGGCGAUGCUGGUGCUCGCGGACCGCGGCCCGGGUCCUGUCCGCGACCGGUCCACUGCUCAUCCGCACCGGCACGGGCCGUUCGGCUCCCAACGAGCAGAUCGCCGUGGCCGUCUUCUUCUUAGGAGCCAUGGCGACGAAGAACUGCUAGGCUGACUACUAGACCAGAUUCUCAGAAUCGUGCCCCCUACCUGGCGCGCCAAAGAUGUCGGUGUGGAAUGACACCGAUGGGAUCACAAGAAUCCCUACUACGGUUGCCGGGGCGCGGGGUUGCAAGAAGAGCAGGAUCAGUAGUCAGCACAAGGAUCGUUUAACCAGGUUUGGGCCGCGAGGAUGCGUAAAACCCUAGUCCUGCUUUGGUGGGUGUAUUUCAGAGGGUUCUUGAGCUCUCGAACAAGCUGUGGUGAGUGUGUGGUUCGAAAGAGCCAAAUGCUUCUCCAGUAUGCCAUGGGCCUCCUUUUAUAGGCGAAAGGUGCUGCCACAAUGGCAUACAGGAGGUGGAAAGGCGCACAGUGCUAUGAGCUUAUCGCUCGUAUUACAGGACAAGACGCAUUUAAUGCGCUACUGAGGUGUCCCCUUGCUUUAUCGGGGACGGGGGCGAGGCCCGUCCCGUUCGUCGCCGCUCCUCCUUGCUUCGACACGCGCCCUGGUCAGCGAUGCGUGCAACGCCAUGUAGGCAGGCAGGCAGUUGAGGUGGCGCGGUGGUAGGGUCUUCACGAAGAUCUGCAUGCCGCCACGCAGGCGCUUGAUGAGUUGGCCUGGAAGUUGUAUGUUGCCACGCAGGUGCCUGCCCAGCUGGUCGGGCGGGCAGCUGCAUGUGAACGGCGGUGGAGACUUGGUUGGUGCGGGCCUGGCAGUGGCCCUGCUGGCAUCUUUGGCGAGGGCCUUGCCGGGUGGCCCGGCAAGGGUCUUGCCGUGGCGCGCUGUCGUCCCCGGCAAGGAUCUUGCCGGGGGUCUCGUGGCUUUCCUCGGCAAGGGCCUUGCCGAGGAUCAUCGUCUUCUAAUCCUCAUCUGAUCUUGGGUAUGUCUUCACAAAGAUCUGCAUGCCACAAAAGAGGUGCCUCCCGAGCCCUGGCCCCACGUGGAUAAUGGUGUUGGGGACCGUGGGCUCAAGGGUGGUUCGCUCUAUUGGUGUGGGGCGAGCUGCCCCGGCAAGGGUCUUGCCGGGGGAACCUGCUUCGUCCCUCUGCUCCUUGUGGUCUUGGCCUUGGCGUUGCUCUGGUUAUCUUGGGCUUCGGUUUUACCUUGGUUCACCUCCCUUGUGCUGCUUGGUGUGACCGUGGGCGCGGCUCCGACUGCCCAUGCUCAGGUAAAGGGGUACAAAGGUGCGCCCCUUCGUUUGUACACCGACACCAUACUAUCAAGAGGGAAUGCACAUUGGAAGGUGUUGGGGGAAUCUUUUCACGUACACUUGCCUCACCCCUCUCUUGCCUUCCUUAGUUGUGUGAGAGAGCUCUUCCCUUCUUAUCCUACUGCUUGCUGUGGCUUCCCAGCGGUUGUACCGCUCUCUGGAGUGGUUGUACCGCUGGUUCUUGGCGCUUACCAGUCUUGAUCGAGCGAUUUUACCGCUGCUUCCGGGCGGUGGUACCGCCGCCAUGCUCAGCAAAGACUACGGCGGUUGUUCCGGCCAAGUACCGCCCAAGUACCGGUCAGCCUUAUGUUUUGAUGCGGUUCUCGGGCGGUGGUGGCCCGGUUGGUCCAGUCGUGCCGGUACCACUGGUGCCCUGAGCGGUUCUACCGCUCAGGACUUAGCCGCCCAAGCGCUCAAGGCCAAGCGGUUGCACCGGUCCUGUACCGCUCGACUACUGCACUCAGGGGUGACUCCCUACUGUUUCUAUGCGGUGGUUGAGCGGUGGCUGGGCGGUUGGUCCGGUUGUUCUCUUCAACCGGUACUACCGCCUAGUCGCCCGGUUGUAUCACCUGGUAGGGUUCUACACGUAAACCGUGAGUCCCGGUUGUACCAGGACAAGGAGCGGUUGUACCGCUGCAGUACAGAAAACGCAGUAACGGUUGGAUUUUUAGGGUUGCUAUAUAAGGGUGCUUCUUCCACCUACCACAUUCACCUCUUACCUCCCUCACUCCACCAUUAAUGCUACUCAAGCUCUCUUGCCCGAUCUCUCUCUCUCUAGCCACUCAAACUUGUUGAUUUGCUAGGGAUUGAAGGAGGAGACCUAGAUCUACACUUCCACCAAAGGAUAUUUGCUUCCCCCAUACUUUCUUGUGUGGAUUUUGUUACUCUUGGGUGUUUGAGCACCCUAGACGGUUGAGGUCACCUCGGAGCCAUAUUCCAUUGUGGUGAAGCUCCGUGGUUUCGUUGGGAGCCUCCAAUUCAGGUCUGGAGAGAUCCCGAACCUUGUUUGUAAAGGUCCGGUUGCCGCCUCCAAGGGCACCAAUAGUGGAAUCGUGGCAUCUCGCAUUGUGUGAGGGCGUGAGGAGAAUACGGUGGCCCUAGUGGCUUCUUGGGGAGCAUUGUGCCUCCACACCGCUCCAACGGAGACGUACUUCCCCUCAAAAGGAAGGAACUUCGGCAACACAUCCUCGUCUUCACAGGCUCCACUCUUGGUUAUUUCGUCCCUUUACUUGUGCAAGCUUAUUUGUGUUAUAUCCCUUGCUUGCUUCUGUGCUUGUUGUUGUUGCAUCAUAUAGGUUGACCACCUAGUUGCAUUUCUAGACAAGCUACUUUGAUGCAAAGUUUAAUUUGGUAAAGAAAAGCUAAAAAUUGUUAGUUGCCUAUUCACCCCCCUCUAGUCAACUAUAUUGAUCCUUUCAAUUGGUAUAAGAGCCUCAUAUCUUUUUUAAGGACUUUGCCGUCCGAAGAGUAUGGUUGACACUGUAGAUGGUGCGGAGGAGCACUCCGGUGCGAAUCCGGUCUCGUCUACGGGCGAUGGGGGAACCGCGGUCUCUCGCAAGGAAUUCAAUGUGGCUUUGGACACAUUGAAAACCUCCAUGACAACCGAGGUUGAAAGCAUGUUUAAUAAAUUCAUUGAAGGGCUUAAACUAUCCACCGCACCGUUGAAAGUGGGUGAUCCCACUAACAAGGUGACGGAUGCUAACUCCGACAAGGGGGAAGCUACUAGUGAAAAAGCUCCUUCUUCUAGUGGUAAGAAUGGCAACGGAGCAUGAGCCGGCAAUGAAAUUUAAGUCAGCUGAUGAGACCAAACUUGUUGAUUUCGUUCCAGGUGACUCAUCUCAGCAGUUUAGCAUCAGUGCCAAUUUGGAUCCAAAAUAGGAAAGCGCGCUCAUCGAGUUCAUCCGUGAGAACAGGGACAUCUUUGCAUGGAAACCUUCUGACAUGCCAGGUGUACCUAGAGAACUCGCUAAGCACACUCUCAAUAUUGAUCCGAAAUUUAAGCCGGUCAGGCAAUUCCUUCGGCGGUUUAAUGAAGAGAGGCCGAAAGCCAUUGGUGAGGAGGUGGCCCGGCUCUUGGCGGCCGGGUUUAUUGUCGAAGUCUUUCAUCCAGAAUGGUUAGCUAACCCGAUGCUCGUGCUCAAGAAGAAUGGCACCUGGCGGAUGUGUGUGGACUACACGAACUUAAACAAGGCGUGUCCGGCUGAUCCUUUUGCCCUCCCCUGUAUUGAUCAAAUCAUUGAUGCCACGGCGGGUUGUGAGCGUUUAAGUUUCUUGGAUGCGUAUUCUAGAUACCAUCAGAUUAAAAUGGCAGUUAAGGACCAGGAGAAGACGGCGUUCAUCACUCCCUUUGGAGCCUUCUGUUAUGUGUCUAUGCCUUUUGGACUCAAGAGUGCACAGGCGACUUACCAGCGUUGUGUGCAGAAUUUUCUUCAUAACCAGAUUGGGCGCAAUGCUCACGCCUAUGUGGAUGAUAUCGUGGUUAAGUCCAGGGAGAAGGAGACCCUGGUAGAUGACCUUAGAGAAACCUUUGAUAAUCUCUGGGUUUACAAGAUGAUGCUUAACCCGGCCAAGUGUGUUUUUGGUGUUCCUGCAGGCAAGCUCUUGGGUUUCCUGGUUUCUAACAGAGGCAUUGAAGCUAACCCGGAAAAAAUCAAGGCAAUCACCUCUCUGGCUAAGCCGGCGUGUAUAAAUGACGUCCAGCGCCUAGCAGGCCGCAUUGCUGCUUUGAGCCGGUUUAUAAGCCGCUUGGGCGAAAAGGCCAUGCCACUGUACCAGUUGAUGAAGAAAACUGAUGACUUUAUCUGGAAUGAUGCUGCUGAUGCUGAUUUUGAGGAUUUAAAGAGGCAGCUGGCUGAGCCCCCAGUCCUUGCUGCUCCGGUUGACAAGGAGCCCUUAUUACUGUAUGUAGCUGCUAACACACGAGCCGUCAGUGUGGCUGUGGUGGUGGAGCGCAAGGAAGAGGGUAAGGAGUACCCGGUUCAGCAGCCGGUUUACUACGUCAGUGAACUGCUCAUUGAGUCCAAACAGCGGUAUCCACACUGGCAGAAGCUUGUUUAUGGUGUGUUCAUGGCAAGCCGGAAGCUUAAGCAUUAUUUCCAGGCUCACCCUAUCAUUGUGGUUAGUUCCGCUCCCCUCGGAGAUAUCAUCCAAAACAGAGAAGCCACAGGAAGAGUGGCUAAGUGGGCUAUAGAGCUCGGGCCUCAUGGUCUGAAAUACGUACCGCACACUGCUGUUAAAUCUCAAGCUUUGGUGGAUUUCAUCAACGAUUGGACAGAGCUACAAGUGCCCGAAGAAAAGCCGGAUAAUACAUACUGGACUAUUCACUUCGAUGGGUCCAGGCAAUUGAAGGGCUCGGGGGCUGGAGUUGUAUUGGCUUCCCCUAAAGGUGACAAGUUUCAUUAUGUGCUACGGUUGAUGUUUCCUUGCACUAACAAUGCGGCUGAGUACGAGGCCUUGCUCCAUGGUCUUCGGAUGGCUAAGGAGAUGAGCUUGAGCCGGGUAAGGUGCUUCGGCGACUCAGACUUAGUGGCUCAACAAGUAUCAGGCAAGUGGGAUUCCAAGGACCCUCUCAUGGCGGCUUAUCGCCAUGAAGUUGAUGCCAUUGCUGGACACUUUCAGGGUUACCAAGUAGAGCACAUCGAUCGCAGGAAGAACGAGGCGGCUGAUGCAUUAAGCCGGCUGGGCUCUCAGCGAAAACCGGUGCCGCCUAAUACUUUCUUGGACAUCUUGCAUAACCCUUCUGUUAAGGUACCUACAGAGGAAGACUUGGCUGUCCCUGACCCGGAAGCAUAGUUGGUGGCGGCUCUCCACAUCACCCCAGACUGGACGGUACCAUACUUGGCUUACAUGACCCGGGGAGAUUUGCCUGAGGAUGAAACUUUGGCCAGACAAAUAACCCGGCGGUCUAAGUCAAUGAUCAUCAUCAAUGGCGAGCUGCAUCGUCGCAGUGUUACUGGAACUUUCCAGCGUUGUGUUUCCCCUGAGGAAGGCCAAGAUAUUUUGCGUGAGAUUCAUGAUGGGGAUUGUGGCCAUCAUGCCGGCUCAAAAUCUCUUGUGGCCAAGGCUUUCCGUCAUGGUUUUUAUUGGCUGACGGCUCAUGCUGAUGCGGAGGACUUGGUCAGUAAAUGUGACGGUUGUCAGAGGUUCUCGCGACGGGCUCAUGUGCCGGCUCAAGAGUUGAGGAUGAUACCAAUCACUUGGCCAUUUGCGGUCUGGGGGCUUGACAUGGUUGGGCCUUUUAAAAGGUCCAAGGAUAAGAAGACCCACCUCUUGGUGGCAGUUGACAAAUUCACAAAGUGGGUUCAGAGCUAGUUAGUAAGUGUGACGCAGCCACGGCGGUUCAGUUCAUGAAAAGGGUGAUAUUUCGCUUUGGCUUUCCACACAGCAUUAUAACUGACAAUGGUAGCGAUCUAUCUAAGGGCGCUAUGGAGGAAUUUUGUCAACGAGAGCAUAUUCGACUUGAUGUUUCAUCAGUGGCUCAUCCUCAAUCCAAUGGUCAAGCUGAGAGAGCUAAUCAGGAGAUCUUGAAGGGCAUUAAGCCCUGGCUUUUGGUCCCUUUGCAACGGACGCCGGGUUGUUGGGUGGAGGAGUUACCCUCCGUGUUAUGGAGCAUCAAUACUACUCCUAAUAGGUCUACGGGUUACACGCCCUUCUUCAUGGUUUAUGGAGCGGAAGCAGUCCUCCCCAGUGACAUCCGUCAUGACUCGCCUCGAGUGGCGGCUUAUGUUGAGGCGGAUAAUGAAUAGGCGCGCGAAGAUGCUCUUGACUUGUCGGACGAACAGCAUGACGUGGCAGCAGCUCGCUCAACGAUUUACCAACAAGACCUGCGCCGUUAUCACAGUCGCCGGGUUAAGUCCCGGGUCUUCCAGGAAGGUGAUCUGGUGCUCCGGCUCAUCCAAGAUCAAACAAAUGCACACAAGCUAUCCCCGCCUUGGGAAGGGCCCUUUGUGGUCAGCAAGAACUUGCACAACGGGUCAUACUACCUUAUUGAUGUCCGGGAGCAUAAAGAUUCACGCAAGUCGGAGGAAGAGACCCGUCGGCCAUGGAACAUAGCUCAGCUUCGGCCUUAUUACACUUGAGCCACCGGCUCUCAUAAUGUACAUAUUUCUAUAGCCAUGUAUAUAUUGUGUUAAAUAAUAAAGCAGGACCUCUGUCCUUUUCUCCUCCAAAGGUAAACGUGUUAUUUCCAUUACAACAUCACAUGGUUACUUGGAGGUGGAUCCGGCUUAUGAUCGUAUUCGAAUCUAGCUGUAAACAAUAUAAUCACCUGGGGGCUUCCUGUUCAAACAUAGGUUGUAUUCGAACCAAAGAGAACAUAACUGUCGAUAUCCACUUGAUUGGCAAAGUGCCAAGCUCAUUGGGGAGUUUUCUUUGAUCAUAUUUGAAUCAUAGCUCAACCCCCUUUGGGAACCGACGUGGAUCGUAUUCGAAUCAGCGUUGUUAAACAACUCUUAAGGUCAUUUGGGGGCUUCCUGUUCAAACAUGGGUCGUAUUCGAACCAAAGAGAACAUAGCUAUCGGUACCCUCUUGAUUGGCAUCGCCAAAGCCACUGGGGGCUAUAUGAUCGCAUUCGAAUCUUAGCUUAACCCCUGUGGGACGGUUCUCUGGUCGUAUUCGAACCGGAAGCCCCUACGUUUUUUGAUCUUCUGACUUCUAACAAGUUCUGUUGGUCAUAUCAACAGUGUGCAAGGGCGGAUUUCACUUUGCCGACUUAAUUUUGAUUCACAACGUUGAUAAACACAUAGUAAGUAUUCUUGAUGCUGGUAAACCGGAAUUGAGAUCUUCAUCUCAUUAUUCGGGUUACAUAAACCGGAAGCAUACUUGAAGGCCUGUAAGUAUGCAAUCAUGGUUACAUAAAGGACAUAAUUGAGGGCCAGUCUUUAGUGACUUUGGUUCAUAUUCCGGGUUAUAUAUAUAAGGUCUAUGAUUCUCAGUGCGGUAAGCCGCCUAGAGACUUGUGACUUGUUUUCUAUGCAGGAUGGUUAAAGACAGCUAUUCGCGCUUAAGGAAAAUAACUGAUCAAUUAUAACCCGGAGGAAUAAGAAGAAGCAGCUUCAAUGGAGUUAAGCAUUCAACACGUGCACGAUGGCACGACAAAAUUAAGUGUUUAUCCUACUCUAUUACAAGACUCCCCGAGUCCAAAAGGUGAGGUAUUGCUCUAAGGUGCAACCAUGAGCCGUCUAAAGAUCAAGGUGCUUGUGGAGUCGAAGCUUCCGGCUCAUCCCUCUACGCUCCUCCGGCUGAUUCCAUGACCUGGAAGGUUGAUGAUUUCCAGUCAAUGCCGCUCAAAGCCUCGAAUUGAGCCUCGUCAUCAAUUAACCCGGCCGGGUCAACUUCUGGGGCAAAGGUGUGCUUACGAGUCGGUGGGAUCAAGCUGAUGGCUUCAUAACGCGGAGUGGGGAUCCUCUGAUUUUCUGCGUCGUAGCCCGGCUGGUACUUGGUAAGGUCGGUGUCAUUCCCAAUCAGGGUGGCCACCGGGCGCACGAUCUUCACACAGGCAGCAAAGUCUUUUUGGUCGAAGGGGGUGCUGUCUUCCUUCAGGCUGGCGUAUCCAAGUGCGAUGUCAGCCGGGUCUAGCUCCGGAAGAAAAGCCUUGGCCCGGCUCAGCGCAGCUAUGGCUCCGGCUCUUGUAGAGGCCCGUCGCAGCUCUUGGAAACGCUGAGGAAGAACGGCAAGCCGCCGAAGUACGUCCGCCAGGUGAGUCGGAACCUCAUUGGACAGGGCCACAACGGCCAAGGCGCGCUGUGACCCAGUGUAGAGUUGCUCCACCAGAGUGUACACGGCCUUCAGCUUGGUCAGCACAUUUUGAUUGAGGUUGGUGCUUCUGGGACCUGUUUUACAACGUCAGGUAAGCCGCUAGCAAUGAUGGGACUUAUGAGACAUAAAGAAGGUACACUUGUUGAAAGCUCGCAAAAUGACUUACCGAAGAUUGCGGCGACCAUCUGUGACACAUGGUGUUUUAAGCCGGAGAGUUCGGCGGUUCUCUCCGUCAGAGCCGCCUCCGCCUGUUCGGCCCGGCUGACCAGAGCAGUUUUUUCCUCGGCCCAAGUCUUCCUUUCGGUUUCAAACUUCUUCUUCAGCUUCUCUUGUGCAGCAACACUGAACUCAAAUUUAGCGUUGGCCUUCCGGGUCUCAGUUUCCUAAGUCUUCAGGCGGUUCUUUAGCUCAGAGAUUUCAGCUUCAAAUUUUUUGCAAGCAGCCUGUACAAAUUCCGGGUUAUAGCAUGAGUGAUUGUUAUGCAACAUUAAAGUCCCAAGCACUUUUCAAGCAAAGACACUUGGCACUUGGGGGCUAAUGCAUAUUGAAAGAUUCUAUUUACAAAUUGUCGGUUCAUGAAAGUAAGCCGGAAGUUAAGUCUACAACAUAUUCUAUCAUAAGUAAUAGACUUGGGGGCUAGCAUAGUAAGACUGACUAUGGAGUAAGCAAGAGAUUUGUACCUCAGAUUUUUGUUGGAUCUGCUUCACCAUAUCAAUCUCCAGAUCCCAGCUGUUGUGCACUUGACCAAUGUAACCCGAGACAAUGUCUCCAAUGCUCAAGUUAGCAUAAUCAGUAAUUUCCAAUCUAGCCCGGCGGCGCUCUAGCAGCUCUUCCUUGGCAGAGCAUCUGGCCAGCACGGUGGGUCUUCCCGGCUCAACGUAUUCAGUCCGGGUAAUCACCACAUCCGGGUCAUCGGCCGGUUGAGCUGAGCUGGGGAUCUCCGGGUUAGCAGAAGUCUCUGUGAUUGGCUCGUCGGUUGGAGCAGUGGCUUCAGGAGCAGAGGCAGCUAGCGGCUCUUGAGCUGAAACCUCCGGCUCAGUCAAGACCGGCUCUUCGACCGGUUUAUUCUUCUUCGCCCUCUUGCUGAGCUUUGCCUGGGCACUGAAAGGACAAAAGGUUAGUACAAAAGCAUGAGUAAAGAUAAGCACAACACAAGAUGAUCAUCGUUACCCAGGUGCGGUCUUGAAAGCCGGCAGGUUAGAUUUUAUAGAAUCACCAGAGGAAGGUGAAGUUUCCUGAUAAUUUGAAUCAGAAGAAUUGAGCGGUUGACGAGUAACGCCCGCCAAAGGAUGAAAAGGAUAUAAGUUGGAGAUAACCUCGGUCCGGCGCUUCCUUGAUGCUUCAGGUAAGCCGGAGGAGAGGUCUGCAUCCUUGAUGGUCUGGGUGUGCCGCCGGCUUUCAUGAAUCUGUUGCUUCAAAAGAAAUUGAGGAUCUUGAUAAGCUAAAGGAUGUGAAAAUCUUACUUUCCGGGUUACUCUUCGGACUUUCAGCCUUGGCAAGGGCUCCGAGUCGGAGGAAAGUGUCGUUACCUCUUCAGUCACCGGGUUACUUGCUCCGGUGUCAUCCUGCUGAUGAUCAGUAUCGAUAAGGUGGAUAGGAAUAAACAAGAAACAAAACAAGAGCCUACAGAUUCAGGGGUUACCUCUGACUCGGAGCUGUCGCUUAGCUGAAGCAGCUCUGAGGCAGUAGGCCUGCUUCCCUUCUUGCGGGGAGCGGCUCUCCUGGCGGCUUUCUUAGCCUUCCUGGCUUUUUUGGCCGCCUCAUGGUCAUAUUUGACCUUCCAGAACUUGUCAUUAGCCUGAAACAUACAACAAAGAUGGUUCAGAUGAAAGCUAUUAAAAGGAAAACCAAGGUGUUCAGGUCAGUGGCUUACCGCCGGAGCCGGGUUAGCUCGGCAGAAGGGGUUUAAGCCGGUUUUCCCACAGUAGGCUAAGCUCUCAUUCAGGAGAGACUUGGUCAUGUCGUCCACGACGUCCUCAGGGAGAUCAUUGGGGCUGUGCCGCAGAGGGUCAUCUUUCCGGCCCGUGUAAUCGCACAUUAAGCCGGGGCGGCGGCUCAAGGGAAUCACCCGCCAAGAGAUCCAGACCCGGACCAGAUCAAUGCCGUUGAGGCCGUUUCCCAGGAGAGCCUUGAUCUUGUUGAUGGUGGGGAUCAGAGGUUGACGCUCCGCUUGAGAUAGUUUGUCUGGCAGAGGGUGAUUUGGUUCCAGACGCAGGGCACAAAAGCCGGGCAGAGGGCUCUCGUCAGCCGGAGAGGUGUCCUGGCAGUAGAACCACGUCUGGUUCCAGUCCUUUGGAUGGCUUGGCGGUUCAGCGUAAGGGAAAAGGCAGUCUCUCCGUCGUUGAAUGGAGAUUCCGCCAAGUUCCAAGCUAGGCCCAUUGGCACACUCAUUCUGGCGAUUCAGGUAGAACAACUCCCUAAAGAGCAGUAGGCUGGGCUCUUCUCCAAGAUAGACUUCGUAGAAUACUUGGAAGUUGCAAAUAUUUGACACAGAAUUGGGUCCUAUGUCUUGCGGCCGCAGAUCAAAGAAGUUCAGAACCUCUCUAAAGAAUUUUGAGCCGGGCGGUGCGAAGCCCCGGCUCAUGUGAUCAGCAAAUAUCACCACCUCACCAUCUCUUGGUUGAGGUCUUUCCUCCGACGGGUCAGGGGCACGAUAAGACAUGAUCUCCUUCUUGGGCAAGUAACCCGUCUUCACAAAAUCAGCUAAAGUGUCGUCGGUGACAUUGGAUCUCAUCCAGUUGCACGUGAUGGGUGCCUUGGGAGCUUUGGGUGGCAUUGUGAAAGAUGAAGCCUAUGACAAAGGGAAAAUGUCCGGUUCAAUUAUAAGCCGGCAGACGUCUAUAGUUCAAUACUUAAAUGGCGGAUUAUGAAGGGGCCUAAUGACAUAUGGCUAAGUGCAUCGGGUUAUCUAAGCCGCUGAGGGCAUCGUGAGUAAUUCAAAUUGUCUACAGCUUUAUCAUAAAUGAGCCAGAAGUUUUACAACGCGUGGCUUCUUUAAGCCGGAAAUGUGAGCCGCCAUAGCUAAACAGAUGCAAUUUUUGACUAAGUGUGAUGAAAACAAGUUUCACAGAUCGCAGUAAUUAUUUUGGAUCAAACGGUUGGCUAAAAGGAAAAUUUUCUAGACCUAGAACUGACGCAGAAGAAGUUCAUGGAUUCAGAACGAGAUCUUAUUGCAGACAAAGGGGAUCUACUAGCAUAAAAAUGGAUGCGCAACAACUACUGCAGGAGCUCUGUACUACUCUUGGAUCUAACAUGACUAUAGUGGAAGAACUACAGGAAACUCGAGAAGAAUAGCGAAGAACAGAGGAAGAACAGUGGAACCCUAAUGUGGAUCUACGGUGGAGAGGUGCAGGGACUUACAGAUGCGGAGUUAUUGCGGAGGUUCAUCGCGUUUCUCUGGUCACGUCAGGUUGAUGCAGCGGCCUGAGUUGGUGAAGACGAGGAAACCCGCGGCGGCGGCGGCGGAGCUCGGGCGGCAGCACAGUGGCGAGAGGAGGAAGAAGAUGGAGGCGACGAGUAACUGGAGGCUCAUGGGCCGGGCUAUUUAUAAGGUGAGGCUCAUAAGUGGGUGCGAGAAACGAGGAGGCCACGGCGUGAUUAUCUCGCCACGAAAGCGCCUCGAUUUUCGGGAUAACCAUUAAAGAUAAGAUCCGUUGGAGUAUAACAGAAUAAAAAAUGGACUUACUGGAAAAUGACGUCAUGGCGGGUUACCAGGAAUCCGGAAGAUGACGUCACGGCGGGUUAUAACCUUCGCCCGACCAUAAGCCGGAAGAUUUUUUCUCUCAAAGGAAUUGAAGAUUGACAUGAACCGGUUCAAAUCAAUCUGAGGCCUAAUGUUGAGGAUAUAACCAUUAGAGUCACCCACCCAGGAGGGGCCGGGUUACGUCAUAAUGGUCAUCACGCGAAGCCCAGUACCAAGCUUGAAGACGACGGGUUAGAUAAUGGGCUUAAGACCCGGAGGAGGCUUAAGGUCCGUAGUGAUAAACCGCCGUAUGGCAAGACUUGUAGUGUAAGGCAAGAAUAGAUGAGAGUCCGAGCCGGACACUCUUAUGAGCCGGCCGGGACUCUGAGAGCCGCUGGGCGUUAACCUCUCUAUAUAAAGGGACGACCCGGCGGCGGUUUAGGAAGAAGAAAGAUCUCGUCGAGAACCAGGCAGAGGAAUUAAGCUCCCUGGUCAUCGAAACCAUAAUCAAUACCACCUCAACUGGACGUAGGCUUUUACCUUCACCGUAAGGGGCCGAACCAGUAUAACCCCCGUGUUCCUUGUCCCGUUUAACCCCUUUAAGCUUCCUAGUUGCGAUGGCUCCACGACUAAGUCCUAGCUCGAGGACAUCUGCCGUGACAAUUCCACGACACAUGUGGAACCUCCACUUGUUUAUGGUGGACCGAUUCCUUCUACUCAUUUGAAUCAUGCCGGUCCUCCCCCUAAGAUUGUGAAAAAUGAGGACUUUGAUUCUUGGGUUAUCGCUUUAAGCGUCAUUUAAAUCAUGUGAAUACUAAUCUUUGGAGAAUCAUUGAAGAAGGUUUCUAUCCGCAUGACCGAAGCAACUUCACCCCUAGAGAAGCCGCGGAUAAUCAAUUCAAUGAGAAUGAUGUCUUCAUCAUCCAAGAUGCAAUUCCACCCGAAUAUCUCCCUCAUCUUCGGCCCUUCGCCAUGGCCAAAGAUGCAUGGCAUUGUGUUGUCUCCCUCUACCGGGGAAGUGCAAGCAUUCAACGCUCCAACUAUGAAGUGGUGCAAGAUGAAGCCGAUGAGUUUGCAAUGAAAGAAGAUGAAGAACCUCGUGAGCUUUAUCGGAGAGUAACCAAACUCGCCGUCUCACUCCGAGAUCAUGGGAGCAAGGACACGGAUGACAAUUGGAUCAAGCACAAAUUUCUCAAGGCAAUGACGCCUUACCACAAGGCCAUGUCCUCCGUCAUUCGUCAAAGGCCAGACUUCCACACCUUGUCCUCAAGUGAAGUGUUGGAUGAGUUUGUGGCUAUGAGCAUCUUGGACAAGACCGCCGACAAUGUGGUGCUACACUCUCAAAGGGCAAAGAAGCCCAACCUUGCAUUGAAGGCCAAGGUUAGUGUUGAAGAAGAAGAAUAAGAGGAAGAAGAGGAAAGCAACCCCGAAGAUACAAAGUAUGCCUAUCAUGAACACAUGGCUCUUGCUUCAAGGCAAUUUUGGAGCAAGAAGAACAAAAGGCCCAACUUCAACAAGAGCAACUCAAGUGGCGCAAAGGUCAAGCAACGAGUGAGGACUUGCUAUAAUUGUGGCAAUGUGAGCCAUUUUGUUGCGGAAUGUCCUUACGAGAAGAGGGAGGACAAUGGUGGCAAGCUCAUCCGAAAAGACAAGGCCAAGUCUUUCCCCAACAAGAGCAACUUCACCAAGAAGACUCCUCCCAAGGCGUUGGUGGUCCAAGAAGAAUAUAAUGAGGAUGAUGAAGAUGGUGAGUCGGUUGCCAUGGCCUCCGUUGCCAUUGCGACAACUCCACGGGUGUCUCUCUUCGACUCACCCAAUGAGAGCAUCACCGCCAAGUGCCUCAUGGCUAAAGCCACCAACAAGGUAACCCCCAACAUCAAAACUACCAUCAUUAAUAGUCCUUCUUUGAUGGAUUGCAUUGAUGAACAUGAGGGUUCUAAUGUGGAGGAAAAUGAGUUUGAGUCUUUUAUGAGUAAACUCAAGGGUAAAUCCAAGAAGCACUUCGUUGCUCUCUUGGAACAACUUGGUGAAGCCAAUGACAUGAUCGAGGCUCAUGAAGAUACCAUCUCUAAGAUGGAGGGGCAUAGUCGUGACUAUGCCGAUGAGAUUUCGGAUCUUUCCAAUGCUCUUGAGGAAGAGCGUGGUCUUCGUUUGGCUCUUGAGGAGUCACACAAUGAUGACCAUGCCAAAUUAAAGAAAGAUCUUGAUCAUGCUCUUGUUGUCUCUCGUGUGCUAACCUCCGAGAAGGCCAAACUUGGGGUUGAUCUUGCAAGACUCAAGGAGGAGUUUGAUAUACUUGACAAGGCUCACAAGGCCUUGAAGGGUAUUCAUGCUAAUCUCAAAGAGUCUCUUGAUCAACUUCAAGUGAAGCUAACCAAGGAGAAAGCCACCUUUCCUCAUAUGGUGUUAAUUGAUAAGGCAAAUGCUACUAACCCUUGUUGUGAGCAUGUGCAUCUUGUUGAGGAGAAUGCUAAGUUGAAGGAGCAACUUGAGAAAGGCCUUGUGUCGUGCAUACAAGGUGAGAAGAACCUCAAUGACCUUUUGAGCAAUCAAAAGGAAGUUGUGGCCAAGGAAGGGAUUGGGUUCGCACCCAUGCCCAAGAACAAGAAGAAGAAUGAAACCACCAAACGACCUCCCCCUCUCAAGCAAACCUUUGUGAAGGAGGGAGAGGGUGCUUCCAAGGAGAAGAAAAACAAUGUGAAGGGUGGUGCUGCCAAGAAAAGCAAUGCCACCCCUUCCAACAAAGCCAGCGACUUUAACCCUUCUUAUGUGUUGUGCCGUGCUAGUGAUGGGCAUGUAUAUGCCAAAUUUGUUGGUUCUCCUUAUGAGUACAUUGAAUGGUCUAUUUGGGUUCCUAAGACCCUUGUCACUAACAUCAAAGGACCCAUUACAAAAUGGGUACCUAAAACCAAGCAUUGAUCUCUUGUAGGUGUUUGAUUCCGGUGGGGGAUCAUGGUUGCUCGAUAGUGGAGCCACUAAUCAUAUGACCGGAAGCAAGGACUUGGUGGUGGACGUUUACAAGAUUCCAUCUAUGCCAACAAAUGUCGAGUAGGGUGAUGCCUCGUCCUCUAAGGUAUUGGGGCUUGGCAAGGUUGUCAUUUCUCAUGAUCUCACGAUCGAGAAUGUCAUGCUUGUUGAGUCCCUUGCAUACAAUUUAUUUUCCGUUCGUCAACUUGCACUCAUGGGCUUUGCCACUUUCUUUGAUAUUGAUACCGUGGCCCUCUUGUGGAGCAAGACUCUUAAAGUAGCCUUUGUUGGGCAUGUCGAGAACGGUCUCUAUGUGAUUAACUUUUCGGAGCGACCCACUAAGACCGCGACAUGCCUAAUGGCUAAAGUUGACGUGGGAUGGCUUUGGCAUAGCUGAUUAGCCCAUGUCAAUAUGAGAUCUUUGGAAAGUCUUCUCAAGGGGGACCAUGUCCGUGGACUAACAAAUGUUAGUUUUGCUAAAGAUCGUGCUUGCAGUGCUUGUAUCGAAGGAAAGCUUCAUGAAAAGGCUCACCCUCCCAUGACUAUCAUCUACUCGAAGAGGCCUUUGGAGCUCCUUCACUUGGAUCUCUUUGGGCCUCCAUCCUUUGAUAGUAUUGGGGGUAGAAAGUAUUGCUUGGUGAUUGUGGAUGACUAUUCAAGAUACACUUGGGUAUAUUUCUUCAAGAGGAAGAGCGAGACCCAACAAACUGUUGGGGAACGUAGUAAUUUCAAAAAAAUUCCUACGCACACACAGGAUCAUGGUGAUGCAUAGCAACGAGAGGGGAGAGUGUUGUCCACGUACCCUCGUAGACCGAAAGCGGAAGCGUUAGCACAACGCGGUUGAUGUAGUCGUACGUCUUCACAAUUCGACCGAUCAAGUACCGAACGUACGACACCUCCGAGUUCAGCACACGUUCAGCUCGAUGACGUCCCUCGAACUCCGAUCCAGCCGAGCUUUGAGGGAGAGUACCGUCAGCACGACGGCGUGGUGACGAUGAUGAUGUUCUACCGACGCAGGGCUUCUCCUAAGCACCACUACGAUAUUAUCGAGGUGGACUAUGGUGGAGGGGGCACCGCACACGGCUAAGAGAUGCAAGGGAUCAAUUGUGUCUAUGGGGUGCCCCCCUCCUCCGUAUAUAAAGGGGGGGAGGAGGAGAGGGCCGGCCAAGGGGAGGAGGCGCGCCCAAGGGGGGGCAAUCCUACUCCAAGUAGGAUUCCCCCCUCUUUCCUAGUCCAAGUAGGAGAGGGGAAGGAAGGGAAGGAGAAGGAGAUGGAAGGAGAGGGAGGAAAAGGAGGAAAGGGGGGCUAGCCCCCUAGUCCAAUUCGGUUUGGGCUAGGGGGGCCGCGCGCCCUGCCUCCUCUCUUCCACCACUUGGCCCAUGAGGCCCAUUGCUUCUUCCUCGUAUUCCCGCAACUCCCCGGUACCCCCGAAAAUACCCGAAUCACUCCGAACCUUUCCGAUGUCUGAAUAUAGUCAUCCAAUAUAUCGAUCUUUACGUCUCGACCAUUUCGAGACUCCUCGUCAUGUCCCCGAUCUCAUCCGGGACUCCGAACUACCUUCGGUACAUCAAAACACAUAAACUCAUAAUAUAACCGUCAUCGAAGUUUAAGCGUGCGGACCCUAUGGGUUCGAGAACUAUGUAGACAUGACCGAGACACGUCUCCGGUCAAUAACCAAUAGCGGAACCUGGAUGCUCAUAUUGGCUCCUACAUAUUCUACGAAGAUCUUUACCGGUCAAACCGCAUAACAACAUACGUUGUUCCCUUUGUCAUCGGUAUGUUACUUGCCCGAGAUUCGAUCGUCGGUAUCUUAAUACCUAGUUCAAUCUCGUUACCGGCAAGUCUCUUUACUCAUUCCGUAAUACAUCAUCCCGCAACUAACUCAUUAGUUGCAAUGCUUGCAAGGCUUAUAGUGAUGUGCAUUACCGAGUGGGCCCAGAGAUACCUCUCCGACAAUCGGAGUGACAAAUCCUAAUCUCGAAAUACGCCAACCCAACAAGUACCUUUGGAGACACCUGUAGAGCACCUUUAUAAUCACCCAGUUACGUUGUGACAUUUGGUAGCACACAAAGUGUUCCUCCGGUAAACGGGAGUUGCAUAAUCUCAUAGUCAUAGGAACAUGUAUGUCAUGAAGAAAGCAAUAGCAACAUACUAAACGAUCAAGUUCUAAGCUAACGGAAUGGGUCAAGUCAAUCACAUCAUUCUCCUAAUGAUGUGAUCCCAUUAAUCAAAUGACAACUCAUGUCUAUGGCUAGGAAACUUAACCAUCUCUGAUCAACGAGCUAGUCAAGUAGAGGCAUACUAAUGACACUAUGUUUGUCUAUGUAUUCACACAUGUAUCAAGUUUCUGGUUAAUACAAUUGUAGCAUGAAUAAUAAACAUUUAUCAUGAAAUAAGGAAAUAAAUAAUAACUUUAUUAUUGCCUCUAGGACUGAAAGUGCGUUAUAUCGACUAGAGGGGGUGAAUAGGCGAUUUUUAUAAAUUCUUCACUGAGGAAUUUGUGGGUGAGGAAAUUCCUUAGCGAAGAACUACUUGCAGCGGAAUAAGUGCUCAAAAGUAUGCAUAGCAGAACACAAGCAUAGUCAUCAUGAUGAAAUGAAAACAAGCACAAAGUACAGAAAGCGUAAACACAGGAUAACACAGGAUGAAGACAAACAGCCUGAGGAAAUUGAACUGAGGAAAUUGAGAAAGUCUUCAGUCAAAGUCUUCAAACACAGAUAUGAACAAUUGCACAACACACGAAUGAGGAAAUGAAAGAGUUGAGGAAAUAGAACCAGUUGGCUUUGUGAAGACAAUGAUUUGGUAGACCAGUUCCAACUGCUGUCUCAGUUGUACGUUUGGUUGGAGCGGCUAGGUAUUUAAACCUGAGGACACCCAGUCCCGGACACACAGUCCUCACCGUAUUCUCCUUGAACUAAGGUCACACAGACCUCGUCCAAUCACUCGUGGUAAGUCUUCAGGUGACUUCCGAACCUUCACAAACUCGGUCACUCGGCGAUCCACAAUUUCCUCUUGGAUGCUCUAGACCAUGACGCCUAACCGUAUGGAAGAAGCACAGUCUUCAAAGGUAACAAGCAUCGGAUCCACGCAGGAUCAAUCUCUUCAGUGAUGCUCAAUCACUUUGGGUAUGUAGGUGUUUGGGUUUGGGGUUUUUCCUCACUUGAUGAUUUUCGCUCAAAGUCCUCGGAGGAUGGGAUGCUCUCAAAUGACAAGUGUCAGUUUCUCUCGGAGCAGCCAACCAGCUAGUGGUUGUAGGGGGCGGCUAUUUAUAGCCUAGGGAGCAGCCCGCAUGAUAAGACAUAAAUGCCCUUCAAUGAUAUGACCGUUAGGUGGGUAGAUAUUUUGGGACUGCUGGCGCAUAGCACAGCAACGGUCGGAAAUUUCAGGUUCAAAUUCCUCAGGGCUAUCAUGUUCCUCACUGUGUAGGCAAUCCGCACUGGCGAAUUCCUAACUCCUCAGUCAGAACAAAUUCCUCAAAGACCAGAAGAACUUCGUCUCUGUCACUGAAGAAUAUGACUGAACUGUAUGAGAUUUCCAAUGGCUUCACUUGAAGGGAUUGGUAGGUGUAGGAUUUUGAGUUGAGCAUCACAUGGAAAUUUUUCCUUAGUAUUUCCUCGACCCCUUUAACAGUACGGUGUUUCCUAUGACUCAAGAAAGAGAAAAUGAAACUACGAAAACAAAAGUCUUCACGCUUCAUGUUCCUCAAAUGAAUACCAAGUCUUCAAGGUCACACCAAUUUCUUUACUUUCAAAGUCUUCAGAAAGUCUUCAGAAAUCCAAAGUCUUCAGUCGAAGAACUUCAUUUUUAGGGGGCGACUUUCUCUGUAAUUAUCAAACUCCUCAUAGACUUAUAGAUCUGUGUACACUCACAAACGCAUCAGUCCCUUAACCUAUAAGUCUUCAAUACACCAAAAUCACUAAGGGGCACUAAAUGCACUUACAAUCUCCCCCUAUUUGGUGAUUGAUGACAAUAUAGGUUAAGUUUUCAACGAGGAUAAACAUAUGAAGUGUAAAUACUGAUAUUGAGGAAUUUGAUUGCAAGAUAUAGAAGAACUCCCCCUGAAGAUGUGCAUAGUGAGGAAUUUGCUUUUGAAGCAAUGCACACUUGAAGAGUUGAAUCAUGGAGAUCUCCCCCUAUAUCUUGUAAUUCAUACACGCAUUUGACAUAAUAUAUGAAGAGUUUGAAAUGCAUGAUGAAAUAUGGUGACCGAUGUAAUUCAGCAUGCGUGCAAUAACAUCAAUGAGGAACAAGCAUGCAGAAGAAACAGCAAAAGUAUCAGGCCACCAUAGAGUUUAAGUUUACAACUCGAUCCAACAAAGUCAUCAGAAGAACGAGAGUUGUAACUUUAGAAAAAAACCGCCCAUAAGAUAGACCCGCUUGAAGACUAACUCAAAUUUCUCCCCCUUUGUCAUCAAAUGACCAAAAGGGUCGAAAAUGAGGACUAAUGCCCCUGAAGAAUAUCAAGGUGAUGAAGGAGCGUCAGCGUUGUUGGGGUCGGUUGUUGGAGUAGGGCCUGCCGCAGUGUUGUCCAAAUCUUCAUUUUCAUCAAUGUCACGUGAUGAAGAAUAGGAGCUGGCCACCAAGGAAGGAACCUUGACCUUCUUGUACUUCUUUGGAGGAGGUGCAGCCCAGUCAAGAUUGUCCUUGAGACCCAUUGUCUUCAGAUCUUCUUCACUAUAGACUUGAGACAGAACAGCCCAGGUGCGGUUGAGGAUUUCAUGAAGGUAGUAGUGGUUUUUCUUCACUGCAUUGUGGGUAGCAGUCAUGUUGUGAAGAAUUGAACCAAACUGACGCUUGACCCAUUUAUGAUUGCGAUCAACCUUCUGGUGAAGACUGAGGAGAAGCUCAUGGUCAGUCAUCACCGUGGGUGCUGUGCCUUGAGGAUUUUGCUUCGGUGCGUUGGCGGCAGAGUCAUGGGUGGCAGAGUCAUCAUUGGUGGAGUAGGAUGCAGCCUUGCGAAAUUGUCCAUCCAAUGGACGACUGCCUUCAUCAAUUACAGCAGUAGCCUUGCCCUUUUCAUCAGCUGAGGAAAAUGUCCGUUUGAGGACUUCAAUUGGGGGCAAGUAGCUGCAAUGGUUUAGUGUAUCAGCUUUAUAGUUGAGUGAAGACCUUCUCCUGAUGAAUCUCAUAAUCCAAGGUGCAUAAGGCUUCAACUCAAAUGGUGACAUGGCGACAUUGGCCAGAGUCCUCAUGAAGAAAUCAUGGAAGUUGAUGGGAAUGCCAUGUAUGAUAUUGAAAAGCAGAUUCUUCAUGAUGCCAAUGACUUCUUCAUUUGAGUCGUGGCCCUUGAUUGGACUCAAUGUCUUCGCCAGAAUGCGAUAGACAGUUCGAGGCACAUACAGCAAUUCCUUCACAAGGAAUUUUGUUCGUGAGGUCUGACCUGGCUUCAAAGGCUUCAUCAGCACUUGCAUGUAGUGAUCGGUUAGCUCAGGUUCACUGUAGACGCAACAAGCACCUUCAAGGGGUGGACUGAGAGGUAAGGCACGAAGCAAUUCAGUAGCUGGUGCCUUGUAGUGAGUGUUUUCAGACAUCCAGUCCAGCACCCAUGAAUUCACAUCUUCAGAAUUUCCGGUGAUGUGCAGCGUUGCAUAUAAUUGAAGAAUAAGUUCUUCAUUCCAAUCACAGAUGUCAGUGCAGAAAUUUAACAGUCCAGCAUCAUGAACAACACUGAGGACUGGCACGAAGCACGACAGAGAUUCCAUGUCCACGUGAGGAAUGUGCUCAUGAUCGAAGACUUUGUCUUUGUCGAACAGCACUGAGUAAUAAAAAUUUGCCUGGCUCUCAGUCCAGAAAUGCCUCUUCCUUAUGCGAGCAGAGUCAUAAGGGUUGUAAUCAGUGAAGAAUACAUGCUCGCCAAAGAAGGCAUCAGUCUUGAAUUUUUGCUUCUUGGAGAAAGGAUCCUUUGGUUUGGGCAGAGGAGUGUCAGUGAGUUGCAUCACAACCUCGGGAAUCACAAUCUCAGGUUCUUCAGGCUGAGGAAUUUCUGCUUCCUCUUUAGUGGCAGCCUGGUUCUUGAAUUCUUCAUUUUCAGUUUCUUCAGCACUAGCGGCUGGAAUGUCUUCAUGAGCUUCAUCAGAUCCCAUUUGAACAGUAGUGACUGGGGACUGAGGAAUUUGCUGCAGUGGAGUGAAGAGUGGAGAAUUGGGGUGCUGACUUUCCCAAAAGUCAUCAUUCAUCACAGGUGUAGUACAGCCAAUGUCCACAUCUUCAUCUUCAAUUUCUUCAACGCCGGCCUCUUCAGCAGUAAACUGAGGCACAUGCGAGGAAAUAACUGGGGUUGAAGGGAUUUCAUCCAUCUGCUCUGACGUAGCAGCAGAAGGAGUUUCUUCAUCAGAUCCGCUAGGGAUCACAUAUUCUUCACCAAAAGGAACAAGGUCGUUUGAUGGCAUGGUUGAGAUUGGAACAACAUCAAUCGGGUUUGCAAAAGAGCUGGUCAUAGGCUUCAUUUUCUUCGGAGCAAAAGAAUCUGAAGAAGCUGAUGCUUUCCUUUUCUUCACUGCUGCACGCUCUGCAGCCUUGGUCUUCUUCACAUCAGAUGCAGAUGGAAGGAUUGGAGUUGGAGUAGGCGCAGGUGGAGCAGAGGAAUUUUGUGCAGUUUCUUCAGGCACAACUGAUGCAGUUGCCCUGACCUCUUCAUUUUCUUCAGGCGCACCGCUAGUGGGUGCCCUGGAACUCACAUUAUCUUCAGCAGCCUGAUUGUCAUCAGCGGUGCUGGCAUGCUCUUCAGUUUGCUGAGCAGAUGCUUCAGCCUGAGUAACUUCAAUAUGCACAGGGGCAGCGGCACUUGAAGUGAGUGUCUUCGUCAGAUUGACGAACCUGACCUUGGUCCUUUCCAAUCAGCAUAGUAAGUGCUGAAAUCAUCGCUGAGGACUUUGAUUUCAGACUGGAGCUUUACAAGUUCAUCACUUGUCAUAGAGACAACGUUGUUCUUCAGGAACUUCUCCUUCCUGUACUGUGCUUUCUUGAGUUGCCUGGCCUUCUCAUAUUUCCAUUUUUCUUCACUAAUGAAAUGGGUCAGCAUGUGACUUUGGCCAGGUGUCAACUUGAAAUCAGGCAUAGGAGUGUUUGGGUCCUUGUGCCAGAUAUCAUUAUAGUCGAGGAUCAGCUUUGGAUCCAAAAGCAGUGGCACUUCUAUGCCCUUGGCUCUAGCGGCCCUGACUUGCCUGUCUCUGAUGAUUUCAGCAAGUUCUUCAUCAUCAGCUUCAUCUUCAUCAGACGGUACUUGGAAGGAGACCUGCUUCUUCCGAGGACUUGGGCGAGAGCCUCGUCCAACAGUUGUCUUUGUCUUCAGUAGAGAGGGUCCUGUUGAAGACUUUGGUGCAGCUGAGGAACUAGCUGAAGCUCCUGAGGCAAUAGAGAUGCCUGUAGUCCUUUGGCAUGUGGCAAGAUGCAUAGGUGCUGAGGAUUUUGUCGGAGCAGCUGAGGACUUUGUAGGAGCAGGAGCGGCUUGAGGAAUUGGCCGUGAGGGCUGAGCUGAAGAAAUUGGCCGUGAGGGCAUUGACGAAGAGGCACUUGGCUUGUGCGCAGGCUUCUUUGCCAUGGAUUUCUUCGGCCGUACAGAGGCCUCAGCAGCAGCAGUGGAAUCUUCGUUGAAUUUCUUCACUGCAUCUUUUGCCUGUUUGGCCAACUUGGCUUGGCGCUUGGCCCAUUCUUCAGGAAAAUCCUCACCGCGCUUGAUGCUAGUGGGAUCUGUCUCUUGGCCAGGUGCCAAUGGAGGUCUUUAGCAUGGAGGAGUAACAUCUAAUUUCUUCAUGUAUUUUGGAGUCACAUACCUGUACUCCCUCCACUCUUUUGCCCAUCUCCUUUCUAUCCUCUGAAUGCGCACCUUGCGCUGAUUUUUAUCUUCCUCAGGGCGUGUGCAGUACCCCGCAUAAAUGUCCUCAGGGAUUUCAAAGGCAGUAUUGGCCUCAGGCUUCUUUCCUCCCUUCUGUGGCCUCUUUUCAUUAGCCAAUUUCUUCAGUUGAGGAAUUUGAACAAUUGAACUCUCUGAAGAAGUAUGCAACUUUCCUCAAGGAACGCUGCAAAUGAGUUAAGUUGAUGAGAACCUAGUGAUUCAGCAACGGACAUGAGUACCUGUGAACAGAGUAUAGUUGCGAGGAAUUUGGAGAGGUCAUAUGCGUUCUCAGAAGGUUUUUCAAUAAGAACAAGUUUGAGGAAUUUGACCAGAUGAGUCUUGAAGAAUUUCACUAAGCGUUCUUUGUCUUAGGUUCCAGAGUUGUAUAGAUCGAAGAUCCACACAAUUGAGGAAUCUUGAAGAAAAGUGAUGCUUAGAGAAACGAACCAAGAGCAGAUGACAUGUGAGGUGUUUAGUGUGUGAGAAUUUGAAGAAAAAACACCUUUGAAGAUUUUGCAGUAAACAUUUGAAUCAAAGUGGGCAGUAGAAGUAACUUUUAAUUACCCUGAAUGAAGAACACGACGAACUGGGAUGUGGAGAAGUGAAGCUCGUCUGUGUAGAUCUUCCACGCCCUAACUUGGCGGAGGAAGACGGCUACGGCGGCAGCGGAGUGAAGAUUUCCGCGGCCGGCGUGAGUACGGCGGCGACGAGGUCGAGGCAGUGAAGCUCUUCCUCACCGGCGAUGAUGAUGUAGCGGCGGCGCUAGGGUUUGAGAAGCUCGAGCUGGAGAGAGGUCGAGCGGAGUAAAAGAAGUGAGGAAGGGGAGAGGGGGUAUUUAUAGCCACGGUGAAAAACGGUUCGCUCGAAGAAAUUGGACGAACGUGCCCCUGACCCUUCUCAUUCGCAUGACAUGUGUCACCCACGUACUGAGAGGUGGAGAUCGUGUUAGAUCGUGGGUGAAUAGGUAAGUAUAUCGUGGGAAGCGGAACGGUUUGAGCGGCAAAGCCGAAAAUUUGGAUAAGAUAAGUUAAAAGUUUCGUUCGCAAAUUCUUCAGCUGACAAGGACACAGUGAAGAUUUUGAAUGAGUUUCAAAUAGAAUGCACAUGAAGAAUUUGUGAAUAGAUUGGGUUGAGUAUAGCAUAGAGGGGGAAGGGUCCGAUCACAUUCACUUAGAAGAAAUAGCAACUUGAAGAAAUAGCAAUAAGUGAAUGCUGUAGAGGACAUAAACUCAUAUAUAUAUAGCCAAUGAAGAGAAACGACGGAAACAGUGAAGAUUUUGCAAAGUUGAAGAAUAUGAAAAACUGAGGAAUUUCAAAAAAUGAGGAAAAACUCAAACUGAAGAUUUUCAACUUUUGUGGUGGCGUGACCCACCGUAUAAGAAUGAUGAUUUCAGACACCGCGUACAAUUGUCGUAGGGUUCUGAGAAUCAAAUUCUUCAUUAAUUUCUUCACACUUAGAGUGUUAUUCUUCAUUGAUUGAAGAAAAAUGUUUCUUCAUGUGUUGCACAUCUAAGUCAUCAAUUUUGCAUAAGUGUUAGGAUGAGUGUCCUUUUCAAAGAACAUUCGAAGAUUAUAGGAUAUUUAGCUCACACCGCAACUUGCUAAAUCACUUCUCAUCCAAGGGCUUUGUGAAGAUAUCGGCUAGCUGUUCUUCAGUCUUCACAUGCUCAAUAGAAAUGUCGCCCUUCAACACAUGAUCGCGAAGAAAAUGAUGACGGAUCUGAAUGUGCUUUGUCUUCGAGUGCUGAACUGGGUUGUGAGCAAUCUUGAUGGCACUCUCAUUGUCACAGAAGAGAGGCACAUUCUUCACGUUGACGCCAUAGUACUUGAGGGUUUGCUUCAUCCACAGCAAUUGAGCACAGCAAGAACCAGCAGCAAUGUACUUAGCUUCAGCAGUAGACAGUGAUACGCAGUUCUGUUUCUUCGAGGACCAACAGACCAAAGAUCGUUCGAGGAAAUGACAUGUACCAGAUGUUGACUUGCGAUCCACACGAUCACCAGCAUAGUCAGAGUUAGAAUAUCCAACGAGAUCAAAAGCCGAGCCCUUGGGGUACCAUAAUCCUAGUGUUGGUGUGUGAGCUAGAUAUUGAAGAAUAUGCUUCACAGCCUUAUGGUGUGAUUCCUUCGGUGUAGCUUGAAAUUGGGCACACAUGCAAACACUAAGCAUAAUAUCUGGCCUAGAUGCACAUAAGUACAAUAAAGAACCAAUCAUGGAGCGGUAUACCUUUUGAUCAAAGUCAAUACCAUUUUCAUCAGUGCACAGAUGGCCAUUUGUGGGCAUAGUAAUUUUGACGCCUUUGCAAUCUUGCAUGCCGAAUUUCCUCAGUACAUCCUUGAGGUAUUUCUCCUGAGAUAUGAAUAUGCCAUUGCGCUGUUGACGAAUUUGAAGACCUAAAAAGAAUUUCAACUCUCCCAUCAUAGACAUUUGAUAUUCUUCACUCAUCAUAUAGGCAAAUUCAUCACUAUAACGUUGGUCAGUACAGCCAAAGAUGAUGUCAUCAACAUAUAUUUGGCAUACAAACAAUUCAUCGUCAUAUGAUUUAUUGAAAAGAGUAGGGUCGAGUGAACCGGGUUUUAAGCCUUUCUUCAUGAGGAAUUCCUUCAAAGUAUCAUACCACGCCCGAGGGGCUGCUUGAGGCCAUAUAGGGCCUUAUUUAGUCUGAAGACUUUGUUAGGAUGCUUAGGAUCUUCAAAACCUGGGGGUUGAGCAACAUAUACUUCUUCCUCAAGCUUACCAUUGAGGAAUGCACUUUUCACAUCCAUUUGAUAUAAGGUGAUAUCAUGAUGGUUAGCAUAAGCAAGUAAUAUGCGAAUAGCUUCAAGUCUAGCAACAGGUGCAAAAUUUUCAAUGAUAUCAAUUCCUUCAACCUGUGUGUAGCCUUGAGCUACUAGUCGUGCCUUAUUCCUCACCACAAGGCCAUUUUCAUCUUGCUUGUUGCGGUAGAUCCACUUUGUGCCAAUGAUAUUGUGUUUGCGAGGAUCUGGACGAUUGACCAGUUCCCAAACGUUGUUGAGCUCGAACUGAUGUAAUUCUUCUUGCAUGGCUUGAAUCCACUCAGGAUCCAGAAAUGCUUCAUCUACCUUAGUGGGCUCUGAGAUAGAGACAAAAGCAUAGUGCCCACAAAAGUUAGAUAAAUGUGAAGCUUUUGAGCGUGUGAGAGGACCUGGUGCUUCAAUGUCAUCGAUGAUCUUCUCAACUUGCACUUCUUUUGCAACGCGAGGAUGAGUAGGUUGUCGUCGAGGAAUUUGAUUAGCAUUUUCGUCAGCACCAUUUUCUUCAGCAAUUUCUUCAAGUGCAUUAGUUCGACGUUCUUCACGUUCUGGAAUGAAUUCUUCAGCAGAUUCUUCGGUAGGAAUGACAUCCUCAGUAGCCUUGAACUUGAUAGUUUCCUCAGGUGCUGGUUCAUCUAUCACAGAGGGUAGGUGCUCUCUUUGCGAGCCAUUAGUUUCAUCGAACCGCACAUCUAUAGUUCAACAACCUUGUGAAGAACGGUGUUGAAGACUCUGUAGGUGUGCGAGACCUUUCCGUAACCAAGCAUAAAACCUUCAUGUGCUUUUGGUGCAAAUUUAGCAUUGUGAUGAGGAUCUCUAAUCCAACAUUUAGCACCGAAGACUUUGAAAUAACUCACAUUGGGUUUCUUGUCAGUGAGGAGUUCAUAGGCAGUCUUCUUGAAGAAUUUGUGAAGAUAUACCCUAUUGAUGAUGUGGCACGCAGUAUAAAUUGCCUCAAUCCAGAAGUGACGAGGCGUCUUGUACUCAUCAAGCAUAGUGCGAGCCAUCUCAACAAGAGUUCUGUUCUUGCGCUCCACGACGCCAUUUUACUGAGGAGUGUAAGGAGCAGAUAACUCAUGAGUAAUACCAAGUUCAUCAAGAUAGUCAUCAAGACCAGAAUUCUUGAACUCAGUUCCAUUGUCACUUCUGAUGUGCUUGAUCUUCACACCAAAGUUGGUUGAAGCCCUCGAGGAAAAUCGUUUGAAGACUUCCUGCACUUCAUGUUUGUAAGUAACAAUGUGUACCCAUGUGUAACGAGAGUAAUCAUCAACAAUAACAAGCCCAUAGAGAGAUGUGUCAUUUGUGACAGCUGAGUAAUGGUUUGGACCAAAGAGGUCCAUGUGAAGCAAUUCGAAUGGCCGAGUAGUGGUCAUGAUAGUCUUCGCUGGAUGCUUAGCCUUGGUCAUCUUUCCAGCUUCACAAGCUCCACAUAGGUGAUCCUUGAGGAAUUUGACAUUCUCAAUGCCAAUGACAUGCUUCUUCUUAGCAAGCGUGUGCAAAUUCCUCAUGCCUGCAUGACCAAGUCGUCGAUGCCAUAGCCAUCCUUCUGAAGCUUUUUCAAGUAGGCACACGGCUGGUUGCGGUCCUGUAGAGAAAUCAACAAUAUACAAGUCUCCUCUCCUAAAGCCUUCGAAGACUUUGGAAUUGUCAGCUUCCAUAACCACAACACAACGAUACUUGCCAAAGACAACUACCAUAUCAAGAUCACAAAGCAUUGAGACAGACAUGAGGUUGUAUCCUAAGGACUCGACAAGCAUGACUUUGUCCAUGUGUCGAUCCUUUGUGAUCGCAACCUUACCUAGACGCAAUACCUUACUUUUGCCUUUGUCAGCGAAGAUGAUAUGCUUCAGAUGUGAUGGUGGUAAGGGAGCAUCAAUCAAUAGAUUCUUGUCACCAGUCAUGUGAUUUGUACAUCCACUAUCGAGGACCCACUCAGUGGCUUUGGGUUGAUCAUCCUGCAGAUGAAUUAGUGCAGCUUACGAACUUCAUGUACUUCAUCAGUGAAGAAUAUGACAUCAAUUCAUCAGAUCAAUUUCAUCAAGCAAUAGAACAUAUAAAGCAGUAUGAGUACAUGAGAAAUGAAAGUUCAUUUCUUCAUGAUUAGCCUGCGUCCUUUCAGGCAAACUUCAGGUCUCCAGCAAAUUCUUCAGACGUUCAAGUACGUCUGGAGACCUGACCCUGCAGAAGAGAUUAGUUCUUUUUCUUCACCACCCACAUCUGAAGGGGUGGCAAAGAGUUCAUCACUCUGCGAGCUCCAUAUGAGAAAGGUGGCAUAGAAGCCAAUCCAUUUCGUUUCACAUAAGAGGAGUUAGGGUAAGCAUAUGAAUAAGCAGAGAAAUUCUUCGAGGACUUAUGAACAUAAUGAUUAGAAGAAUAAUGCUCAUAUUCAUAGCCCUUGGCUCUUCCCUGCGAAACAGAGUUGUUAGCACAAUGAUGUUCAUAUGAGGACUUUGAUCCUUUUGAGGAAUUUGAUCCAUGUGAGGAAUUUUGUCCGUAUGAGGACUUGGAUCCAUAUGAAGAAUUUGGUCCAUAUGAAGAAUUUGAUCUGGGGUUCCUAUUCCUCACUGGUGGUGUCAUGAGGACAUUCACCUGAAGACUUUCAAGGCACUUUUUGGGAACCUAGAUUUUCUUCAUAGGGGAACCGUUCCUGCAGUUAGUGCCAACAUAUCUAGCAAAUACUUCACCAUUCUGAUUUUUGAACAGUUUAUAGUUGGAGUCAAAUGACUCAUCAGAAGAAUGAGAAGAUUCACAUGUAAAGCCAGAUAAAUUAGAUGGAUCAACUGGAGGUCCCUUUGCAGCAACCCAUGAGGUUUUGGGGUACUGCUCAGGCUUCCAAUAUGUACCAUCAGCAUUGAGUUUCCUCUCAAAGGCAAUACCCUCUUUCCUAGGGUUUCUGUUGAGGAUAUGCUUUUUAAGCACAUCACAAAGAGUCUGAUGCCCUUUGAGACUUUUGUACAUGCCUGUCAUGUACAAUUCCUUCAGCCCUGCAUCGUUAGUGAUACUAGCAAUGUCCUCAGAUGGGGAAUUAGUGAUAGCAGAGACAGUUGAAGAAUUUGUAGCAUUAGAAGCAUUUGAACAUUCAGGUGAAGAAUUAGCAGAUUCACGUUCAAUGCAUUUCAAACAAGGAGGAACAAAUUCUUCCUGAGCAGCACUGAUUUGUUGAGCAAGUAAUGAAUCGCGCUCCUUCUGAAGAUCUUCAUAACUCACUCCUAGCUUCUCAAGAUCUUGCUUUCUUUGAAGAAAUUCAUAAGAAAGCUUCUCAUGAUCAGAUAAGAGAGUGUUAUGAUGACCCUGAAGGUUGUCAUACCUAGUCUGAAGUCUCUGAAGAUUUUCAGUCAAGGUUUUAGUGCGAUCCAUUUCUUCACCCAACAUAUCAUCACUCUUGUCUAGCAUGUUUUGAACCUUUUCAAGGGCCCUUUGUUGUUUCACAGCAAUCUUAGCAAGUUUUGAAUAGCUAGGCUUAAGGUUUUCAUCACAUUCAUUUUCACUUGAUUGAGAGUAGGCAUAUUUGAGUACCUUGGCACCCUUUGCCAUGAAGCAAUAGGUGGGCGCGUAGUCAUCAUUGCCUUCAUCAGCCUUGUUGGUGAGGUCAUUUUCUUCAGAGUUGAAGAUAGACUUGCUGACGAAUGCAGUAGCGAGGGCUAGGCUUGCCACACCGGAUUCGGAAUCCUCAGAUGCCUCCUCUUCCUCAUUUUCUUCAGAUUCAGCCUCAGAGUCCAUUUCCUUGCCAAUGAAUGCCCGAGCCUUCUUGGAGCUACUCUUCUUGUGAGAUGAAGACUUUGAGGAUUUUGAUGAUGAAGAUUUUGAGGAUUUCUUCUUUUUCUUCGUAUCAUCAGAACUGUAAUCCUUGUAUUUCUUCUUCUUUGAUUCCUUUUCCCACUGAGGACAAUCUUGAAUGUAGUGUCCUGGUUUCUUGCAUUUGUGACAAAGCCUCUUCUUGUAGUCACUGGAUGAGGAAACAUUGCUCCUUGAGGGUCUUCCAAAGCGACCACGUCUUGAGAGCUUCUGGAAUUUCUUCACAAGCAGUGCUAGAUCAUGGCUCAGUUCUUCAAGAUCACCAAGACUGCUUUCAGAGUCUUCAACUUCAGACUCAGAAACUGCCUUGGCCUUCAGUGCACGUGAUCUGCCAUAGCUCGAACCAUAGAGAUCUCUCUUUUCAGCAAGCUGGAACUCAUGAGUGUUUAGCCUUUCGAGGAUAUCAGCGGGAUCAAGUGACUUGUAAUCAGCACGCUCUUGUAUCAUCAAGGCCAGAGUAUCAAAUGAGGAAUCAAGCGAUCUGAGCAGUUUCUUCACCACCUCGUGGUCGGUGAUGUCAGUGGCACCAAGUGCUUGAAGCUCAUUUGAGAUGUCAGUGAGGCGAUCGAAGGUUUGUUGAACAUUCUCAUUGUCCAGUCUUUUGAAGCGGUUGAAGAGAUUCCGAAGAACAUCAACUCAAGAGUCACGCUGUGUUGAGACUCCUUCAUUUACUUUGGACAGCCUAUCCCAGAUAAGCUUAGCAGUUUCCAAAGCACUCACUCUUCCAUACUGUCCUUUGCUCAGAUGUCCACAUAUGAUAUUCUUCGCUUGAGAAUCGAGUUGCUUGAAUCUCUGCACAUCGGCAGCGUUCAGUGAGGGUGAGACAGAGGGAACACCUUUUUCCACAACAUACCAGAGAUCGUUAUCAAUUGCCUCAAGAUGCAUUCGCAUCUUAUUCUUCUAGUAGGGGUAGUCCAUCCCAUCGAAGGUAGGACACCCAGCAGAGACCUUGAUCAUACCUGCGGUCGACACAACUAAAACUCCAGGUGGUUAAACCAAAAUCACACAGAACAAGGGAGUACCUCACUCUGAUACCAAUUGAAAGUAAGUUAUAUCGACUAGAGGGGGGUGAAUAGGCGAUUUUUAUAAAUCCUUCACUGAGGAAUUUGUGGGUGAGGAAAUUCCUUAGCGAAGAACUACUUGCAGCGGAAUAAGUACUCAAAAGUAUGCAUAGCAGAACACAAGCAUAGUCAUCAUGAUGAAAUGAAAACAAGCACAGAGUACAGAAAGCGUAAUCACAGGAUAACACAGGAUGAAGACAAACAGACUGAGGAAAUUGAACUGAGGAAAUUAAGAAAGUAUUCAGUCAAAGUCUUCAAACACAGAUAUGAACAAUUGCACAACACACGAAUGAGGAAAUGAAAGAGUUGAGGAAAUAGAACCAGUUGGCUUUGUGAAGACAAUGAUUUGGUAGACCAGCUCCAACUACUGUCUCAGUUGUACGUCUGGUUGGAGCGGCUAGGUAUUUAAACCUGAGGACACCCAGUCCCGGACACACAGUCCUCACCGUAUUCUCCAUGAACUAAGGUCACACAGACCUCGUCCAAUCACUUGUGGUAAGUCUUCAGGUGACUUCCGAACCUUCACAAACUCGGUCACUCGGCGAUCCACAAUUUCCUCUUGGAUGCUCUAGACCAUGACGCCUAACCGUCUGGAAGAAGCACAGUCUUCAAAGGUAACAAGCGUCGGAUCCAUGCAGGAUCUAUCUCUUCAGUGAUGCUCAAUCACUUUGGGUUUGUAGGUGUUUGGGUUUGGGGUUUUUCCUCACUUGAUGAUUUUCGCUCAAAGUCCUUGGAGGAUGGGAUGCUCUCAAAUGACAAGUGUCUGUUCCUCUCGGAGCAGCCAACCAGCUAGUGGUUGUAGGGGGCGGCUAUUUAUAGCCUAGGGAGCAGCCCGCAUGAUAAUACAUAAAUGCCCUUCAAUGAUAUGACCGUUAGGUGGGUAGAUAUUUUGGGACUGCUGGCCCAUAGCACAACAACGGUCGGAAAUUGAGGUUCAAUUUCCUCAGGGCUAUCAUGUUCCUCACUGUGUAGGCAAUCCGCACUGGCGAAUUCCUAACUCCUCAGUCAUAACAAAUUCCUCAGAGAACAGAAGAACUUCGUUUGUCACUGAAGAAUAUGACUGAACUGUAUGAGAUUUCCAAUGGCUUCACUCGAAGGGAUUGGUAGGUGUAGGAUUUUGAGUUGAGCAUCACAUGGAAAUUUUCCUUAGUAUUUCCUCGACCCCCUUUAACAGUACGGUGUUUCCUAUGACUCAAGAAAGAGAAAAUGAAACUACGAAAACAAAAGUCUUCAUGCUUCAUGUUCCUCAAAUGAAUACCAAGUCUUGAAGGUCACACCAAUUUCUUCACUUUCAAAGUCUUCAGAAAGUCUUCAGAAAUCCAAAGUCUUCAGUCGAAGAACUUCAUUUUUAGGGGUCGACUUUCUCUGUAAUUAUCAAACUCCUCAUAGACUUAUAGAUCUUUCUACCCUCACAAACGCAUUAGUCCCUUAACCUAUAACUCUUCAAUACACCAAAAUCACUAAGGGGCACUAGAUGCACUUACAAGGGCAUAUUUCCUUCAGUCUCCCACUUGCACUAGAGUCAAUAAUCUAGUUCACAUCGCCAUGUGAUUUAACACCAAUAGUUCACAUCACCAUGUGAUUAACACCCAUAGUUCACAUCGUCAUGUGACCAACACCCAAAGGCUUUACUAGAUUCAAUAAUCUAGUUCACAUCGCUAUGUGAUUAACACCCAAAGAGUACUAAGGUGUGAUCAUGUUUUGCUUGUGAGAGAAGUUUAGUCAACGGGUCUGCUACAUUCAGAUCCGUAUGUAUUUUGCAAAUUUCUAUGUCAACAAUGCUCUGCACGGAGCUACUCUAGCUAAUUGCUCCCACUUUCAAUAUGUAUCCAGAUUGAGACUUAGAGUCAUCUGGAUCAGUGUCAAAACAUGCAUCGACGUAACCCUUUACGACGAACCUUUUCUCACCUCCAUAAUCGAGAAACACCUUAUUCCACUAAGGAUAAUUUUUGACCGCUAUCCAGUGAUCUACUCCUAGAUCACUAUUGUACUCCCUUGCUAAACUCAGUGUAGGGUAUACAAUAGAUCUGGUACACAGCAUGGCAUACUUUAUAGAACCUAUGGCUGAGGCAUAGGGAAUGACUUUCAUUCUCUUUCUUUCUUCUGCCGUGGUCGGGCUUUGAGUCUUACUCAAUUUCACACCUUGUAACACAUGCAAGAACUCUUUCUUUGACUGUUCCAUUUGAACUACUUCAAAAUCUUGUCAAGGUAUGUACCCAUUGAAAAAACUUAUCAAGCGUCUUGAUCUAUCUCUAUAGAUCUUGAUGCUCAAUAUGUAAGCAGCUUCACCGAGGUCUUUCUUUGAAAAAACUCCUUUCAAAUACUCCUUUAUGCUUUCCAAAAAAUUCUACAUUAUUUCCGAUAAACAAUAUGUCAUUCACAUAUACUUAUCAGAAAUGUUGUAGUGCUCUCACUCACUUUCUUGUAAAUACAGGCUUCGCCGCAAGUCUGUAUAAAACUAUAUGCUUUGAUCAACUCAUCAAAGCGUAUAUUCCAACUCCGAGAUGCUUGCACCAUUCCAUAGAUGGAUCGCUGGAGCUUGCACAUUUUGUUAGCACCUUUAGGAUCGAGAAAAGCUUCUGGUUGCAUCAUAUACAACUCUUCUUUAAGAAAUCCAUUACGGAAUGUAGUUUUGACAUCCAUUUGCCAGAUUUCAUAAAAUGUGGCAAUUUGCUAACAUGAUUCGGACAGACUUAAGCAUUGCUACGAGUGAGAAAAUCUCAUCGUUGUCAACACCUUGAACUUUGUCAAAACCUUUUUCGACAAGUCUAGCUUUGUAGAUAGUAACACUACUAUCGGCGUUCGUCUUCCUCUUGAAGAUCCAUUUAUUUUCUAUGGCUUGCCGAUCAUCGGGCAAGUCAACCAAAGUCCACACUUUGUUCUCAUACAUGGAUCCCAUCUCAUAUUUCAUGGCCUCAAGCCAUUUCACGGAAUCUGGGCUCAUCAUCGCUUCCUCAUAGUUCGUAGGUUCGUCAUGGUCAAGUAACAUGACCUCCACAACAGGAUUACCGUACCACUCUGGUGCGGAUCUCACUUUGGUAGACCUACGAGGUUCGGUAGUAACUUGAUCUGAAGUUACAUGAUCAUCAUGAUUAGCUUCCUCACUAAUUGGUGUAGGAGUCACAGGAACAGAUUUCUGUGAUGAACUACUUUCCAAUAAGGGAGCAGGUACAAUUACCUCAUCAAGUUCUACUUUCCUCCCACUCACUUCUUUCGAGAGAAACUCCUUCUCUUGAAAGGAUCCAUUCUUAGCAAUGAAUGUCUUCCCUUCGGAUCUGUGAUAGAAGGUGUACCCAACUGUUUCCUUUGGGUAUCCUAUGAACACACAUUUCUCUAAUUUAGGUUUGAGCUUAUCAGGAUGAAACUUUUUCACAUAAGCAUCGCAACCCCAAACUUUAAGUAACGACAACUUUGGUUUCUUGCGAAACCACAGUUCAUAUGUUGUCGUCUCAACGGAUUUAGAUGGUGCCCUAUUUAAUGUGAAUGCAGCUGUCUCUAAUGCAUAACCCCAAAACGAUAGUGGUAAAUUGGUAAGAGACAUCAUAGAUUGCACCAUAUCUAAUAAAGUACGGUUAUGAUGUUCGGACACACCAUUACACUGUGGUGUUCCAGGUGGCGUGAGUAGUGAAACUAUUUCACAUUGUUUUUACUGAAGGCCAAACUUGUAACUCAAAUAUUCUCCUCCACGAUCAGAUCGUAGAAACUUUAUUUUCUUGUUACGAUGAUUUUCCACUUCACUCUGAAAAUUUUGAACUUUUCAAAUGUUUCAGACUUAUGUUUCAUUAAUUAGAUAUACCCAUAUCUGCUCAAAUCAUCUGUGAAGGUCAGAAAAUAACGAUACCCGCCGCGAGCCUCAACACUCAUCAGAUCGCAUACAUCAGUAUGUAUUAUUUCCAAUAAGUCAGUAGCUCGCUCCAUUGUUCUGGAGAACAGAGUCUUAGUCAUCUUGCCCAUAAGGCAUGGUUCGCAAGCAUCAAGUGAUUCAUAAUCAAGUGAUUUUAAAAUCCCAUCAGCAUGGAGUUUCUUCAUGCGCUUUACACCAAUAUGACCUAAACGGCAGUGCCACAAAUGAGUUGCACUAUCAUUAUUAACUUUGCAUCAUUUGGCUUCAAUAUUAUGAAUAUGUGUAUCACUACGAUCGAGAUCCAACAAACCAUUUUCAUUGGGUGUAUGACCAUAGAAGAUUUUAUUCAUGUAAAUAGAACAACAAUUAUUCUCUAACUUAAAUGAAUAACCGUAUUGCAAUAAACAUGAUCAAAUAAUAUUCAUGCUCAACGCAAACACCAAAUAACACUUAUUUAGGUUCAACACUAAUCCUGAAAGUGUAGGGAGCGUGAGAUGAUGAUCAUAUCAAUCUUGGAACCACUUCCAACACACAUCGUCACUUCACCCUUAACUAGUCUCUGUUCAUUCUGCAACUCCCUUUUCGAGUUACUACUCUUAGCAACUGAACCAGUAUCAAAUACUGAGGGGUUGCUACGAACACUAGUAAAAUACACAUCAAUAAUCCGUAUAUCAAAUAUACCUUUAUUCACUUUGCCAUCCUUCUUAUCCGCCAAAUACUUGGGGCAGUUCCGCUUCCAGUGACCAGUCCCUUUGCAGUAGAAGCACUUAGUCUCAGGCUUAGGUACAGACUUGAGCUUCUUCACUUGAGUAGCAACUUGCUUGCCGUUCUUCUUGAAGUUCCCCUUCUACCCUUUGCCCUUUUCUUGAAACUAGUGGUCUUGUCAACCAUUAACACUUGAUGCUUUUCUUGAUUUCUACCUUCGUCGAUUUCAGCAUCAGGAAGAGCUUGGGAAUUAUUUCCGUUUAUCCCUUGCAUAUUAUAGUUCAUCAUGAAGUUCUAGUAACUUGGUGAUAGUGACUAGAGAACUCUGUCAAUCACUAUCUUAUCUGGAAGAUUAACUCCCACUUGAUUCAAGUGAUCAUAGUACUCAGACAUUCUGAGCACAUGCUCACUAGCUGAGCAAUUCUCCUCCAUCUUGUAGGCAAAGUACUGUCAGAGGUCUCAUACCUCUUGACACGGGCAUGAGUAUGAAAUACCAAUUUCAACUCUUGGAACAUCUUAUAUGCUCCGUGGCGUUUCAAAACAUUUUUGAAGUCCCGGUUCUAAGCCGUAAAGCAUGGUGCACUAAACUAUCAAGUAGUCAUCAUACCGAGCUUUUGUCAAAACGGUCAUAACGUCUACAUCUGCUCCUGCAAUAGUUCUGUCACCUAGCGGUGCAUCAAGGACAUAAUACUUCUGUGCAGCAAUGAGGUUAAUCCUCAGAUCAUGGACCAAGUCCCCAUCAUUGCUACUAACAUCUUUCAACUUAGUUUUCUCUAGGAACAUAUCAAAAUAAAACAGGGGAGCUAAACGCGAGCUAUUGAUCUACAACAUAGAUAUGCUAAUACUACCAGGACUAAGUUCAUGAUAAAUUAAAGUUCAAUUAAUCAUAUUACUUAAGAACUCCCACUUAGAUAGACAUCCCUCUAAUCAUCUAAGUGAUCACGUGAUCCAAAUCAACUAAACCAUGUCCGAUCAUCACGUGAGAUGGAGUAGUUUCAAUGGUGAACAUCACUAUGUUGAUCAUAUCUACUAUAUGAUUCAUGCUCGACCUUUCGGUCUCAGUGUUCCGAGGCCAUAUCUGUUAUAUGCUAGGCUCGUCAAGUUUAACCUGAGUAUUCCACGUGUGCAACUAUUUUGCACCCGUUGUAUUUGAACAUAGAGCCUAUCACACCCGAUCAUCACGUGGUGUCUCAGCACGAAGAACUUUCGCAACGGUGUAUACUCAGGGAGAACACUUAUACCUUGAAAUUUAGUGAGAGAUCAUCUUACAAUGCUACCGUCGGUCUAAGCAAAAUAAUAUGCAUAAAAGCAUCACAUGCAAUCAAUAUAAGUGAUAUGAUAUGGCCAUCAUCAUCUUGUGCUUGUGAUCUCCAUCUCCGAAGCAUCGUCAUGAUCACCAUCGUCACCGGCGCGACACCUUGAUCUCCAUCGUAGCAUCGUUGUCGUCUCGCCAACUAUUGCUUCUACGACUAUCGCUACCGCUUAGUGAUAAAGUAAAGCAAUUACAGGGCGAUUGCAUUGCAUAUAAUAAAGCGACAACCAUAUGGCUCCUUCUAGUUGCCGAUAACUCGGUACAAAACAUGAUCAUCUCAUACAAUAAAAUUUAGCAUCAUGUCCUGACCAUAUCACAUCACAACAUGCCCUGCAAAAACAAGUUAGACGUCCUCUACUUUGUUGUUGCAAGUUUUACGUGGCUGCUACGGGCUUAGCAAGAACCGUUCUUACCUACGCAUCAAAACGACAACGAUAGUUCGUCAAGUUAGUGCUGUUUUAACCUUCGCAAGGACCGGGAGUAGCCACACUAGGUUCAACUAAAGUGAGAGAGACAGACACCUGCCAGUCACCUUUAAGCAACGAGUGCUCGCAACGGUGAAACCAGUCUCGCGUAAGCAUACGCGUAAUGUCGGUCCGGGCCGCUUCAUCUCACAAUACCGCUGAACCAAAGUAUGACAUGCUGGUAAGCAGUAUGACUUAUAUUGCCCACAACUCACUUGUGUUCUACUCGUGCAUAACAUCAACGCAUAAAACCAGGCUCGGAUGCCACUGUUGGGGAACGUAGUAAUUUCAAAAAAAUUCUACGCACACGCAAGAUCAUGGUGAUGCAUAGCAACGAGAGGGGAGAGUGUUGUCCACGUACCCUCGUAGACCGAAAGUGGAAGCGUUAACACAACGCGGUUGAUGUAGUCGUACGUCUUCACGAUCCGACCGAUCAAGUACCGAAUGCACGGCACCUCCGAGUUCAGCACACGUUCAGCUCGAUGACGUCCCUCGAACUCCGAUCCAGCCGAGUGUUGAGGGAGAGUUUUGUCAGCACGACGGCGUGGUGAUGAUGAUGAUGUUCUACCGACGCAGGGCUUCGCCUAAGCUCCGCUACGAUAUUAUCGAGGUGUAAUAUGGUGGAGGGGGGCACCGCACACGGCUAAAAGAUCGUUGAUCAAUUGUGUGUCUAGAGGUUCCCCCCUGCCCCCGUAUAUAAAGGUGCAAGGGGGAGGACGCCGGCCAAGGAGGAGAGGCGCACCUAGGAGGAGUCCUACUCCUACCGGGAGUAGGACUCCCCCCUAUUCCAUGUUGGACUAGGAGAGAGGGGGAAGAGGUGGAGGGGAGGAAGGAAGGGGGGCACCGCCCCCCUCUCCUUGUCCUAUUCGGACUGGGGGGGGAAGGGGCGCGCGGCCCUGCCCUGGCCUCCUCUCCUCUCUUCCACCUAGACCCACUAAGGCCCAUUAAGUUACCGGGAGGGUUCCGGUAACCUCCCGGUACUCCGGAAAAAUCCCGAUUUCACCCGGAACACUUCCGAUGUCCAAACAUAGGCUUCCAAUAUAUCAAUCUUUAUGUCUCGACCAUUUUGAGACUCCCCGUCAUGUCCGUGAUCACAUCCGGGACUCCGAACAACCUUCGGUACAUCAAAACAUAUAAACUCAUAAUAUAACUGUCAUCGUAACGUUAAGCGUGCGGACCCUACGGGUUCGAGAACUAUGUAGACAUGACCGAGACACCUCUCCGGUCAAUAACCAAUAGCAGAACCUGGAUGCUCAUAUUGGUUCCCACAUAUUCUACGAAGAUCUUUAUCGGUCAGACCGCAUAACAACAUACGUUGUUCCCUUUGUCAUCGGUAUGUUACUUGCCCGAGAUUCGAUCGUCGGUAUCUCGAUACCUAGUUCAAUCUCGUUACCAGCAAGUCUCUUUACUCAUUCCGUAAUACAUCAUCCCACAACUAACUCAUUAGUUACAAUGCUUGCAAGGCUUAUAGUGAUGUGCAUUACCGAGUGGGCCCAGAGAUACCUCUCCGACAAUCGGAGUGACAAAUCCUAAUCUCGAAAUACGCCAACCCAACAAGUACCUUUGGAGACACCUGUAGAGCACCUUUAUAAUCACCCAGUUACGUUGUGAUGUUUGGUAGCACACAAGGUGUUCCUCCAGUAAACGGGAGUUGGAUAAUCUCAUAGUCAUAGGAACAUGUAUAAGUCAUGAAGAAAGCAAUAGCAACAUACUAAACGAUCGAGUGCUAAGCUAACGGAAUGGGUCAAGUCAAUCACAUCAUUCUCCUAAUGAUGUGAUCCCGUUAAUCAAAUGACAACUCAUGUCUAUGGCUACGAAACAUAACCAUCUUUGAUCAACGAGCUAGUCAAGUAGAGGCAUACUAGUGACACUCUGUUUGUCUAUGUAUUCACACAUGUAUUAUGUUUCCGGUUAAUACAAUUCUAGCAUGAAUAAUAAACAUUUAUCAUGAUAUAAAGAAAUAAAUAAUACUUUAUUAUUGCCUCUAGGGCAUAUUUCCUUCAACAGCACAUGGUCUGAUGAUGAGGUCCCUCGCCAGCCUUCCACCUCCUUUGCUCCAGCUGAUGAUAUCUUGGAGGAAUCUGAUCACGACGAUGAUGACGAGUCUGCUGCUGAUGAGGAUCCAGAUGCUACCAAGGAGUCAGAGGAGGAGGACUGAGCUUUGGGGCGCUAGCUUCGCUCUUUUGCUUUUGGUGUCUUGAUGCCAAAGGGGGAGAGAGUUCUAUAGGUCUCGGGAUUUGCAUGGGUUUUUGCCUCGCUUGGGUUUGUGUUUUCCUUUCGUGCGUGGUGUUGAACUUUGGCUUGUGAACCUUGUUGCUUAUCUCAUCUUGCAUGGUGUAAGGCAUGCGCUUAUCUAUCUAUCUAUCUAUCUUUAUUAUCGGUGAUAUUGUUGCUUUAUUCAUUAUAGUCCUUACCUUCAUAUUAUGGUCUUAUUGCUUACAUUCGCAUGUCUAGUAGGAGUGGCGAGUCUAUAAAUCUAGGGGGAGUCUCGUCCCUAAUUAGUGCUCUCAAAUAGCCUUCUCAAUUUGGGGCACACAUUUAGGGGGAGUCCCGUCUACAUUUUCUUUCCCUACUUUGUGUUUUGGAUGAUGAUGACAACCCUUUGUUGGUCUAAUCUUGUGCUAAGUGCUUCAGGUUCUCGGUGGUUAGUCUUUCAUCGGAUAGCUAUUCUCUCUCGAAGGAAAAGAUCAAACACGGAGUUUUCUAUGCUUUUUAUCUCUUUGGUCGUAGGGAACCCAUACUAUCAAGAUGGAAUCCACAUUGGAAGGUGUUGGGGGAAUCUUUUCACGUACACUUGCCUCACCCCUCUCUUGCCUUCCUUAGCUGUGAGAGAGAGCUCUUCCCUUCUUAUCCUACUGCUUGCUGUGGCUUCCCAGCGGUUGUACCGCUCUCUGGAGCGGUCGUACCGUAGGUUCUUGGCGCUUACCAGUCUUGAUCGAGCGGUUGUACCGCUGCUUCCGGGCGGUGGUACCGCCAUCAUGCUCAGCAAAGACUAUGGCGGUUGUUCCGGCCAAGUACCGCCCAAGUACCGGUCAGACUUCUGUUUUGAUGCGAUACUCGGGCGAUGGUGGCCCGGUUGGUCCGGUCGUACCGAUACCACCAGUGCCCUGAGCGGUUCUACCGCUCAGGACUUAGCCGCCCAAGCGCUCAAGGCCAAGCGGUUGCACCGGUCCUGUACCGCUCGACUACCGCACUCAGGGGUGACUCCCUACUAUUUCUAUGCGGUGGUUGAGCGGUGGCUGGGCGGUUGGUCCGGUUGUUCUCUUAAACCGGUACUACCGCCUAGUCGCCCGGUUGUACCGCCUGGUAGGGUUCUACACGUAAACCGUGAGUCCCGGUUGUACCGGGACAAGGAGCGGUUGUACCCCUGCAGUACAGAAAACACAGUAACGGUUGGAUUUUUAGGGUUGCUAUAUAAGGGUGCUUCUUCCACCUACCACAUUCACCUCUUACCUCUCUCACUCAACCAUUAAUGCUACUCAAGCUCUCUUGCCCGAUCUCUUUCUCUAGCCACUCAAACUUGUUGAUUUGCUAGGGAUUGAAGGAGGAGACCUAAAUCUACACUUCCACCAAAGGAUAUUUGCUUCCCCCAUACUUUCUUGUGUGGAUUUUGUUACUCUUGGGUGUUUGAGCACCCUAGACGGUUGAGUUCACCUCGGAGCCAUAUUCCAUUGUGGUGAAGCUCCGUGGUUUCGUUGGGAGCCUCCAAUUCAGUUGUGGAGAGAGCCCCAACCUUGUUUGUAAAGGUCCGAUUGCCGCCUCCAAGGGCACCAAUAGUGGAAUCACGACAUCUCGCAUUGUGUGAGGGCGUGAGGAGAAUACGGUGGCCCUAGUGGCUUCUUGGGGAGCAUUGUGGCUCGACACCGCUCCAACGGAGACGUACUUCCCCUCAAAAGGAAGGACUUCGGUAACACAUCCUCGUCUUCACCGGCUCCACUCUUGGUUAUUUCGUCCCUUUACUUGUGCAAGCUUAUUUGUGUUAUAUCCCUUGCUUGCUUGUGUGCUUGUUGUUGUUGCAUCAUAUAGGUUGCCCACCUAGUUACAUUUCUAUACAACCUACUUUGAUGCAAAGUUUAAUUUGGUAAAGAAAAGCUAAAAAUUGUUAGUUGCCUAUUCACCCCCCUCUAGUCAACUAUAUCGAUCCUUUCAACUGGGCACAAAGAUCCAGCAGGUAUCUACUGGCCUUUGGCCCGCCAGCGUUAGUUAUAUUUUGUCUUACAACAUCCGCAUGCAGUUUUUUUACUGAGUCAAACACACAGCCCAGUUCUAUUUUCCUCUUGAAACGCAUGUCCUACAUCCGUUUUCUAAUCUCUACCUAUAGUUUUACUAGUUCAUAUACACGUAUCAUUAUACUGAAAAUACAUAAAAUUCCCUUUUCAUAUUUACAUCCUUAUUUUUGUUGUUGUUUUCCCUCCCAGCGCUGAUUUUUUUACCACUGGUUUUCCCAUAAACCAACUCAAUUGUCCCACGUCUUAUUUGCUUACAAAAACAAUACGAUUUUUUUGGCAAAUCAAUAAGUUCUUAAAAAAAGAUUUUUCAUUUCGGGAUUACAAAGUUCAGACUCCACCAAAAUAUGCAAAAUAAGGUUGAACUUUUUGACCGUGGUCCUGGGGAGAAAAUGGGCUGUAAUAAAUUACUUAAGAAUUAGCAAAUGGGCUGCAAAUUAUUAAAAAAUAGCAAAUGGGCUCUAUGUUGUCUGCCACAGAUUUGGAGGCUGACUUGUGGGCCUACUAAGUUCAUGCGUACACAAGGUUUGUCAAAAAAGAAACUUAGUCAACAAUCGACUCUACCAGCGUCAGACCGUUAGAUGUCAAUCUAACGGCAAUCGUGCUUCUUUAGUCUCUGAUCUUCCUGCCCCAGCCGCCCAAACCAACGCCGUCGGAACCGCCUGCUCCCGCCUCCCGUCAUAUACUCGUAUCCCUGGCCUGUCUAUCCCUCUACUCACCCACACCUCCUGUUAGUUUCCGGUGACCGCAGCCGAACCAGUCAACCCUCGUACUCUCCACCGCGUGGGCAGCCACUGCCGUGUUUUCCCUGGCUCCGUGUCAUUCCCUUCGUAGGCCUCACCGUCGUCCACCGCCUUGGUGCUUUCCACGCGGUGUGGUCAACGAACGACAUCCAUCGGAAGUGGACUGUACGUGAAGAGGCUGACAGCUGGGUCCACGGCCGCACACAAGGAAAUGCUUCCUUAUUACGUGCAAAAUAAUGAUUCCUCCACCUGACAUCUAGGACCCGCCAGAAGGGCCUCUGUAUUUCGUGAAAAAAAAUGUUCCCUCCGCUGACAGGUCGGACCCACCAACUAUAUCUUUGCACGCAAGGAAGUGCCUCCUUAUUGCGCACAAAAAAAUGAAUACCCCGUGCCAGCUGGGACCCACCACAGUGGGAGGCUGACUUGUGGGCCUACUAAGUUGACGGGGACGGAGGGCUUUGUCAACUUAGUCAAUAUGAAUGAUUCUAGCUCUAGUGACCGUACGAUGUCCAUCCAACGGCCUUAGUGCUUCUUCAACCUCUGGUCUUCUUGCUCCAGCCGCCCAAAGCAGCGCCGGUCGUGCCGCCUGCUCCUGCCUCCCGUGGCCGGCUGUGCUGCCGCGGAGGCCUCACCGCCCCCAUACUACUCCCACCGCUGGCCAGGCCAUCCCUCCACUCACCCACACCCCCUGUUAUUCUGCGGCGACGACAGCCUCUCACCGCAGCCGAGCCACUGAACCCUCGUACUCCUCUCCGCGUCUUCCUCAGCUCUGCGUCAUCCCCUUCCUAGGCCUCGCCAUCGUCCACCGCCUUGGUGCUCUCGGCGCGGCGUGGUCAAUGUGGUCAACGACCGACUUCCAUCGGAAGAGUACUGUACGUGGAGAGGCUGACAGCUGGGUCCACGGCUACAACCCAGUUGUUUUGUGAUUUGCCAAGUAAGUCGCUUUGUCAGGCCUGUUGGCCUGCAAAUCUUUCAAGACGAGGAGAGCUUCAUUCGGCUGGCCGAGAAAAUGGCCUAUCAGUAAUGAGAAAUGGGAUGUACAUUUUUAAAACACAUCAAACCGGCAAUUAGUUUCAAAUUUCUUUUUUUCAUUUCAAGAUUUUAAAUUGCAUUGAUUUUUAUGCGUUUUCAAUUUGUUGGAUUUUAUAUUGAUAUACAUUUAUUUUUAAAAUCAGUUUGAAUGUGACUCAAAAUUUCAGGAUUAAAAACAGUUCGGACCGCACCGAAAUAUGCAAAAUUUCGUAUAAUUUUUUAACCGUGGCCACAAUAUGGGCUGUAAUGCUAACAAAAAGAAUAUGGGCUCCAAAAAAACCUUAAGAAUUAGCAAAUGGGCUGUAAAUUAUUAGAAAUAAUGGCAAAUGGGUUGUAUGAUGUUUUCCACAGAUUUGAGGCUUUCCUAAAAAAAGGUUGACGCACAAGAAGUGACUGUUGGAUGUCCAUCCAACGGCCGUCAUGCUUCUACAAUCUCUGCUCUUCCUGCUCCAGCCGCUCAAACAAGCGCCGGCGGGACUGCCUGCUCUCUCCUCCCCGCGGCCGGCUGUGCUGCCGCGCAGGCCUCACCGCCCCACCGUACUCCCAUCGCUGGCCUAGCCAUCCCUCUACUCACCCACACCUGCUGUUAUUCUCCAGCGACGGCAGACGAACCAGUAAACCCUCGUACAAUCGUACUCCCCUCAGUGUGGGAAACAACUGCCGAGUCUUCCCUGCCUCCGUGUUGUUCCCUUCCUAGGCCUCGCCGUCGUCCACCCCCUGGUGCUCUCGGCGCGGCCUGGUCAACAUGGUCAACGACCGACUUGCAUCUGAAGUGGACUAUACGUGGAGAGGCUGACAGCUGGGUUUACGGCCGCACGCAAGGAAAUGCCUCCUUAUUACGCACAAAAUAAUGAUUCCUCCACCUGAUAUCUGGGACCCACCGAAAGGGCCUCUGCAUUUCGCGAAAAAACCAUUACCGCCGCUGACAGCUUGGACCCACCAGCUAUAUCUUUGCACGCAAGGAAGUGCCUCCUUAUUACGCACAAAAAAAUGAAUACCCCCCUGCUAGCUGGGACCCAGUAUAGUGGCAGGCUGACUUGUGGGCCUACUAAGUUGACAGGGACGGAGGGCUUUGUCAACUUAGUCAAUAUGCACGAUUCUAGCUCCAGUGAUCGUACGAUAUCCAUCCAAUGGCUGUAGUGCUUCUUCAACCUCUGGUCUUCUUGCUCCAGCCGACCAAACCAGCGCCGGUCGUGCCUCGUGCUCCUGCAUCCUGUGGCCGGCUGCGAUGCGGCGGAGGCCUCACCGCCCCCUACUACUCCCACCGCUGGCCAGACCAUCCCUCUACUCACCCACACCCCCUGUUAUUCUACGGCGACGGAUCCCUCACACCGCAGCGAACUAGUGAACCCUCAUACUCCUCUACGCAUGGGCAUCCACUGCCACGUCUUCCACGGCUCCGCGUCGUCCCCUUCCUAGGCCUCGCCGUCGUCCAUCGCCCUGGUGCUCUUGGCGUGGCAUGGUCAACGUGGUCAUGGAACGGCUUCCAUCGGACGUGGACUGUACGUGGAGAGGCUGACAGUUGGGUCCGCCGCCGCAGCAAGGAAGUGCCUCCUUAUUACGCGCAAAAUAAUUAUUCCUCCACCUGACAGCGGGGACCCACCGGCGGGCCACCGUAUUUCGCAAAAAAAUGUUUCCCCUUGACUGCUGGGACCCACCAGCUACAUCUUCGCAUGCAAGGAAGUGCGUCCGGGCAAAAAAAAUGAUUCGCCCCCUGACUACUGGGACCCACCUGCUACAUCUUUGCAGGCAAGGAAGUGCCUGACAGUCGGGACCCAUCUAGUCGAAGCAUACGUAGCAUUGUCAUUCUGGUCGCGAACGUGUACGUACAUACUGGUCGAUGUAGAGGCGCACACGUGUCGUAGUAGAGGCGCGCACGUAGCAUAUACACGUACGUACAGCGGCCAAUGUGCAAGAAAGAAAAUACGGCCACGUACAUACAUACGGGCAGGGUCUCGAACACCUACUCGCGCAUACGUACGGCCAGGCUCGUGUACAUGGCUGGGUCGGAACAGAGAAACUGCGUCGUCAUCGUGUUCAUGGGGAGCCAACCGGCUGGGUCGGAACGGAAUGCAUUGUCGUGUUCAUCGGGAGGGCUUGGACGGAAUAGCCGAUGGAAACGAGGCCUGGCGUACCGCAGAACAGAGGAAACGGCCUUGUGUUCGACCGGCCACGGUCAAAACGGGAUCCUGUUCAUCGGGAGAGGUCUGGUGUACUGAAAAAUGGAGGAAACGGACCUCCUACGGUCAAAACGGGGUUCCUGUUGAUCGAGAGGGGUGUGGCGUACCGCAAAACGGAGGAAACGGACUUGUGUUGGAGCGCUACGAUCGAAACGGGGGUCCUGUUCAUCGGGAGGGGUGUGGCGUACCGCAAAAAAGGACUCCACGGGAUACUGUUCAUCUCCACCGUCGACCCCCUCUAGCCUCCACGGGCUACUGUUCAUCCACCGUCGACCUCCUCCAGCCUCCACCUGUGACUGUUCAUCCACGGGCUCCUGUUCAUCCAGCCUCCACCGCGCGCUACUCCACCGGCUACUGUUCAACCAGCCCUCUCCAUGGGCUCCUGUUCAACCACCCUCCACGGGAACUGUUCAUCCAGCCCUCCACCAUCUACUAUUCAUCCAGCCCUCCACGGGGUGGUCCUGUUCAUCCAGCCCUCCACGGGGUCCUGUUCAUCCAGCCCCAACCGGCUCGAUCGAUCGGGGUCAUGUUCAUCCAGAGGCAAGACCACGGGGUCCUGUUCAUCCACCCCCACCAGGAACUGUUCAUCNNNNNNNNNNNNNNNNNNNNNNNNNNNNNNNNNNNNNNNNNNNNNNNNNNNNNNNNNNNNNNNNNNNNNNNNNNNNNNNNNNNNNNNNNNNNNNNNNNNNNNNNNNNNNNNNNNNNNNNNNNNNNNNNNNNNNNNNNNNNNNNNNNNNNNNNNNNNNNNNNNNNNNNNNNNNNNNNNNNNNNNNNNNNNNNNNNNNNNNNNNNNNNNNNNNNNNNNNCCAGCAACGCUCGCUGUUCAUCCAGAGGCAAGAUCGAUCGGCUUCAGUUAGCAGCAGUAGCGAAGGAAUCGCUCGAUCGGGUUUAGUUAGCAGCCAUCAAUCGAUCGCUCGGGUUCAGUAACGCGUAGCCUGCAGUGCAAUCGCUCAGGUCCAGUUAGAGCCCAACGCCUCGCUCGGGUUCAGUUAGAGCCCAACGCCUCGCUCAGGUUUAGUUAGAGCCCAACGCCCCGCACCCACGCGCGUGCGUGUACGAGAGAAACGUGCAUCGCUCGGCCCCGACCACCCACCGUAACCGGGAACACCCUGAUAUUUUCCUCGCCCUCGCUUCUACCACGGUUUUUUCCGUCACGGACGGCCCAAAGAAUGUCAUGCAGCUGCGUCUCCGGCCCGCCCAGGACGAAAAGCCCAUUUUCUGUCAUGAUUUUUUGUCAUAGAAGUAGGACCCCACCACAUCUAUGAUGAUACCGGGUUUUGUCACAAUUAUCGUCAUAGAAGUGUCAUAAGUAUGACAGAAAAAAAUUCGUUCGGCCCAAAAUGUCACGGAUGUGUCUUUUUUUUGUAGUGUAAACGCGGAAAACAUGAGGAUGGCUGAGGAGCGGGCCGCUUUGGAUGCGCAGGCGCAGCGAAUUUAGUCGGAGUCGUACCGGCUCAUGCUAGAUCAGAACGCUUCAAAUGAUGUCAUGAGAAGGAGGUAUCAGAGUCGCUUACUGCCGGUUUACAAUGCAAGGAAUCUCUUUAACACGCCAGGAGCAGGAACUAGUAACCCACCAGCGGUAAACUGGGUUGAAGCGCCUGGGACGGGAGCGCCGGUUCAGCCACGCACCACGGUUCCGCCUCGACAGAACGAUGUCCCGCCACAACACGUGCCAACACCGCCGGGUCAUUAUUCUAACCCCUUGGAUAACAUGGUCGCCGCAACAUCACGAUUAGCGGCUAUCCCAGUUGAAGGCGAGUCUCCAGCAGCGGUCGAGACCCGGAGGGCUAGAGAUCUCCUUCAGACGGCUCUGGCUCAGCAGCAGGCUCAUUCUUACAGUCGUGAAAGGAUUCAUUCCACCCCUCGCCCAAGCCGGAGUUACAGCAGGAAUAUUGAUGAGCCGGCUGUGUCAAGCAGUGGGCGGAACCGUAACCCGCCUCAUGGACAUAACCCGGCGGGCAGUGUGCUGAUGCUCAGGGUGUAGUGGACCAAGGUAGAGCACGUCGAGAGGCCGAGCUGGAAGCAUAGUAUGCGGCCCGUCAACUUUCUCCGAUUCGUCCCACGACUUCGGUGGAGCCGGGUGUCAGUUUCAGGAGUUUGGGUGUGCCGUGUUUGGCUCCGGCUCUGUGUAAUGUACGGUUGCCCAAGGAUUUCAAAGGCCCCCGUAAGGUGCCCAACUACACUGCUGAUUUAUCCCCAGAAGCAUGGGUUGAGAGUUACGAGAUGGUGAUGGAACUGCAAGAUGUUGACGAUGCGGCAUGUGCUAAGUAUUUCACCAUGAUGUUGGAAGGGACGGCUCGUACUUGGUUGAAGGGGCUACCAACCAACUCCAUUGGGUCAUGGGCUGAGUUAAAAGCCCGGUUUAUCCAAAAUUUUAAAGAUAGAUGCAAGCACCCUAUGUCAAUUGUGGAUUUAGACUCCUGUGUCCAAGAAGAGGGUGAAUCAACAACCCAUUGGGUGCGUCGGGUCUCAACAAUUCUGCACUCAUCGGAUCGCAUCAAUGCCGAUUCAGCGCUUUUGACAUUGGACAACAAUUGCCGGUUCACGCCCCUAAAGCAGAAAUUGGGGCGGCUCAAAUGCCAGUGCAAUGACAUGGGGACACUCAUGGCGGCUCUGGUUAAAUAUGUUGACUCUGAUGCUACCAAGGACCCCGAGUCUGAUGAUGAUAAGCCGGGAAAGGGAAAGAAGAGCAGCAACACUAAGGGGCAGCAGCAUAACUCGGCGAGCCAAGGAGGCAACGGUAAGUGCAAGGCUGAUAAUAGCUUUGACUUUGUGGCUAACACCAAUACGCAGAAUAACGGUCCGCGUCGUAAGGGUAAACCGCCCCCGCAGAACGGAGGAUCAGGCAUCAACCUUGAGCAGUUGUUAAAUCAGCCAUGCCCAAAGCACGGGACGCGGGAAAGGCCAUCUAUGCACCUCUAGAAGGAUUGCUUCAUUAUGAAGGAGUUCAAGAAUUCAAACUUUUACCAGGGCGGUCAUGGACCAGGUGGCGGCUCAGGAUCCGGCUUUCAGGGACCGGGUUACGGCGGUGGCGGCUCUAACUCCGGGUUUCAGGGAAAUCAAUGCAAUCAUGGCAAUCAAGGUGGUUACAAUCAACAGAAUAACCAGGGGAAUCAACAGCAGCAGCAGUCUGGUUAUCAGAGCAACCCAAAACAGUUGAAUAGUGGGAAGUAUCAUGUUUUUACCACUAGCUUAUGUAAGCAUGAUCAGAAGCUUCAUAAGAGGGCAGUCAAUGCUGUUGAGCCGGCGGUUCCCCGUUACUUGCGCCGGUCUGAGCAGCCCAUCGUAUGGAGCCGGGAGGAUCACCCGCCCCGGGUUGACAAUCCGGGUCACUUGGCUCUGGUAGUUGCACCUCAGGUUGGAGGAUAUAAGUUCACCAAGGUACUCAUGGACGGAGGAAGCAGCAUCAACAUCCUUUAUUAUGAAACCUUCCGUCGCAUGGGGUUGACUGAUAAAAACCUUAAGCCAUCAAACACCAUUUUCAUGGCGUGGUGCCUGCUAAGUCGGCUUAUCCGGUUGGUAAGAUAGCUCUGGAGGUUGCUUUUGGAGAUGAUCAUGACUCUAGGUCGGAGACAUUGACUUUUGAAGUGGUCAAGAUCCAAAGCCUGUAUCACGCUCUUUUUGGACAGCCGGCUUACGCCAAGUUCAUGGCACGGCCUUGUUAUGUGUAUCUACAGCUUAAGAUGCCGGGUCACAAGGGAACUAUCACGGUGCAUGGGAGCCGCAGGAUAGCCUUGGAAUGUGAGGAAGGAGACACUGCUUAUGCUGAGUCUGCUUGUGCAACAGAGGAACUGAAAUUUUAUAAGGAUAAUGUUGACCCGGCGGACAUGACGUCUCUAAAGAAGCCGACUACAGAGCAAGAUCCUUCACUCAGAUUUAAGUCGGCAGAUGACACUAAGAUGGUUGACUUCAUUCCUGGCGAUUCAUCGAAGCAGUUCAGUAUCAGUGCCAACCUAGAUCCGAAAUAGGAAAGCGCGCUCAUCGAGUUCAUCCGUGAGAACUGGGACAUCUUUGCAUGGAAACCUUCAGACAUGUCGGUUGUACCGAGAGAACUCGCUGAGCACACUCUUAACAUUGAUCCAAAGUUUAAACCGAUCAAAUAGUUUCUUUGCCGAUUCAACGAGGAGAAGCGGAAGGCCAUUGGAGAGGAAGUGGCCCGGCUCUUGGCAGCUGGGUUUAUCGUUGAAGUUUUCCAUCCUGAAUGGUUGGCUAACCCGGUGCUGGUACUCAAGAAGAAUGGCACUUGGCGGAUGUGUGUGGAUUACACAGACUUGAACAAGGCUUGUCCGGCUGAUCCGUUUGCUCUCCCUCGUAUUGAUCAAAUCAUUGAUGCUACGGUGGGUUGUGAGCAUCUGAGUUUUUUGGAUGCUUAUUCUGGUUAUCAUCAGAUCAAGAUGGCAGUUAAGGACCAAGAAAAGACGGCUUUCAUUACUCCGUUUGGAGCCUUCUGCUAUGUGUCUAUGCCUUUUGGGCUCAAGAGUGCCCAGGCGACUUAUCAGCGAUGUGUGCAAAAUUGCCUUCACAAUCAGAUUGGGUGUAAUGUUCAUGCUUACGUCGAUGACAUUGUGGUGAAGUCAAGGAAGAAGGAGACCCUGAUUGAUGAUUUGAAGGAGACAUUUGAUAAUCUCUGGGUCUACAAGAUGAUGCUUAAUCCGGCUAAAUGUGUCUUUGGUGUACCUGGAGGCAAGCUCUUGGGGUUUUUGGUUUCUAACAGAGGCAUUGAAGCUAACCCGGAGAAAAUUAAGGCUAUCACUUCUUUGGCUAAGCCGGCGUGCAUUAAUGAUGUUCAGCGUUUGGCGGGUCGCAUUGCCGCUUUGAGCCGGUUCAUAAGCCGACUGGGUGAGAAGGCUAUCCCCCUCUAUCAAAUGAUGAAGAAAAUAGAUCAUUUUGUUUGGAGUGAUGCAGCUAACCAAGCAUUUGAGGAUUUGAAGAAACAGUUGGCUGAGCCGCCCGUGCUUGUUGCCCCUAUUGAUAAAGAGCCUCUGUUGUUAUACGUGGCUGCUAACAGUCGGGCUGUCAGUGUGGCUAUAGUGGUAGAGAGGAAGGAAGCAGGCAAGGAAUAUCUGGUUCAACGACCGGUUUAUUAUAUUAGUGAGGUGCUCAUUGAGUCCAAGCAGAGAUACCCACAUUGGCAGAAGCUUGUAUAUGGAGUUUUCAUGGCAAGCCGAAAGCUUAAGCAAUAUUUUCAGGGUCACCUCAUCAUUGUGGUUAGUUCUGCUCCUUUGGGGGAUAUCAUCCAAAACAGGGAAGCAACUGGCCAGGUUGCUAAGUGGGCCAUUGAGCUUGGGCCACACGGGCUAAAAUAUGUGCCUCGUACGGCUAUCAAGUCUCAAGCGCUUGUGGAUUUCAUCAAUGAUUGGACAGAGUCGCAGGCGCCAGUGGAAAAGCCGGACAGCACAUAUUGGACUAUUCACUUUGACGGGUCUAGGCAACUGGAGGGCUCGGGGGCUGGAGUUGUUUUGACUUCCCCACGAGGUGAUAAAUUUUCCUAUGUCCUCCGAUUAAUGUUCCCUUGGACUAAUAAUGCAGCUGAGUAUGAGGCCCUGCUCCAUAGUCUUCGGGUACCUAAGGAAAUGAAUUUAAGCCGGGUGAGAUGCUUUGGCGGUUCAGAUCUGGUGGCCCAGCAGGUCUCUGGUACUUGGGAUUCAAAGGAUCCGCUUAUGGCGGCUUAUCGUCGGGAGGUCGAUGCCAUUGCAGGUCACUUCAAGGGUUACCAGGUAGAACAUAUUGAUCGAAGGAAGAAUGAGGUGGCUGAUAAUUUAAGCCGGCUAGGUUCUCAACGUAAGCCGGUACCACCAAACACGUUCCUGGAUGUUCUACUCAAUCCUUCGGUCAAGUUGCCUACGGAGGAGGACCUUGCUAUUCCUGACCCAGAGGCAUAGUUGGUGGCGGCUCUUCAUGUUAUUCCUGAUUGGACAGUGCCCUAUUUGGCUUACAUGACCCGGGGUGAGUUACCUGAGGAUAAAAUUUUGGCCACGCAGAUAACCCGACGAUCUAAGUCAAUGACAAUAGUCAAUGGGGAGCUGCACCAUUGCUGUGUUACAGGGGCGUUUCAACGAUGCGUCUCUUCUGAAGAAGGUUGUGAGAUUUUGCGUGAGAUCCACGAAGGAGAUUGUGGUCAUCAUGCCGACUCUAAAUCUCUGGUGGCCAAGGCUUUUCAUCACGGCUUCUAUUGGCUGACGGCUCAUGCUGAUGCUGAGGACUUGGUCAAGAAAUGUGACGGUUGUCAGAAGUUUUCACGACGAGCUCAUGUUCCGGCUCAGGAAUUGAGGAUGAUUCCAAUCACUUGGCCGUUUGCAACUUCGGGGCUUGACAUGGUUGGACCUUUCAAGAGGUCCAAGGAUAAGAAGACCCACCUCUUGGUGGUGGUUGAUAAAUUCACGAAGUGGGUCGAGGCAGAGCCGGUGAGCAUGUGUGAUGCGGCCACGGCGGUUCAAUUCAUGAAGAAGGUGAUCUUCCACUUUGGUUUUCCACACAACAUUAUAACAGAUAAUGGCACUAAUCUCUCCAAGGGUGCUAUGAAGGAUUUUUGUCAACGUGAGCACAUCCGACUUGAUGUGUCGUCAGUGGCUCACCCUCAAUCUAAUGGUCAAGCUGAGAGAGCUAAUCAAGAGAUACUGAGAGGCAUCAAGCCCCGGCUUAUGGUUCCUUUGCAGAGGACGCCGGGUUGUUGGGUGGAAGAGUUACCUUCCGUCUUGUGGAGCAUUAAUACUAUCCCCAAGAGGUCUACGGGUUACACGCCUUUCUUCAUGGUUUACGGAGCAGAGGCGGUUCUCCCUAGUGACAUCCGUCACGACUCUCCUCGUGUGGCGGCUUAUGUUGAAGCGGACAAUGAACAAGCGCGUCAAGAGGCGCCAGACCUGUUAGAUGAGAAGCGGGACAUAGCGGCGGCUCGUUCGGUGACUUACCAGCAAGAUCUGCGUCGUUACCACAACCGCCGGGUUAAAACCAGAACUUUCCAAGAAGGCGAUCUAGUGCUUCGGCUCAUCCAGGACCAGACUGAUAUGCACAAGUUAUCCCCACCUUGGGAAGGACCCUUUGUGGUCAACAAGAAUAUGAACAACGGGUCAUACUACCUUAUCGAUGUUCGAGAUCACAAAGACUCACGUAAAUCGGAGGAGGAGACCCACAGGCCGUGGAAUAUUGCUCACCUUCGGCCUUAUUACACUUGGGCCAUCGGCUCUUCUGAUGUACAUAUUAUAAUGUAUAUAUUAUGAUCAAUAUAAUAAAGUCGGCAUGCCUGUCAAAGCAGGGCCUCUGUCAUUUUCUCUUUGAAUCAUGAGUUUUUGGUCACUUGGGGGCUUGCUACCCAGAUUAAAGGGACCAAAGAGAGUCCGUUGCCAAAGCACAACUCAAACAUAGGUUCCCAUUGAGCAUAGCUCAGAAAUAUUGCUUGGGGGCUCUUUUGUUUAAAGAACAAGAGUUGCUAUAACCCUUGUAAUAGGAUUAAAAUCCAGGCUUGGAAGCCAGGUGUAUUCACCUAAAACCCCGGGUUAUCCUGCCUGUGUGCCAGAUGCUUCUCCAUCAGGUAAUCCUGAUUGACCCGGCGAACUCUUAACAGUCAAUCUUUUCAACAAGACCCUAAACUGGUUAAGGUUAAAACGCCGGUCUGUCAUGAGAGGGCACGGCUUACAGAUAGCAAGGAGAAGCUCAGGCUGAUAAAGCCGCCUUCCUUGAAACUUGGAUAAAUCGGCCUGUGAUGCACGAUGCUGCUAUAACCCCGCGUACUCCUGAUAAGUCUAUCUUUAAAUAAGAACUGAACUUAUCCGGGUUAAAAUGUCGAUUGGGUAAAUGAGGGACGGCUCACAGAAAGCGCGUACCUUCGAGUGGCUAAUGCUAGUUUCAUUGAAGAAGAAAAUUUUGGCUUGGCGGCCUAUGAAAGCCUCGAAAUUUUUCUGUUGAUUUGAUUUGACAGUCUUUUUUGCGUUUUCUCUUAUGACAUCGUCAUUUAUGGUUGAAAACCAGUAAGGCUUAUAAUGCCUUCUGAAUCAUAUAUCACAAUAUGCUGGUGUUUAUUAACCCGGCCUGGCUUUUGACUAUAAAUCGCCAGCAUGACAUAAAAUAGUGUCCGGUGUUGAUCGACCCGGCCUGGCUAUAUUCAUAAGUCGGAAACGUAUGAUAAUUCUUCAUGAUCAAGUUUUGGGUUAUGGCCCUUAUUCUACUGGUUUGGUAAACCACCACUGUGAUCAAAUAUCACAGGUAUGACAUAUUUUAUUAUACGUACGCCAGUCCUGAUUAUAGGAGUGUUUAUGUAUUGGGUAUUAUGACCCGUCCUGCGGUAAACUGUGGGACACUUGUGAUCUGUUUUUGCAUACAGGAACAGAUUCAAAGGCUGCUAUCAUAAACAUCAGUGGCAGAUAUUCAAUUGUCAGUCUCAUGCAAAGCGGAACGUGCACGAUGGCACAGCGGAUUCAAAGUUUUACUACUCUAUUACAAGCCUCCAUGGGCUAAACAAAGGCCAAAGCUUUUCCAAAAGCUCAAGUUUAAAGCCGCCUGGCGGUUCAUUCUUCUUGGCCUUGCCGCUCGGAGUCUUCUGCGUCAUCCCUUGUCGUCUCUUCGUCUUCUUCCUCUGGCUGAAAAGUGGUGAUGACCAAUCGAUGCCAGAUAAAGCUUCAAAUUCAGCUUCAUCAUCUAUAAGCUCAGACGGAUUGACUUCAGGAGCAAAGGUGUGCUUACGGAUUGGCAGGAUUAAGUCCAUCACUUUAUAAGCCGGAGUUGGCAUCUUCUUAUUCUCUUGGUCAUAAGCCGGAUGAUACUUGGAGAGGUCCGAGUCAUUGGCAAUAAGAGUGGCCAUUGGACGGAUUUCCUUUACGCAGGCUGAGAAGUCUUUCUGAUCAAAAGGCGUUCCAUCUUCUUUCAAGCUUGGGUAACCAGUAGCUACCUCAGGCAGGUCAAGCUUUGGUACCCACGCCUUGGAUCGGCUUAAAGCCGUCACAACGCCGGCUCUGGCAGCUGAUCGCUUUAUCUCUUCAAGUCUUACAGGAAGCACAGAGAGUUUCUUCAAAACAUCUAUCAACAAAGUUGGUACUUAACCUGCUGGUGAAAUAGAGGCUAAAGUGCGUUGAGUCCCGGUGUACAGCUGCUCAACAAGUGUGUAUACAGCUUUCAUCUUUAUCAGCAUGUCUUGAUUGAGAUUGCUGCUUCUGGGACCUGAAGAUAUUGCAGAAUGCUUAAAAUUGCGGGUUAUAUGAUCAAAAUAAUGAUUCACUUCAGAUGCUUGAUAAAGGCGACUUACCAAAGAUAGCUGAAACCAUCUGAUUCACACGGUUUUUUAAACCGGAAAGCUCAGUGGUUACUUCUUGAAGCACUGCCUCGGCCUUCUCAGCACGUUGGGUCAAAGCCGCCUUUUCAUCCGCCCAAGUCUUUUUCUCUGCUUCAUAGCCGGUCUUCAGUUUUUCCGUCUCAGGCACGCUAAAUUGGAAUUUCGACUCAGCCUUUCGGGUUUCAGUUUCCUGAGUCGCCAGCCGGGUCUUGGCAUCAUUUAAUUGAGAUUCCAGUUCAGCAGUGGCAUCCUGCAUAAGGAGCAGAGUUGUCAAAUAUCAAGUUUAUCAGAUUACAAGUCCCAAGUCUUUUGCCAGCAACAACACUUGACACUUGGGGGCUAAUGUCUAUCGAAGCAAAUUUUUCAAAACAGCAGCUCUAAUAAAGUCCCAAGUACUUUCCAAUAAGACUACUUGGCACUUGGGGGCUAAUGCAUACCGUUUGUUUUUUUCUUCAUUAUGAGCCGGAAGUGAUGUAACUGUUCCAACCGACUCAUGGGGGCAAUGCAGUCAAGAUUUUUCUUCUUAUACAAACACAAUUUAGGACCGGCUCCUUCCCAUGGAUUAAGCCGGCCCUUGGGGGCUAAGGACAGAAAGCUCAACUUGUACAAACAUCCGGUUUACAUUUAAACCGGACAAGGAGAGAUUCUAGGACGGAAGUUAUGGAUUUUUCUAAAAGUCUACAACCUAUUCAAUAUUAUCAUAGCCAGCAGACUUGGGGGCUGGCAGGAUAUGUAGACAAAUUACUUAAAAGCUGGAAGUCAUACCUCAUAUUUUUGGUGCAUCUGCUUCAUGAUGUCUACUACACAACCUUCUUCUUGUAGACGUUGUCGGGCCUCCAAGUGCAGAGGUUUGUAGGACAGUAGCAAAUUUCCCUCAAGUGGAUGACCUAAGGUUUAUCAAUCCGUGGGAGGCGUAGGAUGAAGAUGGUCUCUCUCAAACAACCCUGCAACCAAAUAACAAAGAGUCUCUUAUGUCCCCAACACACCCAAUACAAUGGUAAAUUGUAUAGGUGCACUAGUUCGGCGAAGAGAUGGUGAUACAAGUGCAAUAUGGAUGGUAGAUAUAGGUUUUUGUAAUCUGAAAAUAUAAAAACAGCAAGGUAACUAAUGAUAAAAGUGAGAGUAAAUGGUAUUGCAAUGCUAGGAAACAAGGCCUAGAGUUCAUGCUUUCACUAGUGCAAGUUCUCUCAACAAUAAUAACAUAAUUGGAUCAUAUAACUAUCCCUCAACAUGCAACAAAGAGUCACUCCAAAGUCACUAAUAGCGGAGAACAAACGAAGAGAUUAUGGUAGGGUACGAAACCACCUCAAAGUUAUUCUUUCGGAUCAAUCUAUUCAAGAGUUCGUACUAGAAUAACACCUUAAGACACAAAUCAACCAAAACCAUAAUGUCACCUAGAUACUCCAAUGUCACCUCAAGUAUCCGUGGGUAUGAUUAUACGAUAUGCAUCACACAAUCUCAGUUUCAUCUAUUCAAACCAACACAAAGUGCUUCAAAGAGUGCCCCAAAGUUUCUACCGGAGAGUCAAGACGAAAACGUGUGCCAACCCCUAUGCAUAGGUUCAUGGGCGGAACCCGCAAGUUGAUCACCAAAACAUACAUCAAGUGAAUCAAUAGAAUACCCCAUUUUCACCAUGGGUAUCCCAUGCAAGACAUACAUCAAGUGUUCUCAAAUCAUUAAAGACUCAAUCCGAUAAGAUAACUUCAAAGGGAAAACUCAAUCCAUUACAAGAGAGUAGAGGGGGAGAAACAUCAUAAGAUCCAACUAUAAUAGCAAAGCUCGCGAUACAUCAAGAUCGUAUCAUCUCAAGAACACGAGAGAGAUAGAUCAAAUACAUAGCUACUGGUACAUACCCUCAGCCCCGAGGGUGAACUACUCCCUCCUCGUCAUGGAGAGCGCCGGGAUGAUGAAGAUGGCCACCGGCGAGGGUUCCCCCCUCUGGCAGGGUGCGGGAACAGGUUCCCGAUUGGUUUUUGGUGGCUACAGAGGCUUGCGGUGGAACUCCUGAUCUAUUCUGUUCCCCGAUCAUUUUAGGGUAUAUGGAUAUAUAUAGGCGGAAGAAAUACGUCAGGGGAGCCACGAGGGGCCCAUGAGGGUGGAGGGCGCGCCCAGGGGGGUGGGCGCGCCCCCUUGCCUCGUGCCUCCCUCGUUGCUUUCCUGACGUGCACUCCAAAUCUCCCGGGCUGCUUUCCUUCCAAAAAUAACUUCUCUAGAAGGUUUCAUUCUGUUUCGACUCCGUUUGAUAUUCCUUUUCUUCGAAACACUGAAACAAGGGAAAAAACAGGAACUGGCACUGGGCUCUGGGUUAAUAGGUUAGUCCCAAAAGUAAUAUAAAAGUGUUUAAUAAAGCCCAUAAACAUCCUAAACAGAUAAUAUAGUAGCAUGAAUACUUCAUAAAUUAUAGAUACGUUGGAGACGUAUCAGCAUCCCCAAGCUUAAUUCCUGCUCAUCCUCGAGUAGGUAAAUGAUAAAAGAAAUAAUUUAUGAAGUGUGAAUGCUAGCAGGUGCAUAAGUUUGAUCAAUGAUAAUUUCAAUCACCUUUUCUAGCAUCAUUAUAUGUCAUAACAGUAGCUCAACUCAUAAAACUUUUCAUGAUCAAGUAACAAGCUAUUCACAUGUUAAAGCAUAGAUCAUAAACUUUCUUGAAAACUAACAAACUAUGUUCUCAGUCAUCAAACAAUUGCACUUCAUCGUAUUUUCAGGAAGGAUCUAUGUAAGAGCUUUGAUUUAGCAAAUCCCACAUACUCAACUAUCAUAUAGUCUUCCAUGAUUGCUACCACUCAAAGCAUAUUUUUAGAACAAAUAGCAUCCAUCGAACACAGAGAAAGAUAGGGGCUUAAUGUUUCGCCUCCCAACUUAUUUAUCAUAUAGAUAAUUGUCAACAAUAAUAAUUCAUGAUCAAAUAUAUUUGAAUGGCCAUAUAUGCUUAGAUCUUUCCAUCACAUGAUGCUUGCCAACUAAAGAGUAGGUCGGAAUGAGAAGGAAUACUACUGACUCUUGCAUAAAAGUAAAAGAUAGGCCCUUCGCAGAGGGAAGCAGGGAUUUACAGAGGUGCCAGAGCUCGAAGCUAAAACAGAGAUGAAAAUAAUUUUGAGAGGUAUGCUUUCAUUGUCAACAUAACGACCAAGAGUUCCCAAUAUCUUCCAUACUACAUACAUUAUAGGCGGUUCCCAGACAGAAAGGUAAAGAUUUUUAUUCCCCCUCCACCAACAAUCAUCAAUCCAUGGCUUGCCCGAAACAACGGGUGCCUCCACCUAACACCAAACCUGGGGGAGUUUUGUUUGCAAUUAUUUUUGAUUUGAAUUCGAUCUUUUGAUCAUGGGACUGGGCAUCCCAGUUACCAUCCAUUUUCUCGUGAAUAAUGAGCGGAGUCCACUCAUCGUGAGAAUAACCCACCUAGCAUGGAGAUACUGCUAGCCCCUAGUCGCUACAUGAGCGAUUCGGGCAUACAAAACAGAUUAUUAUUUGAAGGUUUAGAGUUUGGCACAUGCAAAUUUACUUUGAACGGCAGGUAAAUACCGCAUAUAGGUAGAUAUGGUGGACACUCAUGGAAGAAACUUGGUUCAAGGAAUUUGGAUGCACAAGCAGUAUUCCCGCUUAGUACAGAUAUUUUGGCUAGCAAAGGAUUCUAAAUAGCAAGCACCACAUGUUAGAGGAUCCAUAACAAUAUAACUUCUAUACAAAUAUACCCAAGCAUAACUCAUUAUGUUGUCUUCCUUGUCCAACUUCAACUAAUUUGCUCAGGUUUGAAAAUAAUUAAUGGGGCUCACAAUCAUAGAAGAUUUCCAAGAUAGUAUAUUUAUAUGUGAAAUCUCUCUUCCUUCAAUAUUCUUUCAUGAAUUGUUCAAGUGACCAAUACAACGUUGCUAACCUACAAAAAAUUUACCACCUCUACUUCUUAUAUGUGAAGGUAUUACUCCCCAUGGGAAAGGCAUAUGAAACAUAUAUAAUUUCAGAUUUAUGACAUUCAAAUCCUUCAACCAUUUACUCAUAAUAUAUAAGUGAAGCACAUGAGCAAACAACAAACUACUACGAAAGAUAUAAGUAAAGAUCAAUGAGUAGUCGAAUAAUUAUGUAACUAUGUGAAGACUCUCUAACAUUUAAGACUUUCAGAUCGUGGUAUUUUAUUCAAACAGCAAGCAAAGCUAAAGAAAAUAAAAUUACGCUCCAAGCAAAACACAUAUCAUGUGGUGAAUAAAAAUAUAGCUCCAAGUAAGUUACCGAUGGAAGUAGACGAAAGAGGGGAUGCCUUCCGGGGCAUCCCCAAGCUUUGGAUUUUUGGUGUCCUUAGAUUAUCUUGGGGUGCCUUGGGCAUCCCCAAGCUUAGGCUCUUGCCACUCCUUGUUCCAUAAUCCAUCAAAUCUUUUACCCAAAACUUGAAAACUUCACAACACAAAACUUAACAGAAAAUCUCGUGAGCUCCGUUAGCGAAAGAAAACAAAACACCACUUCAAGGUACUGUAAUGAAAUCAUUCUUUAUUUAUAAUGGUGUUAAACCUACUGUAUCCCAACUUCUCUAUGGUUUAUAAACUAUUUUACUAGCCAUAGAUUCAUCAAAAUAAGCAAGCAACACAACGAAAACAGAAUCUGUCAAAAACAGAACAGUCUGUAGUAAUCUGUAUCAAACGUAUACUUCUGGAACUCCAAAAAUUCUAAAAUAAAUUGGUGGACCUGAGUAAUUUAUCUAGUAAUCAUCUGAAAAAAGAAUCAACUAAAUAGAACUCUCCAGUAAAAAGUUGAAGCUAAUCUCGUGAGCGCUAAAGUUUCUGUUUUUUACUGCAUGAUCAUAAAGACUUCACCCAAGUCUUCCCAAAGGUUCUACUUGGCACAAACACUAAUUAAAACAUAAAACCACAUCUAACCAGAGGCUAGAUGGAUUAUUUAUUAAUAAACAGAACCAAAAAUCAAGAAACUAAAAUAAAAUUGGGUUGCCUCCUAACAAGCGCUAUCGUUUAACGCCCCUAGCUAGGCAUGAUGAUUUCAAUGAUGCUCACAUAAAAGAUAAGAAUUGGAACAUAAAAGAGCAUCAUGAAGAAUAUGACUAGCACAUUUAAGUCUAACCCACUUCCUAUGCAUAGGGAUUUUGUGAUCAAACAAUUUAUGGGAACAAUAAUCAACUAGCAUAGGAAAGCAAAACAAGCAUAACUUCAAAACUUCAAGCACAUAGAGAGGAAACUUGAUAUUAUUGCAAUUCCUACAAGCGUAUAUUCCUCCCUAAUAAUAAUUUUCAGUAGCAUCAUGAAUGAAUUCAACAAUAUAACCAGCACCUAAAGCAUUCUUUUCAUGAUCUACAAGCAUAGAAAAUUUACUACUCUCCACACAAGCAAAAUUCUUCUCAUUCGGAAUAGUGGGAGUAUCAUAAGAGACUUGAAUACUAUAAAUUGUUUCCACAUUAAAAGAGUAAUGUUCAGAAAAAGGGUAAUCAUAAUCAUGACAAGUUUUAUAAAUAUAAUCAUCACUACUUCUUACAGCAUAAGUUUCAUCACAAUAAUCAUCAUAAGUAGCAACUUUGUUCUCAUCAUAAUCGAUUGAAACCUCUUCUGAAAUAGUGGAUACAUCACUAAAUAAAGUCAUGACCUCUCCAAAUCCACUUUCAUAAAUAUUAUAAGAUUCAACAUCCUCCAAAAUAGUGGGAUCAUUACUUCCUAAAGUUGACACUCUUCCAAACCCACUUUCAUCAAUAUAAUCAUCAUAAGUAGGAGGCAUGCUAUCAUCAUUAUAAAUUUGCAUAUCAAAACUUGGGAGACUAAUAAUAUCAUCUUCAUUAAACGUAGCAUUCCCAAGCUUGGGACAAACAUUAAUUGCAGCAAAUAUAUUCUCAAAAACAUCAUCUUCAUCAAACAUAGCAUCCCCAAGCUUGGGCCUUUUCAUAUCAUAAGCAUAAUCACUCUCAUCAUUAAUAGUAUGGAUAGCACCAAUAGUAUAGCAAUUAUCAUAUUCUUCCAAGCAAGUGCCAAAAAGAUUUUCAAGAUCAUAAGAAGUAUCAUUAUCUUCCCAAUCAUACUCAUCACAACAAGCAAUAGGCAUAACGAGAUCAUCAUCAAGUGCAUCAUCUUCCACAAUUAUUUUUGAUUCAUUUUCAUGAGGCACAACAAUAAUAGGAGCAACAUUAUUUGGGAGAGAUAUCUUUUUACCUCUCUUCCUUUUCCUUUUGUUCUUCUUCACCACAUCAUGUGUGGGUUCAAUCCUUUUUUUGAAGCUCCUUAUUAAUGAAAUUGGUUGAAUAGAAGGCUCCUCCUCGUUACCUGAUUCAUCAUAAGAAAUAAUAGGAGGAUAUUGGGAAGUCUCUUCCCCUUCAUUAGUAUUCUCUUCAUCUUCUAUUAGUUUUCUUUUCUUUAUGUAAUUGUCAAUAUAAGGAUAGUUAAAUGACCACGUUCAUUGCAAAGUUCACAAGUAUGGCCAAGAAAAUUUAAAUUUUCAGCACAAACAUCUAGCCUUUCUUGCAACAAUUUAGUUUCUAAAUUCUUAUGCCUCAUGCAAUAUCUAUCUUCCCUAUUUGGUGUGUAUUUGCAAACCCAAUGCACUCCACAAAAAUUGACAUGUUUAUAGGAGACAUUUUCAUCAUGACUAGUGCAAUCAUCAUUAGUACCAUGGAUAUUCAAAGAGUUCAUACUAAAAACAUUGCAAUCAUGCUCAUCAUUCAAAGAUUUGGUGCCAAACAUUUUAAUGCAUUCUUCUUCUAACACUUUGGCACAAUUUUCCUUUCCAUCAUACUCAUGAAAGAUAUUAAAAAGAUGAAGCAUAUGAGGUACCCUCAAUUCCAUUUUUUGUAUUUUUCUUUUAUAAACUAAACUAGUGAUAAAACAAGAAACUAAAAGAUUCGAUUGCAAGAUCUAAAGAUAUACCUUCAAGCACUCACCUCCCCGGCAACGGCGCCAGAAAAGAGCUUAGUUGACGGGGUGUGAGUGCCGCUUACCUAGCCUCCCCGGCAACGACGCCAGAAAAGAGCUUGAUGUCUACUACACAACCUUCUUCUUGUAGACGUUGUUGGGCCUCCAAGUGCAGAGGUUUGUAGGACAGUAGCAAAUUUCCCUCAAGUGGAUGACCUAAGGUUUAUCAAUCCGUGGGAGGCAUAGGAUGAAGACGGUCUCUCUCAAACAACCCUGCAACCAAAUAACAAAGAGUCUCUUGUGUCCCCAACACACCCAAUACAAUGGUAAAUUGUAUAGGUGCACUAGUUCGGCGAAGAGAUGGUGAUACAAGUGCAAUAUGGAUGGUAGAUAUAGGUUUUUAUAAUCUGAAAAUAUAAAAACAGCAGGGUAACUAAUGAUAAAGUGAGCGUAAAUGGUAUUGCAAUGCUAGGAAACAAGGCCUACGGUUCAUACUUUCACUAGUGCAAGUUCUCUCAACAAUAAUAACAUAAUUGGAUCAUAUAACUAUCCCUCAACAUGCAACAAAGAGUCACUCCAAAGUCACUAAUAGCGGAGAACAAACGAAGAGAUUAUGGUAGGGUACGAAACCACCUCAAAGUUAUUCUUUCGGAUCAAUCUAUUCAAGAGUUCGUACUAGAAUAGCACCUUAAGACACAAAUCAACCAAAACCCUAAUGUCACCUAGAUACUCCAAUGUCACCUCAAGUAUCCGUGGGUAUGAUUAUACGAUAUGCAUCACACAAUCUCAGAUUCAUCUAUUCAAACCAACACAAAGUACUUCAAAGAGUGCCCCAAAGUUUCUACCGGAGAGUCAAGAGGAAAAUGUGUGCCAACCCCUAUGCAUAGGUUCAUGGGCGGAACCCGCAAGUUGAUUACCAAAACAUACAUCAAGUGAAUCAAUAGAAUACCCCAUUGUCACCACGGGUAUCCCACGCGAGACAUACAUCAAGUGUUCUCAAAUCAUUAAAGACUCAGUCCGAUAAGAUAACUUCAAAGGGAAAACUCAAUCCAUUACAAGAGAGUAGAGGGGGAGAAACAUCAUAAGAUCCAACUAUAAUAGCAAAGCUCGCGAUACAUCAAGAUCGUAUCAUCUCAAGAACACGAGAGAGAUAGAUCAAACACAUAGCUACUGGUACAUACCCUCGGCCCCGAGGGUGAACUACUCCCUCCUCGUCAUGGAGAGCGCCGGGAUGAUGAAGAUGGCCACCGGUGAGGGUUCCCCCCUCUGGCAGGGUGCCGGAACAGGGUCCCGAUUGGUUUUUGGUGGCUACAGAGGCUUGCGGCGGCAGAACUCCCGAUCUAUUCUGUUCCCCGAUCGUUUUAGGGUAUAUGGAUAUAUAUAGGCGGAAGAAAUACAUCAGGGGAGCCACGAGGGGCCCACAAGGGUGGAGGGCGCUCCCAAGGGGGGUGGGCGCGCCCCCUGCCUCGUGCCUCCCUCGUUGCUUUCCUGACUUGCACUCCAAGUCUCCCGGGUUGCUUUCCUUCCAAAAAUAACUUCUCCAGAAGGUUUCAUUCUGCUUCGACUCCGUUUGAUAUUCCUUUUCUUCGAAACACUGAAACAAGGGAAAAAACAGGAACUGGCACUAGGCUCUGGGUUAAUAGGUUAGUCCCAAAAGUAAUAUAAAAGUGUUUAAUAAAGCCCAUAAACAUCCUAAACAAAUAAUAUAAUAGCAUGAAUACUUCAUAAAUUAUAGAUACGUUGGAGACGUAUCACUUCGCCAUAUCAAUUUCGAGGUCACGGCUGGAGUGGACCUGGCUGAGUAGCCGGAGAGGAUCUCAUUGCUGCUCAGUUGUGAGUAAUGAGAAAUGUCAAACUUAUGUUUCCGCCUCUCAAUAACUUCUUGUUUGGCAGUAUGUUUGGCUAGAGCUAUUUGAUUUCCCGGCUCUACAAAGCUGGUGCCAGUAAUCAACACAUCAUCAUCUUUAGGCUCUGACGGCUUAGGCGAUGUGGCAAAAGUUGAAGGAUUAAUUGUAGCACCAUCAACAAUGGGAACUAGAACUUCAAGCGGAGUGACAGUAACAGGUUCAUCCGGUUGCUUGUCAGAAGCUUCAGGAACGGAGACUUGUGGGUCCGGCUCAACAAUUUCAGGCGCCUUAGUUGGCUUGGUCACCUUUGCCUUUUUGUUAGGCUUUGCUUGUCCACUACAUGGAUUAUGACAAGUUAGUAUAAUUAUCAGAACAUAGUAAGAUGCAGCAAAAAGAAGUGAUUAUUGUUACCCGGGGGCAGUCUUGAAAGCCGGUAGCUCGGUUUGAGAUGAGUCGCCAGAGGAGGAACGGGUAAGUUCCUGGUCAAUUGAAUCAACAACAUUAGAAAAAAGAUGAAUAAGACCUACAAAUGAAAAGGAAAGGGGUUUAAGUUAAAAGGCGCCUCAUUUCGACGUUUCCGAGGAGCAGGGGCAUUCGGUAAGCCAGAGGAUAAUUCUUCACCCUUACUGGUCCGGGUCUGACGACGACUCUCAUGUUGCUGUUGCUUCAAAAGAAAGUGAGGAUCUAAAUAAGCUAGGGGAUGUGAAAACCUUACUUUCCGGGUUACUUGUCAGAGUUUCUGUCUCGGCAAAGAGUCUGUGCCGGAGGAAAUAAUAGUUACCUCUUCUUCAAUUGCUUGGCUGGCUCCCGUGUCAUCCUGAGAGUAAUCAAUGUCAAUAAGAUAAUUGAAAAAAGAGCCAAGGGAGUCAAGGGCUACCUCUGACUCAGAGGUAUCAUCCAGCUUGAGCAGGUCAGAGGCGCUUGGUUUCUUCUUCUUCUUGGUGGUCCUCUUGACGGCUUCCCUAGCAGCUUUCUUGGCAGCCCUGGCUUUUUUAGCAGCCUCGUGAUCAUAUUCCACUUCCCAGAAUUCUGAAUUAGCCUGCAAAAGAUGCCAAAGGUUGAGUUAAUAAGAUAUUUAAAUAAUGAGGUGAAGAUAAGUGAAGUUCAGAGGAUUACAUCUGGCGGCGGAUUAAGCUUGCAGAAAGGGGCCAGACCCACAUUGACACAGUCUUCCGGGUCUUCGUUCAGGAGAGACUUAACCAUUUCAUUGAUGGCUUCAUCAGUUAAUGGUGCGGAGCUAUGGCGCAAGGAAUCUUCUACAUCACCAGUAUAAGUGUGCAUUAAGCCGGUGCGGCGGCUUAAAGGUAUGAUGCGCCAAGAUACCCAGUACUGACCAGAUCAAUGCCAGUUAGCCCAUUUCCUAGCAGGGCUUUGACCUUCACAAUGAUAGGAGCAAUUUUCUUCCGUUCAGCAGCAGUAAGUUUUUCAGGAAGGUUAUGUUUUGGAUACAGGCGUUCAACAUGAUAACCCGGCACUGGAUUCUCGUCAGCUGGAGAAGUAUCUUUGCAAUAAAACCAUGUCUGGUUCCAAUCUUUUGGGUGACUCGGCAAGCAAGCAUAAGGAAAGAUGGCGUCUCUUCUGCGUUGAAUUGAUAUCCCACCAAGCUCCAAGCUGGGGCCGUUUGUGAAUUCAGUCUGGCAGUUCAAGUAAAAAUAUUCUCUGAAGAGGUCAACACUGGGCUCCUCUUGGAGGUAUACUUCACAAAAUACUUGAAAGUUGUACAUAUUUGACACGGAAUUAGGUCCGAUGUCUUGAGGGUGGAGCUGAAAAAAGUGCAGAAUGUCUCGGAAGAAUUUAGAGCCGGGCGGUGAGAAGCCCCGGUUCAUAUGAUCAGUGAAAAUGAUGACUUCGCCGUCUUUCGGUUGGGGUUUUUCUUCGCCCAGGUCAGGAGCACGGUAAUGCAUCACAUUCUUGGUGGGUAGAUACCCGACUUUAACAAAAUCUUUGAGAGUGCCUUCGGCGACGAUGGAAGGGACCCAAUUGCAUGUGUACACUGUUUUGGGCGGCAUUGUGAAAGAAAGCCUAAGGGAAAGAAAAAUGGGACAAUUGCAUUUUUACCCCUAGUUGGUUCCUACCCACGGGUUUUGCCCUUACUUUUCGAGCUUGCUCAGUUUUGCCCUUACUUUUUCCGUCGUGGUCCCCCGAAUGCCCUUUGACCGUUGGACCAAAACUUUGAAAAUUCAAAACUAAUUCAUAUGAACUCAGAAAAAUGCAAAUAAGAUAUGAAAAUGUUCAGAUAAACAUUACCUUUAUGUGCAUAUCAUUUGCAUUCAGGACAAAAGCACCCUUUAAACGACCUGAGGUAAUUAAUGGUAUUAACAUUAUUAAAAAUAAAAAGGUAUACACAAUAUUUUUUUCAUGAAUAAAAAUUACAUGCAAAUGUAGGUGAUGUUUUCUAAACAUCCAGAUAUCUUAUUUGCAUUUUUCUGAGUUUGUAUCAUCUUGUUAUGAAUGUUCUAACGACUUGGAUCAUUAUUUGGAAACUUCAUAAAAAAUGGAUACGAACUCAGCAAAAUGCAAAAAAGAUAUCAGGAUGUUAAGGAAACAUCACCUACAUUUGCAUGUAAUUUUUAUUCAUGAAAAAAUAUUGUUUAUACCUUUUUAUUUUUAAUAAUGUUAAUAACAUUAAUUACCUCAGGUAGUUUAAAGGGUGCUUUUGUCUUAAAUGCAAAUGAUAUGCACAUAAAGGUAAUGUUUGUCUGAACAUUUUGAUAUCUUAUUUGCAUUUUUCUGAGUUCAUAUGAAUUAGUUAUGAAUUUUCAAAGUUUUGGUCAAACGGUCAAAGGGCAUUCGAGGGACCUCGAUGGAAAAAGUAAGGGCAAAACUGAGCAAGCUCGAAAAGUAAGGGCAAAACCCGUGGGUAGGAACCAACUAGGGGCAAAAAUGUAAUUGUCCCAAGAAAAAUUGCCGGUUCAAGUUAAUUGGUGAAAUCACAGUUUAGGCGCUGACAAUAUACAUUCAGGUGGCGGCUUAAGUGAGGGCUAAUGGUAUAUGAAUAAUGGUAAGCCGGAUGUGUAAGCCGCCAUGAAGGGUACAGGUAUUCAAAAUCAGACAGGGUAAAAAUUUGACUAAGUGUUGAACGAACAGGUUUCACAGAUUACAGUCAUGGAUUCAGAUCUGAAACUGCGCAGAAAAAAAGGGAAUAAAUUUGAGACCUACAGAGGUGACAGCGGAAAAAUAGCAGUGCUCUAGAAGGGAUCUGUAGCGGUGAGGGUAUGUUUUAAUAUCAAAAAUACGUGCGAGAGCUACUACCGCACCAGAUUCAUGGGGCGUUUGGAUCUAAUCUGUAAAUCCAGACAAAGACUAAAGACGGGCGGUGAUGAAGACUGAAGAACAGUGAAACCCUAAUGCCAGAUCUACGACGGAGGAAGAAGGGCUUACCGAUGCUGAUGCGAUGGCGGGGAGGUGCCGCGGUUAUCUGGUCCGUUCAGGGUGAUGCAGCGGCCGGAGUUGAAGACGGAGGCGGAGGUCGACUGUGGCGGAGCUCGUGCGGGUCGACGCGUGAUAUGUCUCCAACGUAUCUAUAAUUUAUGAAGUAUUCAUGCUACUAUAUUAUCCAUCUUGGAUGUUUAUGGGCUUUACUAUGCACUUUUAUAUUAUUUUUGGGACUAACCUAUUGACCCAGAGCCCAGUGUCAGUUCCUGUUUUUUCCCUUGUUUUAGUGUUUCUAAGAAAAGGAAUAUCAAACGGAGUCGAAACGGAAUGAAACCUUCUGGAGAAGUUAUUUUUGGAAGGAAAGCUACCCGAUAGACUUGGAGUGCACGUCAGGAAAGAAACGAGGGAGCCACGAGGUAGGGGGCGCGCCCACCCCCCUAGGGCGCGCCCUCCACCCACGUGGGCCCCUCCUCGCUCCCCUGACGUACUUCUUUCACCUAUAUAUACCCAUAUACCCUAAAACGCUAGGGGAACAGAAUAGAUCUGGAGUUCCGCCGCCGCAACCCUGUGUAGCCACCAAAAACCUCUCGGGAGCCCGUUCCGGCACCCUGCCAGAGGGGGGAUCCCUCACCUCCAUCUUCAUCAUCCAGACGCUCUCCAUGACGAGGAGGGUAUGUACUAGUAGCUAUGUGUUUGAUCUCUCUCUCUCGUGUUCUUGAUUUGACACGAUCUUGAUGUAUCGCGAGCUUUGAUAUUAUAGUUGGAUCUUAUGUUGCUUCUCCCCCUCUACUCUCUUGUAAUGGAUUGAGUUUUCCCUUUGAAGUAAUCUUAUCAGAUUGAGUCUUUAAUGAUUUGAGAACACUUGAUGUAUGUCUUGCCGUGCGUAUCUGUGGUGACAAUGGGAUAUCACGUGAUUCACUUGAUGUAUGUUUGAAGGAAAUAUGCCCUAGAGGCAAUAAUAAAGUUAUUAUUUAUUUCCUUAUAUCAUGAUAAAUGUUUAUUAUUCAUGCUAGAAUUGUAUCAACCGGAAACUUGAUAUAUGUGUGAAUACAUAGACAAACAGAGUGUCACUAGUAUGCCUCUACUUGACUAGCUUGUUGAUCAAAGAUGGUUAUGUUUCCUAGCCAUAGACAUGAGUUGUCAUUUGAUUAACGGGAUCACAUCAUUAGGAGAAUGAUGUGAUUGACUUGACCCAUUCCGUUAGCUUAGCACUCGAUCGUUUAGUAUGUUGCUAUUGCUUUCUUCAUGACUUAUACAUGUUCCUAUGACUAUGAGAUUAUGCAACUCCCAUUUACCGGAGGAACACUUUGUGUGCUACCAAACGUCACAACGUAACUGGGUGAUUAUAAAGGUGCUCUACAGGUGCUUCCAAAGGUACUUGUUGGGUUGGCGUAUUUCGAGAUUAGGAUUUGUCACUCCGAUUGUCGGAGAGGUAUCUCUGGGCCCACUCAGUAAUGCACAUCACUAUAAGCCUUGCAAGCAUUGUAACUAAUGAGUUAGUUGCGGGAUGAUGUAUUACGGAACGAGUAAAGAGACUUGCCGGUAACGAGAUUGAACUAGGUAUCGAGAUACCGACGAUCGAAUCUCGGGCAAGUAACAUACCGAUGACAAAGGGAACAACGUAUGUUGUUAUGCGGUCUGACCGAUAAAGAUCUUCGUAGAAUAUAUGGGAGCCAAUAUGAGCAUCCAGGUUCCGCUAUUGGUUAUUCACCGAAGAGGUGUCUCGGUCAUGUCUACAUAGUUCUCGAACCCGUAGGGUCCGCAUGCUUAACGUUACGAUGACGGUUAUAUUAUGAGUUUAUGUGGUUUGAUGUACCGAAGGAGUUCGGAGUCCCGGAUGAGAUCGGGGACAUGACGAGGAGUCUCGAAAUGGACGAGACGUAAAGAUCGAUAUAUUGGACGACUUAUUCGGACUUCGGAAAGGUUCCGAGUGAUUCGGGUAUUUUUCGGAGUACCGGAGAGUUACGGGAAUUCGUAUUGGGCCUUAAUGGGCCAUACGGGAAAGGAGAGAAAGGCCCCAAAGGGUGGCCGCACCCCUCCCCAUGGACUAGUCCGAAUUGGACUAGGGAGGGGGGGCGCCCCCUUCCUUCUUUCUCCUUCUCCCUUCCCUUCUCCUAUUCCAACAAGGAAAGGAGAAGUCCUACUCCCGGUGGGAGUAGGACUCCCCCCUUGGCGCGCCCUCCUCCUUAGCCGGCCGCCUCCCCCUUGCUCCUUUAUAUACGGCGGCAGGGGGGCACCCCAUAGACACACAAUUGAUCAACGAUCUUUUAGCCGUGUGCGGUGCCCCCUCCACCAUAUUACACCUCGAUAAUAUCGUAGAGGUGCUUAGGCGAAGCCCUGCGUCGGUAGAACAUCAUCAUCGUCACCACGCCGUCGUGCUGACGAAACUCUCCCUCAACACUCGGCUGGAUCGGAGUUCGAGGGACGUCAUCGAGCUGAACGUGUGCUGAACUCGGAGGUGCCGUGCGUUCGGUACUUGAUCGGUCAGAUCGUGAAGACGUACGACUACAUCAACCGCCUUGUGUUAACGCUUCCGCUUUCGGUCUACGAGGGUACGUGGACAACACUCUCCCCUCUCGUUGCUACGCAUCACCAUGAUCUUGCGUGUGCGUAGGAUUUUUUUUGAAAUUACUACGUUCCCCAACAAUGUUUUGGUGAUCAACUUGCGGGUUCCGCCCAUGAACCUAUGCAUAGGGGUUGGCACACGUUUUCAUCUUGAUUCUCCGGUAGAAACUUUGGGGCACUCUUUGAGGUUCUAUGUGUUGGUUGAAUAGAUGAAUCUGAGAUUGUGUGAUGCAUAUCGUAUAAUCAUACCCACGGAUACUUGAGGUGACAUUGGAGUAUCUAGGUGAGAUUAGGGUUUUGGUUGAUUUGUGUCUUAAGGUGUUAUUCUAGUACGAACUCUAGGGCUGUUUGUGACACUUAUAGGAAUAGCCCAACGGAUUGAUUGGAAAGAUUAAAUUUGAGGUGGUUUCGUACCCUACCAUAAUCUCUUCGUUUGUUUUCCGCUAUUAGUGACUUUGGAGUGACUCUUUGUUGCAUGUUGAGGGACAGUUAUAUGAUCCAAUUAUGUUAUUAUUGUUGAGAGAACUUGCACUAGUGAAAGUAUGAACCCUAGGCCUUGUUUCCUAGCAUUGCAAUACCGUUUGUGCUCACUUUUAUCAUUAGUUACCUUGCUGUUUUUAUAUUUUCAGAUUACAAAAACCUAUAUCUACCAUCCAUAUUGCACUUGUAUCACCAUCUCUUCGCCGAACUAGUGCACCUAUACAAUUUACCAUUGUAUUGGGUGUGUUGGGGACACAAGAGAAUCUUUGUUAUUUGGUUGCAGGGUUGUUUGAGAGAGACCAUCUUCAUCCUACGCCUCCCACGAAUUGAUAAACCUUAGGUCAUCCACUUGAGGGAAAUUUCCUACUGUCCUACAAACCUCUGCACUUGGAGGCCCAACAACGUCUACAAGAAGAAGGUUGUGUAGUAGACAUCAAGCUCUUUUCUGGCGCCGUUGCCGGGGAGGUGAGUGCUUGAAGGUAUAUCUUUGGAUCUUGCAAUCGAAUCUUUUUGUUUCUUGUUUUAUCACUAGUUUAGUUUAUAAAAGAAAACUAAAAAAUGGAAUUGAGUUUGUCUCAUAUGCUUCAUCUUUUUAAUAUCUUUCGUGAGUAUGAUGGAAAGGAAAAUUGUGCCAAAGUGUUAGAAGAAGAAUGCAUUAAAAUGUUUGGCACUGAAUCUUUGAAUGAUGAGCAUGAUUGCAAUGUUGUUAGUAUGAACUCCUUGAAUAUCCAUAGUACUAAUGAUGAUUGCACUAGUUAUGAUGAAAAUGUCUCCUAUAAACAUGUCAAUUUUUGUGGAGUGCAUUGGGUUUGCAAGCACACACCAAAUAGGGAAGAUAGAUAUUGCAAGAGGCAUAAGCAUUUAGAAACUAAAUUGUUGCAAGAAAGGCUAGAUGUUUGUGCUGAAAAUUUAAAUUUUCUUGGCCGUACUUGUGAACUUUGCAAUGAAAGUGGUCAUUUAGCUAUCCGAUGCAAAUUGUUUCAUGAUCUAAUCGUGUCCAAAAAUUGUGAUGAGUUGAUUUCCCUUGCACAUUAUAAUGAACUUAGCUUGCUUAUGGGUUGCGAAGAAAUGAAACAUAUAACUAAGCAUCUUCCAUAAUUUGCCCGUUAUAAACUUCUUGGUUUUGAUCUAGAAGAAAUUUAUAUGUAUUGUGCGGUGAAUUGCAUUGAAAAUCCUUAUAUUGUCAAUUACAUAAAGAAAAGAAAACAAAUAGAAGAUGAAGAGAAUAAUAACGAAAGGGAAGAGACUUCCCAAUAUCCUCCUAUUAUUUCUUAUGAUGAAUCAGGUAAUGAGGAGGAGCCUUCUAUUCAACCAAUCUCAUUAAUAAGGAGCUCCAAAAAGAGGAUUGAACCCACACAUGAUGUGGUGAAGAAGAAGAAAAGAAAAAGGAAGAGAGGUAAAAAGGUAUCCCUCCCAAAUAAUGUUGCUCCUAUUAUUGUUGUGCCUCAUGAAAAUGAAUCAAAAAUAAUUGUGGAAGAUGAUGCACUUGAUGAUGAUCUAGUUAUGCCUAUUGCUUGUUGUGAUGAUUAUGAUUGGGAAGAUAAUGAUACCUCUUAUAAUCUUGAAAAUCUUGUUGGCACUUGCUUGGAAUAUGACAAUCGGUAUACUAUUGGUGCUAUCCAUACUAUUAAUGAUGAGAGUGAUUAUGCUUAUGAUAUGAAAAGGCCUAAGCUUGGGGAUGCUAUGUUUCAAGAAGAUGAUGUUUUUGAGAAUAUAUUUGGUGCAAUUAAUGUUUGUCCCAAGCUUGGGGAUGCUACGUUUAAUGAACAUGAUAUUUUUAGUCUCCCAAGUUUUGAUAUGCAAAUUUAUAAUGAUGAUAGCAUACCUUCUACCUAUGAUGAUUAUAUUGAUGAAAGUGGGUUUGGAAGAGUGUCAACUUUAGGAAGUAAUGAUCCCACUAUUUUGGAGGAUGUUGAAUCUUAUAAUAUUUAUGAAAGUGGAUUUGGAGAGGUCAUGACUUUAUUUAGUGAUGUAUCCACUAUUUCGGAAGAGGUUUUAAUUGAUUAUGAUGAGAACAAAGUUGCUACUUAUGAUGAUUAUUGUGAUGAAACUUAUGCUAUAAAAAGUAGUGAUGAUUAUAUUUAUAAAACUUGUUAUGAUUAUGAUUACCCUUUUUCUGAACAUUACUCUUUUAAUGUGGAAACAAUUUAUAGUAUUCAAGGCUCUUAUGAUACUCCCACUAUUCCGAAUGAGAAGAAUUUUGCUUAUGUGGAGAGUAGUAAAAUUUCUAUGCAAGUAGAUCAUGAAAAGAAUGCUUUAGGUGCUGGUUAUAUUGUUGAAUUCAUUCAUGAUUCUACAGAAAAUUAUUAUGAGGGAGGAAUAUAUGCUUGUAGGAAUGGCAAUAAUAUCAAGUUUCCUCUCUCUAUGUGCUUAAAGUUUUGAAGUUAUGCUUGUUUUACCUUCCUAUGCAAGUUGAUUCUUGUUCCCAUAAGUUGUUUGCUCACAAAAUCCCUAUGCAUAGGAAGUGGGUUAGACUUAAAUGUGCUAGUCAUAUUCUUCAUGAUGCUCUCUUUAUGUUUCAAUUCUUAUCUUUUAUGUGAGCAUCAUUGAAAUCAUCAUGCCUAGCUAGGGGCGUUAAUCGUUAGCGCUUGUUGGGAGGCAACCCAAUUUUAUUUUAGUUUCUUGCUUUUUGGUUCUGUUUAGGAAUAAAUAAUCCAUCUAGCUUCUGUUUAGAUGUGGUUUUAUGUUUUAAUUAGUGUUUGUGCCAAGUAGAACCUUUGGGAAGACUUGGGUGAAGUCUUUAUGAUCAUGUUGUAAAAAACAGAAACUUUAGCGCUCACGAGAUUAGCUAAAACUUUUUACUGGACAGUGAUAUUUAGUUGAUUCUUUUUGCAUAUGAUUACCAGACAAAUUCCUCAGGUCCACCAAUUUAUUUUAGAAUUUUUGGAGUUCUAGAAGUUUGCGUUAGUUACAGAUUACUAGAGGCUGUUGUGUUUUUGACAGAUUCUUUUUUCGUGUGUUGUUUGCUUAUUUUGAUGAAUCUAUGGCUAGUAAAAUAGUUUAUAAACCAUAGAGAAGUUGGAAUACAGUAGGUUUAACACCAAUAUAAAUAAAUAAUGAGUUCAAUACAGUACCUUGAAGUGGUGUUUUGUUUUCUUUCGCUAACGGAGCUCACGAGAUUUCUGUUAAGUUUUGUGUUGUGAAGUUUUCAAGUUUUGGGUAAAGAUUCGAUGGACUAUGGAAUAAGGAGUGGCAAGAGCCUAAGCUUGGGGAUGCCCAAGGCACCCCAAGGUAAUAUUCAAGGAUAACCAAGCGUCUAAGCUUGGGGAUGCCCCGGAAGGCAUCCCCUCUUUCGUCUUCGUUCAUCGGUAACUUUACUUGGAGCUAUAUUUUUAUUCACCACAUGAUACGUGUUUUUCUUGGAGCGUCAUUAUAGUUGGAUCUUAUGAUGUUCUCCCCCUCUACUCUCUUGUAAUGGAUUGAGUUUUCCCUUUGAAGUUAUCUUAUCAGAUUGAGUCUUUAAUGAUUUGAGAACACUUGAUGUAUGUCUUGCGUGGGAUACCCGUGGUGACAAUGGGGUAUUCUAUUGAUUCACUUGAUGUAUGUUUUGGUGAUCAACUUGCGGGUUCCGCCCAUGAACCUAUGCAUAGGGGUUGGCACACGUUUUCGUCUUGAUUCUCCGGUAGAAACUUUGGGAUAGUCUUUGAGGUUAUAUGUGUUGGUUGAAUAGAUGAAUCUGAGAUUGUGUGAUGCAUAUCGUAUAAUCAUACCCACGGAUACUUGAGGUGACAUUGCAGUAUCUAGGUGACAUUAGGGUUUUGGUUGAUUUGUGUCUUAAGGUGUUAUUCUAGUACGAACUCUAGGGCUGUUUGCGACACUUAUAGGAAUAGCCCAACAGAUUGAUUGGAAAGAAUAACUUUGAGGUGGUUUCGUACCCUACCAUAAUCUCUUCGUUUGUUUUCCGCUAUUAGUGACUUUGGAGUGACUCUUUGUUGCAUGUUGAGGGAUAGUUAUAUGAUCCAAUUAUGUUAUUAUUGUUGAGAGAACUUGCACUAGUGAAAGUAUGAACCCUAGGCCUUGUUUCCUAGCAUUGAAAUACCGUUUGUGCUCACUUUUAUCAUUAGUUACCUUGCUGUUUUUAUAUUUUCAGAUUACAAAAACCUAUAUCUACCAUCCAUAUUGCACUUGUAUCACCAUCUCUUCGCCGAACUAGUACACCUAUACAAUUUACCAUUGUAUUGGGUGUGUGGGGGACACAAGAGACUCUUUGUUAUUUGGUUGCAGGGUUGUUUGAGAGAGACCAUCUUCAUCCUACGCCUCCCACGGAUUGAUAAACCUUAGGUCAUCCACUUGAGGGAAAUUUGCUACUGUCCUACAAACCUCUACACUUGGAGGCCCAACGACGUCUACAAGAAGAAGGUUGUGUAGUAGACAUUAGUGUGUCGCAAGGAGUUAGAAGAAAUGAGAAGGAAAGAAGGGGGAAUGACAGGAGUGCCCGAGGCUCUAUUUAUAAGCCUGGAAGGACAAUCGACAGGCGCGAAAAUCGAGGAGACAAAAAUUGGAUAGGUGACGACACGGGCGCCUCGAUUUCCGGAAAGACAGUAAAGCAAGAGAUUUAUUAAGAUUUGGGUUAUGUGAAGCAUUAAUGACAGAUGAUGUCACGGCGGGUUACCGAAAAUUCAGAAGAUGAUGUCACGGCGGGUUACAAUAUUUCACAUUCAAGAUGAGGAAGGAUUUUUCUAAUAUUGAAGAUUGACAUGAACAAGUUCAAAUCAACCCGGGGCCUAAUGUUGGGGAUAUGACUAUCAGGCAUGACCCGCCAGGAGGGGCCCGGUCAUCCUGAUAACGAUUCAUCUCCAUGAAGCCCAAGAUCGUAAUGACUGUUCAGAGAUAGGCUGAGUAAAGGGCCCAAGCACAAAGGCGGCUUAAGGCCCACAGUUAUAAACCGCCAUAUGUCUAUGACCUGCAUUGUAAGGUAUAUGUAAUUCGUCUCCGAGCCGGACACGUAUAUGAGCCGGCCGGGACUCUGUAGACUGCAGGGCGUCAACCCGUGUAUAUAAGGGGACGACCCGAUGGCGGCUUAGGGCAAGAAACAACAACUUGAGAGACAUGCAAAGCGUAUUCGCUCCCUGGUCAUCGAAACCCUAGCAAUAUCACCUCAAACUGGAUUAGGCUUUUACCUUCACCGCAAGGGGCCGAACCAGUAUAAAACUCCCCGUGUCCCUUGUCCUGUUUAACCCCUUUAAGCUAAUCUUGUUGCGAUGGCUCCACGACUAAGUCCUCACACUAGGACAUCUGCCGUGACAAUUCCACGACACCUUGUGUACUCGCACAUUAAACCGGGGCGACGACUUAAAGGCAAAAUGCUCCAAGAUAUCCAGCAACGAACAAAAUCGAUGCCUGUCAAACCGUUUGCUACGAAGGCUCUGAGCUUCGAAAGCUGCGGGGCAUAUUUGGCCCUUUCCUUUGCAGUGAGUCUUUGGGGGAGUGGAUGUGUACUGGUAAGCCGAUGAGCACGGUAACCCGGCAGAGGGUUUUCACCAGUUGGAGAUGUAUCUUUGCAAUAAAACCAGGUUUGAUUCCAUUCUUUGGGGUGAUUAUGAUGCUUAGCGUGAGGGAAGCUGACAUCUUUUCUUUUCUGAAUCGACACCCCCCCAAGUUUAGUAUUGGGACCGUCUGUAAACUCGGUACGUCAGUUUAAGUAGAAGAAGUCUCUGAAUAAUUCGACUGUGGGCUCUUCUUGUAAAUAAGCUUCACAAAAUACUUGAAAGUUGCAAAUAUUGGACACAGAGUUAGGUCCAAUAUCUUGAGGAUGAAGUUGGAAGAAAUGAAGCAUGUCGCGGAAAUUUUUUGAUCCGGGAGGGCUGAACCCUCGACCCAGAUGAUCAAUAAAAAUGACCACUUCCCCAUCUUUAGGCUCAGGAGGAUUUUUUGGACCGGGAACUCUCCAAUGGAUGACAUCCUUUUUUGCUAAAGCGCCGGUUGCAACACAUCUGUUCAGUUCUUCUUCUGUAACCCGGGAUGGAACCCAGUUGCAGGCAUAAAAGGAUUUGUCCAUCCUAUUCAAACAACUUGGAGGAAGAUUUGUGCCGGUUUAAGAUCCAUGAUUAAUCCGUUAAAAGUUAAAAGGCAGAAAGUGUUGAAGCAUAUUAAGGUGUUAAACCGGAGGUUGGUGUUAUCACAGUCACAAAGACGAGCGAUUGGCGGUUUAAAAGGGGACUAAUGGUACCUGGCGGGUUAUCAUUUUCUAAAGUUAAACCGCCUACACGGGUAUUGAAGGUAUAUAUCUGAAGUUGGAAAUGGCUAAGUGAUGAAAAACAGGUUUCACAGAUUCAUAUCAAAAUUUCAGAUCAACCGCGUGUCAGAAAAUGGAAAAAUAUUCAGACUUAAAUGUUGGUGCCUGAACAAUUUUAUGAAGUUCCAGAUGGGAUUGUUUAUCUAAAAAAGAUCUGAUCUAAUGGAAAAAAGGACUACGGCUACUGCUGCGCAGAAGAGUAUCAAGUUUGAAUCCGUCAAGAACAGGCCAAGAACAGCGCUGAAUUUUUAUGGGUGCAUUUGAACACUAAUGAGAUCUACAGAGGGGAGGAGAAAGAACUUACCGAGAUUGGAGAGCGGCGGAGGUGCGCGAGAAGGAUCUGGUCUGAACAGGUCGAUGCAGCGGCCAAGGUGAGGAAGAAGCUUGGCGGCGGCGGCGGAGCUCGAAGUGCUAGGGCGUCGUAAGGAACACGACGAGACGAAUAGGCACGGGAGGGGAAAAGUGAAAGGACCUCCGGUCCUAUUUAUAAGGCGAAUGGAUAAGUGGCAAGCGCGAGAAUCGAGGAUAUCAAAAAAUGGAUAUGUGACAGGGUUGUCGCCUCGACUUUCGGAGGUUCAUUAAAAAGGUGAUGUAUAUAUGAUUUUUUAAUAACAGGUGACGUCAUGGCGGAUUACCAUGAUUUUGGAAGAUGACGUCACAGCGAGUUACAAGGAUUUCGCGAAGGUGUUAAAGAAGGAAUUUUCCUAAGUGUUGAAGAUUGACAUGAACAAGUUCAAGUCAACCUGGGGCCUAAUGUUGGGGAUAUAACUAUUGAGUAUAAACCGCCCAGGAGGGGCCGGGUUAUGCUCAUAGUGAUUUACCCAUAUUUGAAGCCCAUGAAGACAUGGAAGAUGGCGCUUCACGAGGGAGGCUUAAUAGUAAGGCCCAAAGCCCAAAGGUGGAUUAGGGCCCAAAGAUGUAAACCGCCAUAAGAUGUAUGACUUGUAUUGUAAGACCGGAAAGAGUAGAAACCGAGCUGGACACGUUUAUGAGCCGGCCGGGAUUCUGCGAACCGCCGGGUGUCAACCUGUGUAUAUAAAAGGACAACCUGGCGGCGGUUUAAGGGCAAGAAACAACAACUCAAGAGCCAGGCAAAGCGUAUUCGCUCCCUGGUCAUCGAAACCCUAGCAAUACCACCUCAAACUGGAUUAUGCCUUUACCUUCACCGCAAGGGGCCGAACCAGUAUAAACUCCCCGUGUCCUUUGUCCUGUUUAACCCCUUUAAGCUAACCUCGUCGCAAUGGCUCCACAACCAAAUCCUUCCAUGAGGACAUAUGCCGUGACAUUUCCACGACAGGUACCAAAGUAAUCCAGGAGUGGAUCACUGGACAGCGGUUAAGAACAUCCUGAAAUACCUGAAAAGGACUAAGGAUAUGUUUCUCGUUUAUGGAGGUGACAAAGAGCUCGUCGUAAAUGGUUACGUCGAUGCAAGCUUUGACGCUGAUCCGGAUGACUCUAAGUCACAAACCGGAUAUAUAUUUAUAUUGAACGGUGGAGCUGUCAGUUGGUGCAGUCCUAAGCAAAGCAUCGUGGCGGGAUCUACGUGUGAAGCGGAGUACAUAGCUGCUUCGGAAGUAGCAAAUGAAGGAGUCUGGAUAAAGGAGUUCAUAUCCGAUCUAGGUGUCAUACCUAGUGCAUCGGGUCCAACGAAAAUCUUUUGUGACAAUACUGGUGCAAUUGCCUUGGCAAAGGAAUCCAUAUUUCACAAGAGAACCAAGCACAUCAAGAGACGCUUCAAUUCCAUCCGCGACCAAGUCAAGGAGGGAGACAUAGAGAUUUGCAAGAUACAUACGGAUCUAAAUGUUGCAGACCCAUUGACUAAGCCUCUCACAUGAGCAAAACAAUGAUCAGGACCAAGACUCCAUGGGUGUUAGAAUCAUUACUCUGUAAUCUGGAUUAUUGACUCUAGUGCAAGUGGGAGACUGAAGGAAAUAUGCCCUAGAGGCAAUAAUAAAGUUGUUAUUUAUAUUUCCUUAUAUCAUGAUAAAUGUUUACUAUUCAUGCUAGAAUUGUAUUAACCGGAAACUUAGUACAUGUGUGAAUACAUAGACAAAUAGAGUGUCACUAGUAUGCCUCUACUUGACUAGCUCGUUGAAUCAAAGAUGGUUAAGUUUCCUAGCCAUAGACAUGAGUUGUCAUUUGAUUAACCGGAUCACAUCAUUAAAGAAUGAUGUGAUUGACUUGACCCAUUCCGUUAGCUUAGCUUUUGAUCGUUUAGUAUAUUGCUAUUGCUUUCUUCAUGACUUAUACAUGUUCCUAUGACUAUGAGAUUAUGCAACUCCCGAAUACCGGAGGAACACUUUGUGUGCUACCAAAGGUCAUAACGUAACUAGGUGAUUAUAAAGGUGCUCUACAGGUGUCUCCGAUGGUACUUGUUGAGUUGGCAUAGAUCAAGAUUAGGAUUUGUCACUCCGAUUGUCGGAGAGGUAUCUCUGGGCCCUCUCGGUAAUGCACAUCACUAUAAGCCUUGCAAGCAAUGCAACUAAUGAGUUAGUAGCGGGAUGAUGUAUUACGGAACGAGUAAAGAGACUUGCCGGUAACAAGAUUGAACUAGGUAUUGGGAUACCGACGAUCGAAUCUCGGGCAAGUAACAUACCGAUGACAAAGGGAACAACGUAUGUUGUUAUGCGGUUUGACCGAUAAAGAUCUUCGUAGAAUAUGUAGGAACCAAUAUGAGCAUCCAGGUUCCGCUAUUGGUUAUUGACCGGAGACGUGUCUCGGUCAUGUCUACAUAGUUCUCGAACCCGUAGAGUCCGCACGCUUAACGUUCAGUGACGAUCGGUAAUAUGAGUUUAUGUGUUUUGAUGAACCGAAGGUAGUUCGGAGUCCCGGAUAUGAUCACGGACAUGACGAGGAGUCUCGAAAUGGUCGAGACAUAAAGAUCGAUAUAUUGGAUGACUAUGUUUGGACUUCGGAAGGGUUCCGGAUAAGUUCAGACAAAUACCAGAGUACCGGGGGGUUACCGGAACCCCCCGGGAGUGUAAUGGGCCUAUUGGGCCUUAGUGGAGAAGAGGAGGGGCGACCAGGGCAGGCCGCGCCCCCCCUUUUUCCUUCCCCCUCUCUCCUCCUUCCUUCCCUCCUACUCCUACUCUUGGAAGGGUUGGAGUCCUACUCCCGGUGGUAGUAGGACUCCCCUUGGGGCACGCCUAGGAGGCCGGCUGAGGGAGUCCUGGACUAAGGGGUCCUCGGGCGUCCGGCCUGUUAUCGAUGGGCCGGACUGAUGGGCUGAGAAGACAUGAAGGCCGAAGACUGUACCCGUGUCCGGAUUGGACUCUCCUUGGCGUGGAAGGCAAGCUUGGCGGCUAACUAUGAAGAUUUCUUCUUAUGUAACCGACUCUAUGUAACCCUAGAUCCUUCCGGUGCCUAUAUAAACCGGGGGGCAUAGUCCGGAUAGGAUUUCAUUACCAUAGUCAUACAGGCUAGACUUCUAGGGUUUAGCCAUUACGAUCUCGUGGUAGAUCAACUCUUGUAAUACUCAUAUUCAUCAAGAUCAAUUAAGCAGGAAGUAGGGUAUUACCUCCAUAGAGAGGGCCCGAACCUGGGUAAACAUCGUGUCCCCCGUCUCCUAUUACCAGCGAUCCUAGACGCACAGUUCGGGACCCCUACCCGAGAUCCGCCGGUUUUGACACCGACAUUGGUGCUUUCAUUGAGAGUUCCACUGUGCCGUCGACGAAAGGUUUGAUGGCCCCUUCGAUUGUCUAUAGUGACGCUGCCCAGGGAGAAACUUUCCUCCCCGGACAGAUUUUUGUGUUUGAAGGCUUCGUACUGCAGGCCAACUCGCUUGGCCAUCUGGAGCAGGUCGAUAGCUACGCCCCUGGCCAUCAGGUCAGAUUUGGAAGCUUGAACUACGCCGCGGAUAUCCGUGGAGACUCGAUCUUCAAUGGAUUUAAGACCGCGGUGAUCGCUCCCCCUCGCUCUGAUAAACAUGACUUAAAUCUGUCAUCAGAUCACAUCCAGGAGAGGGUUCCUGUCGCUGCAACGGCCCUAGAGCCAGAGCAGAUCAUGCCAUCCGAAACCAUGGAGUCCGCGGUGUUGGAGUCGCAAACGAACUCGACACCCUGCAAUAUUUGCGUCAACGGAACUUCGGACUCGUCUCCGGCUAUAAGUUCCAGACCAUGUACGCCUGCGGACACCGAGCUAGAUCGGUUAUCGAUCUUCGAAUUCAGCGCAGCGGAGGUUUUUGACCACUCACCUUUGGGCGAUGUGCUGAACUCUUUAAAGAAUUUGUCCUUAGAGAAGGACUCACAGCCGAACUAUGUUCGGUUCGAGCUAGAGGCUGAUGAUGGGGAGUUUCGCUUCCCACCCGCCACCCACUUCACAGCCACUGUCGAGGACUUAACCGACAUGCCUGCUUCGGGAUCCGAAGACAUUGACGGUAUAGACGACGAUGCCGAUAAGGAGCAAGGCCAAGACCCGCCAGUCAUCAGGCGUGGGACGGCCACCCCUUCAUAUGACGUGUACAUGACCGAUACACUUCAAAAGCCUCGCGGCAAUGACAAGGGAGAUCCAGUUAAAACUCCUGAGACACAGUCUAAGUUCCGGUGCCCCAAACGCCGCCCCCAGUCACGCCGCAGCAACGAUGGCACUGGAGAAAAUAGUACUCCAGACGACACCGAAAACAAUGAAGACCCUGCUGGAGCAAGAUCCGAACAGGAACAGGAAAACGGGCAAGCCACCCCCGAUGAACAUGCCCUGCCCAACUACAAUUCGGAGGACGACAACUACCUUCCGCUCUCCGAAGAUGAGGUAAGCCUCGGUGACGAAGACUUCAUCGUACCCGAAGAGCCCCUCGAGCAAGAGCGCUUCAAGCGCAGGCUGAUAGCUACAGCAAGGAGCCUGAAAAAGAAGCAGCAGCAGCUUCAAGCUGACCAAGACCUACUCAACGACAGAUGGACCGGAGUCCUGGUCGCCGAAGAAUACGGCCUUAGUGGCCUAGCCAAAAGCUACCCAAAGCACAGAUUGCUAUACCAGUCUGAUGACGGGGCGUUGGAGCCCAUACCAUCGUCACACAAUGCGGCAGGUCGCCGACAACUCUGUCCGGAUAAAGAGGCAACUCAAGCCGAACACCAGACCGCCCCACCUCGCCGUAAAGGCAAGAACAACGCAAGUCACGAUUACCCAGACGACCUGCAGAGGGACUUGGACAAUAGAGCAGGAUACGCAGGACCGAUCUACGGGUCGCGAAAGCAUGCUUCGACACGCGAUGAUGGCUACCUAUUCGGACGUAUCAAACCUCGCCACGCCCGAGCCGAAAACCGCAAAGGGAAUCCUUCAGAGUUACGUCGCAGUGUGGUCCAACAUAGAGGCGCCGCACACCCGCUUUGCUUCACUGAUGAAGUAAUGGAUCAUGAAUUCCCCGAAGGAUUCAAACCCGUCAAUAUUGAAUCAUACGACAGGACAACCGAUCCCGCGGUAUGGAUAGAAGAUUUCAUCCUCCACAUCCAUAUGGCACGUGGGGAUGACCUCCACGCCAUUAAAUACCUCCCACUAAAGCUAAAAGGGCCAGCUCGGCACUGGUUAAACAGCCUGCCUGAAAAUUCCAUAGGCAGCUGGGAGGACUUGGAAGAGGCCUUCCUCGACAACUUCCGAGGAACAUAUGUCCGGCUACCGGAUGCCGAUGACCGAAGUCACAUUGUCCAGCAGCCCGGAGAGUCAGCCAGGAAGCUCUGGACUCGGUUCUUAGUCAAAAAGAACCAAAUCAUCGACUAUCCGGACGCGGAAGCCCUGGCGGCUUUCAGACACAGUGUCCGGGACAAAUGGCUUGCGCGCCACCUCGGCCAAGAAGGACCUAAAUCCAUGACAGCCCUCACUGCUCUGAUGACCCGCUUUUGCACGAGAGAAGACAGCUGGCUCGCUCGUAGAAGCAACAGCGCCAGCGACCCGGGCACUUCUGAAAUUCGAGACGGCAAUGGCAAGCCACAACGAAGCAAAUACAACAGUCGCAAUGACAACGAAAGAUCACGCGACACAGCGGUCAACGCCGGAUUCAGCAAUCCCAAGCCCGGCCAACGGAAGAAGCCAUUCAAGGUGAAACGAGACAAACCAUCCAACCUAGACAGGAUAUUGGACCGACCCUGCCAGAUUCACAACCACCCCAAUAAACCAGCUAAUCAUACUAACAGAAACUGCUGGGUCUUUAAAUAGGCCGGCAAGCUCAACGCCGAACACAAGGGGAGGAGGCCGCCAGGCGACAGGGAUGACGGAGAGGAUCACCAACGAAAUACUGGGGGUCAGAAGCAAUUUCCACCCGAGGAUCAACUACUCUCGGAGCGAAAAUAGCAGUCCGGCUUCCGCCGCCCACCUCGUACACCUGCAAAAUUUGUGUCGCUCAUACAUCACUAUGCACUCCAAAUACCAUGGGCAUUGGUGGAAGCACACUAUGGACAAGCCUGCAAACACCCCCGUAACAUUUUUUACCCAUUUUGUUUUUAUUUCUUCCUUCGCUGUCUCUUAGAAAUAGGUGACGAACAGGUCAAACAUCUGAAACUGGCUCUAUCGGAGUUCGGAUCCGUACACUCACCUAAGGGGCUAUCUCUGUCAAGGAUUCCCCCCGCCGAGGACUGGCGGCGUAGACGUGCGACAGGAGGUCCAAAAUAACUUUUUGUAGACCGCACUCUCUAUUUCGAGCCUGUACUAUGCCUGUUCCUCCGCCUCCGACCCCGACCAUGUCAAAUAGCCGGGAGGAUGGCUUUUAUAUAUAUAAUAAAUAAUCAUUGGCAUAUCGCUCAUCUCCCAGUAUCCGAAUUAAUCAUCCAUGCUAUUUCACCACUAAAUACGGCUCUCAUGGUUGUUUCAUAGACAUACCUUGGCAUAACCUGCCAGGGGCUCGGUAUGGGAAUAAAUGAGUUGCCAGCAAAAGCCCGAACAGCUCUACAGCGUACUUCGGCGUCGCAAGUUUGGCCUUAUAUGCAUCAGCUCCGAAUCAUUGUCUUGGGUCAAUAGUUGGGUUGCCCGGCUCCUAUGCUUGCUACCCUACGUUCCGCUCUAUCGGCUAGGGUAGUAAAGGGAGAACUACUGCGAGUGUGCCCUGGUCUAAACCGGACGAGCACCUCAGUAGAGAAAGCCGAAAACUGACUGUCAUGAUGCGGCGUGAGCUGGUCAACCACUUGACGUCUUCUUGGAAUCUUUAGCGAUUCUCCGUGUCACACGAAGGAUCUUUUUCAGAUCAAAUAUGUAAGGCACCAUACGCCGCAUACAUACCAGGGGCUAUGUAGUAGUCCCACCAUAAAACUCCUAUGGCUAAGUGAAAGUGUUAACACCCUAUAGUCCGAUUGCCUGGUUCGCCGCAUUAUCACCUCCUUCAUGGACCAAGACGUUGGAUAAAGAGUGAUUAAAUGCUUUUCCGAACACCCUCGUACUUCCUACGAGGGGGCUGAAGCCAACGACUGGAAAACUUUCAGAUUAUAUUAAAACGGCCGCACAGGAGGAAUUCAAGCUUUCGAGCAAAACAUAAAAAUAGAUUAACUAUAAAAUUGUCUUUUACAAUUCUCAUACAUCUCACUCGAACAUUAUGUCUUUCGAGCACUGACCCUCUAUCAAGCGGGCGGCCUCUAGGACGUCUUCAAAUAAUGCUCCGGUUCCGGACGGUCCUUGCCUUUGGGUGUACUCUUCGUCGCAACAUCGAUGGCCUUCAUCUUCCCCAGAACGUCUUGACUCGGGCAAAAGCCAUCCGUGCACCCUCAAUGCACGUUGACCGCUUCACAGCGUCGAUACGCGGCACCGCGUCAACAAGCCUCUGCACCAAACCGAAAUAGCUAUUCGGAACAGGCUUGGUUGGCCACAACCGGAUUAUGACAUCCUUCAUGGCAGCGCCGGAUAUCCUAUGAAGUUCGGCCCAUUGGGACAGCUGUUCAUUGAGCAACAGAGGGCGCUUUGAUGCGCCAAACUGCGACCAAAAAAGCUUCUCCGUUGCAUACCCAUCUCGCGCUUGGUAAUACUGCACCGCAUCGGAAGAACUCUUCGGCAAGUCCAAGAACUCGUCCGGAGAACUCCACACUUGGUUAAGCUGAGCAUAGUUCGGGUCAACGAACUUAGUUUGCAGCAGAAAUGGCUUUCCAGCCGCAAUCUCCCUAGCCUGCCGAACCUCCUCACGGACUGCUCUGGAUUCCGAUCGUGCUUCCCUCGCCUCUUGUAAGGCCUUGUCCAGUUCAGCCGUUAAGGCUUUAUUCUCCUUCUCCAGAAAUUCACAGCGGCCAGUGGCAUUUUCUAGUUCAAGCGCCACCAUGGAUAUCUUCUCCUCGUCCUGGCGCCGUGUAGCUUGUUCGGCUUUCAGCUCGGCCGAGGCCUUUUCGGCAGCAGAAUUGCUACACCGGGCCUGCUCCUUGGCCUGGGCCAGCUCCGCUCGAAGAACUUCAAUGGCGGCAGCACCAUCUGCAGCCACGCAUACUCCAGCAUACAGAUUUUAGCGUCAUGCUUAUACCACAAAAAUGUAUAGGGAUUGCACCGAAUACAUACCUUGCGACUCGUCAAGACGCAUAUUGAUUAAUGCAAGAUCCCCUGCCACAUCAAUCUUCCGCUGCAGCUCGGCAAUUUCCAUAGUCCGAGAAGUGGCCAAGGGGGAAGCAGCCUGUGUUCAAGUUUAUUAGGUUAGUCCUCAAGCGAUCAUUUUUGAUCCUCCGUUUGCUUCCUCGGGGAAGACAACCCGAGUCUCAGGGGCUACUACCUAUACACAGGCGCAUCUUCAGUAGGCUCAUGAAGGCUUCAUUUAAUCCGCUUUUCACGGACAAAAUCUUCUCAAUCACUGUACCCAUCAAGGUACGCUGCUCCCCCGAGACAGAUGCUUUCCGCAACAUGUCCCGCGAUAUAUCCGGAGUCUCCAGGUCUCCGAAAGCCGCUCUAGGAGCAAAACCAUCCUUUGAAGGAAUCGGUUCACCCGUCUCCAGAUUGUCGGCUGCGAGCCAGACUGUCCGGGGCCUUUGUUAUCAUCAGCCCAAUAAUCCUGGAUGGCCGGAGAUCCACCUUCGGGUACUGCCUCUUCUGCCCCCUGCGUAACUUGUUGAUUAAGAGGGACCCUCCGCGAUGACACUUCAGAGUCAUCCGCCCUAUUGGGCGAAGAGGUUGGAGGAGGCGUUUCGCUCUCCAUCAUCUCUAGGAGGAGACUUCCCGAAGAAGAGGAUCGCCCAGAAAAACUCUGUGCCGACCUGUAAAAAUGCAGGAAAGCGUUACGUGUAUCUUCGGUAAUAGCAACGGAGCAGGACGCUAUCAAAGUACUCCGGAUUCACUUACGGUUUGGCAGAGGGCUUAUCCCCUUGUUGGAGCUGUUUAACGGCGUCGCUUUCCAAAUCCAAGCCGCUCGACGGUGGCACCUUACCCUUCUUAAAAGACCGCCCCUCCCAAUCUUCGGAGGCGGCCCUUUUCCUCCUGCUUGGAGAAGGGAUACUGGGUCCUCUUCCGCCUCUGUUCUCAGGCGAGAAAAGGUCGAUGUCUCCAGACUCAGUGUCCGACUUACCUCCGGAACCAAGGUCAUCUUGGGUCUUCUCACUCUCCUCUUUACCCUCCCUUACCGGCGCCUGGUAUGGUGCCGAGGCCAGCAUCCUUGUUAGCACAGGAGUAGCUGAGUCUUCGGGAAGGGGAGCCGAACACCUAAUCCGUUCCACCUUAUUUAUCCAGCCCUGAAAAAGGAUGAUUUUUUAAGUAUCUUGCCACUGGGUAUCUGAUUAUGAGGUAUUUGGCAAACGGGUACUCACCGGGGUAUCCGGAUGGUUACAGUCUAGGCCGACAUCUUUGGUGGUGUCCAGCCAUUGCCUUCGUUUCCCGAAGAAUAAUCUCCACAUUCCUUUGUGCAUUGUGCUGAAGAAGUGCUGAGGAGUCUGCGGCCCUUCUGGAUUGAACUCCCAUAGGCGGAGAGGCCGUCGCUGGCACGGCAGGGUCCGAUGAACUAUCAUUACUUGAACGACGUUGGCUAUGUCGAUGUCCCUCUCAAUGAGGCUUCAGAUGCGACUUUGUAGAGUUCGCACAUCAUUCGUCGAUCCCCAAUCCAGCCCCUUGUUAAUCCAUGAUUCAAGCUAAAUUGGGGGGCUGGAUCGGAAUGCGGGCGCAGUUGCCCACUUGGAGCCGCAGGGCUCGGUGAUAUAGAACCACCCCUGCUACCACAGAUCGGAAGAUUUGGCGAAGGAUCCUUUCAGCCAAACGGCGCUUGCAAGCUUGCUCACUGUAGUGCCGCCGCACUCGGCCUGCUCCCCCUCUACCACUUGCGGCUUCACAUCGAAGGUCUUGAGCCACAAGCCAAAGUGCGGAGGAGUUCAGAGAAAGGCCUCACACGUGACGAUAAACGCGGAGAUAAGAAGAAUAGAGUCUGGGGCCAGAUCGUGAAAGUCUAGCCCAUAAUAGAACAUGAGCCCUCGGACGAAGGGGUUAAGUGCAAACCCCAACCCGCGGAGGAAGUGGGACACGAACACGACCCUCUCGCCGGAUCUGGGGGUGGGAAUAACCUGCCCCUCAGCGGGAAGCCGGUGAUGGAUUUCAACGGUCAGGUACCUCGCCGCCCGAAGCUUUGCAGUGUCUUCCUCCGCAACAGAAGACGCUACCCACCGGCCUUGACAGCUGGAUCCGGACAUGAUUGGGGCUUGAGGCAACCAAUACCCGGGUGUUGAAACUCGGGGUAGCAGGGGUCGGGGAAGAAGCAAGCGUGAAAGAAAAAGACGGGUUUGUACCCCUAUAUAAAGGUUGCGAAUAUCAAACGUCUCCUCCUGGGCCUUGGAACUAGCCUAUUCCCAAGGAGUUGUACCCAAGCGACGGUUGGGUUACCCACGUCUGGGUUGGAAAGAAUCCCCUAAAGAAGGGGAGACACGAUCUCCGCUUGGAUAAGACAUGCCAAUAAAACCGCGUCUCGAGACGUGGGACGAUGGGCCUGCUAACGGUUUGAAAAUAAUGGCUGAGCAGGCGUGAUGUCAUAUUACCAAAAAUUAUCAGAGGAUUGAACUCGUGAAAUAUUAUAUCCUCUGCAGUUGUGUAUACAGGUCCGGAUACAAUCAUUACAUCUGAAGACUAUCUUGGAGUUCGGAAAGGGGAACCCGCCUUGCAAUGCCGAAGACAAUCUGCGCGCCGGACUCCUCGUCAUUGAAGCUAGGUUCAGGGGCUACUGAGGGAGUCCUGGACUAAGGGGUCCUUGGGCAUCCGGCCUGUUAUCGAUGGGCCGGACUGAUGGGCUGAGAAGACAUGAAGGCCGAAGACUGUACCCGUGUCCGGAUUGGACUCUCCUUGGCGUGGAAGGCAAGCUUGGCGGCUAACUAUGAAGAUUCCUUCUUAUGUAACCGACUCUAUGUAACCCUAGAUCCCUCCGGUGCCGAUAUAAACCGAGGGGCAUAGUCCGGAUAGGAUUUCAUUACCAUAGUCAUACAGGCUAGACUUCUAGGGUUUAGCCAUUACGAUCUCGUGGUAGAUCAACUCUUGUAAUACUCAUAUUCAUCAAGAUCAAUCAAGCAGAAAGUAGGGUAUUACCUCCAUAGAGAGGGCCCGAACCUGGUAAACAUCGUGUCCCCCGUCUCCUGUUACCAUCGAUCCUAGACGCAUAGUUCGGGACCCCCUACCCGAGAUCCAGCGGUUUUGACACCGACACCGGCCCCCUCCCCCUCCUCCACUCCUUUAUAUACGGGGGAGGGGGCACCCCAUAGAGACAGAAGUUGAUCAGUUGAUCUUUUAGCCGUGCGCGGUGCCCCCCUCCACCAUAAUCCACCUCGGUCAUAUCGUAGCGGUGCUUAGGCGAAGCCCUGCGUCGGUAGCAUCAUCAUCACCGUCAUCACGCUGUCGUGCCGAUGGAACUCUCCCUCGAAGCUCUGCUGGAUCGUGAGUUCGUGGGAUGUCACCAAGCCGAACGUGUGUUGAACUCGGAGGUGACAUGUGUUCGGUACUUGGAUCGGUCGGAUCGUGAAGAAGUACGACUAUAUCAACUGCGUUGUCAUAACGCUUCCGCUUACGGUCUACGAGGGUACGUAGACAACACUCUUCCCCUCGUUGCUAUGCAUCACCAUGAUCUUGCGUGUGCGUACGAAUUUUUUUGAAAUUACUACGUUCCCUAACACCGGUAACCCUCCGGCACUCCGGUUUUCUCCGAAAUCACCCGGAACAAUUCCGGUGUCCGAAUAUAGCCGUCCAAUAUAUCAAUCUUUAUGUCUCGACCAUUUCGAGACUCCUCGUCAUGUCCGUGAUUACAUCCGGGACUCCGAACUAUUUUCGGUACAUCAAAACACAUAAACUCAUAAUACCGAUCGUCACCGAACGUUAAGCGUGCGGACCCUACGGGUUCGAGAACUAUGUAGACAUGACCGAGACACGUUUCCGGUCAAUAACCAAUAGCGGAACCUGGAUGCUCAUAUUGGCUCCCACAUAUUCUACGAAGAUCUUUAUCGGUCAAACCGCAUAACAACAUAUGUUGUUCCCUUUGUCAUCGGUAUGUUACUUGCCCGAGAUUCGAUCGUCGGUAUCUCAAUACCUAGUUCAAUCUCGUUACCGGCAAGUCUCUUUACUCGUUCCGUAAUGCAUCAUCUCGCAACUAACUCAUUAGUCACAUUGCUUGCAAGGCUUAUAGUGAUGUGCAUUACCGAGAGGGCCCAGAGAUACCUCUCCGAUAAUCGGAGUGACAAAUCCUAAUCUCGAUCUAUGCCAACUCAACAAACACCAUCGGAGACACCUGUAGAGCACCUUUGUAAUCACCCAGUUACGUCGUGACGUUUGGUAGCACACAAAGUGUUCCUCCGGUAUUCGGGAGUUGCAUAAUCUCAUAGUCAUAGGAACAUGCAUAACUCAUGAAGCUAUAGCAACAAACUAAACGAUCAAGUGCUAAGCUAAUGAAAUGGGUCAAGUCAAUCACAUCAUUCUCUAAUGAUGUGAUCCCGUUCAUCAGUGACAACUCAUGUCUAUGGCUAGGAAACUUAGCCAUAUUUGAUUAAUGAGCUAGUCAAGUAGAGGCAUACUAGUGACACUCUGUUUGUCUAUGUAUUCACACAUGUACUAAGUUUCUGGUUAAUACAAUUCUAGCAUGAAUAAUAAACAUUUAUCAUGAUAUAAGGAAAUAUAAAUAACAACUUUAUUAUUGCCUCUAGGGCAUAUUUCCUUCAGUCUCCCACUUGCACUAGAGUCAAUAAUCUAGAUUACACAGUAAUGAUUCUAACACCCAUGGAGCCUUGGUGUUGAUCAUGUUUUGCUCAUGAGAGAGGCUUAGUCAACGGGUCUGCAACAUUCAGAUCUGUACGUUUCUUGCAAAUCUCUAUAUCUCCUUCCUUGACUUGAUCACGGAUGGAAUUGAAGUGUCUCUUGAUGUGAUUGGUUCUCUUGUGAAAUCUGGAUUCCUUUGCCAAGGCAAUUGCACCAGUAUUGUCACAAAAGAUUUUCAUUGGACCCGAUGCACUAGGUAUGACACCUAGAUCAGAUAUGAACUCCUUCAUCCAGACUCCUUCAUUUGCUGCUUCCGAAGCAGCUAUGUACUCCGCUUCACACGUAGAUCCUGCCAUGACGCUUUGCUUAGAACUGCACCAACUUACAGCUCCACCGUUCAAUAUAAAUACGUAUCUGGUUUGUGACUUAGAGUCAUCCGGAUCAGUGUCAAAGCUUGCAUCGACGUAACCAUUUACGAUGAGCUCUUUGUCACCUCCAUAAACGAGAAACAUAUCCUUAGUCCUUUUCAGGUAUUUCAGGAUGUUCUUGACCGCUGUCCAGUGAUCCACUCCUGGAUUACUUUGGUACCUCCCUACUAAGCUAAUAGCAAGGCACACAUCAGGUCUGGUACACAGCAUUGCAUACAUGAUAGAGCCUAUGGCUGAAGCAUAGGGAACAUCUUUCAUUUUCUCUCUUCUGCAGUGGUCGGGCAUUGAGUCUGACUCAACUUCACACCUUGUAACACAGGCAAGAACCCUUUCUUUGCUUGAUCCAUUUUGAACUUCUUCAAAACUUUAUCAAGGUAUGUGCUUUGUGAAAGUCCAAUUAAGCAUCUUGAUCUAUCUCUAUAGAUCUUGAUGCCCAAUAUAUAAGCAGCUUCACCGAGGUCUUUCAUUGAAAAACUCUUGUUCAAGUAUCCUUUUAUGCUAUCCAGAAAUUCUAUAUCAUUUCCAAUCAACAAUAUAUCAUCCACAUAUAAUAUUAGAAAUGCUACAGAGCUCCCACUCACUUUCUUGUAAAUACAGGCUUCUCCAAAAGUCUGUAUAAAACAGUAUGCUUUGAUCACACUAUCAAAACGUUUAUUCCAACUCCGAGAGGCUUGCACCAGUCCAUAAAUGGAUCGCUGGAGCUUGCACACUUUGUUAGCACUCUUUGGAUCGAUAAACCUUCACGUUGCAUCAUAUACAACUCUUCUACCAGAAAUCCAUUCAGGAAUGCAGUCUUUACAUCCAUUUGCCAAAUUUCAUAAUCAUAAAAUGCAGCAAUUGCUAACAUGAUUCGGACAGACUUAAGCAUCGCUACGGGUGAGAAGGUCUCAUCGUAGUCAACUCCUUGAACUUGUCGAAAACCUUUCACGACAAGUCGAGCUUUGUAGACAGUAACAUUACCGUCAGCGUCAGUCUUCUUCUUGAAGAUCCAUUUAUUCUCUAUGGCUUGCCGAUCAUCGGGCAAGUCAACCAAAGUCCAUACUUUGUUCUCAUACAUGGAUCCCAUCUCAGAUUUCAUGGCCUCAAGCCAUUUCGCGGAAUCUGGGCUCAUCAUCGCUUCCUCACAGUUCGUAGGUUCGUCAUGGUCUAGUAACAUGACCUCCAGAACAGGAUUACCGAACCACUCUGGUGCGGAUCUUAGUCUGGUUGACCUACGAGGUUCGGUAGUAACUUGAUCUGAAGUUUCAUGAUCAUUAUCAUUAGCUUCCUCACUAAUUGGUGUAGGGAUUACAGGAACUGAUUUCUGUGAUGAACUACUUUCCAAUAAGGGAGCAGGUAUAGUUACCUCAUCAAGUUCUACUUUCCCCCCACUCACUUCUUUCGAGAGAAACUCCUUCUCUAGAAAGGAUCCAUUCUUAGCAACAAAUGUCUUGCCUUCGGAUCUGUGAUAGAAUGUGUACCCAACAGUCUCCUUUGGGUAUCCUAUGAAGACAUAUUUCUCCGAUUUGGGUUUGAGCUUAUCAGGAUGAAACUUUUUCUUAUAAGCAUCGCAACCCCAAACUUUAAGAAACGACAACUUUGGUUUCUUGCCAAACCAUAGUUCAUACGGUGUCGUCUCAAACGACAACUUUGGUUUCUUGCCAAACCACAGUUCAUAAGGCGUCAUGUCAACGGAUUUAGAUGGUGCCCUAUUUAACUUGAAUGCAGCCGUCUCUAAAGCAUAACCCCAAAACGAUUGCGGUAAAUCAGUAAGAGACAUCAUAGAUCGCACCAUAUCUAAUAAAGUGCGGUUACGACAUUCGGACACACCAUUACGCUGUGGUGUUCCGGGUGGCGUGAGUUGCGAAACUAUUCCGCAUUGUUUCAAAUGAAGACCAAACUCGUAACUCAAAUAUUCUCCUCCACGAUCAGAUCGUAGAAACUUUAUUUUCUUGUUACGAUGAUUUUCCACUUCACUCUAAAAUUCUUUGAACUUUUCAAAUGUUUCAGACUUAUGUUUCAUCAAGUAGAUAUACCCAUAUCUGCUCAAAUCAUCUGUGAAGGUAAGAAAAUAACGAUACCCACCGCGAGCUUCAAUAUUCAUCGGACCACAUACAUCAGUAUGUAUGAUUUCCAAUAAAUCUGUUGCACGCUCCAUUGUUCCGGAGAACGGAGUUUUAGUCAUCUUGCCCAUGAGGCAUGGUUCGCAAGUACCAAGUGAUUCCAAAAGUCCAUCAGAAUGGAGUUUCUUAAUGCACUUUACACCAAUAUGACCCAAACGGAAGUGCCACAAAUAAGUUGCACUAUCAUUAUCAACUCUGCAUCUUUUGGCUUCAAUAUUAUGAAUAUGUGUAUCACUACUAUCGAGAUUCAACAAAAAUAGACCACUCUUCAAGGGUGCAUGACCAUAAAAGAUAUUACUCAUAUAAAUAGAACAACCAUUAUUCUCAGAUUUAAAUGAAUAAUCGUCUCGCAUCAAACAAGAUCCAGAUAUAAUGUUCAUGCUCAACGCUGGCACCAAAUAACAAUUAUUCAGGUCUAAAACUAAUCCCGAAGGUAGAUGUAGAGGUAGCGUGCCGACGGCGAUCACAUCGACUUUGGAACCAUUUCCCACGCGCAUCGUCACCUCGUCCUUAGCCAAUCUUCGCUUAAUCCGUAGUCCCUGUUUCAAGUUGCAAAUAUUAGCAACAGAACCAGUAUCAAAUACCCAGGUGCUACUGCAAGCAUUAGUAAGGUACACAUCAAUAACAUGUAUAUCACAUAUACCUUUGUUCACCUUGCCAUCCUUCUUAUCCGCCAAAUACUUGGGGCAGUUCCGCUUCCAGUGACCAGCCUCUUUGCAGUAGAAGCACUCAGUCUCGGGCUUAGGUCCAGACUUGGGCUUCUUCACUUGAGCAGCAACUUGCUUGUCGUUCUUCUUGAAGUUCCCCUUCUUCCCUUUACCCUUUUUAUUGAAACUGGUGGUCUUGUUGACCAUCAACACUUGAUGCUCCUUCUUGAUUUCUACCUCCGCAGCCUUUAGCAUCGCGAAGAGCUCGGGAAUUGUCUUAUCCAUCCCUUGCAUGCUAUAGUUCAUCACGAAGCUCUUGUAGCUUGGUGCCAGUGAUUGAAGAAUUCUGUCAAUGACACUAUCAUCAGGAAGAUUAACUCCCAGUUGAAUCAAGUGAUUGUUAUACCUAGACAUUUUGAAUAUAUGUUCACUGACAGAACUAUUCUCCUCCAUCUUGCAGUUGUAGAACUUAUUGGAGACUUCAUAUCUCUCAAUCCGGGCAUUUGCUUGAAAUAUUAACUUCAAAUCCUGUAACAUCUCAUAUGCUCCAUGACGUUCAAAACGUCGUUGAAGUUCCGGUUCUAAGCCGUAAAGCAUGGCACACUGAACUAUCGAGUAGUCAUUAGCUUUGCUCUGCCAGACGUUCUUAACGUCAUCUGUAGCAUCUGCAGCAGGCCUGGCACCCAGCGGUGCUUCCAGGACGUAAUUCUUCUGUGCAGCAAUGAGGAUAAUCCUCAAGUUACGGACCCAGUCCGUGUAAUUGCUACCAUCAUCUUUCAACUUAGCUUUCUCAAGGAACGCAUUAAAAUUCAAAGGAACGGUAGCACCGGCCAUUGAUCUACAACAACAUAGACAUGCAAAAUACUAUCAGGUACUAAGUUCAUGAUAAAUUAAAGUUCAGUUAAUCAUAUUACUUAAGAACUCCCACUUAGAUAGACAUCCCUCUAAUCAUCUAAGUGAUCAUGUGAUCCAAAUCAACUAAACCAUGUCCGAUCAUCACGUGAGAUGGAGUAGUUUUCAAUGGUGAACAUCACUAUGUUGAUCAUAUCUACUAUAUGGUUCAUGCUCGACCUUUCGGUCUCAGUGUUCCGAGGCCAAAUCUGCAUAUGCUAGGCUCGUCAAGUUUAACCCGAGUAUUCUGCGUGUGCAAAACUGGCUUGCACCCGUUGUAUGUGAACGUAGAGCUUAUCACACCCGAUCAUCACGUGGUGUCUCGGCACGACGAAAUUUCGCAACGGUGCAUACUUAGGGAGAACACUUAUACCUUGAAAUUUAGUGAGAGAUCGUCUUAUAAUGCUACCGUCAAUCAAAGCAAAAUAAGAUGCAUAAAAGAUAAGCAUCACAUGCAAUCAAUAUAAGUGAUAUGAUAUGGCCAUCAUCAUCUUGUGCCUUUGAUCUCCAUCUUCAAAGCACCGUCAUGAUCACCAUCGUCACCGGCACGACACCUUGAUCUCCAUCGUAGCAUCGUUGUCGUCUCGCCAACUAUUGUUUCUACGACUAUCGCUACCGCUUAGUGAUAAAGAAAAAAUAAUUACAGGGCGAUUGCAUUGCAUACAAUAAAGCGACAACCAUAUGGCUCCUGCCAGUUGCCGAUAACUCCGUUACAAAACAUGAUCAUCUCAUACAAUAAAAUUUAGCAUCAUGUCUUGACCAUAUCACAUCACAGCAUGCCCUGCAAAAACAAGUUAGACGUCCUCUACUUUGUUGUUGCAAGUUUUACGUGGCCGCUACGGGCCGAGCAAGAACCGUUCUUACCUACGCAUCAAAACCACAAUGAUAUUUCGUCAAGUAUGUGUUGUUUUAACCUUCACAAGGACCGGGCGUAGCGACACUCGAUUCAACUAAAGUUGGAGAAACUGACACCCGCCAGCCACCUGUGUGCGAAGCACGUCGGUAGAACCAGUCUCGCAUGAGCGUACGCGUAAUGUCGGUCCGGGCCGCUUCAUCCAACAAUGCCGCCGAAUCAAAGUAUGACAUGCUGGUAAGCAGUAUGACUAGUAUGGCCCACAACUCACUUCUGUUCUACUCGUGCAUAUAACAUCUACGCAUAAACCUGGCUCGGAUGCCACUGUUGGGGAACGUAGUAAUUUCAAAAUUUCCCUACGCACACGCAAGAUCAUGGUGAUGCAUAGCAACGAGCGGGACAGUGUUGUCCACGUACCCUCGUAGACCGUAAGCGAAAGCGUUUUGUCAACGCGGUUGAUGUAGUCGUACGUCUUCACGAUCUGACCGAUCCAAGUACCGAACGCACAACACCUCCGAGUUCAGCACACGUUCAGCUCGAUGACGUCCCACGAACUCACGAUCCAGCAGAGUGUCGAGGGAGAGUUUUGUCAGCAUGACAACAUGGUGACGGUGAUGAUGAAGCUACCGACGUAGGGCUUCGCCUAAGCACUACGACGAUAUGACUAAGGUGGAUUAUGGUGGAGGGGUGCACCGCACACGGCUGGAAACAAUCAACUUGUGUGUUAUAGGGUGCCCCCCUGCCCCCGUAUAUAAAGGAGCAAGGGGGGAGGCCGGUCGGCCCUUGUGGCGUGCCAGGAGAGGAGGAGUCCUCCUCCUAGUACGAGUAGGACUCCCCUUUCCUACUACUAGGAGGGGGAAAGGAAGGAGGAGAGGGAGAAGGAAAAGGGGGGCGCCGCCCCCCUCCUUGUCCAAUUCGGACUCCCAAGGGGGGGCGGCCUGCCCUGGCCAGCCCUCUCUCUCUCUCCACUAAGGCCCAUGAGGCCCAUUAGUUCUCCCGGGGGGUUCCGGUAACCCUCCGGCACUUCGGUUUUCUCCGAAAUCACCUGGAACAAUUCCGGUGUCCGAAUAUAGCCGUCCAAUACAUCAAUCUUUAUGCCUCGACCAUUUUGAGACUCCUCGUCAUGUCCGUGAUCACAUCCGGGACUCCGAACUAUCUUCGGUAAAUCAAAACACAUAAACUCAUAAUACCGAUCGUCACCGAACGUUAAGCGUGUGGUGAUAACCCACAAGUAUAGGGGAUCAAUUGUAGCCUCUUUCGAUAAGUAAGAGUGUCGAACCCAAUGAGGAGCUAAAGGUAGAACAAAUAUUCCCUCAAGUUCUAUCUACCACCGAUACAACUCUACGCACGCUUAACGUUCGCUUUACCUAGAACAAGUACGAAACUAGAAAUACUUUGUAGGUGUUUUUGGAUAGGUUUGCAAGAUAAUAAAGAGCGCGUAAAUAAAAUCUAGGGGCUGUUUAGAAGAAGACACAACUAAGUUAGUUUUUUAGUAGAGAGCUUUGUUGUCACACAAGAAAGUUAUUUGUCCCUAGGCAAUCGAUAACUAGACCGGUAAUCAUUAUUGCAAUUUUAUUUGAGGGAGAGGCAUAAGCUAACAUACUUUCUCUUCUUGGAUCAUAUGCACUUAUGAUUGGAACUCUAGCAAGCAUCCACAACUACCAAAGAUCAUUAAGGUAAAACCCAACCAUAGCAUUAAAGUAUCAAUUCCUCUUUAUUCCCAUACACCAUGACCCACUUAUCCGUGUUUGUGUUUCAGUCACUCACGCAACGCGGAUAAUAAGCAAACCAUGAACAUAUUGCAAACCCUACAGCGGGGAUCCCUCACGCUUGCGCGACAUAGAGAGCACCAUAGGACAGCACCAAUAAUAAAACAUGCAACUCAAACCAAUCACGACCAUCAACCCAUAGGACAAAACGGAUCUACUCAAACAUCAUAGGAUAGCCAUACAUCAUUGGUAAACAAUAUAUAGCGUUGAGCACCAUGUUUAAGUAGAGAUUACAGCGGGUAAAAGAGGGGUUAACCGCUGCAUAGAGGGGGGAAGAGUUGGUGAUGAUGGCGGUGAAGUUGUUGGUGUAGAUUGCGGUGAUGAUGAUGGCCCCGGCGGCGUUCCGGCGCCACCGGAAGAGAGGGGGAGAGCCCCCCCCCCUUCUUCUUCUUCUUCCUUGACCUUCUCCCUAGAUGGGAGAUGGGUUUCCCCUCUGGUCCAUGGCCUCCAUGGUGGCGGAGGGGCGAGAGCCCCUCCGAGAUUGGAUAUGUCUCUCGGUCUCUCUCUGUUUUUGCGCUCCCAGAUCUGGCCUUUCACCGUUUCUUAUAUUCCCGGAGAUCCGUAACUCCGAUUGGAUUGAAAUUCAAACACAAUUUUUAUCCAGAUAUUAGCUUCCUUGCGGCAAAAGAAGGGCUCCAACCACCCUACGGGGUGCCCACGAGGGUCAGAGGCGUGCCUGCCCCCCUGGGGCGCGCCCCCUGCCUCGUGGCCCCCUCGGGCAUCGUCUCGCGUUGAUUCCACUUCCCAAAAUUCACAUAUAUUCCAAAAAAAAAUCUCUGUCAGUUUUUAUCCCGUUUGGACUCUGUUUGAUAUGGAUUUUCCGCGAAACAAAAAAAUGCAACAAACAGGAACUGCCACUGGGCACUGGAUCAAUAUGUUAGUCCCAAAAAUAGUAUAAAAAGUUGCCAAAAGUAUAUGAAAGUUGCAGAACAAUCAAAAAUUAUAGAUAUGACGGAGACGUAUCAGCAUCCCCAAGCUUAAUUCCCGCUCGUCCUCGAGUAGGUAAAUGAAAAAAAAAUGAUGUGGAAUGCUACCUAGCAUAAUCUUGAUCAUGUAAUCUAAUCAUGGCAUGAAUAUUAAGACACGAGUGAUUCAAAGCAAUAGUCUAUCAUUUGACAUUAAGACAAUAAUACUUCAAGCAUACUAAUAAAGCAAUCAUGUCUUUUCAAAAUAACAUGGCCAAAGAAAGUUAUCCCUACAAAAUCAUAUGGUCUGGCUAUGCUCCAUCUUCACCACACAAAGUAUUUAAAUCAUGCACAACCCCGGUUUUAGCCAAGCAAUUGUUUCAUACUUUAGUAUUCUCAAACUUUUUCAACUUUCACGCAAUACAUGAGCGUGAGCCAUGGAUAUAGCACUAUAGGUGGAAUAGAAUAUGAUGGUGGAGGUUAUGUGGAGAAGACAAAAAGGAGAAAGUCUCACAUCGACGCGGCUAAUCAACGGGCUAUGGAGAUGCCCAUCAAUUGAUGUCAAUGUGAGGAGUAGGGAUUGCCACGCAACGGAUGCACUAAGAGCUAUAAGUGUAUGAAAGCUCAAACUGGAAACUAAGUGGGUCAACUUGCUUGCUCAUGAAGACCUCGGGCAUUUGAGGAAGCCCAUCAUCGGAAUAUACAGGCCAAGUUCUAUAAUGAAAAUUCCCACUAGUAUAUGAAAGUGAUAACCCAAGAGACUCUCUAUAUGAAGAACAUGGUGUUAUUCUGAAGCACAAGUGUGGUAAAAGGAUAGUAACAUUGCCCCUUCUCUCUUUUCUCUCAUUUUUUAUUUAUUUUUCUUUUUUUUGGUGGGCUUCUUUGGCCUCUCUUUUUUAUUUGGGCUUCUUUGGCCUCUUUUACUUUUCAUAAAGUCCGGAGCCUCAUCCCAACUUGUGAGGGAAUCAUUGCUUCCAUCAUCCUUUCCUCACAUGAGACAAUGCUCUAAUAAUGAUGAUCAUCACACUUUAUUUACUUACAACUCAACAUUACAACUCGAUAUCUGGAACAAAGAUAUGACUUUAUAUGAAUGCCUCCGGCGGUGUACCGGGAUGUGCAAUGAUCUAGCAUAGCAAUGACAUCAAAAGAACGGACAAGCCAUGAAAACAUCAUGCUAGCUAUCUUACGAUCAUGCAAAGCAAUAUGACAACGAAUGCUUAAGUCGUGUAUAUGAUGAUGAUGGAAGUUGCAUGGCAAUAUAUCUCGGAAUGGCUAUGGAAAUGCCAUGAUAGGUAGGUAUGGUGGCUGUUUUGAGGAAGAUAUAAGGAGGCUUAUGUGUGAUAGAGCGUAUCGUAUCACGGGGUUUGGAUGCACCGGGGAAGUUUGCACCAACUCUCGAGGUGAGAAAGGGCAAUGCACGGUACCGAAGAGGCUAGGAAUGAUGGAAGGGUGAGAGUGCGUAUAAUCCACGGACUCAACAUUAGUCAUAAAGAACUCACAUACUUAUUGCAAAAAUCUAUAAGUCAACAAAACCAAGUACUACACGCAUGCUCCUAGGGGAAGGGUUGGUAGAGUUCACCAUCGCGUGAUCCCGACCUCCACACAAAGGAUGACAAUCAAAAAAUAAAUCAUGCUCCGACUUCAUCACAUAACGGUUCACCAUACGUGCAUGCUUCGGGAAUCACAAACCUCAACACAAGUAUUUCUACUAAUCCACAACUACUCACUGGCAUGACUCUAAUAUCACCACCUUUAUAUCACAAAACUAUUGCAAGGAAUCAAACAUAUCAUAUUCAGCGAUCUACAAGUUUAUGUAGGAUUUUAUGACUAACCAUGUGAAUGACCAAUUCCUGUCAUCUCUCUAAAUAGAUAUAAGUGAAGCAAGAGAGUUUAAUUCUUUCUACAAAAGAUAUGCCCACUCUCUAACAAAUAUAAGUGAAGCAAAAGAGCAUUCUACAAAUGGCGGUUUUCUAUGUGAAGAGAAACAGGCAAUCCAAACUUCAAAUGAUAUAAGUGAAGCACAUGUAGCAUUCUAUAAAGCCAUACUCAAAAGAUAUAAGUGAAGUGCAAUGAGCAUUCUAUAAAUCAACCAUGGACUAUCUCAUACCAGCAUGGUGCAUAAAAUAAAAAUGAAAACUAAAUGCAAAAGAUGCUCCAAGAUUCGCACAUAUCGCAUGAAUGAAACGAAUCCGAAAACAUACCGAUACUUGUUGAAGAAAGAUGGGAUGCCUUACGGGGCAUCCCUAAGCUUAGAUGCUUGAUUCUCCUUGAAUAUUUACUUGGGGUGCCUUGGGCAUCCCCAAGCUUGAGCUCUUGCCUCUCCUCCUUCUCCUCAGAUCGAGACCUCCUCGAUCUUCGAACACUUCAUCCACACAAAACUCAACAGAAAGCUCGGUAAGAUCCGUUAGUAUAAUAAAGCAAAUCACUACUCUAAGUACUGUUGCAAGCCAAUUCAUAUUUUGUUUUUGCAUUAUAGCUACUGUAAUAUAACUUUUCCAUGGCUUAAUCCACUGAUAGGAAUCAAUAGUUUCAUCAAAACAAGCAAACUAUGCAUCAAAAACAGAAUCUGUCUUAAACAGGACAGUCUGUAGUAAUCUGAACAUUCACCAUACUUAUGGUACUCCAAAAAUUAUGCAAAAAUUAGGAAAAAAUAAACAAUUUGUAUAGAAAGACAGUGCAAAAAAUUUCAGAACCUUUUGACGUUCCAGUAAAAAAUAUAAAAUCGCGCACUACAGCCAAAGUUUCUGUUCUGCACCGCACAAACCAACAAGUAAUCUAAAACACCCUAAAGGCAAACCUUGGCACAUUAUUUUUAUUUUUAAACUCUAUAAAAGCACACAACAGAAAUAAAUGAAUCUCUAAAACUUCCGGGUUGUCUCCCUGGCAGCGCUUUCUUUAAGCCAUUAAGCUAGGCAUAUAGUGCUCAAGUAAUGGAUCCACCCGAAUCCCAAGGUAUAUCAAAGCCAAUUUUAAUUAACAAUGAUUUGUGAUUUAGUAGUGAGCACAAAGUAACAUAUAUCAUGCAACAACGAAGUCUAACUCUCUUCCUAUGCAUCGGCAUGUCAUAAAAGAACAAUUCAUGCACACAUAGUAAAGGCCAAUGCAUAGUAUAAACAGUUUCUUGCAAUUUUAUCAUAUUGGAAACAUGGAGAGGCGGAGAUGUAGUUCCCCUCUCAUAAUAAUUGCAAGUAGGAGCAGCAAGCACAUGCAUAUUAUAUCUAUCAAAAUCAUCAUGUGCAGUAGUGAAACGCAACCCAUCAAUAUAAUCCUUAAUAAGGGCAAACUUCUCCGAUAUAGUGUAGUCGGGAGAAUUCAAAAAGAUAAUAGGACUAUCAUGCGUGGGUGCAAUAGCAACAAUUUCAUGUUUAACAUAAGGAACUAUAGAAAGUUAAUCUCCAUAAGCAUAAUUCAUAUUGGCAUCUUGGCCACAAGCAUAGCAAGCAUCAUCAAAAAGGGAUAUUUCAAAAGAAUCAACGGGAUCAUAACAAUCAUCAUAGCAUUCAUCCUUGGUAAGCACGAAGGGAAAUUAAACAAUGUAUGAGUUGAAGAGUUACUCUCAUUAGAAGGUGGGCACGGGUGAUCAAUCCGCUCUUCCUCCUUUUGUUCUUCGCUCUCCUCCUCAUCUUUUUCAUCCAAUGAGCUCACAAUGUCAUUAAUUUCUUCUUCCAUAGACUCCUGCAAAAUAUUAGUCUCUUCUUGGACAGAGGAGACUCUCUCAAUAAAAUCAUCAAUAUCGGAAUUGAAUUCAUAAUUCUCAUAGCAAUAUUUAAGUAUAGCAAAAUUUUCAGGUCUAUAAACUGAAUCAUCAAAAUCUUCAAACUCUUUAAACAAAGAUUCAAUUUCAUAAGCACCCAUAAAAGCAACGAACUCUUCUAUUUGUUCCAUAUCAUAGUAAUCAUGUAUACCAUUAGCAUAAGAAGCUAAGGUUUCAUUAUCAUUAAAUUUGCAUGAAAAGGGAAGGUGUGGAGCCUUCAUCCUAGAACAACAAGUAUAAUCAUAUCUCAAGCAUAGUUGCCUAGCAUACCAAUACAACAUAUAAAUUUGAUCCCAUAAUAGUUUCCCUUUUUGAAUCAAGCGAUCCCUAAAGUACUCACGUUGAUCCAGCGUGUCUCCCAUUACAAAGUUGAAUGGGGUUUUCUCAGGAUUAUCAAAGUAGUACAUAAUAUCUUUCACAUAAUGAGCAUCGAGGGUUGUAGGAGGUUCCCCAUCUCCAUGAGUAGCAAGUACACCUAAUUUUUUUGGUAUUUCGUGUUCCAUAUCCAUAACUAAAGAUAUAGAACAACUUAGAACAGCAAAUAAAAAUUACUUAGUGAUAAAGCAAACAAGCACACACGAGAAUAUUCACCCCCACGCUAUAACUCCCCGGCAAUGGCGCCAGAAAAAGGUCUUGAUAACCCACAAGUAUAGGGGGUCAAUUGUAGCCUCUUUCGAUAAGUCAGAGUGUCGAACCCAACGAGGAGAUAAAGGUAGAACAAAUAUUCCCUCAAGUUCUAUCGACCACCGAUACAACUCUAUGCACGCUUAACAUUCGCUUUACCUAGAACAAGUAUGAAACUAGAAAUACUUUGUAGGUGUUUUUGGGUAGGUUUGCAAGAUAAUAAAGAGCGCGUAAAUAAAAUCUAGGGGCUGUUUAGAAGAAGACACAACUAAGUUAGUUUUUUAGUAGAGAGCUUUGUUGUCACACAAGAAAGUUAUUUGUCCCUAGGCAAUCAAUAACUAGACCGGUAAUCAUUAUUGCAAUUUUAUUUGAGGGAGAGGCAUAAGCUAACAUACUUUCUCUUCUUGGAUCAUAUGCACUUAUGAUUGGAACUCUAGCAAGCAUCCGCAACUACCAAAGAUCAUUAAGGUAAAACCCAACCAUAGCAUUAAAGUAUCAAGUCCUCUUUAUUCCCAUACACCAUGACCCACUUAUCCGUGUUUGUGUUUCAGUCACUCACGCAACGCAGACAAUAAUAAAACCAUGAACAUAUUGCAAACCCUAUAGCGGGGAUCCCUCACGCUUGCGCGACACGGAGAGCACCAUAGGACAGCACCAAUAAUAAAACAUGCAACCCAAACCAAUCACGAUCAUCAAUUAACCCAUAGGACAAAACGGAUCUACUCAAACAUCAUAGGAUAUCCAUACAUCAUUGGGAAAUAAUAUAUAGCGUUGAGCACCAUGUUUAAGUAGAGAUUAUAGUGGGUAAAAGAGGGGUUACACCACUGCAUAGAGGGGGGAAGAGUUGGUGAUGAUGGCGGUGAAGUUGUUGGUGUAGAUUGCGGUGAUGAUGAUGGCCCCGGCGGCGUUCCGGCGCCACCGGAAGAGAGGGGGACAGGCCCCCCCCCCUUCUUCUUCUUCUUCCUUGACCUUCUCCCUAGAUGGGAGAAGGGUUUCCCCUCUGGUCCAUGGCCUCCAUGGCGGCGGAGGGGCGAGAGCCCCUCCGAGAUUGGAUCUGUCUCUCUGUUUCUGUGCUCCCAGAUCUGGCCUUUCACCGUUUCUUAUAUUCCCGGAGAUCCGUAACUCCUAUUGGAUUGAAAUUCGAACACGAUUUUUAUCCGGAUAUUAGCAUUCUUGUGGCGAAAGAAGGGCUCCAACCGCCUUACAGGGUGCCCACGAGGGUCAGGGGCGCGCCUGCCCCCCUGGGGCGCUUCCCCUGCCUCGUGGCCCCCUCGGGCAUCGUCUCACGUUGAUUCCACUUCCCAAAAUUCACAUAUAUUCCAAAAGAAAUCUCCGUCAGUUUUUAUUCCGUUUGAUAUGGAUUUUCUGCGAAACAAAAAACAUGCAACAAAAAGGAACUGGCACUGGGCACUGGAUCAAUAUGUUAGUCCCAAAAAUAGUAUAAAAAGUUGCCAAAAGUAUAUGAAAGUUGCAUAACAUUGGCAUGGAACAAUCAAAAAUUAUAGAUACGAUGGAGAAGUAUCAUGCGGACCCUACCGGUUCGAGAACUAUGUAGACAUGACCGAGACACAUUUCCGGUCAAUAACCAAUAGCAGAAACUGGAUGCUCAUAUUGGCUCCCACAUAUUCUACGAAGAUCUUUAUUGGUCAAACCGCAUAACAACAUAUGCUGUUCCCUUUGUCAUCGGUAUGUUACUUGCCCGAGAUUUGAUCGUCGGUAUCUCAAUACCUAGUUCAAUCUCAUUACCGACAAGUCUCUUUACUCGUUCCGUAAUGCAUCAUCCCGCAACUAACUCAUUAGUCACAUUGCUUGCAAGGAUUAUAGUGAUGUGCAUUACCGAGAGGGCCCAGAGAUACCUCUCCGACAAUCGGAGUGACAAAUCCUAAUCUCGAUCUAUGCCAACUCAACAAACACCAUCGGAGACACCUGUAGAGCAACUUUAUAAUCACCCAGUUAUGUUGUGACGUUUGGUAGCACACAAAGUGUUCCUCCGAUAUUCGGGAGUUGCAUAAUCUCAUAGUCAUAGGAACAUGUAUAAGUCAUGAAGAAAGCAAUAGCAACAAACUAAACGAUCAAGUGCUAAGCUAAUGAAAUGGGUCAAGUCAAUCACAUCAUUCUCUAAUGAUGUGAUCCCGUUAAUCAAAUGACAACUCAUGUCUAUGGCUAGAAAACUUAGCCAUCUUUGAUUAAUGAGCUAGUCAAGUAGAGGCAUACUAGUGACACUCUGUUUGUCUAUGUAUUCACACAUGUACUAAGUUUCCGGUUAAUACAAUUCUAGCAUGAAUAAUAAACAUUUAUCAUGAUAUAAGGAAAUAUAAAUAACAACUUAUUAUUGCCUCUAGGGCAUAUUUCCUUCAAUAGAUCAUGAGAGAGAGAGAGAGAUAAAACACAUAGCUACUAGUACAAACCCUCAGCCUCGAGGGUGGACUACUCCCUCCUCAUCGUGGUGGCCGCCGGGAUGAUGAAGAUGGCCACUGGAGAUGAUUCCCCCCUCUGGCAGGGUGCCGUAACGGGUCUAGAUUGGUUUUCGGUGGCUACAGAGCCCUGCGGCGGCGGAACUUCUGAUCUAGGUUAACCCCGAUGGGUUUCGGAAUAUUUGGGAAUUUAUAGUGCGAAGAGGGGGUGCGGGAGGCCACCGAGGUGGGCACAACCCACCUGGGCGCGCCAGGGGGCCCUGGCGCGCCCUGGUGGGUUGUGCCCCCCUCGGGUCACCCCCCAGGUGCAGCUCAGGCCCAUUGGGUUCCUUCUGGUCCAAAAAAAACUCCAAAAAGUUUCGUGGUGUUUGGACUCCGUUUGAUAUUGAUUUCCUGCGAUGUAAAAAACAAGCAAAAAAUGGCAACUGGCACUGGGCACUGGGUCAAUAGGUUAGUACCAAAAAAUGAUAUAAAGUUGUUAUAAAAUGAUUGGAAAACACCCAAGAAUGAUAAUAAAACAGCAUGAAUACUUCGUAAAUUAUAGAUACGUUGGAGACGUAUCAGCAUCCCCAAGCUUAAUUCCUACUCGUCCUCGAGUAGGUAAAUGAUAAAAGAAAUAAUUUAUGAAGUCCGAAUGCUAGCAAAGUGCAUAAGUUUGAUCAAUGAUAAUUUCAAUCACUUUUCCUAGAAGCAUAACAGCAAUUCUUUCUUAUAAAACUUCUCAUGUUAUAGUGGCAACCAAUUCACAUGUUAAGGUUCAAACAAUGAACUCUCUUGAAACUCGACAACCUAUGUUCUUAGUCACCAAGCAAUUGCAAUUCAACUUAUUCAACAGAGUUUAAGUAAGAGCUCCACAUACUCAACUAUCAUGUAGUCUUCUAUGAUUGCUAACACUCACCGCAUACACAUGAGCAAAACGUUUCAACCGGACACAUAGGAAGAUAGGGGCUUAUUGUUUUGCCUCCCAACGUAUUCACCUCAAGGGUGAUGUCAACAAUAAUAACUCAUGCUACCCAUAUUCAACUGGACAUAUGUGCCUAGAUCUUUCCUCACCACAUGAUGCUUGCCAAAAGAGAAAAAUAAAAAGGAAUAGAGAGAAAAACUUUGACUCUUUGCAUAAAAGCAAAUACUGAAUAGUAAAAGAAAGGCCCUUCGCAGAGGGAAGUAAGGAUUUGUAGAGGUGCCAGAGCUCAAAGCGAAAAUCUUAGAGAUAAAAACAUUUUGGGAGGUGUAUCCAUCCCACCAACGGAAACGACAUAGAGUUCCCAACACUUUCCAUGCUAGAUAUAUCACAGGCGGUUCCCAAACAGAAAAUAAAGUUUAUUCCUUUUUCCACCAUACUUUCACUUUCCAUGGCUAACCGUAUCCACGAGUGCCCUCCAUACCAACACUUUCCAAGGAAUUUAUUAUUCGACAACAUAAAGUAAAUUCAUUUUUGCAUUUCGGGACUGGGCAUCCCUAAUACCUUUGCCUUACUCUCGUGCAAUGACAAGUGAAUAAACACUCAUCUUGAGAAUAACAUAUCUAGCAUGGAAAAUAUUAGCCACCCCUCACCGCUCCGCGAGCGAAACAAACACACAAAAGAGAAGUUUAUUUUGAAAAUUAGAGAUGGCACAUGCAAAUUUGCUUAGAACGGCAAAAGAAUAACGCAUAUAGGUAGAUAUAGCGGACUCUUGAAAAUAAGAUUUGGGUUUAAGGGUUUUCGGAUGCACAAGUAGUAUCUCUACUUGGUGCGGAAUUUUUGGCUAGCAAAGAUGGGGGCAAGCACCACAUGUUGAAGGAUCUAUGACAAUAUAACUUCUAUGUGAAUAUGAACAAACAUAAAUCAUUACAUUGUCUUCCUUGUCCAAUGUCAACAAUUUUGGCAUAUAAUAUUUUGGUGGGGGCUCACAAUCACAAAAGAUUUCCAUGAUAGUGUAUUUAUAUGUGAAAGUUCUCUUCCUUAUACUAAUCAUUCGUGAAUUGCUUGUAUGACCAAUAUUGUGAUUGUCAAGCCUCAAAAGGUUUCACUUUCUAAACCCAAAUGUGAAGCUACCACUAGGCAUGAUAUGAUUUCAAUUUCAUGAUAUUCAAUUCAUUCAACAAUUUUACUCAAAGGAUAUAAGUGAAGCACAAGAGUAAAUGACAAACUACUCCAAAAAGAUAUAAGUGAAGAUCAUGCGAGUAGUUAAAUAAAUAGGUAGCUAUUUGAGGACUCUCUCUUAUUAAAAACUCUCAGAUCUAAGUAAUUUAUUAAAACAGCAAGGAAAACAAAACAAAAUGACAUUCCAAGGAUAGCAUACAUCAUGUGAAGAAGCAAAAACUUAGGCUCAACCGAUACUAACCGAUAAUUGUUGAAGAAGAAAGGUGGGAUGGCUACCGGGGCAUCCCAAGCUUAGAUGCUUGAGAAUUCUUGGAAUAUUAUCUUGAGAUGCCUUGGGCAUCCCCAAGCUUGAGCUUUUGUGUCUCCUUAAUUCCUUUUAUUUCACGGUUUCCCCAAAUCUUAAAAACUUCAUCCACACAAAACUCAAUAAGAACUCGUGAGAUAAGUUAGUAUAAACCAAUGCAAAAACCUUAUCAUACUCUACUGUGGCGAAUCACAAAAAUUAUUAUUCAACAUUGCAUACUAAAUGCCUCUGCAUAUUUAAUACUCCUAUCCUCAAAUAGAUUCAUUAAACAAGCAAGCAUAUGCAAACAAUGCAAACAUAACAGCAAUCUGCCAAAACAGUACAGUCUGUAAAGAAUGCAAGAGUAUCAAUACUUAUUCAAAUCCAAACAUUAUGAAAUUCUACCACACUGUAGAGAAUUUAUCAGAGCUCAUUUUGCAAAAAGUUUCAACAUUUUAUCACAUUCUGACUUUUCUAGGGAAUUUUUGCAACAUCGGUAAACUUUCUGUUUUGAAACAGCAACAUGUAGACUUGUAAAAUAAGCAUAGUAAAGGCUAUCAAUGCCACUUUUAUUCAUAUAAAAUAUGCAAAACAUUAUUCUAAAUAAAAGAAAGCAAAUCCUAACAAAAUAAAUUGACGCUCCAAGUAAAACUCAUAUCAUGUGAUGAAUGAAAACAUAGCUCCAAGUGAGGUUACCGAUAAUGUUGGAGACGAAAGAGGGGAUGCCUUCCGGGGCAUCCCCAAGCUUAGUUUCUUGGAUCUUCCUUGAAUAUUAUAUUCGGGGUGCCUUGGGCAUCCCCAAGCUUAGGGUCUUGUCACUCCUUAUUCUCCUCAUAUUGAUAUCUCACCCAAAACUUGAAAACUUCAAUCACACAAAACUUAACGGAACUUCGUGAGAUGCGUUAGUAUGAUAAAGAGCAAACCAUUUCACUUUGGUACUGUUAAAGAAAAGAUUCAUAAUUGUUGCCACACAAUGCCUAUUGUAGCUUAUCAUUUCCACAAUUUAUAUUGAGUAAUAAAAGCCAUAGAAACUAGAAAGCAAGCAAACUAUGCAUUGAAACCAGAAUCUGUCAAAAACAGAACAGUCUGUAAUGAUCUGGAUAACUACCAUACUUCUGCUACUCCAAAAAUUAUGAAAAAAAUUAGGACCACAUGAGAAAUUUUUAUAUUAAACUUCUGCAAAAAGAAUCAACUCAGAAGCACUCUUCUGUUAAAAAUGAGACUUAUUCUCGUGAGCGCAAAAGUUUCUGUUUUUCAGCAGGGUCAAAGCAACUAUCACCCAACAUGAUCCCAAAGGCAUUACUUGGCACUUUAUUGAAACAAAAGCAAUAAAACAUGAUAAAUACAGUAGCAUAAUCAUGUGAACACACAAAAACAGUAGGUAAAAGUGUUGGGUUGUCUCCCAACAAGCGCUUUUCUUUAAUGCCUUUUAGCUAGGCAUGAUGAUUUCAAUGAUGCUCGCAUAAAAGAUAAGAAUUGAAACACAAAGACAGCAUCAUGAAGCAUAUGACUAGUACAUUUAAGUCUAACCCACUUCCUAUUCAUAGGGAUUUUGUGAGCAAACAACUUCUGGGAACAAUAAUCAACUAGCAUAGGAAGGCAAAACAAGCAUAACUUCAAAACUUUCAACACAUAGAAAGGAAACUUGAUAUUAUUGCAAUUCCUACAAGCAUAAGUUCCUCCCUCAUAAUAAUUUUCAGUGGCAUCAUGAAUGAAUUCAACAAAAUAGCUAUCACAUAAAGCAUUCUUUUCAUGAUUCACAAGCAUAGAAAUUUUAUUACUCUCCACAUAAGCAAAUUUAUUCUCAUCAAUAGUAGUGGGAGCAAACUCAAUAAAAUAACUAUCAUGUGAUUGGAAAUUAAAAUCAUGAUGACAAGUUUCAUGUUUAUCAUUAUUCUUUAUAGCAUACAUGUCAUCACCAUGGUCAUCAUAGAUAGGAACUUUGUUGUCAUAAUCAAUUAUGACUUCUUCCAACAUAGUGGAAUCAUCAUUAAAUAAAGGCAUGACCUCUCCAAAUCCACUUUCAUCAAUAUAAUCAUCAUAAAUAGGAGGCAUGCUUUCAUCAUAAUAAAUUUUCUCAUCAAAAAUUGGGGGACUAAAAACAUCAUCUUCAUCAAACAUAGCAUCCCCAAGCUUGUAGCUUUGCAUAUCAUUAGCAUCACGGAUAUUCAAAGAAUUCAUACUAACAACAUUGUAAUCAUGCUCAUCAUUCAAAUAAUUUUUGCCAAACAUUUUAUUGACUUCUUCUUCUAACAAUUGAGCACAAUUUUCCGAACCAUCAUUUUCAAGAAAGAUAUUAUAAGGAUGAUCAAUAAUAUGAUGUAACCUAAAUUCCAUUUUUUUAGUUUCCUUUUUAUAAACCAAACUAGUGAUAAAACAAGAAACUAAAAGAUUCGAUUGCAAGAUCUAAAGAUAUACCUUCAAGCACUCACCCCCCCAGCAACGGCGCCAGAAAAGAGCUUCGUUGACGGGAUGUGAGUGCCGCUUUCCUAACCUCCCCGACAACGGCACCAGAAAAGAUCUUGAUGUCUACUACGCAACUUUAUUCUUGUAGACUCGUGUUGGGCCUCCAAGCGCAGAGUUUUGUAGGACAGUAGCAAUUUUCCCUCAAGUGGAUGACCUAAGGUUUAUCAAUCCGUGGGAGGCAUAGGAUGAAGAUGGUCUCUCUCAAACGACCCUGCAACCAAAUACAAGAAAUCUCUUGUGUCCCCAACACACCCGAUACAAUGGCAAAUUGUAUAGGUGCACUAGUUCGGCGAAGAGAUGGUGAUAAAAGUGUAAUAUUGAUGGUAUAAAUAUAUUUUUAUAAUCUGAAUAAAUAAAAACAGCAAGGUAGCAAAUAGUAAACGGGCACAAAAACGGUAUUGCAAAAAGGAGGCCUAGGGUCCGUACUUUCGCUAGUGCAAUCUCUCAACAGUGCUAACAUAGUUGGAUCAUAUGAUUAUCCCUCAAAGUACAGCAAAGAAUCACUCCCGAGUUCCUAUUAGCGGAGAACAAAAGAUAGGAAUUGGUUUGUAGGGUACGAAACCAUCUCAAAGCUAUUCUUUCCGUUCGAUCUAUCCUAGAGUUUGUACUAGAAUAACGCAAGCUAUUCUUUCCGAUCGAUCUAAUCAAGAGUUCGUACUAAGAUAACACCAAAGCAAAUUCAUAUUCAUAAUACUCAAUCCACACAAAGAACUAUAAAGAGACCCCGAAGUUUCUACGAGAGAAAAACGUGCAUCAACCCCUAUGCAUAGAUUACCCCAAUAUCACCGCGGGAAUCCACGACUUGAAUGCCAUAACAUAUAUCAAGUGAAUCAAUAAGAUACCCCAAUUGUCACCUCAAGUAUUCAUAACGCAAGACAUAUAUCAUGUGUUCUCAUCUCUGAAUAUUCAAUCCGAUAUGACAAAACUUCAAAGGGUAAAGAUUCAAUUCAUCACAACGAGAGUAUAGAGGGGAGAAACAUUGCGGCGGCGGAGCCCUGCGGCGGCGGAACUUUUGAUCUAGGUUAACCCCGAUGGGUUUCGGAAUAUUUGGGAAUUUAUAGUGCAAAGAGGGGGUGCAGGAGGCCACCGAGGUGGGCACAACCCACCUGGGCGUGCCAGGGGGCCCUAGCGCGCCCUGGUGGGUUGUGCCCCCCUUGGGGCACCCCCCAGGUGCAGCUCAGGCCCAUUGGGUUCCUUCUGGUCCAAAAAAACUCCAAAAAGUUUCGUGGUGUUUGGACUCCGUUUGAUAUUGAUUUCCUGCGAUGUAAAAAACAAGCAAAAAACAGCAACUGGCACUGGCACUGGGUCAAUAGGUUAGUACCAAAAAAUGAUAUAAAGUUGCUAUAAAAUGAUUGUAAAACACCCAAGAAUGAUAAUAAAACAGCAUGAAUACUUCGUAAACUAUAGAUACGUUGGAGACGUAUCAGGCGCUGAAACGAAGGCGAGCGCCUCCUCAUCAUCCAUGACGAUGCGUAUCAGCAUGGGGACAUAGCCGGGCGUGCCAGCAGCUUCAGCGGUGGGCGUCAGCGUCGACGGCGCGAGCCACUCGGCCGGCGGAGGAGGGGGUGGAGGCGGGUACCCAGGGUGCGGUGCAGGCGCGGCUGCAGCCCCGCACACCAUGGGGGCACUCGGGCCAGCCACUAGCCAAGGGUCGAACCCCAUGGGCGUGGCCACGGGCGAGGGGAGCACCACGGUGGGCGCGUCCAGGAGCGCGGUGACCCUAUCCAGGGGCGUGGUGAGCACCGCGAGGGGCUCGUGCAGUGGCGCGGUGGCUUAUGACCCACGAGUAUAUGGGAUCUAUCGUAGUCCUUUAGAUAAGUAAGAGUGUCGAACCCAACGAGGAGCAGAAGGAAAUGACAAGCGGUUUUCAGCAAGGUAUUUUCUGCAAGCACUGAAAUUAUCGGUAACAGAUAGUUUUGUGAUAAGAUAAUUCAUAAUGGGUAACAAGUGACAAGUGUAGCAAAGGUGCAGCAAGGUGGGCCAAUCCUUUUUAUAGCAAAGGACAAGCCUUGACAAACUCUUAUAUAAAGCAAAGCGCUCCCGAGAACACAUGGGAAUUACUGUCAAGUUAGUUUUCAUCAUGCUCAUAUGAUUAGCUAUCGUUACUUUGAUAAUUUGAUAUGUGGGUGGACCGGUGCUCGGGUGAUGUCCUUACUUGGACAAGCCUCUCACUUAUGAUUAACCCCUCUCGCAAGCAUCCGCAACUACGAAAGAAUAAUUAAGAUAAAUCUAACCAUAGCAUGAAACAUGUGGAUCCAAAUCAGCCCCUUACGAAGCAACGCAUAAACUAGGGUUUAAGUUUCUGUCAUUCUAGCAACCCAUCAUCUACUUAUUACUUCCCAAUGCCUUCCCCUAGGCCCAAAUCAUGGUGAAGUGUCAUGUAGUCGACGUUCACAUAACACCACUAGAGGAAAGACAACAUACAUCUCAUCAAAAUAUCGAACGAAUACCAAAUUUACAUGAUUACUUAUAACAAGACUUCUCCCAUGCCCUCAGGAACAAAAGUAACUACUCACAAAGCAUGUUCAUGUUCAAAAUCAGAGGGGUAAUAAAUAUCAUUAAGGAUCUGAACAUAUGAUCUUGCACCAAGUAAACCAACUAGCAUCAACUACAAGGAGUAAUCAACACUACUAGCAACCUACAGGUACCAAUCUGAGGUUCUGAAGCAAAGAUUGAAGGGAUUUUUAUUUAUGUGCCCCUGGUUCCUUAGCUCUACUCAUUCAUCCCCACUCUGUUAACUUUUGCUCACUUUUCCCCACUCCCUUGCCUGAAACCCUCAUAACUGGUUAUAACGGCCGUUGCCGUCGGGCCAAUGCCUUUGACUGUUAGCUGACGAGUGGGGCCGCGUAUACGUGGGCGCAUGCAAGACUGCGGUCGUGGGGUAGCACAUCAUAUAAAGAGGGCAACCACCUCCAUCGCCCCUACCAUUUUCCCCAAAUCCCCUCGCUGCGCCCAACGCGUUUGGGUCGGCUCGUGCGCCCAACGCUGGCCCGACCCAUUUUAAUGGUGCCGACAAAAAAAACUGUGCAUGCAUAUUUAAAAUAAAAACAACUUAAUUAAACAUUAAAGCCGGCCAGGAAGGUCGGCGAGAGUCCACGCGUCCACAUUAGCAUUAAAAGAAAUUAAAAACAACCUAAGUGCGAGGCGGCGCGCUGCCCGCGCCCUAGGCGUCGUCGUCGUCGUCCUCGGGGUGGGUGAGGUCGAUGAGCGUCGGCGCAGGGCCGGCCCAGGGGAACGCCGUGUUCCAGGCGGCGGCGGUGUAGGCAGCGGGCAGCUGUUCCGGCAGGGGCAGUGCCGGCGCGGGGGGGCUGUGCGGCCGCCUGUGCAGCCGCGGCUUGGCGCGCCUCCUCCUCGAGGCCGCGCUCGAGCAUCUCCUCGUACUCACUGCGACGGCGCUCCUCGCGAGCCGUCGCUGGCGCCACAUCUCAAGGUACGCCGCCUCCUGCUCCGGGGUCGCCCCCAUCCAAACCGGUGGCGCGGACACUCACUCGCGCACCACUCCCGUCCAGGAGAAGCGCGCGAUGGGCUCCGGCUCCGGCUUGGGCUCCGGCUGCGGCUCCGGGUCAGCCUUGACGAGCCGUCGGGGAGGGAACCGUGGGGUCACCGGCGGCACGACGCAAUCGCCGGGCGCAGAGAGGGCGAGGGCCUGCGCCAUGGCCGCCUCGUAGCGAGCCUCCUCUUCCUCCACCGCCUCCACCCUGCGCCGCUCGUCCUCCUCGCUCUCGCGGUAAACCGCCUCAAGGGCCGCCUGGUAGGCGGCCUCCGCCGCCUGGUGUUCCUCCCGGACGACGAGCGGGGACGGCGGCACACUGCGGUCGACCUCCCGCACGCCGCAUCGCCUCGCCUCCUCGUGCUCGAAGGUGAACCACCUCACCCAGCUAGGCGAGUCAGUGGUGUAGGUGGCGUCGCAGCGCUGCUUCGGCAUCAACAUUGCCCGCCGGCGUCGCGGCGCUGCUUCGGCGUCAGCAUUGCCCGCUGACACCGCACCUCCUCCGCCUGCGCCCUAGUCGACUGCGGCGCCGCCGGCACUGGGAUCCUCUCUGGAUCUAGAUGCCAGUCCUGCAGCAGGGUGACGUCAGGGUACGGCAGAGGGACGAGGUGCUGCCAGUGCCACUCCGCCUGGUGCACUGGCACGCUCACUCUCACCUUCUGCCGGUGAGCCGGCGCCGGCGGAGGCGGUACGAACUCAGAGGGGAAAGGAAUGGCGGGGGCCUUGCCCUUGGACUUGCUGCUGCCGGCGCCGGAGAAGAGCCCCAUCUGGCUAGGGUUGGCUAGGGUUUUUGCUAGGGUUUGUCGGCGAGGGAGCGAGCUUGCCUAGAUGGGGACGGCGAGUUUGGAUGAGGAUGGCCCCGUCGCACGGUCGGCUUAAAAAAGGGCGACCGCCAUCGCUGACGCGUGGGCCCGUGGUCAUAAAUUAAGCUGACCGCAAGUGGGCGGCUGCCAGGUGGGGACGCGGCGGACAGCGAGAAGGCACGGGUGGCGUCCGUUCGAUGUCCGCGCCGAUGCAUUUGGGGCGCAAAUUUGAAGUGAUUUAGAGGAGGUCAAAUAAAUUUGAAUUUGAGAAAAUGUGCUCCAAAUGAGCUCCCAAGCUAGGGUAAACAACCCAUUUGUAAUCAAGUUUUUUUGAACCUACUCUAAAUGAGCCAAAUGUUUUUUUAUUAACACAUAUUCACUUUCCAUAGUGUAGAUUCGAAGUCUCGCUAUUUUUUGAUUUUUUUUUUUUUAAAAAACAGAAGGUAACACCACCUCCUCUCCUUGAACUCUAUGAAAUCAUGUACAUGAUAGCUCAUAUGUGUGAAGGUUUUCUCAUGAAAAUGACCAUAGAGCAAGUUUAUGAUUUUUGGUUGGUAACAUAUCACAUAAGACAACAUUGUGCAUAGGUUUUAUAUUAUUUUUUUGAUUUUUUUAAAUUAAUGGUGCUCAUUUGACCUCGAUCGUGCCAGCUAGGGUUUUUUUCAGGAAAAUGACCACGGACCAAGUUUAGUAUUUUUCCUUGUUAGUUUGUCUUAUAAAACGACGAACGGCGAAGAUUUCAUAUUUUUUUGAUUUUUUUAAAUUAGUUAUGCUCAGUCAAAGCCUUCGAAACCCCAUGACCAGCUCAAAACCCCUCUAAACCCCGCGGGGUUUCGCCUAACCCUAGCUCCCAACGUCAGCCGUCCGAUCAUCCCUCGCGCCAAACAACAGCCUUGAGAUCUGGCCUUCUAGAAGGAACUAGGUGGGCUGGCUGUGUGCAGGCUCCGCGCCGUUGGAUCACAAGGACGGCUCCGCAUCGUUGGAUCAUGGGGCGAUCCGCGAGAGGCGAUCCUAUUGGUUGUGCUCGGCUGCUCGCCCACCACUGACUCCGUGAAAAAAAAACUUUGUUAUUGGGCCCAAAAGGAAACCAAGCUCUGGGUCGUCGAAUUGCGUCGUUUUUUUUUGCAUCGUUUGCUCUGUUUUUUGUGAACGUGCUGACUCUGUAUUUUUGCAUCGUUCGCUCUGUUUUUUGCAUCGUUCUUUUUGUUCUAUACAAAUGUAAAAUGACCAAAUUUAUAAGGGCUAAAUGUAUUUUUAUCAUGUAAAAUGGCCACAAACUAUCAAAAAAUGGGUCAUUUUGCAUUUGUAUAAUGGCCACAAGCCCUCUAUCUCUUUUUAUCAUGUAAAAUGACCAAAUUUUAAGGGCCAAAUUUAUUUUUAUCAUUCAAAAUGGCCACAAGCUCUUCAAAAAUUGUCUCUUUUUGUUCAUAUAAUAUAGGGUAUGACCACAGAUUCCCACGCGUGCAAUUAGCUUCUUUUUCUUCUCCUUUUCAAACCACUGUUUCCCACGCGUGUACACUCCCGAUGCUGCGGUGGGUUUGAAAACGAGCUACUAACUUCACAUUUGACCCCGUUAUUGCCACGACCAAAUAACACGUAGCACUACGGCUAUUUAAGCUACAUAUUGGCAUCGGCGCAUGCAGGCUCGAUCGACGCAUGCAGGCAGGGUUUGCUGGGUGCAUGCAUAGCAGGCUUCUGUCCUGGCGGCGCGCGCAGACAUUUAAUGCAAGGGACGGGCCAACGAAACCACGGCCCAAUGGUCGAACAGCGACACCACCCAACGAGGCACAGUCCAGCGUGGCCCCACUAGUCAGAGUUAACGGUGAAGCCUUUGACCCGACGGCAACGUCGUUGUGCCCAGUUAUGAGGGUUUCUGGCAAGAGAGUGGGGAAAAUUGAGCAAAAGUUAAGAACGCGGGGAUGAAUGAGUAGAGCUAAGGAACCAGGGGCACAGAUGUAAAAAUCUCAAGAUUGAAUACGAGAGAUGAACUAGGGUUUGAGAGGAGAUGGUGCUGGUGAAGAUGUUGAUGGAGAUUGACCCUCCCUCAAUGAGAGGAUCGUUGGUGAUGACGAUGGUUUCGAUUUCCCCCUCCCGGAGGGAAGUGUCCCCGGCAGAAUCGCUUUGCCGGAGCUCUAGAUUGCUCCUGCCCAGGUUCCGCCUCGAGACGGCGGCGCUUCGUCCCGAAAGCUUCCUCCUUUUUUUUCUAGGUCAAAACCAACCAUAUAGNNNNNNNNNNNNNNNNNNNNNNNNNNNNNNNNNNNNNNNNNNNNNNNNNNNNNNNNNNNNNNNNNNNNNNNNNNNNNNNNNNNNNNNNNNNNNNNNNNNNNNNNNNNNNNNNNNNNNNNNNNNNNNNNNNNNNNNNNNNNNNNNNNNNNNNNNNNNNNNNNNNNNNNNNNNNNNNNNNNNNNNNNNNNNNNNNNNNNNNNNNNNNNNNNNNNNNNNNNNNNNNNNNNNNNNNNNNNNNNNNNNNNNNNNNNNNNNNNNNNNNNNNNNNNNNNNNNNNNNNNNNNNNNNNNNNNNNNNNNNNNNNNNNNNNNNNNNNNNNNNNNNNNNNNNNNNNNNNNNNNNNNNNNNNNNNNNNNNNNNNNNNNNNNNNNNNNNNNNNNNNNNNNNNNNNNNNNNNNNNNNNNNNNNNNNNNNNNNNNNNNNNNNNNNNNNNNNNNNNNNNNNNNNNNNNNNNNNNNNNNNNNNNNNNNNNNNNNNNNNNNNNNNGAUCAGGCGGAGGAGGGAGACAAGGCCAGGCAUCUCACCGACGGCGAGUGCUCCCUCCCUUCUCUCUUUCUCGGUUGUUUUUUUUUUUUUUUUUUGCUCUCUUGCUCUCGCUGGCUCUUCUAGCGUGUGUGAUAACGUGUGUUGAAGCGAAUGGGAAAACUUGUAUUGAUCGGGAGUUGCAGAUUACAAUUUAUACUAUCCGGAGAGUCGCGAUGGGAAAGAAUGCGUCGGUUUUGAAGAAAGACCCGAGAGGCGUCUGUUGCGGAUGUAACCGCACGCCGUUUGGGUAAGUGGAGGUUUUCCCCUAAUUACAUGUGCUAAUUAAUCACAACAUAAAGCUUGUGGAUUUGCCCUAAAAAAAAUUCACGGGGCAUCUCGGCGGCCUUCUUUUCCGUGUCUCCCCCCGCUCAGCUCGUGCUCUGCUUUCUGUACGAGCUGGCCAUUCCCAAGAAUAAUAUGUUCCUUCUUCCAGUGAACAGAUAUACAGUAUCUACUUGUGCGUGUGUCGUUUUUCUUUUGAUUUCCCACCGUGGUUGGUAAAAGUUGGAACAUUACAACUUUGACCUUAUUUUUAAGGUAAUAAAUGUUAAAAGUUCGGGCGUACAAACGUUGACAUCAGUAUUUAGAGUGCGAUUUUAAAACAUCACAAAUAACUAUAUUGCCAUUAUAAAAUAUCACAAGUUUGCAUUAGAUUUUCCUGUCUAGUGAUUUAAGACCGCACCAUCAGUAAAUUCGCAGCCACCGUGAGAGCGAUACUGCAGGCGAUUUAAGGUCCGACACCAUAGUAAAAUCUAUUCCUACAUUGGUUAGGAAUACGAUGAAAUGACAAGAGUUUUAGGCCAUGACCCAAGGCCAACACCAGCACGACACAGCCACAAAAACAACACAAGGGUGCCAGACGAACGGAUUAAGAUCAAUAUCCAAAUGCCAGCACGGCACAUAAUCCCGAUAACACAAUCUAUAACUCCAGCAAGAUAAUAACCAAAACUCAAAGGAACAGGUCCGUUGUGCAGGGUGCCAGACUUUAACAAAAACGCAUUUCACUCGUCGUCGUCCUCGUCGUCAUCGGCGGCACCGGCAGAGUUGUUGAGGGCGUUGAGCCUUUCGACGAGGCUGGCCUUCCUCUGCUCAUAGGUCAGCUUCUUGGGGUUGUACCUGCAUCCAAAAG
rnacentral:lncRNA from 1 species